rnacentral:lncRNA from 1 species
GGAGAAAGCUCUCGACAUCUUCCGGAGUUUAAGAGAGAAGAGAAUUGUAUUGUUGUUAGAUGAUAUAUGGGAGCGGCUUGAUUUAACAAAAGUGGGCGUUCCACUUCCCGGACCAAAAAAUACUACCUCAAAAGUCGUAUUCACAACCCGUUUCUUCGAUGUUUGUGGUAGCAUGGAAGCUCACAGGACGUUCGAAGUGGCAUGCUUAUCAGAAAAGGAUGCUUGGGAACUGUUUCAAGAAAAAGUAGGAGAAGAAACUCUUAAGAGUGAUCAUGAUAUCGCUGAGCUAGCCCAAACCGUGGCCAAGAAGUGUGGUGGUUUGCCGCUCGCACUUGUUACUAUUGGUCGAGCUAUGGCCAGCAAAAAGACAGCCGAGGAGUGGAGACAUGCAAUUGAAGAGUUAGGAAGAUCAGCUUCAGAGUUUCCAGGUUUGGGAAAAGAGGUGUAUCCUGUUUUAAAAUUCAGUUAUGAUAGUUUGCCGAAUGAGACGAUUAGAUCUUGUUUCUUAUAUUGUUGUUUAUAUCCUGAAGAUUAUGGCAUUCUUAAAUGGGACUUGAUUGAUUGUUGGAUUGGUGAGGGAUUCUUAGAGGAAUCUAACAGGUUUGGUGCAGAAAACCGAGGAUACUACAUUGUGGGCACUCUUGUUCAUACGUGUUUACUAGAAGAGAUAGAAGAUGAUAAAGUAAAAAUGCAUGACGUUGUUCGUGAUAUGGCUCUAUGGAUAGCUUGUGAAACUGAGAAGGAGAAGAUAAACUUUUUGGUUUGUGCAGGUGCUGGAUUAAAGGAGGCACCGGAUGUUAAAGGAUGGGAAAAUGUGAGAAGAUUGUCAUUGAUGCAAAACCAAAUUAAAGUUCUGUCAGAGGUUCCUACAUGCCCUCAUCUCCUCACUUUAUUUCUUGACUUUAAUAGAGAGUUAAUGAUGAUCGCGGGUGGCUACUUCCAAUUUAUGCCUUCUCUCAAAGUUUUGAAGAUAUCAAACAUUGGGUAUUUCAACGUUUUGAAAUUACCUUUGGGGAUGUCAAAGUUGGGUUCACUAGAACUUCUCGAUAUUUCACAUAGCAGCAUAGAGGAGUUACCAGAAGAGUUAAAGUUGUUGGUAAAUCUGAAAUGUCUGAAUUUGAGGUGGACAGAUGUGUUAAAUAAAAUUCCACGGCAACUAAUAUCAAAUCUUUCAAGGGUACGUGUGUUGAGAAUGUUCGCUACUGGCUAUGAUCGUUUUCAUGAAGCAUCAGAAGACAGCGUUUUAUUUGGUGGGGGUGAAGUUUUGAUACAGGAAUUGCUCGGUUUGAAAUAUUUAGAGGUAUUGGAGUUGACCUUGGGAAGUUAUCAUGCUCUCCAAAUUCUUUUGAGCUCAAAUAAGUUAAAAAGUUGUAUUCGAUCUCUUCUCCUCUUCGGGUUCAGAGGUACAAAGUAUUUUAUUGAUGCUACGGCUUUCGCAGAUCUAAAGCACCUCAAUGAAUUACAGAUUCAUGAUUGUAGGGGGUUGGAAGAGUUGAAGAUUGAUUACACAGAGAUAGCACAAAAAAGGCGGGAACCUUUUGUUUUCCGCAGCCUUCGUCGUGUUACUAUGGUUUCGUGCCAUAAAUUGAAAGAUUUGACAUUCCUCGUUUUUGCUCCAAACCUCAAGUCUAUUUCGCUAGGCGAUUGCGAUGCUUUGGAAGAAAUAAUCAGCGUUGGAAAAUUUGCUGAGGUUCCUGAGAUGAUGGGACAUCUAAGCCCUUUCGAAAAUCUCCAAAAUCUUGACCUAUCGUAUUUGCUGGCUUUGAAGAGCAUCUACUGGAAGCCAUUGCCUUUCACUUAUCUGAAAGAAAUGGUGGUAAAUGGGUGUGAUCAACUUAAAAAGCUUCCACUCGAUUCCAGCUGUGCAGAAGAGCGUAAAUUUGUUAUUCGCGGAGAAGCACACUGGUGGAACUGCCUUGAAUGGGAGGAUGAAGCCACUCAAAUUGCUUUUCGUUCCUGUUUCCAGCCUUAUUCCUGAGUGGUGGUUGCAAAAUUUGAUUUCUGGUGUGGUCUUUUAUUCUCUGUUUUUAUUUAAGUUUCUUUUCCUUUCCUUUUCCUUUUUUUUUUUAAUUUCUCCUGCAAAUCACAAUUAAACAUUGAAUUAUAUGGAAUUAAUGCUUUAUAAAUUUGCCGGCACUGCCUUUUUUUUUUUUUGUCGGAGUGAUACUCUAGCUUUUGACUUUUGGUUGUCAAAUUCUGCUCUGCCUUUUUAAAUUGAUGCUUUAUUUAUAUUUUCUUAGUGAUUUAGUUUCCUGUCAAAAGACGAACGAGAAGAACAUUUGAAUUAAAUAAAUGCUCGCAAAUUUGCGGUAAAAAGAUGUAAUUAGCCGAGAAAAUAUUAAAUAUAGUAGCCCUCUUUACAGAAAAUCAAGUGGAAGUUAAUUCAGCAAGUUAUAUUCUUGAUUAAUUCCUUUUCUGAAGUUUUUAUUUUCUAUGGUCAAUUAUACCUUCAUACUAAAAAUUGCUGCUAUUGGGUGUUGAGUGUUAUGCUAAAAUUUUGCCCUAUUUUGGGCCAAUAUUUUAGAAGUGAAACAUACUUCAGAGUUGAAGUAAACUUUGAAAAUAGAGAUAAUGAUUAAUUUAGAAGAGAUGCAAGUAAAAGAUAUUCUAAAAAAAAAAAAGCAAUAUGUCCCUUUGGAGGGCAAACUUGUCAGUUUGAAAAAGUUACAUGCUUUGGAUUGAUAGUUGCAGGAUAUUUGUUUUGUCACUGUGUAUUAGGUGCGUUUGGAAUUGAAGUGUUGUAGUUUUUAAGUUAUAAUUGUUGUAAAAAAAAAUUGUAACUAUAAAACAAAAGUUAAUAAUAUAUAAUAAAUUUAAAUUUAAAUAAUAAUUUUAAUAAAAUUAUUAAAGAUAUAAUAGAUUAUUUAUUAUACAAGUGAAAAUUAUAUCAACAUAUCUUUCAAGUUACAAUAGUUAUUGAUUACUAAACACUUUACUGUUGUAACUUUUAAGUUAUAGCUAUUUAACCUCAAUUCCAAACGCAUCGGAGAAGUCACGCCUAGUGAAGAAUGUUAUGAAAGAGCAAAGGAUAUUCCUAAUCGAGCUCUAUUUGAUUAUGUAUCCAGUGAAUGGAUGUGUUGUUGGAAGAUAUUUGAGUGCAUUAGUUCAUUUGUGUCGGUCAAUGUGCUUUUAAUGAUUUUUCCACUUGUUUGUUGUAAAAGAUUAUUGUAAAUUGAAAUGAAUUGGAUGUUGUAAUAUUUUCUCUUUAGUGGAAUUUCACCUUGUAUGUAUUCAGUUGUGUUGUCUAAAAUUUUACAUUCGAAUAAGUUUUCACCUAAAAUAUUAGCAUGAGUUGUGGCCCUUGAAACUUUGGUCAAAAUUAUUGUUAUUAUUUCUUACUAGAUGUAAACUUUUUAUUAAACCUCGUUAACAUAAUUCUUAAUUAAAAGUAUAGGUUAGUGUCGGUGCAGAAUUUGCAACACCAAAUCCUGCCUAGGCAAGUGUCAAAAGUGCAAAAUAAAUGAAGAGAAAGCACGAAUACAUGAUUUAGAUUAGGAUAGAAGGAAACUUAAAUCCUAGAGAAAAGGAUAGCUAUAUCCCAAGAUUUAAAAAAAUAGUCAUGUAGAUUUUUAAGAUUUCAAUAAGCGACUAAGAUUUUCUUUUGACAAAUAAUUUCCUUUAGCUCUAUUAACAAAAAAAAUAAAGACUCAAAUAUUUUAUAAUAAAUAAAAUAUAAUAUUAAAAUAUAUGUGAUAAUAUAGAAAUUUUAAAUAAUUUCAAUCCAAAUAAAUAGUUAUGUUUUACAAGCUAUUAAACAUAUUUUAUUAAAUUAAUAUAAAUGUUUUAUAAAAUAGGAACAUAAUAUUAAAAUAAAUUUACAAAAUUUUUAAGAAUUUUGAAUGUAAAAUAAUUUUAAUAUAUUAAUACGUGAGAUUUUUUUAUUAUUAUAAAAAUUAUUUAACUUUAAGAUUUUUUAAAAUCCUUACAAUAAGUAUAAAUAUAUUAUUUACAUUUAAAAAUAUUUAAAUAUUAUUAACCUACAAUUAUAUUUGCAUUUAUUAGAAAAUUUUAAAGUCAAAUAUUUUGCACUUCUACAUUAUUAGAAUUAUUGAACACAAAGAAAGAAACAUAUAUGCUUUAUAGCUUUAGAAAUUGUUUUCUUUUACAUCUGGAAACAAAGAUGAUGAUUAUUAUAAGGAUAAAAAAUGGAUAAAGAAUAUUAAUGAUUAACGAAAUCUCUGUGCAAAUUGAUUUUAGUAGAAAAAGAGUGAGAUGAAUGAUUUCUUUUACAACUAGAAACAAAGAUGAUGAUUAUUAUAAGGAUGAAAAAAAGAUAAAGAAUAUUAAUUAUUAAUGGAAUCUCUAUGCAAAUUGAUUUUAGUAGAAAAAACGAGCUAAAUGAUUUAGACAUUCAUUCUGUGUUUAUUUUUGUGAUUAGCAUUAAAAAUUGUUUAAUUAUCAAACGAUAAUAAUGUUAUUUUGUACUUAUGUUAUAAUUUAUAUUUGUGUUUAUGUAAUAUAUUAGAAAUUAUUAAUUAUGUUUUAAAUAUAUCUAAUUUUGAGUAUAUUUGUGUGUUUAUUAGGAAAAAUAUUAAUUUUAGAUAAAUUGAGGCUCCAAACAAUUAAACGGAGGUCAAAUUUGGAUUCCGGAGGUUUGAAAACCUUAAGAUCAGUCAAGAUCGGCUUAAAAUUAGGUUUGUGUAAAAAGAGUUGACUUUUUCUGCUGACCGAGCACUGAUUGGAUGAUGAAAUGAGCUUACAAUAGAUAUGAGUGCAUGGGAUAACUGGCAAUUUUGACUAAAUCUCAACCGUUCAUGAUUCAAUGGCCAUGAUUGUGCCAUGUGGUAGUGGUUGAUGAAGCAAGUUGUAGGAUCUGAAUCUUUGUAUACGGGUCGACCUGAUCCGCCCAUUAACUCGCCAAAUCACAACCGUUCUUUGGCCAAAUCGGACGAGUCAAACGAUGCCACAUGUGAAGUUGACUUUUGAAGUUUGACCAGCCAUUGGAUCUUGAUCUAAAGGUUGUGAGAGCAUGAAGCUUAUGGAGCUUAUGAUGGACCGCAAAACACUGGAUUAUAAAUUUAUUUUUCUAUAAAUAGAGCCUCAUUUUUAUGUUUUUAAUUAUCUCUACAUCUCUCUUCUUCUCAAAUUCUCUCCAUCUCCCUGUAAUAUUUUGUAUAAUUAUUUUAUUAAAUAAAUUUAGUUUUAUUUUCAAUUUUAGUUGUUUUUAUUACUUUUAAUUAUAAGUAAUUAAAUUUUAAUAUUUCUUUUUAUUUCAAUUAUGCUUAACUAAAUAAUAUUAGUUGGGGUAAGGUGAAACUCUUAGGAAAUAAAUAUGAUUUAAUCAAAUUUUAUUUUUAAUUUUAUAAAUUAAAUUAUUUUCUAUUUAAUUUUAUACAUAUUUUAUAUUUUAAAAUUUUGAUUUAUUGUAGACAAACAAAUAAAUUUGGCACAAUAAAUUCUUAAGAUCUUAAUAUAAGGUAUGGUAAAAUGGUAUUUUGACUUAUUGUAGACAAAUUAAAUUUUGACACAAUAAAUACUUAAUCCAUCAUAAAAUUAGAGGGAAAAUAAUAAUAAUUUAUAUAAUUAAUCUUUUGGGCAAUAAAUUUAAAAAAAUAGCAAAAAGAAUUUAUUGAGUUUUAUUUACUACUAAGAGUGGAUCCACAAUCCUAACUAGAUCAAUUUCAUAAUUUCAUUUAAAUUAAGUUGUUUUUAUUCAAGUUUUUAUUUCAAUUUUUAGAUAAAAUAAAUUAAAUUAAUUAAAUCUUUUCUCUGUAGAUCGACCUCAGACUCACCGAGGACUGACCAAGGUAUAAUACAACAAGACACUCUUAUAAUUAAGAGUUUAAAAUUACUUUUAAGUUGUGUCAUUUUGGAUUGGUGAAUUAGAAUUAUUGACAACGCUAACUUCAUCUUCACAAUUUGCAAUCCAAUAGCAGCAAUUGUCACCGAUAAUGAUAUCUCCAAUGAUAAUGACGAUUUUAUUAUUAUUAUUGAUAAAAAGUAUUAUAAUUAAUUAAUAUAUUAAUGUUAAUAUUAUUAUUAUUAAGAUUAACAAUAAUUAUUAAUAAUAACAAUUUUUUGAAUAAAAAUAAUUACAAUAAUUUAAAUAUAAAUUAAUAAUUAUGACAAUAAUUAAUUAAUGUCUUUUUAAUAAUUUACUGAUUAUCACAGUUCAAGUAAACAAAUUAUUAUGAUUCCUAUUCUCCAUUUCCAUUUCAGCUCACUCCGAUUCCAAUCCAUUUCGACUUCUGCCUAAAAAACUCACCAUUAGUGCUAUAGUAAUAUUUCAUAUAGAGAAAAGUAAAAUCUACACCUAAGAUUAAGGUAAAGGACUUCAAAACUCUCUUUUGAUUAUAAUACCUUUUGUCCUAAUUAACUUAAAGAUUUUGAAUCUAAUAUUUUAUAAUAAAUAAAAAUAUAUUCCUAAAAUAAAUAUAAUAUCAAUAUUUAAAGUAUGUUUUAAUAUUUUACAAUCUAUCAGACACAUUUUAUUAUAUUAAAGUAAAUUUUAUAAUAAAUACAAACAUACUAUUAAAAUGAAUAUACAAAAAAGUUUAGAGUAUUUUGAAUAUUAUAUAAAAUAAUUUUAAUAUAAUGCGUGAGAUAUAUUUUAUUAAUUUAAAAUGCUAUUUUACCUAAAAAUUUAUUUAUGAUAAAUUAAUAAUUAUAUUUUUAAAAUUAUUUUAAAUAUUAUAAAAAAUUUAAUAUUAUUAGUGUUUUAGAUAGAUUAAAUUAUUUUAAAAUGCCUUAAUUGUUUUUACUUUUAACGUUACCGGCCUUUCUUAUAUUUUAUUGCAGCUAACAAGAAAAAGCCAGAUCAUAUUCCACAAAAGCAAAAGUGACAAAACAACCAGCUGGAUUCUUUUAUUAAACUACAAAUUAAAGGAUCCCAUUAUCUUACAACUAAUGUAAGAUACAUCCCUCACAUAAAUAGUAUAUAAACUCCACAUAUAUACUGUUCAUGUGAGGAAAUGUACCUUACAUUAAGAUAGUGUUUGCCCAAAUUAAAAUAGAUUUUUUCGAUGAACUACAAAUUAAAGUGGAUUCUUUUGAAUAUAGCUGGGGUUAGGGUAGGCUCUUUUAUUUAAGGCAAGUCUAGAGUAGUCAAAGACGAUUAGGCUCUUUUAUUAAACUACAAAUUGUAUAGUCUUUUUCAAAUUGUUCAGAUGCUUAUAAAUUAGUGGCCCCUUGUAAAUUUAACUGGAAGUGCCAAUCAGAGAAAAGUUCAAUUCUAAAUAAUUGUUCCGAUAUUUAUAAAUUGGUGGCCCCUACAAUCCUCAAUAAUUGUUCCGAUAUGUAUAAAUUGAUGGCCCCUACAAUCCUCAAUAAUUGUUCCUAUAUUUGUAAAUUGGUGGCCCCUUAGAAAUUUAACCGCAAGUCUGCAAGUGACAAUCGGAGAAAAGUCAUAAUUUACAAUCUUCCAAGGGAAGUAGGGAACCAGGGGAUAUACAAAGAUUAAGACAUGUCAUUCAUUUUUUUGGCUGCAUUCCCUUUCGUGUUCUUAAUAAUUGAAGACAGGUUGUUCAUUACAUGCUUACUUUUCAAAUGUGGAGCCGCAGCUAAUGUCGCUACUUUAAUUUGGGAUUAAAUUAGGGAAACAUUAUAUUGUAGUAUGCACUAACUUGAUGUUUAUCUAAACUCCUUAAAUUUAAGACAGAUUAUGGCAUAAAUAAGAAUAUAACGAUAACAAAAGAGUAUAUAAAAUAUUUAGAGUAUUUUGAAUAUUAUAUAAAAUAAUUUUAACAUAAUGCAUGAGAUAUAUUUUAUUAAUUUUAAAUGCUAUUUAACCUAAAGAUGUAUUUAUGAUAAAUUAAUGAUUAUAUUUUUGAAAUUAUUUCAAAUAUUAAAAAAUUAAUAUUAUAGACUAAAUUAUUUAUAUUAUUUUUUAUUUAUUAAAAAAUUUUUAAGUCAAUCUUUUUAAUUACUAUUCAAAGAAUAUAAUGAUUAAAAAAAUCUUUAUGCCUUCAUUAAAAAUUUAAAAAUUUACAUAACGAUUUCUAUAAAUAUUUAGGGUAUAUAUGAAGCACGGUGGAGAAGCUUUAUUUAAUAUUAUUGAUUUAAAUAAUAUCUCAAUUAAAAAUGUACAGAGAAGAAAUUUCGGUGGGUAUUUUAGUCUUUUCAGCAAUUAUCAUGACCAGAUCUGCCUUUGGCCUUGAAACGUCGGUCAGAAAAGUUUUAAAGUGCUUUAAUUGUUUUUAAGGCCGCUAAUAACUCUGCUCGUGCAAGUUGAGGAUAAAUGUUAAAUUAAUUACAAAAGCAAAAGGCUAAUUUAUUGAAGACAAGUAAAGCAGUCACGAAUGGUACAUGCCUAAUCUUUUCUAUAUUUACAGAAACACAAUUUUUUUUCAAUCCGCCGCAGCUUCUGUUAAAAUUAUCUUGGUUUCUCGUAGUUGAUUUCUAUUAUCCCAAAAAAAAAAAAAAGGUAACUGUUGAUGCCGAAAAAUGAUUUCAACAGCUGAAUUUAUUUUUUUUGGAGAAUUACAGUGUGAAUCCAAGCUCAAACGCAAGUCUGAUCGCAACUUUCUAUAUCUGCUAAUCAGAAAACACAGUUAGGAUACGCCGGUGGGGUUUCGGCUAGACCUUCCGAUACUUAAGUCAGAAAUUAUGUAUAAAAGGAGAAAAAUGAGAAUGAAGAAUUAUGAAUGAGUUAAAGUCAAGUAAUUUUCCGGUAGAGGGGUUGAAAAUCUUGUAGAAGCUUUGGUUGAUUUUGCUAACCCCUUCACCUGAUGCGCUCUUCAGUUUAAAUAGACUCUUGGUCGUGUACGGUUACCUCCUUAACUUCAGAAGUUGCAAGUGGUUGUCAGUUGGAGGUGGUUUAAAUAGAUCGUGGCACACAACUUCCUUAUAAAUUAGGCCACGUUCUCUUAACUAGCAAUUUUCCAUGUCAAGCUAAUUCUCAGGUCGGACAAGAGAAUUUCAAGGUCGGAUUACUUCACUUUCAGAUUAGACAGAUGAAUUUCUCAGUCGCUCAUAUAACGUUAAGGUUGUAUUCUUAAACUAAGUCAUUCACAUAGAUCUUAGGUCGUACUUAUAAACCAGGUCGCCAACAUAGGCUCCAGGUUGUACUUAUGAGGUUAGCUCAACAACAAUAAGUUUUGAGUAGAUUAGGAUCGACUAUAUUUUGAGACACUACCAGAAAAAUCCAACCCAAACACCAGUCCCCUAAUUUUCAAUACUGGAAAGUCAUUGCCAGUGUUGGAAACUAAUGGAAAACAUUUCUCAAAACCCAAUACCAGUCCCCUAGUUUUCAAUACUGAGAAGAUAUGAACGGUAUUGGAAACUAAAAUAAUUAAGAAAGAGCAAUAUAGCCACAAGCAAAAGAAAGACGGUGUAGAGCGGAACAAUGAGCAAAGAGAAGAGUAAAAAGAAAACUUCAGGUGUGGACCAAGAAAAUAACCAUGACCAAAUGCCUCGAGGUGAUAGAGUCGGGGUUGAGGGUGAGGUCUUCCUAACUAGUAGGGUUGUUGAAGACCAAGAGAGAACUUCCUAAAUUUAAUUAUUACAAUGCUUGCCCUUUUUUGCAAUAUGAACUUGUGUAGACCGUAUGCUACUGAACUUUAUUUUGCCUUUGUAAUCGGAUAAUUAUUAUGCUGACCUUGCCUUUUUUACUCUUUAUUUACUAGGGUUGGUUAUGAAUUGCAUUCCGUAGACUGAGCCCAUUUAAGACUCUGUUGAGGUCAAACAAAUAGAUAUGGUCAACUUUGGUAGCAAUAACACCAAGCAAUGACCUUGAAUUCACCAAGAUUCUAUCAUUUCGAUAUCAAUCUUGAUAAGGAAAAUGUUGACCUCACGAAAAUAUCAACUUCAACAAGAUAAAUUGUUGACCUCAACAAGAUAAAUUGUUGACCUCAACAAGAUAAAUUGUUGACCUCAACAAGGUUAAGUGUAGAGCUAAAAUGCCAACCUCACGACAAGGAAAAUGUUGACCUCACGAUAAGGAAAAUGUUGACCUCACGAAAAUGUCAACCUUAACAAAAUAGAUUGUCGACCUCAACAAGGUUAAGUGUAGAGCUAAAAUGCUGAACUCACGAUCUCACGACAAGGAAAAUGUCAACCUCACGAAAAUGUCAACCUCAACAAGAUAGAGUGUUGAACGCAAUAAGGUUAAAAUGUAAAGCUAAAAUGCCGACCUAAAAAAAAAUUGAAAAUUGGAGAACUUAAAUGUUAAGCUUAUGAUCAACCUCAACAAGGCAAUGACUGACCUCAAUAAAAUUGAAAAUUGGGCAACGACCUCAACAAGGCAAUGGCCGACCUCAACAAGGCAAUGGCCGACCUUAAAAAAAAUUAAAAAUUGUAGAACUUAAAUGUUAAGCUUAUGGCCGACCUCAACAAAAUUGAACAUUGUAGAACGUAAAUGUUAAGGCUAUGGCCAAACUCCACGAGGCAAUGACCAACCGCAAUAAAUAGAAAAUUGUAGAUUUUAACUUAUGGCCGACCUCAAUAAGGUAAUGGUCGACCUCAACAAAAUUAAACAUUGUAGAACGUAAAUGUUAAGGCUAUGGGCAAACUCCAUGAGGCAAUGACAAACCUCAAUAAAUAGAAAAUUGUAGAAUUUAGCUUAUGGCUGACCUCAAUCAGGCAAUAGCCGACCUCAACAAAAUUGAACAUUGUAGAACGUAAAUGUUAAGGCUAUGGCCAAACUCCACGAGGCAAUGAGCAACUUCAAUAAAUAGAAAAUUGUAGAACUUAGUUUAUGGCUUACCUCAAUAAGAAAAUGGUCGACCUAAAUAAAGUAAAGGCGAAUUUCGAUAAAAUUGAAAAAUGUAGAUCUCAACAAGAUAAAAGUUAAGGCUAUCUAACCACAAGGUAAUAGCUGUCUUCAAUCUCAAAAAGGCCGAAUUACAAUUAGACCUCAACAAGGUCAAAAUGACAAUCUCGAUCUCAAUAAGAUUUGAUAAAUUUUUCAGGUAGGACCUCAACAAGGCAGCAAUGUCGAUCUCAAUCUCAAUAAGAUUGGAUGAAUUUUUCAGGUAGAAUCUCCACAAAGCCGAAAUGCCGAUCUCAAUCUCAAUAAGAUUGGAUAAAAUUUUCAGGUAGGACUUAAAUAAGGCCGCAAUGUCGAUCUCAAUCUCAAUAAGAUUGAAUGAAUUUUUUUCAUGUCAGACCUCAGUAAAGUCGUCAUGUCGAUCUCAAUCUCAAUAAGAUUAGAUAAAUCUUUUCACGUUGGACCUCAAUACGGUCCAAAAAUGCCGAUCUCAAUCUCAAUAAGAUUGGAUAAAAUUUUCAGGUAGGACCUCAACAAAGCUGCAAUGUCGAUCUCAAUCUCAAUAAGAUUGGAUGAAUUUUUUCACGUUGGACCUCAGCAAGGCCGCCAUGUCGAUCUCAAUCUCAAUAAUAUUGGAUAAAUCUUUUCAUGUUGGACCUCAAUACGGUCCAAAAAUGCCGAUCUCAAUCUCAAUAAGAUUGGGUAACUUUUUCAUGUUGGACCUCAAUAAGGUCACAAAGUUGAUAUCAAUCUCAAUAAGAUUGAAUAAAUAUUUUCACGUUGGACCUCAAUACGGUCCAAAAAUGCUGAUCUCGAUCUCAAUCUCAAUAAGAUUGGGUAAUUUUUUCACGUUGGACCUCAACAAGGUUGCAAUAUCGAUAUCAAUCUCAAUAAGAUUGGAUAAAUUUUUUCACGUUGGACCUCAAUAAGGUCCAAAAAUGCCAAUCUCAAUCUCAAUCAGUCUGGAUAAAUUUAUUUCAUAUUGGACCUCAAUCAAGUCCAAGUGUCGAUCUCGAUCUCAAAUAAGACCGGUCACAAGUAGAUAAGAAAUAAAGUUGCACUUUUAAAUAACCUCAUUGAUACUAAUAUAACAGAAGUUAUAGAAUUGAACGCAUAACAAAUUGAAAUAACAAAGAAACAAACUUUCUUAGCAUAUUUAAAGAAAAUAAACAAACAAUAUUUAAAGAAAAUAAACAAACAAGGACAUCAUAAAUAAGAUAUAUCUUAACUGAUAGUAUUUUCGCAGGUGCUCUGCAUUCCAUGCCUUGCCAACGACCCUGCCAUCCUGAUAACUUAAUUUAUAUGCCCCAUUAUCAAAUUAGGGUAGCACUUUAUAUGGUCCUUCCCAGCUCGGCCCUAGAACUCCAUCAAUAAAUCUGAAGCUCAUUGGAGAUGUCAUCCAUCAUUUUUGUUCCCACUCUUACCACCCUGCUCGGAUCAACCUCACUUAUCGGCAUGUUUCAUUUCUUCAUUAGGUCACUGUUGGCACAAUCUAUUCUCAGCUCGUGGGUCGAUACUCGUGAUCUGCAUGGAUUCUCUUGCAGCUGUAGCGUAACAACUUCGAGCUAUUUGUUGCUGGCCCCUCAUCACUCCAACCCCAUAUUGAACUCUAAACUUCACACGUUGCAUGUGGGUUGAGCUCACGGCUCUUACUAUCCUAUUGAAAGGUCUACCCAAAAUAAAUUGAUAAGGGUUGGGCUCAUCAACUACCACCCAUGUCACCAUCACUGUCUUUUGUAGUGGGUUGGACUUUAUUAUCAGUGGCAAGUCAAUCAUCCCAAGGGGAAUCAACUCAGCUCCGCCAAACCCUUUUAGUGAUGUUCUGACGGGAUCAAGCCUAAGGUCCCCUAUUUGUAGAUCUUCCAGGGUUUGCUUAAACAAAAUGUCGACUGAGCUUCCUCCAUAUAUAAGAGCUCGGUUCAAAUCCUGCCCUACCAAGGUAACCUUCACUAUGAGCGCAUCCUCAUGUGGAUGUGCGACCGCUUCCUCGUCCUCGUCUGUGAACAUGAUCGGCACCCUUUGAACCCGUUGCUUCUUUGGUAUUGAAACAUUAAAAUUCAACUUAUAACUUUCUAAUGACUAUCUACUAUAAUUUCUCCUUGAACGAUUUGAGUCUCCUACUAGGGUCGGCCCUCCCAUAAUCAUCAUCGCUACAUUAUCUCUGAUGUCUCCUCUUCUCCCACCUAUUCCUUGGUCAUUCACAUACUCCUUUAGAUAUUGAUUUUGCACUAGCCACAAAAUCUGUUCUUUCAAGUCUAUGUAAUCUGCAGUUCCAUGUCCGAACACAAUGUGAAACUCGCAAUACUUGUGGUGAGCACUUCUGCCCAGACUUCUUACAAUUGGCUUUGGCGGUUUAAGUAGCCCCUUCUUUUCUACUACAACAUAUAUUUCCGCUCUGCUUUUGUUCGAUGGUGUGUAUCUUCCACUCUACUCUAAUAAGUUCACCCCAUGGUCAGAUCUCGAUACUCUCUGUUCUAUAGGCAGUGGCAACCUAUUGUAGUCUCUUGCUCGGUUCUCCCUUUAGUUCAUCUCAUAAUUAUUUCCUCUAUCUCGGCCCCAUCCCAUUAAUGAGAUUUAUCUCAUUUCACGAUUUCUUUCCCAAUCUCGACCCGACCUUUCUGGUCAUCUGUAAUUGAACAACUCUCCGCCGUAAUGACGUCUAUCAUCCGAGUUCCUCCUCGAGCUAUACUCGAGGUUAUCACUUGACCCUCUCUCUGCUCUUCCAUUCUCCUAUUUUCUUCCUCUGCAUCUUCAGUUUUCAUAUCUAAUUUUGUCUAGUCGUACGCCUCAGCGUAUGUUGUUAUCCCCUUGUUAUAUAAGCUAUUCCAUAAUCGAUUGAUUCUCAACUCCUUCUUUAAUCCCUCUAGAACAUCUGGAAGAUCAAAGGCCCCUAGAUCGGUAACCUCUCUAUGAUACCUGGUCACAAAACUCGUCAAACUUUCAAAUUCUCCUUGGACCAAUUUUGUCAAGCUGCUCAUAUCCUGCUCUGAUAUGCAUGAACCUCUAAAAUGCAUAGCGGAAAGCACACAUAACUCCUUGAAAUUUCCUAUGCUUCUAUUCUUUAAUCUCCGGUACCAUUCCCAUGCUUGUCCAUCUAGAGUUAAGGGAAAAAUACGGCACCUUUGAAAAUCAUUCAAACCUUGAAUUACAGUCAUCUCAUUAAACUUCUCCACAUGAUGAUUUGGGUCAGUUUUUCCUUCAUACACCAAGACUUGAACCACAUACUUGGGUGGCAAAGUUACUGCCAUCACUUCAGGUACCAAGGGGGACUCGUCAUCGAGUAACAGCCUUCCUACCACUUUCUUGCCCUCUGUUUUCGCCUCUAAUACCUCUAAGGUUUUUUGAAAUUGCAGCAUUCGUUGCUCAAGCUCAUUUGCCCGUUGGGGUCUCUCAGCUCUUCCCUCUCUCUUUCUUGAUUCAAGUCAUUGAUUCUCCCCCUCAACUCAUUCACUUGUUCUCCUGCACUUCUAUUCUUUUGUCGUACCCCAACUUGUGGUAGUCCCAUUCCGCUCUGCUGUUCACCAUCAAGCUCUUCCCUCUCUCGCGCUCCACUACAUUUUGGAUCACUAGCUCGAACGUGAGCCUCUCUGACUUGGGCAUCAACCAGCCCCCGAUCAUCUUCUCAAAUCUCGCCAUUUGCCUCUCAAUCCCUUCUCUCCAUCUCUUAUCUGCCGUGGCAUUCAUUUCCUCAGCCAAUUGGCGCAAGGUCUACGUAUCUUCAUCCUUAUCAUCUAUCACUAUUUUGUAAUCCGAUAGCUUCUCCUUCUAAAUCUUCAAACGUAUGGCUUUUCGCACUGAUCCCCACAGAUAGCGUCAAGAUGUUGAUGCUGAAAAACGACAUGAACAGCUGAAUUUGUUUCUUUUGGGGAAUUACAAUGUGAAUUUAAGCUCAAACGCAAGUCUGAACGCAACUUUCUAUAUCUACCAACCAGAAAACACAGUUAGGAUAUGCCGGUGGGGUUCCGGCGCAGACCCUCCGAUGCUUAAGUCAAAUUAUGUAUAAAAGGAGAAAAAUAAGAAUGAAGAAUUAUGAAUGAGUUAAAGUCAAGUAAUUUUCCAGUAGAGGGGCUAAAAAUCUUGUAGAAGCUUCAGUGAAUUUUGCUAACCCCUUCACCUGAUGCGCUCUUCAAUUUAAAUAGACUCUUGGUCAUGUACGGUUACCUCCUUAACUUCAGCCCGCUUUCUUCAGUAGUUGCAAGUGGUUGUCAGUUGGAGGUGGUUUAAAUAGAUCGUGGCACACAACUUCCUUAUAAAUUAGGCCACGUUCUCUUAACUAGCAAUUUUUCAUGUCAAGCUAAUUCAUUGGUCGGACAAGAGAAUUUCAAGGUCGGAUUACUUCACUUUCAUAUCAGACAGAUGAAUUUGUUAGUCGCUCAUAUAGCGUUGGGGUUGUAUUAUUAAACUAAGUCAUUCACAUAGAUCUUAGGUCGUACUUGUAAACCAAGUCGCCAACAUAGGCUUCAGGUUGUACUUAUGAGGUCAACUCAACAACAAUAAGUUUUGAGUAAAUUAGUAUCGACUAUAUUUUGAGACACUACAAAAAAAAUCCAACCCAAACAGUAACAUUUUGCAAAUCUCAAUCGACGGUGCUAUUUUCAAUCGUUGCCUGGAUUGCUUUCUUGGAAAAGCAGCAUCUAUAAGAAACCUGCAAAAAAAUGUUGUAGCCUUGGAGACUGAAUUGGGAAAACUAAUCGAAGCAAAGAACGAUGUGGUGGCGAGGGUCGUCAACGCUGAAAGGCAACAAACGAUGACAAGGCUGAACAAAGUUCAAGGCUGGCUUUCGAGGGUGGACGCUGUUAAAGCUGAAGCUGAUGAAUUGAUAAGACAUGGCCCUCAAGAAAUUGAGAAACUAUAACUUAGAGGCUACUGUUCCAAGAACUGCAAGUCAAGCUAAAAGUUUGGCAAAAAAGUGGCUAAAAAGCUAAGAGACGCCGGGACUUUAAUGGCCAAUGGAGCAUUUGAAGUGGUAGCUGAGAGAGCUCCAGAAUCAGUAGCGGAUGAAAGGCCUAUCGAGCCCACAGUAGUAGGCCUGCAAUUGCAACUCGAGCAUGUUUGGAGAUGUCUUGAAGGAGAAUCAGUCGGAAUUGUUGGCCUAUACGGCAUGGGCGGUGUCGGUAAAACUACACUAUUGACCCAUAUCAACAACAAAUUUCUUGAGAGUCCAACUAAUUUUAAUUAUGUGAUAUGGGUCGUAAUGUCAAAAGACUCGCGACUUGAAAACAUUCAAGAAACUAUCGGGGAGUAGAUUGGUUUGUAAAAAUUUGCCAAUUUACACAGCAAACAAUUUCCACCCAAUUAAUGUUUUUUAGAAAAUUGUAAAAAUUUGGAGUUAUGAAAAUAGAAACUAUAUAAUAAGAAGAAAUAAUUUAAGAUUUUAAGAUUUAUAUAUAUUUUAUAAAUAAAACAUUAAAAGAGAUGCUUGUUAUUACGAUGAAAUUUUAUGAGUAAGAUGAUUAACUUUAAUAUAUGAGUUUGUAUUUUAUAAAUUAAUCAGAGGUAUUUUAGAAAAUAAAUUCAAAAUGGGAGUUAUAAGAGUUUUAGAGUGGUGUUAAAAGCUCAACUCUUUUGAAUUUUACUGCCCAAUUAUAUAGUACAUUAGCGUGAUUGUUAUGUAUUCAUUUUUUUCAGAUACAACAAACGAGCUGCGUAGUGCUCAAAUAACAAAAAUUAAUAAUUUCACACACCCAUAUACAUAUAUGUAUACAUAUAGAUACAUAUUAUAUUUAAUUAAGCAAAAGAAAGAACCCCCUGUACGACGCCAGUGAGAAGAGAGAGAGAGAGAGAGAGAGGAAGAGAGCUUUUUGUGUUAUAUUUCAUAAUUUUUAUUUAAUUAAAAAUAUUUGUAGUUUGGAUUUGGGCGCCCCAAAGAAUUUCUAAAUCAAAACCUUAAUUUUUAUUAGGUCUUGAGCCUAUUCUCGAAAUAGAUCCUAUUAUAUUCUUAGGUGGUGUUUGGUUUUAAGAAAAUGGAAGAGAGGAGAGGUGAAAAAAGAAGAUGAACGGAGAGGUGAUGAGAGGAAAAGAGUGUAAAAAUUAAUUGUUAUUGUUUGGUUUCACAUUAAAUUUGAAAGGAAAAGAAAUUACAUAUUUUUUAUUUGGACGAAUAUACCCACUAUUUUAAUGCUAAUAUUGUUAAUAAAUUAAAAAAUAAUAAAACUAUGAAUUAAUUUAAUCUAGAAAUUACCUAAUUAAAUUAAAAAAUUAUUUUUUAAAAAAAUACAGCAUUUGGCCAUGGACAGCCUCCACGUUGACCACCGUUGACUGGCGAAUUUGACUGUCGUUGACCGUCAUUUUUCAUCGCGUUAAAUGCAUAAUAAUAAUAAGAAAUGAAUGAUUUAUUCAUUGGAAGUGUUAAUUUUGCAGAAAAUACACUAUAUAGUAGGAAAUAUGAGAGUUAAAAUUUUCCCAAGCAUUUAAACAAGACUUGAGGUAAAUAACAAUGUAUAUUAGCAUUUUUAAUCUCAUAGCAUUGUAGAUGGACUCAUGAGGAUUCCAUUGAUACCGGUUUUGAUGAAAAAGUGCGUCUCCGGCGAAACUCCGACGAGUCACUUUACUGUUUUUUCUUUUUUCAAAUAAGUUUAUCCUAUUAAUUUAAGAAAAUAAAUAUAAAUUAUUUGUACUUUAAUUUAUUUAACAUUGAUUUUGUUUAGAGGAUAAUAUUGGAAUUUUUGUGUUUAAAUAGAUAAGAAAUUUAAAAUCUUUAGUCAUUGAUAAGAAAUACAAAUUCUUCAAAUUGAUGGAAAUUCAAUUCCAUUAAACUUGGUCCAAGUAGAAAAGAAAUCAAUUUUUUUUGGCUCUCCCCACUUCCCUACCCCUAAGCAAACAUGGCCUUAUGGUUUUUGAGAACUCAUACCAAAUUCAAAUUAAUCAGGAGCCCACGGGUCCCGGGGCUCGCGGGAAAGUUGCCAUCCCUACCUUCAUCUGACGGAAAGUCCCUACAAACAAAUGUUUCUUUAUUUAUUUAUUUUUAUAAAAGAAAUUUCAGUUUGAAUGUCUUUUGGACGUUUCCAAUUGUCAUGAUUAGCCCUUGAACCUUUGGUCAAAAAAGUAUUAUCACGCGUUGAUUGUUUGUAUCGCAAAUGCUAGUGGCAUUUGAAAGUUGAUAUAAUUAAUUACAAUCUACAAAUGUUUAACAAAAAAGUGGGAUGGAUAUGGCACAAAAGUAAAGCAAGCAGGAUUCGUUGAAAAAGCUAUUUUGACACCUACUUCGGUUAUAAAAUUUUCAAAAAAAAAAAAAAAUUUUGAUUAAAAGUAAAUUGUAUAGGUUCAACUACCGUGCACUUGGUGCAUGGGACAUGUAUUUUGUCUAUAUAUAAGUUACCCGUCAGAUAUAACAUAGAACUUGCUUCAACGGCAUAGAUGUAUUCUCUUUAGUUUUUAACAUUGACAUCUAUGUUGUUUUUCAAAAAAGAAAAAUAGUGAAAGGUUUGACACAUAAUUUUAGAUUAUUUUUAAAUUUUAUAUUUUAAUCAAUUGAUUUAAUUUACUGUUAAAAUUAAUGACAGUAUAAGCGUAAUAACUUGAAAAAACUUUUUAAUACAUAAUUUUUUUUAUUUUUUGAAAAUAAUAUAAUAUCAAUUUAAUCUAUAAUAAAUAAUUUUAACAUAUAAUUAAAUUUUAAUUUAUCAAUAAUAAUAUGACCAAAUGACAAUGUUAAAGAAUUUCAUUAUAAUCAACUAUGAUUUAGUAUUCAAAUAUAAAUAAUAGAAAUAUACUCUAAGUGUAAAUAAUAGAAAUAUAUCAAACUUAUAUGUUAAAAUUUCAAAACUUUUAAUUUUUUCACUUUUCAGCAAACAAGAGGGAGUAAUUUACCAAAAACAAGGGGUAUCGUACACCUGGGGCACCAUAGCUUCCUCCAAAUUGUAUAAAAAAUAGAAAUAUUUUUAGUCUCCAAAUUGUAUAAAAAAGUAAAAAUAUUUUGACUAAAAGUAAAUUGUGCGUAACUACUUUAAUAUUUUAUUUCUUUCAUAACUUUAUCAAAAUCUUGUCAUCAAAUAUUUUAUCAAUGUAACGCUGUAAACAGCAAAUUAAAGUUUAAUUAUUUAAUUACAACUGGCAAAAGAGACGUUUAAUUAUUUAAUUACAAGCGGGAUAGUCUCUUUUGUUGAAGGAAAUUAAAGUUUAGUUAUUUAAAUCGAGCACGCGUAAUCUUUUCAAGCACAAACAAAAGAGAUCAUAAUUCAAAGUUGAUGUUCUCUUCACAGCAGCUUCUAUUCAUCGAACUCCAUCGUUAAAAUUUCCUUGGUUUUUCCUGGUUGAAUUCUCAUCCAAAAUAUGGGUAACAUUUUCCAAAUCACAUGCGACGGCGCUCUCUUUAACCGUUGCCUGGAUUGCUUUCUUGGAAAAGCAGCAUAUAUAAAAAACCUCAAACAAAAUCUUGCAGACUUGGAGACUGAAUUGGGAAAACUAAUCGACGCAAAGGAAGAUGUGAUGAGGGAGGUCAACGCUGCUGAAAGGCACCCAAUGAUGAAAAGGCUGACCAAAGUUGAAGGCUGGCUUUCGAGGGUCGAAGCUGCUAAAUCCGACGGUGACAAAUUGAUAGCAUUUGGCUCUCAAGAAAUUAAGAAACUAUGUCUUGGAGGCUACUGUUCCAAGAACUGCAAGUCAAGCUACGAGUUUGGCAAACAAGUGGCUAGAAAGCUAGGAGAUGUCAAGACUUUAAUGGCUGAAGAAGCUUUUGAAAAGGUAGCUGAGGAAGUACAACCACCUUUGGUAGAUGAGAGACCCACCGAGCCAACCGUAGUAGGCUUCCAAUCACAAUUUGAACAAGUCUGCAAAUGUCUUGAAGAAGAAUCAGUCAGAAUUGUUGGCCUAUACGGCAUGGGCGGUGUCGGUAAAACCACACUAUUGACUCAUAUCCACAAUAACUUUCUUCAGAGUCCAACUUUUAAUUGUGUGAUAUGGGUCCUAGUGUCAAAAGAUCUGCGACUUGAAAACAUUCAAGAAACUAUCGGGGAUCUGCGACUUGAAAACAUUCAAGAAACUAUCGGGGAGCAGAUUGGUUUGUUAAACGAUACAUGGAAAAAUAAACGAAUUGAACAGAAAGCUCAAGACAUCUUCAGGAUUUUGAAGGAGAAGAAGUUUUUGCUGUUGCUAGAUGACUUAUGGCAGCGGGUUGAUUUAACAAAAGUGGGCGUCCCUCUUCCUGGCCCGCAAAAUAAUGCAUCCAAAGUGGUAUUCACAACCCGUUCCGAAGAAGUUUGUGGUUUGAUGGGAGCUCACACGAGGUUUAAAGUGGCGUGCCUGUCAAAUAUCGAUGCUUGGGAAUUGUUUCGGCAGAACGUUGGAGAAGAAACUCUGAACAGUGAUCCCGAUAUUCUUCAACUCGCCCAAGCAGCAGCCAGAGAGUGUGAUGGUUUGCCACUAGCACUUAUUACCAUUGGCCGAGCUAUGGCUUGCAAGAAGACACCUGACGAAUGGAUUUACGAUAUUGAGGUGCUAAGAACAUCAAGUUCUCAGUUCCCAGGUUUGGGAAAUGAGGUUUAUCCUCUUUUAAAAUUCAGUUACGAUAGAUUGCCGAGUGACACAAUUAAAUCAUGUCUCUUAUAUUGUAGUUUAUAUCCAGAAGAUUAUUGCAUUUCUAAAGAGAAAUUGAUAGACUGUUGGAUCGGCGAGGGAUUUUUGACAGAAAGGGACAGGAUUGGAGAACAAAAAGAAGGAUACCAUAUUCUGGGCAUUCUUCUUCAUGCCUGCUUACUGGAAGAGGGAGGAGACGGUGAAGUAAAAAUGCACGACGUGAUUCGAGAUAUGGCAAUAUGGAUAGCAUGCGACAUUGAAAAGGAGAAGGAGAAUUUUUUUGUUAAUGCUGGCGUUGGAUUAGUUGAAGCACCCGAUGUCACAGGAUGGGAAAAGGCGAGGAGAUUGUCACUGAUGCACAAUCAAAUUACGAAUCUAUCAGAGAUUCCUACAUGUCCUCAUCUCCUUACUUUUUUCCUUAACAAAAAUAGGUUUCAGAUGAUCCCCAAUGACUUCUUCCAAUUUAUGCCCUCCCUCAAAGUUUUAAAUCUGUCAUACAGCAAACUAACCAGCUUACCAUUGGGGAUUUCAAAGUUGGUUUCACUGCAACAUCUUGACCUGUCAGAAUCCGACAUAGAAGAGUUGCCAGGAGAGUUAAAGGCAUUGGUAAAUCUUAAAUGUUUGGAUUUGGAAUAUACAGGGAAUUUAAUUACAAUUCCACGUCAACUAAUAUCUAAUCUUUCAAGGUUACAUGUGUUGAGAAUGUUUGGUGCUGGUCAUAAUGCCUUUGAUGAAGCAUCAAAAGACAGCAGUUUAUUUGGUGGGGGUGAAUUCAUAGUAGAGGAACUGCUUGGUUUGAAAUCUUUAGAGGUGAUUAGCUUCACCUUGAGAAGUUCUCAUGGUCUCCAAAUGAUUUUGAGCUCGGAUCAGUUACGAAGUUGCACUCGAGCACUCUCAUUCCAAUGCUUCAACGAUUCGACAUCGCUUGAAGUUUCAGCUUUGGCAGAUCUGAAGCAACUUAAAAUGUUGCGGAUUGCAAGGAGUGAAAUAUUGGAGGAAUUAAAGAUGGAUUGUGCAGGGGAAGUUCGACAGUUUGUUUUCCAUAGUCUCAAUAAGGUUGAAAUAUACGGUUGCAGUAAAUUGAAGGACUUGACAUUCCUUGUUUUCGCUCCAAACCUCAAGUCUAUUAAAGUAACAGGUUCCCAUGCUAUGGAAGCAAUCAUAAGUGUGGGUAAAUUUGCAGAAGUUCCAGAGGUAAUGGCAAAUUUAAACCCAUUUGCAAAACUCCAAAAUCUUGAAGUAAUUGGUGCGAUAAAUUUGAAGAGCAUUUACUGGAAGCCCCUGCGCUUCCCACAUCUGAAAACAAUGAGUUUCUUUCAUUGCAACAAGCUUAAAAUGCUUCCACUUGAUUCCAAUAGUGCAAGAGAGCAUAGCAUUGUUAUUCGUGGAGACAGAAUGUGGUGGGCACAGCUUCAAUGGGAGGAUGAAGCCACUCGAAAUGCUUUUCUUCCCUGUUUCAAAUCUUGAGCAGAGAUCACAUUUGAAUAAUUUCUGGUGCGUGCUUUUUCUUACAUUAUUCUUCUUGUUAAUUUCCUUCAUGCAGACAUCUGCACCUAAUAACUCGUUACUUCAAAUAUUCUCUAAAUUAUUUGAGGGUACUCGCCCCUGCACAUAAUGUAUAUUUAUAUCUAAUUAAAUUUUUUAAAAAGUCAAUAUUAUAUUUUUUAUGUCAUUAAAUAAAGUCUUGUUAUUUUAUCGAAUUAUAUUCAACUUGAAAAUAGUUCUAGCUUUUAGAUAUAAGUUAUGUAAGUACAAGUUCAAAGUGUAUCAGCAUUAAAUUACUCAUAUUCAAUCAUUUAUAAUCUGAUGUUGAAAAAAAAAUGUCAUUCAAUCAUAUGCAUUUAACUAAAUUCAAAUAUAAUCUAAAUUCAGAUACGUUAAAAUUAUUUGGGAAAAAAAAGCGCCACAACUCUAUAUUGUUUAUUGAGUAAACCAGAUAUUAACUCUAUCAUGAACGUAAUAGCCUCCAGCAUUUUUUAUUAUCUGUUCAAACCAUAUUUUAUUAUUUUAAUUUAUUUAUAUUCAUUGCAUUUCAAUUAGGUCAUGUUUUCUUUUGUUUUCUGUUUUAUAUUCUUUGAUCAUUUUGGCAACAUGGAGUACUAUGAUUAAUCAUUUUGUACUGGUCUCAAAUUUCAGUCGGAUUAUCUGCGGAAAAUAUCUCUGAAGAUGCUUUCAAUGGAGUCCAGUACUCAGAAUGCGAUGCCUAAUCCUUUGCAAUCCAACAAUGCUAGCAGGAGCAACGAACCCCCUCAUCCAGGUAGUGACGUGGAAUAGUAAAUGCAGCUUCACUUUCAAUUUGUCUCUGAAACCGCUCCCUAUAAUCAAUCCUAGCAUUCUUAUGUGUUCUUAACUUCUGCAGCCUGAAUAUUUCUUCCUCGACAAUCAAAGUCAUAACAGUAUGAUUGGCUGGAGUAGCUUUCCUCCAGACCCCUCAUUAUAGUUAUAAAUAAUUCCGAUAUUUGAUAUCAUGAUCGGGGAUUUCAGAGCUUAGAAAAUAUGAUUUGUACCCAUAUGUGUCUGAUCAUGAGAAGUUUGAAAAUAUACAUCAAAAACUGUAUGGAUUGGAAAAAUAUAAUCUUAUUAUGGUGUGUUAAAUCGUCAUUUGAUGAACGGAUUUGGGAUACAUUAUAAUAUGAUGUCAUUAUUAAUUAGGGUGUGUUUUUGGAAGUGCUUAAUUAUAUUCGUUUAAUGUGUAUUUCUUUUAUCACUUUUGAAAAGAAUUCUUAAAUAUUUAAAUAUUUCAAUGUUUAUAUCUUAACUUCAAAUAUAAUAAAAUAAAAUAAAAUAACUGUUCUCCAAUAUGAGGGUCCGAACUAAGGGUCUACGUCAAUAACAUGAAAUAUAAUAAUUUUUGUAAAUUUUUCUUAAAUUCAAAAUAAAUUUUGUUACUGAUUCAAAUGUUUAACAAAAUGUGGCAGCUUAUCUGUAAUUGCCACAUCAAUUGAGAUUCAAAUUACUACUCAAAUCCUGAAAUUCCUAAAGGUCCCUAACAUUAAUAUUUUAUUAAGUCAAUAUUGAAGUUGAACUAUGGGGUUCGUCGGCUAUUUCACACUAACAGAGGAAUCAUUUUAUCUUCUACAAAGGGUUCAGUUUUCUUGCACUGUAUGAUAUGAAGUAAUAUUGUCAUAUGUUGUUCUGAAUUAAUUUUUUUCUUCUCUCGUGCGAAUCAGAAAGAAAUGUUGUAUUUAAGAUGUGGAAAGUAUAAGAUCUUAGGAGUUUUACAGUGUAUAUAUAUAUAAAUUUUUUUUUGACAAACAGAGAAAUUCAGUCUAGAAUAUGAGAACAAACUAAAAGCUACGAAAUACAUUGGCAUUUUUGAGAAGUAGGAUAAAUAUUAUUUUUUUUUUUGAAAAAAAAAGGACUUGGCACCUCAAUGCUUUAAUAACCUAAUGUUAUACUUUUGGUUUGAUUUUUCUAUGUACUCUCUUCCAAUGGUCAAUUUAGGCUAUGUUUGGUAUUGAGAUAUUAUAACUAAAAAAUUUUAGGAUUUAUCACUUAAAAGAUAGAGUAGCCGUGGGAAAAAAGAGAGAGAGAGCUGAAAUUAUGAAAUAAAAUUAUUAAUGUAUUGUAAAUAAGAUGUUCAAAUAAAAAAAUUGACAAAAAUAGUAAAAAUACAAUACCAAACAAGAAUUUAUUUAGGAUACCGAUUCCAGGUCUCUAAAGAUUUGUUUUUAUGCUUUGCAGUUAUUUUCUUCUAGCUGACUGAUGAAUUAUUGUGAAAUUGCUAUGAAAAUUACUAGGGAAAUUAUCAGUCAUACACUCUUAAAUGACACCCGUAUCAAAUAUGCUACAACAUUUUUCAAGUAUAUCACUCGUAUACUCUAAGUUGACAAAACACUUCUACCGUCCACCAAUAUGUUAACUUCUAUUAGAAAGUUAAUAGAAUUGUGGCAAAUUGACUAUUUCGUCCUUGAAACUCAAAAUGAGAUUAAAAAAAAUUUACCCAAAAAAUUAAAGUAAAUUUUCAAUACAUAAUUUUUUUUAAUUUCGUUAUUAACAAUACAUUUUUUUAUUAAAAAAUAUGAAUUAUUAAUGGUACAUAUUAUUAACAAUUAUCCAUAAAAAUAUCCAUAUUAUACCAUAAAAAAUUAUUAACAACAUAUUAUUUACAAUUAUACAUAUUAUACCAUAAAAAACUCCAAUUGGAGCUUGGAGGAGUAGAUCUUAAAAAAUUUAGGUUAAAUUUUGGAUGAGUAGAUUCGGUUGUAAAGUAGUUGUUUUUUUAUAUGUAAUUAUUAACAAUUAUCCAAUAAAUGGGAUGACAUGUCAUUUUAUCAAUAUAUAUCAUAUGACAUGUCAUUGCUUAAUAGGAAAAUGGGAUGACAUGUCGUUUUUAAAAAAGACUAUAUUUACCCUUAUGAUGUCAGCACUUGCAAACGGCAGUUAACGGAUUGGUGAACGGUAGAAAUGUUUUGUCAACUUAAAGUAUACGAGUGAUAUACUUGAAAAGUGUUGUAUCACGUUUGAUAUUAGUGUCAUUUAACGAUAUAUGACUGAUAAUUUUCCAAAUUACUACUAUAACUUAUGGCAAAUUGGCAAUUAAAAAUCAUAAAAGUCUUUCCUCUUGAAUGAGAAAGUGGGUUAUUUUCGUUUACUAUAUAUAUAGUGUCACAAUCAAGAUUAGCAAAGGUUUGUUCACAAACCACCAUCUAUGAAACUAUGAUGACAAAUAUUAUUUGCUAUUAUCAUGUCACUGCAUUACUCUAAUGCCAUUAUUUGCCUAAUUAAAUAUUCAUGUCGGUUUUAAGAUGAAUUUCAAGACAUUUAACUAACCAUAUCUAUUGUAUUUUAUUAUGGUGCUCUAGCUAGCUGGUUGCCAGCUUUGCCUUUCAAUGGGGUUUGAUUAAUUACUCUGCAUAUAGACCAUUAUAUACUAGGACGGCCAAUGGUUAAUGUAAUAUAAACACAAUAAAUUUUAAUCAAAUAUGAAUUUUCUGAAUAAUUGUUUCUUUAUUUUAUGAAUUUUAUUUAAACGAUAUCCCAAUUUAAAAAAAAAAAAGAAAGAAAGAAAAUCAGCGCGUUUGUCUCCUCCCCAUUGUCAUGAUCAACCUUGUUGGAAACGUUGGUGAGAAAAGUAAUACUAUACGUUAAUUGCUUUUAAUAUUUUAAUCGUUGGUGGCACAACCGCACAAGAAAGUAAAAGUUGUUAUAUAUAUAUAUAUUUUAAAUAAAAGUUUAGCUUUCAAUAAUUCAACUUUGAAAAAGGUACAAAAGAUGUGUAGGACAUUCGUUGAACCACAUUAUUGGUUGUACACUUUCUAAAGCUACUUUGGCUAUGGAAUAGGCCAUGAUUAUGAAGCCGAGAAGUAUGUUGCAGUGUGGGGUUGUGUAGUUCCUUUUAGCUUCUUCUUACAAAUUAAUGCUGACAGAAAAAGCAAGAUCAUAUUCCACAAAAGUAAAAGUAACAAAACAACCAGCUGGAAUCUUUUAUUAAACUACGAUAAACUACAAAUUAAAGUGGAUUCUUUUGAAUACAAGUGGGAUAGACGAUUGGCUCUUUUAUUAAAGGCCAGUAGUCAAGAAUCGAAUAUCUCGAUUGCAUAGUCUUUUUCAAAUUCUUGUUUUAUUAUUUUUCAAAACUAAUUUUUUAUUAGUCUACAAUUAUUUAUAAUUAUAUUUUCAUUUAGAAUACAGUUCAAGUCAAAUCUUUUGCACUUCUACCUAACUCGGGCUAAUACUAGUCCACUCAUUAUUCAUGUGAGAGAGUUGUAAGGUACAUGCAUGUAACUUCUCUAACUCGAAUUAUUCCACACAGAGAAAUAAACAUAGAUGCUUUAUAACUUUAGAAAUCCGAUCUCUUACAGUUGGAAACAGAGAUGAUGAUUACUAUAAGAAUGAAGAAAAAGAUAAAAAAUUGUCAAUGAUUAACGAAGUCUCUAUGCAAAUUUCUCUAUGCAAAUUGAUUUUAGCAGAAAAAUAGUGAGUUGAAUGAUGUAGGCGAUUAGUGGUAAUAUUUCAUAGAGUUAGAGUAUUGGCAACCCUUCAAUCUUCUCAUGAAUCCCCUUUUUGAGUUAUAGUUAUUUUAUUUCGAAAUAUCCUUUUUCUUCUUUAAUACACUUCUAAUUUUUCAUUUAAUUUUUUUAUUGUUAAACUCAAAGUAUUAUUGUGAUAUUUUUCGUUUCUUUUGUAAUCUUAUUAUAAUUAAAAAAACCAAAAAAAAAGAUUGGCUAUGAAAUUUGUUGGAAAAAAUCUAUGUGCGUUUAAUUUUUGUUUGUCUUUGACUGUAAUUUAUUUGAAGUGGGGUUUUAUAAGCAUAAUGAAGGGAUCAAAGGAUGCCCAUAACUUCACUCUAUUUUAUAUGGAGAAAAGUAAAAGGUACACCUAAAGUUAAUGGAAAGUACUUCGCAGCUUUCUUUUGAUUAUAAUAUCCUUUAAUUUAAUUAACUUAAAAAUUUUGACUUUAAUAAUUUAUAAUAAAUUAAAUUAUAAUCUUAAAAUAAAUAUAAUAAUAUAUUUUAAAAUAAUCUCUAUAUUUAAAAUUUAUUUAUUUUCACAUUUUAUAUAAAUUUUAUAAUAAAGACAAACAUACUAUUAAAAUAAUAUAUAAAAAAUUUAAAAGUAUUUUGAAUAUUAUAUAAAAUAACUAUAACAUUUUUUAAUACAUGAGAUAUAUUUUGUUAAUUUAAAAUUCUAUUUAAUCCAAAGAUUUAUUUAAGAUAAAUUAAUAAUAAUAUUUUUGAAAUUAUUUGAAAUACUAAAAAAUAUUUUAAUAUUACUAGUCUAUUAAAUAAAUUAAAUAUAUUUAAUAGACUAGUAAUAUUCUGAAAAAUAAUAAAAGAAGAAUUAAAAAAAGACUAGACAAUAGAGAUAUUCGAUUCUUUUAAAGCAAAUCGUAAUAUUCCACAAAGGAGUAAGAUCCACAAAAGCAAACAACCAGUUGGAUUCUUUUAAAGUGGAAUCGUUUAUUAAACAACAAAUUAAUGUUCAAAUAUUUAAAUAGCAGUGCAUUAGACGAUUAGACUGUCUUAUUAAAGGCGAGUAUAAAGUAGUCAAGAAUCGAAUAUCUCUAUUGUCUAGUCUUUUUUUAAUUCUUCUUUUAUUAUUUUUCAGAAUAGGUUUUGGUGAUUACAAUGGGUUAUUAUUCAGAGUUAUUGUUAUCUUCCGGGUCAAUUUCUGUUCAUCGAAGUCGUUAAUUCAAAUUUUAGAACUUUUAUCAAAAGAAUGUUUUUCGUUAUCUUUUUUAUGGUCUAAUUCCAAUUGUAAGAAGUAGUCAUUUUAAAAUUUGGGUCUUGAAUCGAAUUUCAGUGCAUGAAUUAAUAUUAAAAAAAAAUCACUACACACAGUUUAGGCUGCAGACUACUUUUUGCAAAUUUGACUCUGAAAAUUGGAGAAAUUAAGUAAUUUAGAAUGUUUGCAAAGAAAAAGACUAACAUACUUCCUAUUACACUAAAUCUCUAUUAUCAUAAUGUUGAGACUAAACUAACUUAAAUACGUUUUAUUUGAAAAGCUAUAUUAAAUGCAGCCUAAUUUUAUUAACCUGAAGAGCUAAUAGAAGUGUAGUUAUAAAAAUUAUAUUCUGACUUAAUUAGUACAAGUGAUAUAAAGGUUAAGUGUGCACUAUAUUUAAUAAUUAAUUAAUGGAGCAUGUUAAAUAAAAUGAUAAUUUAUAUUUAUAUAAUGUUAGGAAUAUGUAAAGUCUAAGUCCACAAGUUGCAUUAUCUUUAAUAUUUUCUCUCAAUUAAAUUCUAAAAAUACUUUACAAUUAUUUAGUAACAACUGUAAAUUAAGAAUAAAUUAUUGUCCCAAACAACAUUAAAAAAUAUUUUAUUCCAUUUGAAUCCUUUAAUUUUUUUUACAGUAUAUAGAUAAUUAUUACUAUGUGAAUGUAAGUUUCUUAAGAUGGGACCUAUAACAAUUUAGAACUUAUUACAACGGGGAGUUUAUUAGGACCAAAAUUUUUUAUGAGUACAUAAAGUUAUCUUGUAUAGAAUAUUAGUAUAUAGAUGUUUUACUGUAAUUAGUCUAGAACAUUUAAAAAAAAAAAACAUAUACCGUCCCUUGGAUGUAGCUCUUGGGUGACCAUGAAUGUUCUUUGUUCCACAUACGNNNNNNNNNNNNNNNNNNNNNNNNNNNNNNNNNNNNNNNNNNNNNNNNNNNNNNNNNNNNNNNNNNNNNNNNNNNNNNNNNNNNNNNNNNNNNNNNNNNNACCCUCUAUGGGAAUAAUCUAUUUAGUUAUAAAAAAUUAUGAUCCCAAUUUAGACUAGUUAUAAAUAACAACAAAUUCCACUUUGUAAUAAAUUAUAUUUUUUCUAUAUCUUAUCUUAAGAAACUUAUCUCUACAUAGUAAUAAUUAUUUGUAUAGGUAAGAAUGGAUCAAGAUCCUCUCCUGAUCUGAGCACUCCUGAUCUUUUACAGAUCUUAUACCACCUGUGUUUUACUGUUAGUGGAUGAUUAUGAUUUGACUAUUUUUUCUUUUUAAUUUAUUAAUCACCAAUUAUAUUAAUAAAAUUUGCUCAGAUGAAGAUCAGAUCAAGAAAGGAUCCUGAUCCAAUAAGAAUACAUGUUAUAUUAGACUAAAGGAACUUGUCUGCACAUAACGAUUAGACAACGAGCGAAAAUUAUUAAAGCGAAUGCAAAUAAUUAGAAUUUUUUAAGAUGACUUUGUAUAUUCACAAUAAUAAUUGAUAGAUACAUGUACCAACGUUUUAAUAUAUUUGACAUCCUCCAUUAAUAAAUCAUUGAUGUAAUAUAGACUUUAUCUCUAUAUCCUCACACUACGGACAACUAAGUCAUAAUAAUAAUUUUUGUAACUACAUCUCUAUUACUUCCUCAUAAUAAUAAGUUAAUUUGAUCUCUACAUUAUGACUAUGGAGAUUUUAUUGUAUAGGGACACCCAAUAUAAAUAGUAUCCCAACUAAAAUUGUCCCAAAAAAAAAAUCGCUAAAGGAUAAUUAUAAUUUUUUUUCACUUCUCAAACGUUGGUGGCAGUUGUAAGCUAAGUUGUCAAAUAUAUUAAACUACAAGUGCUGCCACCAAGUGCGAUGCUCUUUUCUAAAGAGAAGUACAGUGGGUCCCGAAUAGGACGUGCUUAAAUCUGUUUAAAUUUUUCCAGUAUAACUAACAGAGGUCAUUACUAGAAUUAUAUUACUAGCCUAUUAGAUAGAAAAAAUUAGUUAUAUUAUUUUAUAUUUAUUAAAAAAGUUUAAAGUUAAUCUUUUUAAUUACUAUUUAAAAGAUAUUAUAAUAAAAAAAUAGUGUCUUUACUAAAAAUUUAGAAAUUUAUUUGACCGUUCUCUAAACUUUAUUUAAUAUUAUUGAUUUAAAUAAUAUCUAAAUUAAAAAUGUACAGAGAAGAAAUUUCGGUGGGUAUAUUAGUCUUUUACUUUUAACGUUAGUGGCCUUCUUAUAUUUUAUUACAAAUUAAUCCUAACAAGAAAAAGCUAGAUCAUAUUCCACAAAAGCAAGAGUGACAAAACAUGAAAACAACCAACUGGAUUCUUUUAUUAAACUACAAAUUAAAAUUGUUUUUUUUAAUAAACUAUAAAUUAAAGCGGAUUCUUUUGAAUACAGGUGGGACAGACUUAAGCUCUUUUAUUAAAGGCAAGUAUAAAGUAGUCAAGAAUCGAAUAGUCUUUUUCAAAUUCUUGUUUUAUUAUUUUUCAAAACUAAUUUUUGGUAAUUACACUCGGGUCAUUAAUCAUUAUUCAGAGUCAUUGUUAUCUUCGGAGACAGUGGGUAAAAGAUAAUUACUGGCUGUUUUUCCUUCAAAAGUUAGUGGCUCAUGUUUGCAAGUGUGAAUGUGCGAUGCUCUUUUUCCAAAUGCAAUUACAGUGGGUCCCGAAUCGGAGGAUAAAAAUCCUUUUAGUUUUUGUAUUUUAAGAUUAGUAUAUAUUUAGUCUUUAUAUUUUUAAAAAUACCUCGAAACAUUCAUGCCGUUAAAGUAUUGAUACCACUACCAUUACUUUUCAUUUCUUUUAACUUAAUUUUACAAUAUUACCCUUUUAUAAUAAUUUUUUUAGACAUUAAUAAAAAAUAAUUAAAUCACUAAUUUAACUCUAAAAAAUAAAAAAAUUAUAUUAAUUUUUUUGCAAGCACCGUUUGCACACUUGGUAGGUUGCAUACAAUUUUUGAUAAUUAAAAAUUAAUAUAAAUUUUUAUUUUUAUUUUUAGGGUUAAAUUGAUAAUUUAAUUAUUUUAUUUUUAUUAAUGUACAAACAAAAAAAUUAUUAUUAAAGGGUAAUAUUGUAAAAAUAAGCCAAAAGAAAUGAAAAAUAACGGUAGAAGUAUCAAUACUUUAACGACAAGGAUGUUUCUAGAUAUUUUUAAAAAUAUAGAGAUUAAAUGAAUACUAAUCUUCAAAUACAGGAUUAAAUAGAAUUUUACCCCGAAUCGAACGUGCCUAAAUCUUUUUAAAAUUUUUGCCGUACAACGGACAGAGGUCAUUACUAAAAUUUCUCUUCCACAGCCCACAUCAGCUUCAGGAAUCAGUUUAUCAAACUCAAUCAAUUUUCUUUCUUAACAAAAUUCCAAAGAUGUGUAGCAUUUUUCAGAUCACAUGCGAUGGUGCUUUUUUCAAUCGUUGCUUGGAUUGCUUUCUUGGAAAAGCAGCAUACACACGUAACCUCCAAGAUAAUCUUGUGGCCUUGCAGACUGAAUUAAUGAAACUAAACGCAGCAAAGGACGAUCUGAUGAGGAGGGUCGUCAAUGCUGAACGUCAACAAAUGAGAAGGCUGGACGGAGUGCAAGUGUGGGUUUCGAGGGUGGAUGCUGUUACAACUGAAGCUAAUGAACUUAUCAGAGACGGCUCUCAAGAAAUUGAAAAAUUAUGUCUUGGAGGGUUCUGUUCCAGGAACUGCACGUCAAGCUACAAGUUUGGGAAACAAGUGGCUAAAAAGCUACGAGAUGUGGAGGCUUUAUUUGCCGAAGGGGUUUUUGAGGCGGUGGCUACCAAGGUGGUGCCUGAGAGAGCUCCAGAGCCUGUAGCAGAUGAAAGACCUGCCGAGCGAACAGUAGUAGGCUUGCAAUCACAACUUGAACAAGUCUGGAGAUGUCUUGCAGAAGAAUCAGCGGGAAUCAUUGGCCUAUAUGGUAUGGGCGGUGUUGGUAAAACUACACUAUUGACCCAUAUCAACAAUAAAUUUCUCGAGAGUCCAACCAACUUUGAUUGUGUGAUUUGGGUAGUAGUUUCAAAAGACCUGCGACUCGAAAAAAUUCAAGAAGAUAUUGGGAAAAAGAUAUGUUUGGUUGAUGAUGAUUUGUGGAAGAGUAAAAUUUUUGAAGAGAAAGCUGUAGCCAUCUUGCGGAGAUUAGGAGAGAAGAGAUUUGUAUUGUUGUUAGAUGAUUUAUGGGAGCGGGUUGAUUUAACAAAAGUGGGCGUUCCACUUCCCAGACCAAAAAAUACUACCUCAUAAGUCGUAUUCACAAGCCGUUUCAUCGAUGUUUGUGGUAGCAUGGAAGCUGGCAGGAAGUUCCAAGUAGCAUGCUUAUCAGAAAAGGAUGCUUGGGAACUGUUUCAAGAAAAAGUUGGGGAAGAAACUCUUGAGAGUGAUCAUGAUAUCGUUGAGCUAGCCCAAACCGUGGCCAAGAAGUGUGGUGGUUUGCCACUCGCACUUAUUACUAUUGGUCGAGCUAUGGCCAUCAAAAAGACAGCCGAGGAGUGGAGACAUGCAAUUGAAGUGUUAAGACGAUCAGCUUCAGAGUUUCCAGGUUUGGGAAAAGAGGUGUAUCCUCUUUUAAACUUUAGCUAUGAUAGUUUGCUGAAUGAGACGAUUAGAUCUUGUUUCUUAUAUUGUUGUUUAUAUCCUGAAGAUUAUGGCAUUCUUAAAUGGGACUUGAUUGAUUGUUGGAUUUCUGAGGGAUUCUUAGAGGAAUCUAAUAGGUUUGGUUGUUAGAGUGCAAUUUAUGCACUAGUUUUGCAUUAUUUACUUCCCUUAAUAUCAAUGUUUUGCACUUAAUAAUAGUGAUUUACUUGUGUUUUACUUUUGUAGGUGCAAUUCUAUUGAUUGAUGAUAAAAUUGAGCUAUAAGAUGAUGUUUAAGGAUGAUUGUUCUCUUGAAGAAAUUAUGAGCGUCAGAAGAACUUUGUUGAUAAGGCGUGGGCGCGUGCUGUCAACUGCGGACCUGCAGUUUUAGUUUAACGUGUUUUGUAUUUUUGGUUAUUUUUGUAAUUACGAAUUUAAUAUUUCAGAUAUUAGGAUUUUAUUUUAAAUAGAAUUCUAAAAGAGAAGAGAGAGAAAGUAUUUAAGGGAGGAAUCUAUUGUGAAAGGGGGAUUUUGGAUUGGAGAAAAAGAAACCCUAGAUCUAAUUUUUCUCUUCUCUCUAUGAGGAACUAAACCCAUUUUUCUGGUUGAAGGUUAAUGAAGCUUUGAUUCAUCACUACUGUGAGAUCUUUCUUGUGCUUUAAUUGUUUUAUUACUUUUUGGGUAUUUGUUUAUUCUCUGAAUUAUUUUCAUGAUUAUGUUUGUUAAUUAGGUAAUUGGCCACUAUUUAAUUAUCAACUUAAUCUAUUGUCAAUUAAAGGAUUCAUCGUAUGAAGAAUUUAAUGUUUGUGACAAAUAACAUAGCAGAGAGUUGUGUUGUGAGAAUAAACAAUCUAAUUUAAAUGAAUCAUCAUAUGUGUUGAUUAGGAUUUGGGUCUCUCUGGUUUUUCAGGCUGUCAAUUGAUUAAAUUCUAUGAUCGUAUCUAGGGUUGUCUAUUGAUUAGGGAAAUAACCAACGGUCGUACCUUGGUUAUCGACUAGUUAAGGAGAGAUUGGCUAUUAGAGGGUCUCAGUAGCUAUAACCGGUCUAUUCAUGAGUAAUAAUAAUCUAUAUUUGAAUCAAUGAUCAGUAGUCGAAUCAAGCUGAGUUAAUUCCUUCAACCAGAGCUUUCUCCAAUUUGAAUUACAACUUUAAUUUGCAUUCUUGUUAUUUUAAUUUGAUUUUUAUUAUUGUCAACAAUUCCCCUAUUUUACGUUUUACGUUUCAAAAGGAUUUAAUUAAUUACCGAUCUCUGUGGACACGACCCUGCUCAAUCACUAUACACAAUUUAUUUAGAGUAGGAAUUUACUUUUGUUGGCUUCGACACCCAUCAUUGGUGCAGAAAACCGAGGAUACUACAUUGUGGGCACUCUUGUUCAUGUGUGUUUACUAGAAGAGAUAGAAGAUGAUAAAGUAAAAAUGCUUGACGUUGUUCGUGAUAUGGCUCUAUGGAUAGCUUGUGAAACUGAGAAGGAGAAGAUAAACUUUUUGGUUUGUGCAGGUGCUGGAUUAGAAGAGGCACCGGAUGUUAAAGAAUGGGAAAAUGUGAGAAGAUUGUCAUUGAUGCAAAACCAAAUUGAAACUCUGUCAGAGGUUCCCACAUGCCCUCAUUUCGUCACUUUAUUUCUUGACUUUAAUGGGGAGUUGAAGAUGAUCGCGGAUGGCUUCUUCCAACUUAUGCCUUCUCUCAAAGUUUUGAAGAUGUCAAACUGCUGGAAUUUGAAAUUUCUUGUUGGGAUGUCAAAGUUGGGUUCGCUACAGCUUCUUGAUAUUUCACAGAACGCCAUAGAAGAGUUACCAGAAGAGUUGAAGUUGUUGAUAAAUCUGACAUGUUUGAAUUUGAGGGGGACAGGCCAAUUAAAUAAAAUUCCACGGCAACUAAUAUCAAAUUUUUCAAGGUUACGUGGGUUAAGGAAGUUCAUAACGUGUGCAAGCAGUCAACUCAAGGUUAGCACGUGGGAGAAUUUGCUGAGCUAAAGUUAGUUAAAUAAGCAAUGCCAGCUCAACAAAUUCAGUCAAGGUUUACUGAGAUUUUAUUCCUAUUGUUUUCUUUUCUGUUAACAAUGUAUAAAGGUGUUCUUUGUACUCAUUUGAUCAUUAAGAAAAAAAGAAAUAAAAUCUAGAAUAUUCUCUGAAGUUUUCUCAGUAAAACAGAGUAAAUUUUCUCAGUAACUAAACAGUAUAUAUCAGUGGAAUUUACGUUUUAUAACAUGGUAUCAGAGCCAAACAGUAACCAGCAAACAAUGAUGAGAAAUCUAGCAAUCAAUAAUACACAUCAACACACUCAAAUCAAUUUCUCUUUCACGAAUCCAAUUAAACUAGAUCGAUCAAACUACCUGCUCUGGCGUUCACAAGUUCUGGCUUCGAUUAGAGGUAAUCGACUAGAAGACUUCAUAACUAGAAUCAAAUCAACAUCUGAAGAAAAUAUUUUGUUAGCUGGAGUUGAUGGAUCUACACAACAAAUUGAGAAUCCUGAGUAUCAGAUCUGGAGAUCACAAGAUCAAAUUCUUCUUGGUUGGCUACUGUCAACCUUAAGUGAAGGUAUCCUUAGUCUUGUUAUUAACUGUAAAAGCUCAUUUUCUUCAGCUCAGAUAUGAACUGAACACUCUUAAAAAGGAGUCUCUUAGUAUUGAAGAUUAUUGUGUUAAAAUGAAAGCAAUAGCUGAUAAGCUUGCUAGUGCUGGUAGCUCGAUAACAGAAAAGGAUCUAAUGCUAACCAUACUCAAUGGAUUAGGAUCAGGAUAUAGUGAUAUUGCUACUUUCAUAACUGGUUCACGAAUGGAAUUUGAUGAUACUUAUGCAUUAUUGCUCACUCAUGAAACUAGGUUGGAACAAGAUCAUGAUGAUAAGAGUAUGUUCAAUGCUAACUAUGCAUAUACUAAUGCAUUUCAUCCUAAGGUUUAUUAUGCACAGCCUAGAGGAAAUUUUAAGAGAGGAGGUUAUUAUGGUGGUAGGAAUGUUUUCUCUGGUAGAGGGAAUAUGAAUUUUUCUCCAAGAAUGUUUAAUGGAGGUUUUAGAAGUGGUUUUGGUAGAGGAUAUUAUGUUGGUAAUCCUUUUAAUGGUAAUAAUUCUUUAGCACCAAAGAAUUCAUCAUCUGUUAUCAAGAAUGGAUCACAGAGAACUUUUAAUAACAAUCCAGGGGACUCAGUAUGUCAGAUUUGUCUCAAACUUGGUCAUACUGCUGAUAUUUGUUGGCAUAGAUUUGUUGAAGAUUAUGUGCCAAUGCCAAGGGGUUUUUAGAAAAGGAAAAGCACCCAGAGCAGCAUCACUACUAGAAAAAUAGCUUUUACUGAUACUUGUCUUGUGAUACUUUUCUAAAAAGUAUCAGCAAUUACAUAUAUUUGGGCCAUUUUCCGUGUUUAACAAACAAGUGUCACAAAUUACUGAUUCUAUGAUGUUUGUAUAUUAAACAUCAGAGAUCGUCGACACUAAGGUAUCAGAAACAACAAAAAAAAAUAAAAAAUCUAUUUUUGUUUUAGUUGCGACUCGAACCUAGGACCUCAAAACUAAAGUGCUUUAUGUUCAACCAACAAACCACCAUGCCAAAUUCAUAAAUUAGUUUGUGUUGAACAUGUUGAAAUUAUCAAAUUAAAUUAAUAUAGAAAACAAAAAUAUAAAAGCAAAAGAAAAAAACCCUAAAUCAACAUAAACAUAAAAUUCCCUAACUCCUAAAUCCAUGGCCAGCCGCCUCAUCUCUCUGGCGAUAUCCUUCUUCUUCUUCAUACCUCUAAAACUUCGAGCCCUAAAAUUCAAGGGUCCAUGUCAUAAGAAAUCCUACCACCACUGCUCAAAUUCUAACACCCAUACCAUACGAAACCCUAAUGAUCUACAUUAUGCAAAACAUCCACCAUGCCGCUAUGCCACAAGCUCACAAGACCCGCUUUAGAUCUCCACAUUUUGCUCACCCUACUCGAGUGCACACCGCCCCUCUCGCUUCGACUUCUCGGGAUUUCUUGUUAGCUGAAGUUUUGUUUUCUUCCGCUAAUUCGAUCUUCGAAAGGUCUCGGAGCUCCAAGUAACUAAGUAAGCUCGGUUUUCUUCUAUUCUCUCAGAUACUUGCUUACACAUUCCUUUUUUUUUCGUGUUAAAUUUUGUUGUUUCGUUGUGUUAUAUGGAUCGAUGAGAGUCACAGACUUUGACGAGACAAUGACGAUAUUGUUUUGGAGUUUCGUUUCGUAGAUCUGUGAUAGAGUCUCCUUUUUCAGAUAUUUCCUUUCAUUUACCAUAUUUGCACAAUUUGUUUUGUCAUUAAAUUAUUUGCGUUUGAAUGUACAAUUUUUGUUUUCGUUUUAUAUUUUCAAAUACUGUUUCUUGGAGCGAAUUAGUGGAGGAAUUUUUGGUUGAAGCAGAGGAUGGAUAACUUUUGUAUUUUGAACUUUGUAUGUUAUUUAUUAUUUGAACUUGAAGCUAAAAGGUGACCAAAUUUUCCAAAGGUUAGGGUUUGGUUGGCUUAUGUGAAAAUGCCGAACGAAUGUGUAUUAUUCAUACUCCAAUAUUGUAGGUGCGUCAAUGCACCUCCUUGCGAUGGUUGCAGCAACGAAACUGUAGGUCAAGGUUUGGGUACCCCAUUUCCUUCAAAGAUCCAAUAUGGAGCAACUCGAGUCGAGCUUUUUCGGUCAAUUUAAACAAAACCUUUACUCCUAAUUUAUUGUCUUUUGCUUUCUGUUUGUACCUGUAGGAGUUCAUAUUUUGUAAUGUUCCGUAAGUGUCCAAUAACUGGUUAAAUUAUGACUUAUGCUAGGUGAAGAUUUUGUGUUACAAUCCCCUUCAAUAGGCAAUCACUCUUUUUGUAAAUGUUCAUGGGUAAUUGCUUUGCCUUUGCUUCUGUUGUACUUUUGUUUUUGUGGGGUUUUAGUUAAUGGAUGUUGAGUUAUAUUUCAAUCAGUUUGAUUUCUCUGCAUAUUUUUCAUAUUUUAGUAUUAGAAGAGGUAUUUAAUCAAAUGAAGACAAAAACAAUUGUCGGCCAACCAACAAACUCACUUUAGUUUGUUGUGAAAUGAUUUUCUCUCUCUCUCUCGAUUUUCACUGGUUCUGUGGUUUUUUCCCUUCCACAAUGUGAUUUAGUUCUGUUCUAUUUAUGGAUGUUACCAACAUUUUAGCUUUUAAGAAACAGACAAAAAGAUUCUGAAGUUUGUUUCUUGUUUCUUACUCUGAAUUUCCAAGGCAUCUUAUUUGGAGAAAUGCAUUCUGAAUGGAGAAAUUUCUCCAAAUUUAUGAGAUGUGGUUCUGUCUUGCUGAAUGAACAUUGUAUUUCCUUCAAUGGUUUGCGAGCCAUUAAGUUAUUUGAGCAAACAAAAUUAGCAAUAUGGAAUCCUGUUUCUACAGGAUUAUAGUUGUAGGACUCUAGAAUUUAGUCUAGGUAAUGUUUUUACCAUUGUAAAAAGUAUCUGACAUUGGUGAUGUUUAAGCAUAUGUGUCAUUUCUUUUGGGCUUCACUUUGGAUCCUUUUUUUCUUUUUUUACAAACAAUGGAUGGUUAAAACCUAAGAGACUGAUUGAUUUUUGUUUUAAAUCCAGUGGUUAUGCCUUGUAAACUUUUGAGUUGUAUCAAUUUCUUUUCCUGGCCUAACUUGGCUAAAUUUAUGCUAUAUAAUUGAAUUCUACAAAUUUUGGCUAUGUAUGAUGUAAAGGUCAUAAGUCUUGUAUCUUCAUUUGUUCACCACAGGCUUGAUACUUCACAACUACCAUAAGUUAUGUCAUGCCAUGUCUUCUUUAGCAAUAUUGUGUGGCUUUGAGUAGUAUUAAUGUUUUUGUUUGUUAAUUCACGACUUAAUGGAACCAUUUUCCUUAUAAUCGAGAACCUUCGUGCGAGUGUUGUGGAGAAAUCUUAUGAUUCAUGUGUAGGUGUGUUUGCUUAAUGUGAUGACUUUUAUUAUGUGUUGUAGUUCUUGUGUCUAUAAGAGGAACCUUUGCUCCUAUGUCUAUUUAUCUCCGACUUUCAGUUUAGGCGUAAAUAGGUUACUCUUCUUUCUUUCUCAUUUUUUAAUUUCUAUGUUCUCCUAUGUCUAUUUACAUGGACUGCUUUGCUGCUUCUCUGCAGUGAAAACAACCCUGGUAAUUUACAGGAGCUUUUUUCACUUCAGAACAAUAGCAAGACAUCCCCUGCAGAUUUUUUAUUGAUUUUGCAUAGAUUGGUUUGUUGCUUUGGGUUGGAAUGCUACUGGAUAUAUGUCAGAAUUAUAGCGCUAUUGGAAGAUGGUGGGUUGUUGCAUAUGAGUUGGAGUGUUCCUGGGUAUGUAGCUAGAAUUAGAGUGCUGUUGGAAGAUGGUAUUGCUACUGGAAGUUUUGCUCAAAAACUUGUCGUUGGAAUACUUGCAUUAAUUUUUGGAAAUUUUAUUGGGUAACUUGGCUAGGUGGCUGAAAUUUUAAUUGCUUUUGUGUAUUGAAGCAUUUGGAUUGUGUAAUAUAUAUUGAUAAUAUUUAAAUGUUAUGAAAGGUUUUGAUAAAUAAAUUGAUUUUUGUUCUUAUUUCUCACAGCCUUUUAAUUCUAUCAACAAAUCAAUGGGUAAUGUCAUUUUGUAUAAUUAUUUUUUUAAAUAAUACAUAAAGUAGUGAUACUAUAGUAACAGUAUCACAAAUACUAAUAUAGUAUUGUAAUAUUUUGAUACCAUGGUGUUAUGAUUUUAAUGAUACUAUAGUAAUAGUAAUUACUGACACCACUUACAAGUGUCACUAUUUUUCUGACUGCCAGAUUACUGACACAAUUAGCAAGUGUCACUAAAAGUAAUUACUGACACUAUUCUAAUGUCAGUAAAGACCAUUUUUCUAGUAGUGCAUAUCUGUCAAAUUUUGAUGGUUCUGUUUCAAAUCCAAACUUUGAAGAUUAUGAGAACUUCAACUAUAUGCCUUCAGCUUAUAAUCCUAUGUCUGGCAAUAGCUAUUAUUCUGGUUUUGAUGCUUGUACUCCUGGAGUAGCAUUUAUGGCUAACUUUGAAGGAGUUGCUAAUGAUGAAUGGUACUUGGAUAGUGGGGCAACUCACCAUCUGGACAACAACAUGGAGAGCUUGCAGAUCAGUGAGGAGUUUAAGGGUACUGAUUAGCUCAUAAUUGGUAAUGGUCAAGGUUUGUUUAUCACUAAUGUUGAUUUUGCAUUUCUGUCACAAAGAGCAUCAAAUUACUUAUCUGCACAUUCCAGAAUAGCACUUAAGGAUAUAUUACUUGUUCCAUCAAUUACCAAAAAUCUACUAAGCAUUUCCAAAUUGACAUCUGAUAACCCUAUAACUGUUGAAUUUUGUGGGAAUGUUUGUUUUGUGAAGGACAUGAAUAGACAAGUUCUGCUGCAGGGACUUGCCGAAAAAGGUCUAUACAAGCUGCUGCUGAGUUCUAAUUCCUCUUCUUCAUUUCCUUCAUCUCAUCUUUGUCAUACUCAACUAAAUAAUUAUGUCUCAAUGUUGUCUAGCUUUCAAAGCUUUGAUAAUCCUUCUAAAGUUUGUUAUCAUUCUGUUUUCAAUAAAUGCAAAACCAAAUAUGAUGUAAUGACAUUGUUACAUAGAAAAUUUGGUCAUCCAAGUUCAAUGAUUCUGAUGCAUUUAGCUAAGUCUUGCAAGCAAUUAAAAAUCUCUCAAAAAGAUAUUCUAUCUUGUACAAAUUCUUUGUGUGAGGCAUGUCAGUUAGGCAAAGUUCACAGGCAAAGUUUUCCAGCAACUGAAACAAAAACAAAAGGAGUAUUAGAACUGAUUCAUACUGAUAUCUAGGGACCUUCACCCACUGUAUCUAGAAAUGGAUACAAGUAUUACAUUAGUUUUGUGGAUGAUUACACUAGAUACACCUGGAUCUAUCCACUUAAGCUUAAAUCACAAGCAUUUGAAGUUUUCAAACUGUUCAAGGCACAAGUUGAAAAUUAGUUUAAUACCAAGAUUAAGGAAUUACAAUCUGAUCUGGGGGAGAGAGUUUAGAGUAUUCAGUAAUUUCCUAAGUCAAAAUGGAAUCAAGUUUAGACAUUCAUGCCCUUAUACUCAUCACCAGAAUGGUCUUGUUGAGAAGAAACAAAGACACAUAAUUGAAUUAGCAUUAACACUCUUAGCUCAAGCUAAUCUCCCUUUUCAGUUUUGGUGGAAAGCUGUUCACACAGCAACAUAUCAUAUUAAUAGGUUACCAACACCUGUUCUUAAGCUUUUAUCUCCUUAUGAAAAGCUCUUUAAACACAAACCAGAUUAUUCAUUUCAUAAGUGCUUUGGUUGCCUAUGUUAUCCAUAUAUGAGAGAUUUAAAUAAACACAAAUUUGAUUUUCACACCACCAAAUGCAUCUUCAUUGGCUAUAGUCAUUCUUACAAGGGUUAUAAGUGUUUAACAAGCUCAGGAAAAAUUCAUAUCCUAAGGCAUGUUAUCUUUGAUGAAAAUACAUUCCCUUACUUAACAAACAAAGUCUUUCAUUUAUCCGAGAACAGUUCAAAUUCUGAAAUAUCAGUGUCAAACUUUUCCCAGUAACAAAUUUAUCAUCUCUCCACAUUAUCCUUAACUGACAGCAGCUUGGAAGAUCUUCAAUCAGCAAGUUCAGAAAGCAAUGAACAAGUACCUUCUGUUUCUGCACACACAAAUAAUCUGCAUCAACAAGAGCAUUCUCAAGAGCAUUCCUCAUCAACUAUACCAUUAUCACCAACACAACAACAAACUGAAUCACAACCACAAAAUGAACCACAUCUAUCUACUUCCUAGCACAUAAAUCAAACUCAAACUAGAAACCUUCCUUCACAACCAUCACAUUCAAUGGUAACCAGAUCGAAAAUAUGGAAUCUUCAAGCCAAAAGUUUACAUAACCACCUUAACCAACAAAGAACCCAGUACUGUUCAAGAAGCUCUAAGUGAUCAGAAUUGGCAUCAAGCUCUGAAAGAUGAAUAUGAAGCUUUGCUUAGGAAUGAAACAUGGUCACUAGUACCAUUUUCAGAGGUAUACAAGGUUGUUGACAGUAAAGGGGUUUUCAGAAUUAAACAAAACACAGAUGAGAGUGUAGCUAAAUACAAAGCCAGGUUAGUUGCAAAGGGUUUCCAGCAAACUAAUGGUGUUGACUACUUUGAGACCUUUAGUCUUGUGGUAAAGGCCUGCACAGUAAGAAUUAUUUUUAGUUUGGCUGUGAUGAACAAGUGGAAAAUAAGGCAAGUGGAUGUCAAUAAUGCAUUCUUAAAUGGAGAAUUGACUGAAGAUGUUUACAUGUAUAAGCCAGAAGGUUUCAUUGAUGAGAAAAAGUCCAGUUAUGUAUGCAAGUUGAAGAAAGCCCUGUAUGGCUUAAAACAAGCUCCUAGAGCUUGGUAUGAUAAGUUGAAAAACCGUCUGAUAAGUUGAAAAACUGUUUGAUAAGUAAUUGGGGUUUUCAAAAUUCCAGAGCUGAUACUUCUCUCUUCUUCAAAGAGAUUCAAGGCUCAAUAAUACUUGUGCUUAUAUAUGUGAAUGAUAUACUUAUUACAGGGCCUGACAUUGGAGAAUUAGAGAAGUUUAUCUUAGAAUUCAGUAAGACAUUUGCUUUAAAGGAUCUAGGAAUACUAUCAUACUUUCUUGGGAUAGAAGUCUCUUAUGCUGAUGGUUGUAUGUACUUAUCUCAGAGAAAGUAUAUUAAUGAUCUCUUGUCUAAAGCUGAUAUGUUGAACUGUAAAGGGUGUGAUACUCCCAUAGCGAUUGGACUGAAACUUCAAAAGGAGGUUAAAGGUUGUUUAGGUCAGUAUGUUGAGGAUGCAACCAGUUACAGAAGUUUGGUUGGAGGCUUGCAAUAUCUGGUGUUAACCAGACCAGAGAUAGCCUUUGCUGUGCACAAACUCAGUCAAUAUGUGACAGCUCCAACAUUGCAGCACAUAAUGGCCUGUAAACGAGUUCUAAGAUACCUAAAGGAAACCAUGGAUUAUGGUCUAAAGUUUUCAGCUGGUGGAGAAAUGGAAAUCACAGGUUUUAUAAAUGCAGAUUGGGCAUGCGAUAUUGAUGACAGAAAAUCUAUAGGUGCAUACUGUAUCUAUUUUGGAAAUAAUCUGGUGUCAUGGUCAUCUAAGAAGUAGUCUGUGGUGAUAAGGUCUAGUGCAGAAAGCGAAUACAGAGCUUUGGCUUCUGCAAGUGUAGAAAUAGCAUGGAUUCAAUCUUUGUUCAGUGAGCUAAAUAUAAGAUGUGUCUCAGUACUUAUCAUCUGGUGUGACAACAUGAGUGCAACAAAGUUAAGAUAAAAAUCUAGUCUACCAUUCACGUACCAAACACAUUGAACUGGAUAUGCAUUUUGUUAGAGAUAAGGUUUUAGCAGAGGAGCUGAAAAUUAACUUCAUUCAAAGUGAAGAACAGAUAGCCGAUGUCCUAACAAAACCUCUCACAUUCAUUCAUUUUAAUUAUUUCAUAAACAAACUCAAUGUGCAGCCAUGCCCCUUGAGUUUGAGGAGGGCUGUUAAGGAAGCUCAUAACGUGUACAAGCAGUCAGCUCAAGGUUAGCACGUGGGAGAAUUUGCUGAGCUAAAGUUAGUUAAGUAAGCGAUGUCAGCUCAGCAAAUUCAGUCAAGGUUUACUGAGAUUUUAUUCAUAUUGUUUUCUUUUCUAUUAACAAUGUAUAAAGGCAUGCUUUGUACUCAUUUGAUCAAUAAGAAAAGAAGAAAUAAAAUCCAGAAUAUUCUCUGAAGUUUUCUCAGUAAAACAGAGUAAAUUUUCUUAGUAACCAAACAGUACAGAUCAGUGGAAUUUACGUUUUAUAACAACGUGUGUUGAGAAUGUUGGGUAUUGGCCAAUUCAAUUUUCAUGAAGCACCAGAAGACAACGCUUUAUUUGGUGGGGGUGAAGUUUUGAUACAGGUAUUGCUCGGUUUGAAAUAUUUAGAGGUAUUGGAGUUGACCUUGGGAAGUUAUCAUGCUCUCCAAAUUCUUUUGAGCUCAAAUCAGUCAAAAAGUUGUAUUCGAUCUCUUCUCCUCCACAAGUUUAGAGGUACAACGCCGAUUAUUGAUGCUACGGCUUUCGCAGAGCUAAACCACCUCAACGAAUUAUUUAUUAAUAAUAGUAUUGAGUUGAUAGAAUUGAAGAUUGAUUAUACAGAGAUAGUACAAAAAAGGCAGGAACCUUUUGUUUUCCGCAGCCUUCACCGUGUUACCAUAUUUAGGGCCCGUUUGGGAGUGAGGUGCUGUAGCUUUUAAGCUGCAGUUGCUGUGGAGUAAAAGCUAUAGAUGUGGAAUGGAAGUUGAUGGUGUUUGGUAAAAGUGUUGUAGCUUUUAAGCUGCAACUACUGAUGGUGUUUGGUAGAGUGGAUGAAUAUUUGUAAUAAUUAAUUUUAAAUAACAUUAUUUUUAAUUGUUAACAAAUCAAUUAUUUUUCAUUCUUCAAAUUAUUAUAUUGACAUACAAUUACGAUUUAUUCCGUUACAAAUUAAAUUAAUAUUUAAUAAAUCAAAUUUAUUUUUUUGCACAAGUUGUAAUAAAUAAUUUAUAAAACACAUCAUGGGGUCAAUUAUAAAUAAUUUUAAAUAACUAUUAUUGACAAUGCCAACCGGGCAGUGUACAUGAUAUGCUUCUCCAAAUUGCUUCGGUUUGUACCUGAUAUGAUUAAUCGAGUAUUAUUUACAAUACCAAAUAUAUCUAAUAAAAAUCAUACAACAAAACAAAAUAAAAUUAAAAUGUAAUUAAUUACAAAAUUUGUAUAAAUAUUUCUAUUGUUGUGCCUCCAUUAAACUUGCAGCAAUGCCAUCUUUCAAGAUUAUUAUAUCUUGAGUUGUGCUAUCAAUUGUUUCAUAACUUUCUUCAUGAGAUGCAAUAUGUUCGCUAAUACUAUGACUUGGUUCAUCCGUCAUUUCAUCAAAAUGAUCAUUAUUUUGUGAAUAUCUUCUGAUAUAAUUAUGCAAGGCCAUGGUAGCAAUAACUAUUUUCACCUGCUUCUUGAAUGGAUAGCUUGGCAUACUUCGUAAAAUCUUCCAUGUAUUCUUCCAAACCCCAAAAGUACGCUCAAUAACACUUCUCAAGGAAGAGUGCUUGUAGUUGAACAAUUCUUUAUAACCCAUUGGUUGGCUACCUCUACGAAAUUCAGGAAGGUGAUAUCUUUCACCCUUAUAUGGUCCUAAGUACCCACAUAACUCCGGAUAUCCUGCAUCUACUAAAUAAUAUUUUCCUAAAAAUAAAAAGAAAAAUACAAAAUAAAUAAAACAAUCUAAUCAAUUGAAUAUGUAUAUAUAAAAGAAAAAUUAGAAACACAAACCUGGAGGAGGGUUUGGAAAAUUGAAUGCAGGAUUCGUAAUAGUUGUUUGAAAUACCCUUGCAUCAUGGGCACUGCCUUCCCAACCAGCCACUGCAAAUAUGAAUUGCAUAUCAAAGCUACAUACAGCCAUUACAAAUUCUUUUCCCACCAUUCCUCACUUGCAUCAACUGUCCUCAACCUAUGAUUCCACCCUAAACCAGUUUCUUUGCCAAUCAAAUUCUUCCACAAUUUCCAAUCAGUUCUAAGAGAAUCCCAUUUAUUUUUCAUUUGAGUUCUGUUGUAAUCUAAUCCAGUUUCUUUAGUGAACUCCUUAAUCAAAUUUUCAUAUCCUUGGGAAGUCAAAUGAGUCCCUGGACGAUGUCCGGCAUCCACCUCUUUAACGCAUAAGUCACAAAAUACAUCUAAAGUCUGGGGGUUCCAAGUAGCCUUACUAGUUGAGCUAUUAGACACAAUUUCAUACACUUAAACCUAGGAAAAAAAAUAUUUCUUUAUCAAACAACAAUACAGAAAAAAUAAGAAUAUAGAAGUUAAGAAAAUUACUAGAAUCUUGUUAUGGAUGGUGGAAGGAAAAAUAAUUCGAUAUUAAAAAAUUAAAAAAAAAGACAAACCAGAACAAGUUACCUUAGUUGUUACUUUACUUGAAAUACUUUUCCAGCAAACAAUAAUGAUCAUAGCCCACGAAUAGAAACAAUUACAAGCAAGUCAAUAAAGCAACAAAAGACAAACCAGACUAGGAAACAAAGAAAUUCAACUAAACAAUCAUUAGGUACAAACUGCAAUUGCAUUUAGCCUCACAAUCUCAAAUUUGCUACGUGCUUUGAUAUUUCCUGUACUAUUCUUUUGGCCCAUCCUAAGACAUAUACAAUUGCAAUUGCAACACUUUCUCCCUUCUUUUUUCUGUAAUUCGUAUGGCGACUUACGUAUAUAUAACCUAAUUAAUUGAAUUAAAUUGAUGAUGGGUUAGAAAAUCAUUAGGCUUAUUAAUUAUACGCGUCAAAAGAAUGGUCGGCCAAUAAUUAGGUGUCCUGCUUAUACUCCUGUAAUUUAGUCAUUCUCUAGUAAAUAUUAUUAAAUAAAAAGAAACACAAACAAUUAAGCUUAUUGGUAACUGAACUGGUGCCCAAAAAUAACAAGAGCAGGAGAAAGCAAACACACCCAAGAAUUUGACAAACUUCAACUUGAAAUCCAGAAUUUGACAAACUUCCUUUUGUUUACUGAAGCAUAGUAUUUCAUAACGAAGGCAUGCAUUUUAUUAUUUAAUGUCUUGUAGAACUGGAAACUCAAAUCAAACAGGGGUUGUGCAUGUUUAUAAAAAGCAACUACAAAAAUAAAAACUACAAUAAAAACAAUGGUUACAAGCAAAUAAAUCACGCAUGACCCAUCACCCAUCAAUUUAUUCUAACAAAAGCCCCAACAUUUUAUGAAUGAAAAGGAAGAAAAUGAAAAAUUGCUUGAAAUAGAGUAAAGGAGUACUCAAAAAUGAACAACAGAUAGAGGAAAAGGCACCACUGACAGAGGCGUAUGAGAGUGGCCGGUGUCGGAAUCGCGCCGAUGAGAAUUUCGGUGUCAGAAUCGCAUCAAUUGGAACUCCCACAGUCGGAAUCGUGCUGAUGAGAAUGGGUGUUUAGGGUUUGUUUAAAAAAAUCGAUUUGAAAUAGAACUCCCACUGACAUGACUGUUUGAUAAAAUGAAAAUGGAAUAAUAUAUAAAGUUAAUUUAGUAAUUAAACUUGCAGCUGGGAAAAAAAAUCUGUCAAGUUGUCAAAACACAACUAUAAGUGGUACCAAACACUUUGGUGGCUGGGCUGCUCACCACACUCCCAAACGGGACCUUAGUUGCGGUAAAUUGAAAGAUGUGACAUUCCUCGUUUUUGCUCCAAACCUCAAGUCUCUUUGGCUAUUCGAUUGCGGUGCUAUGGAAGAAAUAAUCAGCGUCGGAAAAUUUGCUGAGACUCCUGAGAUGAUGGGACAUAUAAUCCCUUUUGAAAAUCUCCAAAUGCUUAAUUUAAUGGAAUUGCCGGAGUUGAAGAGAAUUUUCUGGAAGCCAUUGCCUUUCACUCAUCUGAAAGAAAUAUCUGUGGGUUAUUGCCGUAAUCUUAAAAAGCUUCCACUCGAUUCCAACAGUGCAAAAGAGCGUAAAUUUGUAAUUCGUGGAGAAGAAGACUGGUGGAACCGACUUCAAUGGGAGGAUGAAGCCACUCAAAUUGCUUUUCGUUCCUGUUUCCAACCUCGUUCCUGAGCGGUGGUCGCAAAAUUUGAUUUCUGGUGAGUGCGUUUUUGUUAACGCUUAUGUUUUUAUUCCAGUGUGUUUUUCUUCUGUCUUCUGCAAAUCACGAUUAAAUGUUGAAUAAUAUGGAAUCAAUGCUUUAUAAAUUUUCCGGCGUGGCCAUUUCCUUUUCCCUUUUUUUUUUUGGGGGGGGGGGGGGGGCGUGGUUCGAUUGAUGCUCUGGCUUUUUACUUUUUGUCUUCGAAUUUUGCUCUGUUUUUCAAAUUGAUGCUUGAAUAGUUGAAUUCAAUUAAUGCUCACAUAAAUUUGUUUAGUUGCCGUAAAACGGUAAAAGGAUAUAAUUAGAUUGAAAUUCGCACUUCUAGAAUGAAUAGAAUUACAAUAGAGAAAAUAUUAAGUAUACAAGCCCUCUUUACAGAAAAUCAAAUGAAAAUAAAAUUUUUUGGAUAUUUGAUUUUCUAUGGUCUACUGUAUACGCUUUAUAAAUUCCUCUGCUUUAACGAUAACCAAAUCCUUUUUUCAAGGAUUUUUAUUUGGGGUAUUGAUAAUAGUCCACCAACAUAGUGAACGCUUGGAUGCUGCUUAAGGAUCUCUAAUCAGUAGCUGGAAGCAAAUGAGAAGGCGGUCGCUACUUUGUACAAAGCCAUGCAGCAAUUGCUAUUCAUUUUCAAACAAAGUUGAGAUGUUAUUUUCAGAUUUGGUUCCAGAUUUUGUAUGAAUAUCGUUGUUCCAUUGAGUUGUAUAUGAAUUCAAAUGUAAAAUAUUCUUUGGUUUUCAAUUUUGAAUUCAAUUUCUUUUUCUUAAGCAUGUUGUGCAGAAAUGAUUUCUACUAAAUCAUUUUUGAUAAACUAUUUAAAUUAAACAACUGGAAUAAGAACUGUAAGGAUUUAUCGUAAGCAGACUAAUAUGAUAAUUCUGAAACUAUCAUUUUUUUUUUUUCAAUUUGUUGCAGGGAAAGCCAAAUUUUGCGUUUUUCAGUUUUAUCUGAUAUGGGCUUUAUUUCCUCUACACUAGCUACCUAAAGAUUUAUCAAAUUGCUUCUCUUCCCUGCUUCAAAUAUCUUCAUGGCAUCAUAGGAAAAGAGAGUUUGGGUUGUAUUUAUUAUAGUUUUUAUUUUUUUUUUUGUUAUAAGCAAAUUUAUUUUAAAUACUUUAGUAGUAACAGUUUUUAUUGAAUAAUAAUGAGGGAUGAUUAUUAUAGGUUCAAAUAGUUGUUAGAACAUUAUAAAAAGUCUAUUUACUAUCAAAUGUUUUAAAUUGAUGCAACGUGAUAAUUGUCUCAUAUAAUUUUUUUAUAAUAUAUAUGUCCCAUAAUCUUAACAUGAAUAAAUGAAUUUCAACGGUUAAAUUUGACACGAUUAUUAAAUAGAUCAUAUCUAUAUUAAUUCGAUUUAAAAUCUGGUCACAUUUGGAUUUAGAGUUUCUAACAUGAUAACUUGUUUUAUGACAUGAUUUACUAAUCAAUUAAUAGUAAAUCAAAUGUCAGUCAAUUAAAUAUGUGGUACAUUUGUCAUAUUUUAAAAAUUAUUUAUUUAUAUUUGAAAUGAAUUUGGUGCNNNNNNNNNNNNNNNNNNNNNNNNNNNNNNNNNNNNNNNNNNNNNNNNNNNNNNNNNNNNNNNNNNNNNNNNNNNNNNNNNNNNNNNNNNNNNNNNNNNNAUAAGACGACGCGACACAAAUACAACCAACAAGUCAACCCAAAUUGCCACCUUUUACUAUCUUCUUUGUGUUAUUUCUCUAAAAAUUUGUGCCUUCUCUUACACUUUUAAAUCUGAAGUGUUUGAACUGGAGUACACAAAUUAUCUCUCUACAAUUCCAAAACAACCAAUUUGUUACUUGGUAAAUCUUAAUCAAUGGCAGGAAGCAAUUGAGAAGGCGGUCGCUACUGUGUACAAAGCCAUGCAGUAUUUGCUAUUCAUCUUAAUAAUUGUUAAGCUUUGGUAAAAUUUUCAAACAUAGUUGACAUCAUGUUGUUUUGAGAUUUGGUUCAUGAUUUUGUAUGAAUAUCGUUGUUCCGUUUGAGUUGGAUGUGAAUUGAAACCUAAAUAUUCUUUAUUUUUCAAUUUUGAAUUCAAUUUCUUUUUCUCAAGCAUGUUAUGCAGAAAUGAUUUUUACGAAAUCAUUUUUGAUGAAUUAUUUAAAUUAAACAAUUGGAAUAAGAAUUGUAACGAUUUAUCAUAAGCAUGCUAAUAUGAUAAGUUGUUUUACGAACGAUUAAUUAAUCAAUUAAUAUUAGAUUAUAUAUUAGUCAAUUAGAUAUGUGUUACAUUUGUCAUAUUCUAAAAACUAUUUAUUUAUAUUUCAAAUAAAUUUGACCAGAGGUUACGUAGGUAAUACUACAUAAUUUCUAAAGGAAUGUAAAAAUUUAAAGUUUUAUUAAAUAGGUGACUCAAUAAUAAAUGGAUUUCUGCAAGAAUUGAGAUUCUUGAGAUAAUUAUUACAUAGGGAAUUUUGGUUAGUUCAAUUUUGACAUGGUAAGAAGACGACACGGCGCAGAAAACCCAAAUUGCCACUUCUACUAGUAAUAAAAGAUACCUGUUUGAAAAGUAAUUAUAAACUAUCUUCUUUGUGUUAUUUCUCAAAACUUUUGUGGCACAAUGUUAUUUCCCUGGAGAAAAGUACGAAAUACCCCCUUUCACGUCGGCAGAAGCAAAGCAAAGCUAUGAGCUAUCUCUGUAUACUUGAAACGCCAUUGCUAAACGAUUCUCGAUGAUGGGUGCCACUGGGUCAGUGUUGUCUCUGAUUUACAUGAUUUAUUAGUUGUCCAGAUGCCAGAGAAACCAUGGUGGCAUUGAAGUUGCCCAGAUGGUUAGUUUUCUGAUCAUUUUUUUAUUCAAUUAUUUAUUUUUUUAGAAAAAUGUGAGAAAUAUGUAGAAAUGUUGACAGCUAUGAUUUUGAAACUUUGCCUAAAAUUGUUAUCAUCACUUAUUUAAAGAGAAAUCCUAGAAACAUGAAAUGAUUAGUAGCCUAAUUCAAAAUUAGACGUGAUUACAACAAGAGAAAAGUGGAGAGAACUUGAUAAUCGAGUGCAUUUAGAAUUUAAUUUUUCUUUUAGCUGCCGAUCAUUAAAUUUUCGAUUUCAGAAAAUUAUACCUAGAAUAUUUCAAGGAUAUACUAUGAAGAUUAUGAAGGUUUGAUUACAUGUCACUAUCAAUUGCCCCAAUCAUUUGUAGUAAAUUAAUUGAUCAUUUUGAUGCAAAUGAUUCCCUACUAAAAAAUUUAAGUCAAGGCUGAAUUGCAUAGUAGUUAGUCGCGCUUGCACUUCAAAUUAAGUAUUGUAUUUUCUGCCUGGUUUGGUUGAUUAAAGUGUGUGCAUUUGCUUUUGAACGUUGUAGUAUAGAAAUCGAAACAUUUGUUUUUCGCUAAGCCCAGAAGCAAAGUUCUUUGUACUGUACUCAUCACUUCUCUUCAUUCUCUUUGUUGAAAUUUUUUCCAAACAGCGGUUUCUUCGAAUUUGUGCCUUCUCUUCCACUUUUAAAUCUAUCAAAGAACCGUUACCUGAGAAGAUUGCCAUCAGGAAUUUCUAAAUUGAUUUCACUAUAAUACCUUAAUCUUUCAGAUACUCCCGUCACUGGGUUGCCAAAAGUGCUAAAAGCCUUCGUAAAUCCUACGUGUUUGAACUGGAGUACAAAUGUUAUCUCUCCACAAUUCCAAAACAACUGAUUUGUUACUUUUCAAUGCUACACGUUCUGCGAAUGUUCAGUUGUGGUUAUCUUGCUGAAAUACCAGAAAAUAGGGUUCUAGUUGGCGGUAGUGGAUUCUUGGUUGGGGAAUUGCUUAGUUUAAAACAUUUAGAUGUAUUAAGCAUCACCUUAAAAGGUUUUUCUUCUGUCCAAAAACUUAUGAGCUCCCAACAGUUUCAAAGCUGUACAAAAUGUUUGGAGCUUAUAGACUGUGAUGAUUCAAAGUCGUUUGCCUUGGCAGAGUUGAAGCAUCUUGAAAAACUAGGUUUUUCAAAUUGUGGAAAUUUGGAAGAUAAAUUACAUUUAUAAACUGUGGAUCGCCCUUUAUAAGUAUUAGGCUUAUCCCAUACUCGAGCAAUGUGGAAUACCUUUAUAAGCAUUAAGCCUCUCCCAUACAAUUUCUGUACAUGACUUUAAAAGUGGUUGAUGACCCGUUUUGUAAUAUCAUAGAGGGAUCAUGAAUUCCUUUUCUUUUCUGUGGCUAGGCAACACUUUUGGGCCAAAGUAAGGAAAUCUAUUUUAGGUAAUGUAAAAACCAGUUGUGGGAUGUAAUAGUUUAUUAUGCACUGACAACAACUUUUUGUAUAAUUGUCAGUUUAAUGAAUACGAGAGGAACUCUGUUGGCAAAUUCAUCCAUGAUAGAUGCUAAAAUUAUACCAGUUGCCUUAACUAAUUUUUCUCAACACUGGUAUUGAACAGGAAAAUGAAUAUGCAAUUUGUAUUUGUGCCAUUGUGGAGAAUUUGGAUAUUCUUAGUUUUAGUAACAAGGAGAGUAUUUGCCUCAUCUUUAAACAAUGAAUCUUUGAGAAAUGAGGACUGGGUGAUUGGCAGUGUCAGAGUGUCUUCAUGUAAAUGUUCAUUUAUUUGUAUUUUGAACUAUUAUUAGAAUCUUUAUAUGCCAAAUUAGUAAUACAAAUGUUCAGAUGAUUUUUCCUGGUGAUCAUUUCAUUCUUGAGAGCCAUGUACAAUACUAGGAUACCAGAGAAACCAAGGUAGCAUUGAAGUUGCCCCAGUGGCUAGUUUUCCGAUCAUUUUUUAUUCAAAUUUUUAUGUUUCAGAAAAAUGUAAGAAAUUUAUAGAAAUGUUGAUAGCUAUGAUUUUGAAACUUUGCCUAAAAUUGUUAUCAUCACUUAUUGUUUCUUAUUUAAAGAGAAAUCCUAGAAACGUGACAUGAUUAUUCCAUACUUGUUUUAAUAUUAUUUAUUAGCAGCCUAAUUCAAAAUUAGACGUGAUUAUUUGUUACUUUUAAUGCUACAUGUUCUGGGAAUAUUCAGUUGUGGUUAUCUUGUUGAAAUACCAGAAAAUAGCGUUCUAUUUGGUGGUAGUGGAUUCUUGGUUGGUUUGAAUGUAUUAAGCAUCACCUUAAAAGGUUUUUCUGCUGUCCAAAAACUUACGAGCCCCCAAAAGUUUCAAAGCUGUGCACAACCUUUGGAGCUUAUAGACUGUAGUGAUUCAAAGUUGUUUGCCUUCGCAGAGUUGAAGCAUCUUGAAAAACUAGGUUUUUCAAAUUGUGGAAAUUGGAAGAGUUUAAGUUCUGCUGUGUUGAGGAUGGAAAGGCUCGAGAAUGUUUUCGUGUGAACAGCUUCAACGAGUUAAGAUAAAGGCUUGUCAUAAAUUGAGGGAAGUGACAUGGCUUGUAUUUGCUCCGUAUCUUGAGGUUAUUCAAAUAGCCAAAUGUAUGGGGAUAGAAGUAAUAAUCAGUGCAAGGAAAUUGGGUGAAGUUCCAGAGAUGAUGGCAGAUCUAAACCCUUUUGCAAAACUCCAAUAUCUUGGCCCACGAGUUCUACCAAAAUUAAAAAGCAUCUAUUGGAAUCAGUUGCCCUCUCUACAUGUCAGGCGAAUUUUGUGUCUGAAUGCCCAAUUCUCAAGAAGCUUCCACUUGGUUUUAACAAUGCAAAGGAAUCUAAAACUAUCAUUAGGGGAGAAGAACACUGGUUGAAUGAGCUGCAAUGGGAGGACAAAGUGACCCUUAAUGUUCUUCUUCCUUGUUUCGGAUCCAUUUGAAGGCAUCAACAUGGAUUGAUACUUUGCAGUGGAGAAAUUUGAAUAAAACCUAUGGUAAGCGCUUUUCCAUUUAUUGCAUAUUUAUAUCUAACUUUUGUUUUCCUUUGUGGUUAAAUUUUGCUCUAUAUACGUUGUUGUACGGUGACAUUCUCAUAUCAAUUAUUAGCUUUUUAAUUCUCUUCUCACAUUAACUGCCCUUUUGAUCAUGUAGGAUAUGCUGAUGUCAAAGAGUCGUAAUUUGGGAUGCAAAUGUAAGAAUUAGACAGAUGACCAGUUGUUUUGAAGCGCUCGAAGAAGGAUUAAUUACGUCAUUGAAAGGCUCCAAUUUUGUGACUUUUUUUUUUAAUUUGUUGUUUUUUCUAUUUUUAGAUAGCUUGAUUGUCAGUUGUCGUGAUGUAAUGCUUUAGUGUAGAAAAAUGAUAUUCGGCCAAGACAACAUUAGCAGGGCACCUUGUGCAUGCAUACUAGUGGAUAAUUUCGGCAUGCUAAAUCCAAUUAGGGUGGAUGACCCUUUAUAAGCAUUAGGCUUCUCUCAUACCCGAAAACAAUGUAGAAUACGCUUAUAAGCUGCGGAUCACCCAUUAUAAGUUUUAGGCUUCUCCUUUACUCGAGCGAUGUGGAAUACCUUUAUAAGCAUUAAGCUUCUCCCAGUAUCUUUAUGUUAAAAAUAAUAAUAAUAAAAGAAAUCCAUUUUAAAAUAGACUCUUUUUUCUUUUUCUAUAUAAACAAAUGCAUUCUUCAAAUCAAUUGUGGGCAGAAGAAGUUAGUAGAAAAGAACUAGUCCCCUUUCAUUCCCCCUUAAAGCUCACCAAAGCCUCUUUUGUAAGCUUUUCGGAUUUUCUUUCUAUAUUGCUUAUGAUCUCAUUUUUGAUUGAAUCACUUCUUUUGCAUGCUGCAUAUUUUGUUUGUUGUAUUUGGAUAUUAUCGUAUCUGGAAUGCUGUUAUGAUUGAUGGAACAAGUAAUCGAUAUUUGGUCUGAUGGAAGUUGACUUAUUUAUUUAUUGUUAUUUUAAUUUGAAACUAUGUACAAUUGCAUUUCAUUCAUUUCUCUCUCUCCCCCCCCCCCCCCCCCACACACACACACAUAUAUUUGUUAUGUAUAAUUGCGUUUCAUUUGAUAUUGAUCAUGCUGUAGAUAACCAUGUGAUUGUAGAUGGGGAUUUCAAGUUUGUUGAAUAUUCAAGUAAGUGAAGUAACUGUCAAAAUACUAGUGAAAUUGGGAGCUUUAUUCAUGAGCUUGUGGUUUUGAAAAGUACCACAGUUCAACCGAUGAAGGUUCCUUUUUGGGGUUCUUCUUUUUCUAGGCUGCAAUUAGGAUAUGUACAUGUUAGACAAUCUUUUGCGGGUUUAGCAUAUCUUCUCUGAUUUUGUCUUUUAUUCCCCAAUCUUAUAAUUGCACACCAUGAAUGUUGAGUGAUUGUAUAGAAAAUUUGUGUUAUAACCAAAGCGUUGUGAAGGAGUUAAGUUAGUGGCUUCUGUUUUAUUGGCAUUGAUUGGGUAGAUUAUGUGUUACAGUGAUUCAAUUUGUGCUCCAAAGUUUGCUUUAAUUUCUUUUUUCCCUAAUUAUUUAUGUCAAAUUUAAAUCCAGAAGCAUGUACUGAUUUUUUCUUUUUGUAUUAAUCUGUGAAGGUUAUUUGGAAUGGAAGUAUCUGGGUUGGGUCUAACGGAUUAAAUUAUGACAUUGGGGGGAAGGCAGUAAAGGGUUUGCUCGACACAUUUGGUUCUGUGUUUACUUUGCAAGAAAUAGCUUUUGGUUAUCACAAUGCCGGUGGAAUCCCGAUUUGGCUCGUGAAUUUCUUUGUGACAAAUAGGCAAACACAUCAACCUCUUCUAUCCAUCCUUCUACUGGUAAGGCAAGGGGUAAAGAGUCUUCAAAAUCAUCAAAUAGUAACAUCUCUGAGAAUUCAUUUUAUGCAAAUGGAAAAUCUAGACCUUCUAAGACAAAAUGGCGUCCUGUAUCAGGAGGUACCGUUUCAAGUUUUCUUGGUAAAAAUUAUGUUAAACCUGCACAGCCAGCUAAUGGCACAUUUCUAGCAUCAAAGCCAUUGAAGUUGGAUCCAAAGGGGUUUCCCAUGUCUCCACUUUUGCGGAGAAGAUACUAAACUGAAACAAUCAAAGGAUGACCAUUUGCAGAAGGAUAUGGAAGAUUUUCUGUUUAAAUUGCUAGGAGAAGUGUUCCUAUUGUCCUUUUCAAUGUUCUUUCUUUCUUUCUCUUCUUUUCUUCUUCUUCUUCUUUUUUCUUUUUGUGUGCGUGUGAUCACUAAUUUGGUAUUGUAGUUUAGUUGCAGAUAGUUGUGGAUAUGAUAUGCAAAAGGUAAGGACUAUAUCUUCCUGAUGGAGGCCUCUGCUUUUUCCUUUAUGUGUAAUUUAAUAAAUUGCAUCUUCCUUUGUGAUUGUUAUAUCAUAUCAAAGACAAGUCUUAAAUACUGCUGUCAUAUGUUAAGGUUCAACUUGCAGUUUGAUUAACAUUCAUGGCUCAAAGGCCUGAAAAAACUUGCCAGUAAUUGUAAAAUGACAUUCUUUGCUUUUAAUGCAAUAGAGGGAACAGGGAAGUAUAGCUUUGGAAGCCUGGAUUGGUAACUAUAGAGAGACUUAGUAUUUAAUUGAUAAAAAUUCCCAUAACCCAAGGUCAAGAAAAUUUUAGAUCGUUAAAGACUUCAUUUUGUUUCGGCCAGAAAUGUUUGUUUCGAUCGAAGACUUGAACCAUUUCGAUUGAACCUGAUUAUGAUGCUUUACGUUAUGCAUGUUCCUCUUAAUCAAGAAAAGUUGAGGUGAUGAUUUUAUAUUUCUAUAUUGUAAGUUGAAAUAAUAAUUGGUCUGCUUGUUUCUGUAGCUUGAUAACAUGAAUUUUCCUUCUCAAGUUAAUUUAAUCAAUAAAGUAAUUCUUCAAAGAAAAUAUGCCCAUUCUAUAAUCAUUUUCUUAAUUAACAUGUUUUUUUCUUCACACUUCAGAGCAUGUUGAAACUAAUUGAUCGCUCGGCAGAGACUUUGGGUGAGAAGACAAAAUUUCUCGGUAAAUCCUCUGAAAAGGUAUGCAUAAUUCCGCAGUAUUAAAUAACCAAUGGUCAUAAUUUUUGUACAGGACUCUUUUCUUGUGGAGAUAAUUAAAAGUGGCUGAUGAUCCAGUUUGUAUAUCAUAGAGGGAGCAUCAAUUCCUUUUGUUUUCAGUGGCUAGGCAACACUUUCAGGGCAAAGUAAGGAAAUCUAUUUUAGGCAAGUAAAGCCAUGUAGAUGUAAUAGUUAACAUGCACUGACAAUAACUUUGUAUAAUGUCAGUGAACGAUACAAGAGGAAUCUGUUGACAAUCAUCCAAGAUAGAUGCUAAAAUUAUUAUGCAUGCCAGUUGCUUAAUAAUUUUCUUACACUGGUAUUGAAGAGGAAAAUGAAUAUGCAAUUUGUAUAUGUGCCAUGUGAGAAUUUGGAUAUCUAUCUAAGUAACAAGGAGAGUAUUGCCUCAUCUUUAGACAAUGAAUCUUGAGAAUUUGGAUAUUCAUGUAAAUGUUCAUUUGUUUGUAUUUUGAACUAUUAUGAGAAUCUUUUAUAUGCCAAAUUAGUAAUGCAAAUGUUCAGAUUAUUUUUUCUGUUGAUCGUGCAUUUGUGUCUGCACACAACCAUUGUAUAUCACUUCAUUCUGAUGCGCAAGUGUCUGUAGUUUAGAAGAAAAGAAAUAAUAAUGAUAUAUUAUUGCUUGAUUCAUGAUUAUUAAAUGAUUAUGGCUUUAAAAAACCUACAAAUUCCUUUUGUUGAUAUAUGAAUGUACCAAGUUUGCUAUAUCUUAGAUUACCAUUUCCAAGAUAACAAGUUCAAAUUUUUUCUUUAUCCUUUUCCUUCACAGUUGCAUUUUAAGUGUAAGAUUUGUUAUUAAUACCUGGUUUCCCGUCAUUAUGAUUUCAUAAACAGUGUAUGGGUAUGUGCUCUACUUUUGGAGGGCCUCCACGUGAAAGAAAAUUGUAACAAUUGAAUUCUUCCGGAUGGUAUGGUAUUUAAUUUAUUUUCUCAACCUCUUGUAAGACUAAUAUAUUUUCCUUUAGUAGACACGGCAUGGUGGGAAGGGUUUUUUAUUGAAAGAAUUCUGAUAUUUCUUAGACUUUGUUUUGGAAGGGGGUGCAGGGGUUUCUCAUCCAUAUAUGGUUACUUGAUUAGCUUUUGACUGUAUUGCCUCAAUCGUGCAAAGGAAGAUCCAAAUACAAACGAAAGAGAAUUGUUUAGACACCCAGAAGAUGGAAAUGAACUACAGAAGGAAGUUUUUGCUGCUUUAUUUAGUGCUCCUGAGAAAUCUGAUGAAUUUCCUGAAAUUACGGUGAAGACCAAGUGUGAGGUCCAAAGCAUUAGGAAAGGUGGUGAGUGAACUGCCGGAGCAAUUGGUACAGAAUACAAGGCUAAUGUGGUGGACUUGCAGCAAGAUAACCGGAACAGUACGUGCUCUUAUAUUAACUAUAUUGACUGGAUUUGCUAGUGUGUGCAUUUUCGUGUGUAUACUUUUGUAUUUAUGCAUAUUAAUGUGUGUAGGAUUCUUGAUUUCUGCCACUUAUUGGAGAACUAAUGGAAAGCUUUAUACUGGUAUAUCUGCAAUAACUAAUGGAAACUAUGAUAUUAAUAUUUUCUCUCGCUUGGAGAAUGCGUAACAGAUAUACUUUGUGGCUCUGGAAUACUAAAGAUUCUGCAAUAACUAAUGGAAACUAUGAUAUGAAUAUUUUCUCUCACCUGGAGAACUUUGUAACAGUUACACUUUGGGGCUUGGAAUGUCUAAAGAAUUUUGUCUGCUUCAGUUAGAUCAAAUAUCUUUUAGUUACAUACAUUAUAGAAAAGAUAAAGUUCUCUGAAUCUGAAAGACUUAAAAUUUUGCAUAUUUCUUGAUAGGGAAAUAUCUGUAGAUACUAGUUCAUGCAUUGUGGUAGCAUCAGUGUUAAAGAAAAACAGCAGUAAGUUAUUAUAUAGAAUUAGGUUCACUUGCUUUAAAUCCUGGUCUGGUCAACCAUAUGAACCUGUAAGUGGUUCUGUAGAAAUAUAUAUAUACGGGGAGAAAGUAGCUAAAUUUUCCUUUCAUUUAUGGGUUUGGUCAUUUUUUCCCCUUAUUUAUGUUUUCUCACACAUUUUUUAAAUGCCCCAGACAUGCAAUUUUGUAUGUGUCAAUUGCCUUUUAAGUUUUAAAAACCAUAAAGUAAGAAUACAGUUUCUUGUCAGGCUAUUGAUGCAUUUGCUCGGGGGGAUCAUGCUCGAGCAGGAAAACUUCUAGAACAGGUAAGGUUUCCAUCUACAGCCAUUUAUUGACAACAUAUAUAUUUUCAUUCAGCAAGCACUGUUAGCAUUCAAGAUGCUGGCAGAUUCACUUGAUUCUUAUUAGUUUGUUUAGUAGCAAAGCAUAUAACCUGUAUUUUAAAGCUAAGUUGUGCUAUUGAUUAUGUUAACUUUAUUGUUCACAUAAAGUGAUAUUGAGGAAAUAAUCAAUGUAGGAAAAUUAGGUGAAGAGAUGAUGUCAAAUCUUGAACCUCUUACAAAACUCCAAGUUCUUUACUUGAAGAAGCUACCAAAUUCGAACAGCAUCUACUGGAAGGCCUUGCCAUUCCCUGAUGUAUGCAGAAUUUUUGUAUUUAAAUGCCCAGAGCUUAAGAAGCUGCCACUGGAUCUUGAGAGGGCAGGCCAAGGUAAAAUUCUUAUCAAGGGAAAGAAAGAUGGGUGGAAACAACUUCAAUGGGAGGAUCAAGUAACUCAGAAUGCAUUGCUUUCAUUUUAAAAAUCAACCAACAAGUGAUUGAAGGGGGCAUCAUCAACGUAAUCAACAUGGAUGGAGAGAUUCUGGAGCAGAUCAGCGGGGUUUAGUACGACCUGUGGUGGUUUCUUUUUUGUGACUUUUUUGCCUUUCAUUUUUUCACUUCCUGUCAUAUUAUCAUUUCUUUGUCUGUGUUUCUAUUGCUAGUGUUGCUGCAUGCUUGCUGUCCUUGACAAAGUUAGCUAGUUUUUUUUGUUUAUUAAAUUUUGUAUGUUCGGUCGGGACAGUCACAAAGUACUACUUGUUCUAUAUGGGGGUGAUGUGAAUCAACUUUUCAAUUAUAUAUUCUGUGGUAAUUGUGAAUUCAAUUUCAUUUAUCUCCUGCAAAUUAUGAAGAAAGUGCAGAGUUACAAUAUGGAAAAGUUCACUGGCAAAUACUUUGUAAAAGCUUCGGAGUGAAACAGGAAAUGCACUUGCAACUAAGGACAAAUUGGUGGCCGGCUAAUGCAUUCAUUUUAGGGAAAAGGACACAGACCCUCAACGUUUUAAUAAGGGACAUAAAACUCCCUAAUAUUUUAAAAAAAAUACUCAAACCCCCAUUUGUUAAUAGUAAAUUCUAAGUUUAAAGUGUAAUUACCAUUAUACCUUUAUAGCAUAUUAAAAAAUAAUUAUUCAUUAUUCAAUUUAUUCUUAUAUUAUUAAUAAAAUUACGAAUAUAAUUUCAUUAUCUAAUUUUUUCAUUUAAUUUUUGUUAAAUUUUCUCUUCAAACUAAAUAAAUUUAAUCCAUUGCUUAAGAAUAAAAAUAAAUUAAAUUGAUUACUAAUAUAAUAAAAAUAACAUAUAUUUAAUAUAAAAAUAACAUAUAUUAAAUUAAAAUAAAUUUAAUUUAUAUAUAGAGAAUUGUUAUUUUUAAGAAAUUAUCAAUUUAAUUUAUAUAUAAGAAAUUAUAAGAAAUAACAUAUGGAGAAUUGUUAUUUUUAUUAUAUUAAUAAUCAAUUUAAUUUAUUUUUAUUUUUGAGCAAUGGAUUAAAUUUAUUUAGUUUGAAGAGAAAAUUUGAUAAAAAUUAAAUGGAAAAAUUGGGUAAUGAAGUUAUAUUCAUAAUUUUAUUAAUAAUAUAGGAAUAAAUUAGAUAAUGAACAAUUAUUUUUUAAUAUGCUAUAAGGGUAUAAUGGUAAUUGUACUUUAAAAUUAGAAUUUACUGUUAACAAAUAGGGGUCUGAGUGUCUUUUUUGAAACAUUAGGAAAUUUUGUGUCUCUUAUUCAAACGUUGGGGGUUUCUGUGUUAUUUUCCCUUCAUUUUAUGUACAUUCAUCUUUUUAAUUAUUGAAGAUAAGUGGUUCGUUGCUUUUGUUGUAGAUAAAAUUCAGACGACCUCAAUUGUGACAUGACAAUAUUUAAAACAUCUCUUAAAUUAUUAUAAAUUUAAUUUAUCUUAACUUUAUUGAAAAGAUAAAAGAAAAAUGUGGUGUAUGGAUAAAUUUUUUUUUAUCUUCUUAAUCAAAUGGAAUAAAUUAAAAUUUACAAUAAUUUAAAAUAUUUUAAAAAUUAUUAUUUCAUAAGAGAUUAAUAUGAAAUUAAUCGUUUUUACUUUUUUAAUGUGAAAGGACAAGAAAAGAGAAAGCAUGUGUCCCUGCUUUUUAGUUUUUAUUUUAUUUGAAAUCGGAGUUAUCCCAUAUACUUUACUAAUUUAGCUCUAACAUUACAAUGUUUUUAGGCUACACUUUUAUUUUUCUUUUUCCCCCUUUUUUUAUACAUGCAUGUGGAUUACUUUUCUCUAAGCUCCUUAAUAUUUAAGACAAAUCAUAAAAGCAAUUGAAGUAUAACAAGAUGAUCAAAACAUUUAACCAAAAAAAAAGAAAGAAAAAAGAAAGAAAACAUUGAAAAUGGAGAUGUUGAUUAAUUUAGAAGAGAUGCAAGCAAAAGAUAUUCCCAAAAAAAAGAAAAAAAGAAAAAAACAACGUUAGUUCAUCCAUGUCUGUCAAUGCGUUUUUUAUGGUUUUUUUUUUCCAGUUGUUUGUUGUAAUAGAUUGAUUGUAAAUUGAUAUGAAUUUGAUGUUGUAAUAUGUUCGCUUUUGUGGAAUUAAAUUUGAAUAUUCAAGAUUAUUCAAGUCUUAUCUAGUAUGUGUUCAAUUGUGUUGUCGAUAAUUUUGCAUUCGAAUAAUUUUUCACCUAAAAUAUUAGCAUGAGUAGUAGUCCUUGAAAUUUUGGUCAAAAUUAUUGUUAUUGUUUGUUUUAGAGGAAAUUUUUUUAUUAAAGCCUCGUUAACACUAUACCUUAUUAAGAUUAUAAGUUAGUGUCAGUGCAGGAUUUACAGCAACAAAUCUUGUCUAGCCACGUGUCAAAAGUACAAAUAAAUCAAGAGUAAGCACAUGACAUGGAUUAGGAUCCAAUAAGAUUUAAAUCCCAAGGAAAAGGACAAUUGUAUCCUAAAGUUUCAAUAAGAGAUACUGAGAUAUCUUUUGACUAAUGUUAUUUUUUUAGCUUUAUUAAUAAAAAGAUCAAAUAGUUUAUAACAAAUAAAAAUAUAGUAUGAAGCUAAAUGUGAUAAUAUAUACAUUUUACAUAAUUUCAAUAAAAAAAAUUUCAAUAAAAAACAUUUUAAUGUUUUACGAUCUAUUAGACAUAUUUUAUUAAAUUAAUAGGAAUUUUCUGAUAAAUAGCAACAUAAUAUUAAAAUAAAUUUAUAAAGAUUUAAAUGUAAAAUAAUUUUAGUAUAAUUAAUACGUGGGAUAUAUUUUGUAAAUUAUAAAAUUACUUAACCCAAUGAUUUUUAAAAAUCUUUAAAAUAAAUAAAAAUAAAUUAUUCACAUUUUGAUGUAAAUAUUUAAAACAUUUUUAUACAUUAGUCCACAAUUAUUUAUGUUAUAUUUGUAUUUAUUAGAAAUUUUGAAAGUCAAAUGUUUUUCACCUCUAUCUUAUUAGAAUUAUUGCACACAGAGAAAGAGCCAUAUAUGCUUUAUAGCUUUAAAAUCGAUUUGUUUUAUAGCUGGGAACAGAGAUGAUCAUUAUUAUAAGGAUUAAAAAAAAGAUAAAGAAUAUUAAUGAUUAGCGAAAUCUCUAUGGAAAUUGAAUUUAGUAAGAAAAAAUUGAGCUGAUUUUAGCGGUAUAGUAAUAUUUUAUAUAGAGAAAAGUAAAAGCUGCACCCAAGGUUAAGGGAAAUGGUCAAAACUCUUUUUUAAUCAUAAUACUCUUUUUCCUACAUAAUUUAAAAAUUUGACAUUAAUAUUUUAUAAUAAAUAAAAACAUAUAAUCCUAAAAUAAAUAAAAUAAUAUAUAUUUUAAAAUAAUCUCAAUAUUUAAAAUAUAUUUUAACAUUUUAUAGUCUAUCAGAUAUAUUUUAUUUUUUUUAAAGUAAAUUUUAUAAUAAAUACAAAACAUACUAUUAAAAUAGAUAUAAAAAUUUUAAAGUAUUUUGAAUAUUAUAUAAAAUAACUUUAAUAUUGUUAAUGCGUGAGAUGCAUUUUAUUAAUUAAAAAUUCUAUUUAACCCAAAGAUUUAUUUAUAAUAAAUUAAUAAUCAUAUUUUUGAAAUUAUUUUAAAUAUUAAAAAAUAUUUUAAUAUUACUAACUAUUAGAUAGACUAAACUAUUUAUAUUAUUUUCUAUUUAUUAUAAAAUUUCAAAGUUAAUCUUUUUAACUACUAUUCAAAAGAUAUUAUGAUAAAAACAGAAUUUUUCUGUUUUAUUAAAAAUUUAGAGUUUACACCUAUUUUUUCAAAUAUUCGGGGUGUAACUGUUUUAUUUAAAUAAAAUCUCAGUUAAAAAUGUACAGAGAAGAAAUUUCUGUUGGUAUUUUAGUCUUUUACCAAUUAUCACGAUUAGGCCUUGGCCUUGAAACAUUAAUUGUUUCACUUUUAGCGCUAGUGGCGUUGAAAGUUGUCAAGAAAAAGCAAGACCAUAUUCCACAAAAGCAGCUCUUUUAUUAAAGGCAAAGUAUAAAGUAGUCAAGAAUCGAAUAUCCUGUCGUCUACUCUUUUUUAAAUUCUUCUUUUAUUAUCUUUUAGAAUAGUUUUUGGUAAUUACAAUCAUUAUUCAGAGUUAUUGUUAUCUUCUGGGGCAGUCUCUGUUCAUCGAAGUCGUUACCUUUUUUUCAUGGAUCAGUUCCAGUGCCAAGCAGUAAUUUUCUUAGAACUCGGAUCUUUAAUUCGAGUUUCUUUGUGAAUUAAUAAUAAAAAAUUUUCAUUACACGCAAUUUAAGCUACGAAUUACUUUUUGCAAAGUUGAAUAUGAAAUUGGAGAAAUUAAAUAAUUUAGAAUGUUGGUAAAAAUUGACUAACAUAUCCCCAAUUACAGUAAAACCUCUCUACAGUCAUAACAUUAUAACAAAAUUAAUUUUAUUACUAUGUUGAGGUAAUAUAGGUUUAGUUACAAAAUUAUUGUUUUAAUAUGGUUAGUGUCAAGUGAUAUAAAGGUUAAGUAUGCAGUACAUUGAUAAUUAAAUAAUGAAGCGUGUCAAAUCUAACGUAUAUAUAUUAAUGAUAUAGAUAGACAUAGUUUUAAAAAACUAAUUAAUGUAUAUUUAUGUACUGUUAUGAAUAUGGAAAGUCAAGCCUACACUUUACAUUAUCCUUAAUUUUUUCUCUCAGUUAAAUUCUACAAAUAUUGUACAAUGAUUGGGUAAGAACUCUAAAUUAAGAAUAAAUUAUUGUCACAAAUAAUUUUAAAAAAUAUUUUAUUUCAUCUUAAACCUUUAAUGUAAGUAAAUAUAUAUAUAUGUGUGUGUGUGUGUGCAUAUUUUGCAAGGUAUAGAUAAUUGUUAGUAUAUGGAGACAAGUCUUUUAAGGUAGGACCUAGGAAAAUUUAUAACUUACUACAUUGGGGAGUUUUUAUUCCUUUUUAUAAUUGGCUCAUAUUGAUACAUUCUUACACAAAAUAUUACCAUUGACAUAUUUUACUACAAUUGGUUUAGAACAUUUGUUAGGAAAAAAAAAAGAAAAGAAAACAUUCAUUGGAUGUAGCUCUCCCUCGUAUGCUUUUUUCUCCAAAUAUUCCUGCGUCCACAGAAACAAGUCAGAGCACGCCGGUUGUUUUCCCGGCGUAAACCCUCUGACGCUCAAGUCAGAUAUGAAGGCUCUGGGAAUGCUUGCCACAGAUCUUAUGGUUUUUCUGUAGUUUCUAUUCUUUAGAGUUUCAUUUAUCUCUGAAUAUAAUCUCAAAAAUGCUAACCCUUUUACCUUCCUUGGCUACCUUUUUAUAGGCUUCCUCUGAAUCCCGGUCUUCCGUAGUCCACGCCCGUUAUUCUCCCCACCCUCGGAUGUGGAUGCCCCAUUAUCGCCAUUGUGGGCGAAUGGAGAUGGACUUCGUGCCUUGAUUCUCGGAUAGGAAUGCACGUCUUGCCAACUGUCGUUGACUGGGUCUCCUCGCCUCUCGACCUCUAGCCGGAAUGGCCUUAUGCCUCUAACAAGAGUUCGACCUCGUGAAUGGCAUACUCGCGGACGAGCCGAAUAUUUCUGCUCAUGUUCCCCUGCUACCUGGCUCUUACAGGACAUACCUGUUCGCAGAACUCCGCCAUCAAAUAUCUGCUCAUCACGUCUGGUCUCGUUGAAGUAUUUCCCUCAAACAACAUAUUUUACUACAAUUAGUUUAGAACAUUUGUUAGGAAAAAAAAAGAAAAGAAAACAUUCCUUGGAUGUAGCUCUCCUGACUAUUUAAAUCUUUUAAGGAAAAAAAGAAAAAAGAAAAACUGACACAUUCAAAUCUUGAAGCAAUUACAUUAAAACCUCUCCAUAAUGAUAGGAAUAAUCUCCAUUUAGUAAUAAAAAAUUUUGUUCGCAAUCUAGGCAGAGUUAUAAAUAAGAAUAAAAUCCUCAUUGUAAUAAGUUGUAUUUAUUAUGGAUCCCAUCCUAAGGAACUUGUCUCUAUAUAGUAAUAAUUAUUUGCAUAUUAUAAAUAUAUAUGUUGCAUUAGAUUAAAUGAACUUGUCUCCACAUACUACUUAGACAAUGAGAGAAAGUUAUUAAAGAGAACACAAAUAUUUAGAGAUUUUUAAGAUUACUUUGCAUGUUUAUAACAAUAAUACAUUGAUAUAUGUAUUAGUUUUUUGAUAUAUUAGAUUUGACAUGCUCUAUUAAUAAAUUAUUAAUACGAUGCAAACUUCAUCUCUCUAUCCUUGCAAUAAAAGUAACUAAGUUAUAACAAUAAUUAUUAAUAAAUUAUUAAUACGAUGCGUACUUCAUCUCUAUAUCCUUGCAAUAAAAGUAACUAAGUUAUAACGAUAAUUUUUGUAACUACAUGCUUAUUAGGUUUUAACUACUUCAUAAUAAUAAAUUAAUUUCGUCCUAAUAUUAUAAUUAUGUAGAGUUGUAGUGUAUAGACACACCCAAUUUAAAUAGUAAAUCAAAUAAAAUUGUCCCCACAAAAAAGAAAAAAGGGGUAAAGGAUUGUUAUUUCUUCAAACAUUAGGAGCACGUUUGUUCAAGUGCGAUGCCUUUCUUUUGAAGGCAACGUCAGUGGGUACCCAAUAGGACGUGUGUAAAUCUUUCCAAAAUUUCUCCGGUAUAACGGACAGAGAUCAUUACUUUUCUCUUCCAUAGACCACAGCAGCUUCAGUUAAUCAGACUCAAUCAAUUUUCUUGGUUUCUUCGCUUAUCAAAAUUCCAAAAUAUGGGUAGCAUAUUUCAAAUCACAUGCGAUGGUGCUUUUUUCAAUCGUUGCUUGGAUUGCUUUCUUGGAAAAGUAGCAAACACAAGUAAGCUCCAAGAUAACCUUGUUGCCUUGGAGACUGAAUUGGGAAAACUAAUCGUAGCAAAGAACGAUGUGAUGAUGAGGAUUGUCAAUGCUGAACGGCAACAACUGAGAACGCUGGACCAAGUGCAAGUGUGGCUUUCGAGGGUGGAAGCUGUUAAAACUGAAGCUGAUGAAUUGAUAAGACACGGCUCUCAAGAAAUUGACAAAUUAUGUGUUGGAGGCUACUGUUCCAAGCACUGCGCGUCAAGCUACAAGUUCGGGAAACAAGUGGCUAAAAAGCUACGGGAUGUGCAGACUUUAAUCGGCGAAGGAGUUUUUGCGGCGGUGGCUACUGAGGUGGUGCCUGAGAGAGCUCCAGAACCUGUAGCAGAUGAAAGACCCACUGUGCCAACAAUAGUAGGCUUGCAAUCACAACUUGAACAAGUUUGGAGAUGUCUUGUAGAAGAAUCAGUGGGAAUCAUUGGCCUAUAUGGUAUGGGCGGUGUUGGUAAAACUACACUAUUGACCCAUAUCAACAAUAAAUUUCUUGAGAGUCGAACCAGUUUUGAUUGUGUGAUUUGGGCCGUAGUUUCAAAGGACUUGCAACUCGAAAAAAUUCAAGAAGAUAUUGGGAAAAAGAUCGGUUUGGUUGAUGAUUCAUGGAAGAGUAAAAGUGUAGAGGAGAAAGCUCUCGACAUCUUCCGGAGUUUAAGAGAGAAGAGAAUUGUAUUGUUGUUAGAUGAUAUAUGGGAGCGGGUUGAUUUAACAAAAGUGGGCAUUCCACUUUCGGGACCAAAGAAUACUACCUCAAAAGUCGUAUUCACAACCCGUUUCAUCGAUGUUUGUGGUAGCAUGGAAGCUGACAAGAAGUUCCAAGUGGCAUGCUUAUCAGAAGAGCAUGCUUGGGAACUGUUUCGAAAAAAAGUUGGGGAAGAAACUCUUGAGAGUGAUCAUGAUAUCGUUGAGCUAGCCCAAACUGUGGCCAAAGAGUGUGGUGGUUUGCCACUCGCACUUAUUACUAUUGGUCGAGCUAUGGCCUGCAAAAGGACAGCCGAGGAGUGGAGACACGCAGUUGAAGUGCUAAGAAGAUCAGCUUCUGAGUUUGCAGGUUUGGGAAAAGAGGUGUAUCCUCUUUUAAAGUUUAGCUAUGAUAGUUUGCAGAAUGAGACGAUUAAAUCUUGUUUCUUAUAUUGUUGUUUAUAUCCCGAGGAUUAUGGCAUUCUUAAAUGGGACUUGAUUGAUUGUUGGAUUGGUGAGGGAUUCUUAGAGGAAUCUGACAGGUUUGGUGCAGAAAACCAAGGAUACUACAUUGUGGGCACUCUUGUUCAUGCGUGUUUACUAGAAGAGAUAGAAGAUGAUAAAGUAAAAAUGCAUGACGUUGUUCGUGAUAUGGCUUUAUGGAUAGCUUGUGAAAUUGAGAAGGAGAAGAGAAACUUUUUGGUUUGUGCAGGUGCUGGAGUAGGAGCGGUACCAGAUGUUGAAGGAUGGGAAAAUGUGAGAAGAUUGUCAUUGAUGCAAAACCAAAUUGAAAUUCUGUCAGAGGUUCCCACAUGCCCUCAUCUCCUCACUUUAUUUCUUGACUUUAAUUAUAAAUUGGAGAUGAUCACUGAUGGCUUCUUCCAAUGUAUGCCUUCUCUCAAAGUUUUGAAGAUGUCAAACUGUGGGCAUGUCAAAGUUUUGAAAUUACCUUUUGGGAUGUCAAAGUUGGGUUCACUACAACUUCUUGAUAUUUCACAUACCGGCAUAAGAGAGUUACCAGAAGAGUUAAAGUUGUUGGUAAAUCUGAAAUGUUUGAAUUUGAGGUGGACACAUAUGUUAAAUAAAAUUCCACGGCAGCUAAUAUCAAAUUCUUCAUGGUUACGUGUGUUGAGAAUGUUCGCUAUUGGCUUUGAAAAUUCUAAAGAACCAUCAGAAGACAGCGUUUUAAUUGGUGGGGGUGAAGUUUUAGUACAGGAAUUGCUCGGUUUGAAAUAUUUAGAGGUAUUGGAGUUGACCUUGCGAAGUUAUCAUGCUCUCCAUUCUUUUUUGAGCUCAAAUAAGUUAAAAAGUUGUAUUCGAUCUCUUUUCCUCAAUAAGCUGGGAGAUACAAAGUCGAUUGAUGCUACGGCUUUGGCAGAUCUAAAGCAUCUCAAUGAAUUAUAUAUUCUUUUUUUUNNNNNNNNNNNNNNNNNNNNNNNNNNNNNNNNNNNNNNNNNNNNNNNNNNNNNNNNNNNNNNNNNNNNNNNNNNNNNNNNNNNNNNNNNNNNNNNNNNNNNNNNNNNNNNNNNNNNNNNNNNNNNNNNNNNNNNNNNNNNNNNNNNNUCUUUCGCUAUACGGUUGUAAUGCUGUGGAAGAAAUAAUCAGCGUUGGGAAAUUUGCUGAGGUUCCUGAGAUGAUGGGACAUAUAAGCCCUUUUCAGAAUCUCCAAAAGCUUGAUUUAUCACAUUUGCCAGCUUUGAAGAGCAUCUACUGGAAGCCAUUGCCUUUCGCUCAUCUGAAAGAAAUGGUGGUGCAUUGGUGUGAUCGGCUUAAAAAGCUUCCGCUCGAUUCCAACAGUGCAAAAGAGCGUAAAUUUGUUAUUCGUGGAAGAGCAGACUGGUGGAACCGUCUUCAAUGGGAGGAUGAAGCCACUCAAAUUGCUUUCCAUUCCUGUUUCCACCUAAUGAAAUAUAAAUUCCUUAGCGGUGGUUGCAAAAUUUGAUUUCUAGUGAGUGCUUUUUUCUUAAACUCUUACAUUUAUUUCAGAUUCGUUUUUUGUCUCCUGCAAAUCACAAUUAAAUGCUGAAUUAUAUGGAGUCAAUGCUUUAGAAAAUUUUCAAGGCACUGCCAUUUCCUUUUUUCCAUUUUUUUUUGGGUCGAAUUGAUGCUCUGGCUUUUUACUUUUUGUUGUCAAAUUUUGCUCUGUUUUUUCAAGUUGAUGCUUGAAUAGUUGAAUUCAAUUAAUGCUCACAUAAAUUUGUUUAGUUGCCGUAAAAGGAUAUAAUUAGACUGAAGUACACACUUCUAGAAUGAAUACAAAAUGUUAAGUAUACUAGCCCUCUUUACAGAAAAUCAAAUGAAAAUCAAUUUUUUGGGGCUUUGAUUUUCUAUGGUCUAUUAUAUACUCUUUUUAAUAUCUUCUGUUCUAACUAUAACCAAAUCCUUUGUUCAAGGAUUUUUAUUUGGGGUAUUGAUAACUAUCCACCAAAAGAGUGAACACUUGGAUGCUGCUCAAGGAUCUCUAAUCAAUAGCUGGAAGCAACUGAGAAGGCGGUCGCUGCUGUUUACAAAGUGAUGCAGUAUUUGCCAUUCAUCUUAAUAAUUAUGAAGCUUUGGUAAAAUUUUCAAACAAAAUUGAACAUGUUGUUUGAGAUUUGGUUCAUGAUUUUGGAUGAAUAUCGUUGUUCCGUUUGAGUUGGAUGUGAAUUCAAAAUCUAUAUAUUCUUUGGUUUUCAAGUCUGAACUCAAUUUCUUUUUCUCAAGCAUGUUAUGCAGAAAUGAUUUUUACUAAAUCAUUUUUGAUGAAUUGUUUAAAUUAAACACUUGGAAUAAGAAUUGUAAACGUUUAUCAUAAGCAUGCUAAUAUGAUAAAUUGUUUUAUGAACGACUAAUUAAUUAAUCAAUUAAUAUUAAAUUAUAUAUUAAUCAAUUAGAUAUGCGUUACAUGUCAUGUUUAAAAACUAUUUAUUUAUAUUUCAAACAAAUUUGACUGGAUGUUGUGUAGGUAAUACUACAUAAUUUCAAAACAAAAAAAAGUAAUAAAAACACGUUAAAUUUUGUUUUUAUGAAGAAAAAUUUAAAAUUUUAUUAAAUAGGUGAAAAUAAUAAAUGGAUUCGUGUAUGGUUUGAGAUUCUUGACAUAAUUAUGAAAUAAGCCGGAUUCGACUUAGUUCAAUUUUGACGCGAUAAGAAGACGACACCACACAAACACACGACAAGAACCGUUACCUGAGAAGAUUGCCAUCAGGAAUUUUGAAAUUGAUUUCACUACAAUAUCUUAAUCUUUCAGAUACUCCCAUCACUGAGCUGCCAUAAGAGCUAAAAGCCUUGGUAAAUCUUAAGUGUUUGAACUGUACACAAAUUAUCUCUCUACAAUUCAAAAACAACUGAUUUGUUACUUUUCAAUGCUACAUGUUCUGCGAAUAUUGAGUUGUGGUUAUCUUGUUGAAAUAUCAGAAAAUAGAGUUCUAUUUGGUGGUAGUGAAUUGUUGGUUGGGGAGUUACCUAGUUUAAAACGUUUAAAUGUAUUAAGCAUCACCUUACAAGGUUUUUCUGCUGUCCAAAAACUUAUGAGCUCUCAAAAGUUUCAAAGCUGUACAAAAUGUUUGGAGCUUAUAGACUGUGAUGAUUCAAAGUCUUUUGCCUUGGCAGAGUUGAAGCAUCUCGAGAAACUAGUUUUUCGAAUUGUGGAAGAGUUUAAGUUCUGCUGUGUUGAAGUUGGAAAAGCUCAAGAAUGUUUUCGUUUGAACAGCUUUCCCCGAGGUAAUAUAAAGGCUUGUCAUAAAUUGAGGGACGUGACAUGGCUUGUAUUUGCUCCAAAUCUUACGGUUAUUCAAUAGAAAAAUAUAUGCAGAUGGAAGUAAUAAUCAGUGCAAGGAAAUUGGGUGAAGUUCCAGGGAUGAUGGCAGAUCUAAACCCUUUUGCAAAACUCCAGUAUCUUCGUCUGCGAGUUCUACCAAAAUUAAAAAGCGUCUAUUGGAAUGAGUCACCCUUUCCACAUGUCAGGGAAAUUAUUGUAUCUGAAUGCCCAAUUCUCAAGAAGCUUUCACUCGGUUUUAACAAUGCAAAGGAAUCUAAAAUUGUCAUUUAUUACAUGUUUAUAUCUAACUUUUGUUUUCCUUUAUGGUUAAAUUUUACUUUAUAUAUGUUGUUAUACGGUGACAUUCUCGCAUCAAUUGUUAGCUUUUUAAUUCUCUUCUCCCAUUAAUUGCCCUUCUGAUCAUGUAAGAUAUGCCGAUGUCAAAGAGUAGUAAGUUGGGAUACAAAUGUAAGAAUUAACCAGAUGACAUGUUGUUUUGAAGCUCUCGGAGAAGGACUAAUUAUGUCAUUCAAAGCAUCCAAUUUCGCUACUUUUUUUUUCAUUUGUUGCUUUUUCUAUUUUUAGAGAGCUUGAUUGUCAGUUGUCGUAAUGUAAUGUUUUAGUGUAGAAAAAUGAUAUUCGGCCAAGACAUCAAUAGGAGGGCACAUUGUGCAUGCACACUAGUGGAUGAUUUCGGCAUGCCGAAUCCAAUUAGUGUGGAUAACCCUUUAUAAGCAAUUGGCUUCUCUCAUACCAGAGCAAUGUAGAAUAUAUUUAUAAACUGUGGAUUACUCUUUAUUAGGCUUCUUCUAUACUCGAGCAAUGUGGAAUACCUUUAUAAGCAAUAAGCUUCUCCCCUACACUUUAUGUUAAUAAUAAUAAUAAUAAAAUAAAUCCAUUUUAAAAUAGACUUUUUUUUUCUUUUUCUAUAUAAACAAAAUGCAUUCUUCAAAUCAAUAGUGGGUGGAAGAAGUGAGUAGAGAAGAACUAGUCCCCUUUCAUUCCCCUAAAACCUCACCGAAACCUCUCUUGUGAACUUCUCAGAUUCUCUCUCAAUAUUUCUUAUGAUCUCGUUUUUGAUAGAAUCACUUCUUUUGCAUGUUGCAUUUGGUGUGUCUUUUUUGGGUAAUAUCUUAUCUGGAAUGCUGUCAUGAUCAAUAGAACAAGUAAUCAAUUUUUGGCUUGACGGAAGUCGAUUUAUUUAUUUACUAUUAUUUUUAUUUGAAAUUUUGUACAAUUGUGUUUCAUUCAUUUCUUUCCUUUUUUUUUAAUAUUUAUUAUGUAUAAUUGUGUUUCAUUUGAUAUUGAUCAUACUCUAGAUAACUAUGUGAUUGUAGCUGGGGAUUUUAAGUUUUGUGAAUUCAAGAAACUGUCAAAAUGCUAGUGAAAUUGGGACCUUUAUUCAUAAGCUUGUGGUUUUGAAAAGUAGCCCGGUUCAACUGAUGAAGUUCCUUUUUGGGAUUCUUUUUUUUCCUAGGCUGCAAUUCGGAUAUGUACCUGAUAGACAAUCUUUUGUGGGUUUAGCAUAUCUUCUCGGAUUUUGUCUUUUAUUCCUCGAUUUUAUAAUUACACACCAUGAAUGUUGAGUGAUUGUAUAGAAAAUUUGUGUUAUAACCAAAGCAUUGUGAAGGAGUUAAGUUAGUGGCUUCUGUUUUAUUGGCAUUGAUUGGGUAGAUUACGUGUUACAGUGAUUCAAUUUGUGAUCCAAACUUUGUUUAAAUUUCUGUUUUCCCAAAUUAUUUAUGUCAAAUUCAAAACCAGAAGCAUGUGCUGAUUUUUUCUUUUUGUAUUAAUCUGUGAAGUUUAUUUGGAAAGGAAGUAUCUGGGUCUAAUGGAUUAAAUUAUGUAAGUGGCAGAAAUUCCUACACACAUAAAUAUGCAUAAAUACAAAAGUAUACACAAAAAAAUGCACACACUCAUACAUCCAGUCAAUAUAGUUAAUGUAAGAGCACAUACCGGUUUGGUUAUCUUGCUGCAAGUGCACCGCAUUAGCCUUGCAUUCUGGUGCCAACUCCUCCGGCGGUUCACUCACUACCUUUCCCAAUGCUUUGGACCUCCAUUCGGUCUCCAUCAGAUUUCUCAGGAGCACUAAAUAAAGCAGCUAAAACUUGCUUCUGUAGUUCAUUUCUGUCUUUCGGGUGUCUAGGCAAUUUUCCUUCGUCGGUAUUUCGAUCUUCCUUUACAUGACUGAGGAAAUACAGUCAAAAGCUAAUCAAGUAACCAUAUAUGGAUGAGAAAUCCCUCCACCCCCCUUCCAAAACAAAUUCUAAGAAAUAUCAGAAUUCUUUCAAUAAAAACCCUUCCCCCCAUGCUGUGCCUGCUGAAUGAAAUAUAUUAAUCUUACGAGAAGUUGAGAAAAUAAAUUAAAGAACAUACCCUCCGGAAGAAUUCAAUUGUUGCAAUUUUCUUUCACGUGGAGGUCCUCCAAAGUUAGAGCACAUAUCCGUACACUGUUUAUGAAAUCAUAAUAACAGGGGACCAGAUAUUAAUAACAAAUCUUGACACCUAAAAGUCAACUGUGAUGAAAAACAUUAAAAAGAAUAUGAACUUGUUAUCUUGGAAGAAGAUAAUUUAAGAUAUAGCAAACUUGGCACAUUCAUAUAUGAACAGAAGGAAUUUGUAGACGUUUUAAAGCCAUAAUCGUUUAAUAAUCAUGAACCAAGCAAUAAUAGAUGAUUAUUAUGUUGGGUGCAAGCGGAAGUGCAGAAAAAUUUUUAUUUAAGAUCAGAGUAUUUUGCUGGAAAUUUCUGAAACUUUAUUGCUUAAUUCAUUUUUUCGUUUCUCUCUUACUUUUCAUACAACCAGAGUUCUAUAUUUAUAUGCAUUAUAGACAACUCUAGAGAUUACAUUAAUCAUGCUUUACAUUUCCAAAGCCACAUUGCAAACAUCAAUUCUACCCUUUACUUCACGUUGAAAAACAAACCAAAUAAUCCUUCAAACUUCUUGCUCAAUUUACUAGAUUACUAAUUAUAUCUCAACACCCCCUCUUAAUUAGUAAUCUUCAAUUGCUUCUUGAAUUUUUCAAACUUCUCAAUAAUGAUUGCUUUGGUCAGAAAAUCUGCUGGCUGCUCAUUAGUGCUGAUAAACUCCAUAUUAACUUCUCCUUUGCUUACUAAGUCACGGAUGUAGUGAUAACGCAGCUCAAUGUGCUUAGAUUUAGCAUGAAAUACGAGGUUCUUUGUUAGAGCAAUGGCUGACAUGUUGUCACAAUAAAUUGUUGUUGCAGCAUCUUGAUUGAACUGCAAAUCCUUGAGAAUUCUUCUAAGCCAAACGGCUUCACAAGCUGAUUCAGUUGCUGCAAUGUACUCUGCCUCGGCUGAGGAUAAAGCUACUGACUUCUGCUUCCUUGAGCUCCAUGAAAUCACAUUUGUACCAAGACAAAAUAAAUAACCUGAUGUGCUUUUUCUGUCAUCAAGGGAACCAGCCCAGUCACUGUCAGUAAAACCAACAAGCUUGCAAUUGUCUUCUUUUUCAUACAUGAUCCCCUGCUUUUUUGUUCCUUGAAGAUACCUUAAGAUUCUCUUUGCUGCAAUAUAAUGGGACUUCCUUGGAUCAUUCAUAAAUCUAGAAAGAACACUAACUGAGUGCAAAAUGUCAGGUCUUGAGUUGGUUAGAUAAAUCAACGAACCAACCAAGCUUCUAUAGAUUCUUGCGUCAGCCUUUUCUUCUUUUUCAUCAUGUUUCAAUUUUUCAUUCAAACCCAUAGGAGUAGGUGCUGGUUUGCAUUUGAACAUGUGGAAUUUCUUCAACAAAUCUUCUACGUAUUUUUCUUGACAAAAGAAGAUUUUUCCUCUGGCUUGCUUCACUUGAAUGCCAAGAAAAUACUUCAUUAAGCCCAAGUCAGUCAUCUCAAAUUCAUCUAGCAUGCUUUUUUUAAACUCUUCCACCAUUUUCAGAUUAGUGCCACAAUAAAUUAGAUCAUCAACAUAAAGGCAAACAAUAAGGAAAUCAGUACCUUCCUUUUUGACAUAAAGAGAAGGUUCACUUGAGCUUCUGUCAAAUCCAUUUUUAACGAAAUAUCUAUCAAUUCUGCUAUUCCACGCUCGAGGGGCUUGCUUCAAGCCAUACAAGGCUUUUCGGAGUUGAUAAACUUUGUUUUCUUCACCUUUCACUUCAUAUCCUUUAGGUUGCUCAACAUAAACCUCUUCUUCAAUUUCACCAUUUAGAAAUGCCGAUUUUACAUCUAGUUGAAACACAUGUAAUUCCAUUUGGGCUGCCAAGGCAAGAACAGUUCGAAUAGUCUCCAUUCGAGCUACGGGAGCAAACGUUUCUGUAAAAUCAACUCCAGGCAGCUGAGAGUAUCCUUUGGCAACGAGCCGCGCCUUAUAUUUUUUAACUGAACCAUCUUCAUUGUACUUGAUUUUGAAGAUCCAUUUCAGCCCAAUUGUUUCUUUUCCAUUUGGCAAAUUAACCAUCUCCCAAGUUUUAUUUUUCACAAUGGUGGCCAUUUCCUCGUUCAUUGCUUGGAUCCAAUUUUCAUUUCUUGAGGCCUCCUCAAAGUCUUGAGGCUCACAAGAAAAUAAAGCAAGUUCACAUGACUCAUAAAUUUCUCUCAUUGACUUUAUCUUCCUUGGAGGGCUUUCAUCAUCCGAAGAACUUUCUGCUGCUGAAUUUGGAGAAUUUGGUUCCAAAUUAUUUUGCUGUGAAGAAUUUGGUGGAGAUACAGGAGCUUCGAAAAAGCUAGAUGCUUGAGAUUGAUCUUUUUCCCACUGCCAAGCUGAUGCCUCAUCAAAUACAACAUCUCUUGAGAUAACAAGCUUAUUUGUUGUAGGAUUCAACAACCGAUACCCUUUAGACUCAUCACUAUAGCCAAUAAACAAAUAUUUUUCACCUUUUUCAUCAAACUUCUCUCUGUUUUGAGCUAGAAUAAGAGCAUAAGCAAUACUCCCAAAAAUCUUCAAGUGAUCAACAGUUGGCUUUCGGUUGUGCCAAGCUUCAAAUGGAGUUUUGUCUCUAACAGCUUUUGUAGGAGACCUGUUGAGGAUGUACACAGCUGUAUGACAUGCUUCUGCCCAUAAGUUGUUAGGAAUGCCUUUGCCUUUUAACAUGCUUCUUGCCAUCUCUACAAUGGUACGGUUCUUCCGUUCUGCAACUCCGUUUUGUUGUGGACUUCGGCUGACAGUAAGUUGUCUUUGAAUUCCAUUAUCCCUGCAAUAAUUCAUGAAUGGAGUGUAGAUAAAUUCACCACCACGAUCAGUUCUCAAGGUCUUCAUUUUGCAUCCACUUUGCCUUUCUGCAAGAGCUUUAAACUGAAGAAAAGUUGAGAAAGCUUCUGAUUUUUCAUUCAAAAAAUAAAUCCACAUCAUCCUUGUAUAGUCAUCAACAAAAAGAAUGAAAUAUCUCCUGUUAUUGAGAGAGAGAGUCCUUGUAGGACCACAAAUAUCAGCAUGCACCAACUCCAACGGAGCUUUGGCUCUCCAUGAAUUUUUAGGAAAUGGAAGUCUAUGCAUUUUUCCAUAUAUACAGCCCUCGCAAACUUUUUCAUAUCUUCCAACAUCAGGUAAGCCAAUCACCAUGUUCUUUUGCUUGAGCAAAUUCAGCCCUUUAUAGUUUAAAUGACCAUAUCUGAGAUGCCAUAAAUUUGACAAAUCUGAAUUUUCAGUUUUGAGAGCAACAUUCUCAUCAAGUGGCAUAACAAGAGGAAAAACUUUGUUCUUUGACAUUUCAACAACGGCCACUGUAUGAUUAUUAGUUUUAUCAAUGAUUUUGCAUUUUUCAUCAUCAAAAUAAAUUGAAAAACCCUUUUGAAUUAGCUGCCCCACACUCAAGAGGUUUUGAGUUAAAUUUGGAACAUAAAGAACGUCAUAAAUGAGCUUUUUGUUACCUCCCUUUGUAUGGACAGCAAUAGUGCCUUUUCCCACAGCUUUCUGCAUCUUUCCAUCUCCAAGCUUCACUUGCGAAUUAAAACUUUGGUCAAGGUUGAUGAAAAUGUCACGUUCUCCAGUCAUGUGGUUGCUACAACCGCUAUCCAAGUACCACAAAUUAUAUGAUUCACGUUCAGCACCUUUACUUGAAUAAAACAAGUAAUCUCCAUCACAUUCUUUUGUAAAAUUUGCCUCAUUUUUGCCUUUCUUAUUUUGAUACCAGCAAUCCCUUUGAGAAUGGUUAGGAAUGCGACACCUUGUGCAUUUAUAACGACAAUCUUUUGAUUCAUGAUUAGACCGAUUACAAAUGAUGCACUGAGAAUCUGAAUUUUGCUGUGAAUUCCCUCUGUCAUUUUUCCACUUGUUGCGGUUGUCGUUCUGUUCUCUUUGCCCUAUGCCACGCUGCUCGUUUCUUUGAGACGAGCCUCCGUUCUUCUGGUCUUUCUUGCUGCUUUUAUUCUGAUCUGAAUUAUUAAUCUUUGACUGAAAAGCUUGCUCUGUAGGCUGACUUGAAGGUCGAUUGAUUCUUUGCUCAUGAGACCGUAAUGAUCCUGACAAAUCUGAAAAAGUCAUCUUGGACAAAUCCUUUGAUUCUUCAAUGGCUGCUGCUACAUGAUCAAACUUUGGAGGAAGACAUCUCAGCACCUUUUCAUUCACCUUCUUGUCUUCAAUGGAGUCCCCACAACCUUUAAUCUGGUUCACAAUCUCAGUAACUCUACUGCAAAAAUCCUGAAUUCCUUCUCUGUCUUUCAUUGAUAAAUUAUCGAACUCUUUCCACAAAGUCUGUAACUUGAUGGUGACUGCCUUUUCAGAACCUUGAAAUUCUUGUUUUAGGAUUUUCCAAGCAUUUUUGGCCUUUUUGACACCAAAUAUUCUGGGGAAAAUUGACUUACUAACACCUUGCUGGAUAUAUCGAAGUGUCGUGGCAUUUCUCUGUAUGUUUUCUUUGUACUGCUGUUGAUGUGCUGGAGUCCAAUCUGAAGAACUUGCAGAUUCUGGUGGUUCAGCAUAUCCAUCUUCAACAACAUCCCAUAAAUUUUGAGAGAGGAAAAAGGUUUCCAUUUGAUUACUCCAAUAUUCAUAAUGUACCCCUUCAAAUAUUGGAACUUGACUGGGAGCAUAUGAGAAUAAUGUGGGUAGGGUAUUUGAUGUCAUUUUGAGGGUGUUUUGGAAAAGCUCUGAUACCAAAUUUGUUGGGUGCAAGCGGAAGUGCAGAAAAAUUUUUAUUUAAGAACAGAGUAUUUUGCUGGAAAUUUCUGAAACUUUAUUGCUUAAUUCAUUUUUUCGUUUCUCUCUUACUUUUCAUACAACCAGAGUUCUAUAUUUAUAUGCAUUAUAGACAACUCUAGAGAUUACAUUAAUCAUGCUUUACAUUUCCAAAGCCACAUUGCAAACAUCAAUUCUACCCUUUACUUUACGUUGAAAAACAAACCAAAUAACCCUUCAAACUUCUUGCUCAAUUUACUAGAUUACUAAUUAUAUCUCAACAUAUUAUUCCGUUUCUUCUAAGCUACGCAUACUUGCACAUCAGAAUAAAGUGAUAUACAAUGGUUGUGUGCAGACACAAACGCAUGAUCAACAGGAAAAAUCAUCUGAACAUUUGUAUUACUGAUUUGGCAUAUAAGAUUCUCAUAAUAGUUCAAAAUACAAAUAAAUGAAUAUAUAUAUAUUCCCCACCGGAAUCACCCCCUGGAUCCUCACUCAAGGUGUCUUCCGAGCCAGAAGAUCCCUCCUCACCACUAUUUCCGCUCGUGGAGGUUGUUUGGGGGGACAUCCUCCUAGCGCUAGUCCCAACACUAGACCUAAUGGGUUCUAAGGGGAUCCCGGGGUCAAAAGCAGGAUCGGUGAGCAGACUAGACAAGAAACCUAAUUCGUCGUCAUCAAUCUCAACGAUUUUCUCUUUACCCUUCGACAUUCCCUAAACUAUAAUCAGAACACCACCACCAACUACAACCCCAAGCAAAGCACAGAGAAAAGAAAUUAUCUACAACUAACCAAGACCGAGAAAAUAGAAGAAAUACCUGAAGCAGGGAUUCGAUCAGAGAGAGAUAGGGAUGAAAGCUUUAAUGCCGAGGUUCAUUCGCCGGAGAGACAAGAAGGGAGAAAAUGACGAGUUCGUGUUUGAGGAUUUUGGGUUUUCUUACUGAGAAGCAAACUCUUGGGCUGCCAGCAUUUAAUGACACAUAUUCCGAGAAUCUUGCAACCGUAGGUUUGAAAUUCAAAUGGAGGGGUGGAUUUCUGCCACAUCACUUCAUCUGCAAUUAAAUGCGACACGACUCUUGGCAGUCUUUUCCAGUCCCACGCGAGCAAGAACCGAUUGAGUUUCUACUGCUGGUCCAUUACAUUACCCAACACCAGAAACUGGGGGACUGGUGUUUGAGGGAAAUACUUCGACGAGACCAGACGUGAUGAGCAGAUAUUUGAUGGCAGAGUUCUGCAAACAGGUGUGUCUUGUAAGAGCCAGGUAGCAGGGGAACAGGAGUAGGAAUAUUCUGCUCGUCCACGAAUAUGCCAUUCACGAGGUCAAACUCCUGUUAGAGGCAUAAGGCCAUUCCUGCUAGAGGUCGAGAAGCGAGGAGACCCGGUCAACGACAGUUGGCAAGACGUGCAUUCCUAUCCGAGAAUCAAGGCACAAAGUCCAUCUCCAUUCGCCCACAAUGGCGAUAAUGGGGCAUCCAUAUCCCGGGGGGGGGAGAAUAAGGGGCGUGGACUACGGAAGAUCGGGAUUCAGAGGAAGCUUAUAAAAAGGUAGCCAACGAAGGUAAAAGGGUUAGAAUUUUUGAGAUUGCAACUAAGAAAAGAGAGCUCUAAGAACUGAAACUAAAGAGAAGCCAUAAGAUUCGUGGCAAACAUUCCCAGAACCUUCAUAUCUGACUUGAGCGUCGGAGGAUUUACGCCGGGAAAACGACCGGCGCACCCUGACCUGCUUUUGUGUUCGCAUGAAUUUUUGGGGAAGAAACCUUACGAGGAGAGAUCCUGGUCAUGGUAGAGUUGGUCGAGCAGAGGUCCUGGUCUUGGUAGAGAAGGCAACCAGAAUCUCGCAUCAACAAUUAUUUUACUUGAAAUUAUGUACAAUUGCAUUUCAUUCAUUUCUCUCUCUCUUUUUCUUUUUUCCCCCCAUAUAUUUUUUAUGUAUAAUUGCGUUUCAUUUAAUAUUGAUCAUACUGUAGGUAACCAUGUGAUUGUAGAUGGGGAUUUCAAGUUUGUUGAAUAUUCAUGUAAGUGAAGUAACCGUCACAAUACUAGUGAAAUUGGGAGCUUUAUUCAUGAGUUUGUGGUUUUGAAAAGUACCACAGUUCAGCUGAUGAAGGCUUCUUUUUGGGAUUCUUCUUUUCCUAGGCUGCAAUUAGGAUAUGUACAUGAUAGACAAUCUUUUGUUGGUUUGGCAUAUCUUCGCUGAUUUUGUCUUUUAUUCCCCAAUUUUAUAAUUACACACCAUGAAUGUUGGGUGAUUGCAUAGAAAAUUUGUGUUAUAACAAAAACAUUGUGAAGGAGUUUCUGUGCUAAUAGUUAGUGGCUUCUGUUUUAUUGGCAUUGAUUGGGUAGAUUACGUGUUACAGUGAUUCAAUUUGUGUUCCAAACUUUGCUUUAAUUUUCUGUUUUCCCCAACUAUUUAUGUCAAAUUUAAAUCCAGAAGCAUGUACUGAUUUUUUCUUUUUGUAUUAAUUUGUGAAGUUUAUUUGGAAUGGAAGUAACUGGGUCGGGUCUAAUGGAUUAAAUUAUGACAUUGAGGGGAAGGCACUAAAAGGGUUUGCUUGACACAUUUGGUUCUGUGUCUGCAAGAAAUAGCUUUUGCUUAUUGCAAUGCAGGGGGAAAUCCCGAUUUGGCUGGUGAAUUUCUCUGCAACAAACGGGCAAACACCUUGACUUCUUCUGUCCAUACUUCUGCUGGGGAGGCAAGGGGUAAAGAGUCUUCAAAAUCAUCAAAUAGUAACAUCUCUGAGAAUUCAUUUUAUGGAAAUGGAAAAUCUAGAGCUUCUAAUACAAAAUGGUAUCUGGUAUCAGGACGUACCGUUUCAAGUUUUCUUGGUAAAGAUUAUGUUAAACCUGCACAGCCAGCUAAUGGCACUUUUCUGGCAUCAAAGCCAUUGAAGUUGGAUCCAAGGGAGUUUCGCAUUUCUGCACUUUCAGAGAAGAAACUAAACCGAAACAAUCAAAGGAUGACCAUUUGCAGAAGGAUAUGGAAGAUUUUCUGUUUAAAUUGCUAGGAGAAGGGUUCCAGCUGUACAGGGAUGUGAUUCAGAUGGUUCAUGGUAACGUCUUAAAUAUAUUGAUGCCAAUUUAAUACAUAUUGUCCUUUUCAAUGUUCUUUCUUUCUUUCUCCUCUUUUUAUUCUUCUUCUUCUUCUUUUUUCUUUUCAUGUGCAUCUGAUCACUAAUUUGGUAUUAUUCUUAACUUGCAGAUAGUUGUGGAUAUGAUAUGCAAAAAGGUAAGGACUAUAUCUUCUUGAUGGAGGCCUCUGAUUUUUUAAAUCGCAUUUUCCUUUGUGAUUGAUAUAUCAUACCAAAGUCAAGUCUUAAAUACUGCUGUCAUAUGUUAAGGUUCAACUUCCAUUUUGAUUAACGUCGAUUUGCUACUGCUUCCAAAAGUGAGAAUGAGAUACUUUGGUUAAUUUCAGUAGUUGAACCCAAUAGAGUACUUUAUUUAGAUCUUCAUGGUUCAAAGGCCUGAAAAAACUUGCCGGUGUUUGCAAAAUGACAUUCUGUGCUUUUAUUUAGACUUAUUAUUAAAGACAACAUUUUGUUUCAGCCAAAAAUGUUUGUUUCGAUUAAAGACUGAUUUUAUAUUUCUAUUUUGUAACUUGAAAUAAUUGGUCUGCCUGUUUCUGUUGCUUGAUAACAUGAAUUUUUCCUUCUGAAGUUAAUUUGAUCAAUAAAGUAAUUCUUCGGAGAGGAUAUGCCCAUUCUAUAGUCAUUUUCUUAGCUAACAUGUUUUUUCUUCACUCUUCAGAGCAUGUCUAAACUAAUUGAUCGCUCAGCGGAGACUUUGGGUGAGAAGACAAAAUUUCUUGGUAAAUCCUCUGAAAAGGUAUGCAUAAUUCCCGAGUAUUAAAUAAUCAUUGGUCAUAAUUUUUGUACACGACUCUUUUUUUGGAGAUCGUUAAAAGUGGUUGAUGAUCUAUUUUGUAAUAUCAUAGAGGGAUCAUGAAUUCCUUUUCUUUUCUGUGGCUAGGCAACACUUUCGAGCCAAGCUAAGGAAAUCUAUUUUAGGUAAUGUGAAAACCAGUUGUAGGAUGUAAUAGUUUAUUAUGCCCUGCCAAUAACUUUUUGUAUAAUUGUCAGUUUAAUGAAUACAAGAGGAACUCUGUUGGCAAGUUCAUCCAUGAUAGAUGCUAAAAUUAUUUAUGCAUACCAGUUGCCUUAACUAAUUUUUCUCAACACUGGUAUUGAACAGGAAAAUGAAUAUGCAAUUUGUAUAUUGUGCCAUUGUGGAGAAUUUGGAUAUUCUUAUUUAAGUAACAAGGAGAGUAUUUGCCUCAUCUUUAAACAAUGAAUCUUUGAGAAAUGAGGAGUGGGUGAUUGGCAGUGUCUUCAUGUAAAUGUUCAUUUAUUUGUAUUUUGAACUAUUAUGAGAAUCUUUGUAUGCCAAAUUAGUAAUACAAAUGUUCAGAUGAUUUUUCCUGUUGAUCAUGCGUGUGUAUCUGCACACAACCAUUGUGUACCACUUUAUUCUGAUGCGCAAAUAUCUGUAGUUUAGAAGAAAAGAAAUAAUAAUCAUAUAUUAUUGCUUGGUUCAUGAUUAUUAAACGAUUAUGGCUUUAGAAAAUCCACAAAUCCUUUGUGUUCAUAUAUGAAUGUGCGAAGUUCGCUAUAUCUUAGAUUACCUUCUUCCAAGAUAACAAGUUCAUAUAUUUUUUAAUCCUUUUUCAUCACAGUUGAAUUUCAAGUGUAAGUUUUGUUAUUAAUAGCUGGUUUCCUGUUAUUAUGAUUUCAUAAACAGUAAGAGGAUAUGUGCUCUACUUUUGGAGGGCCUCCACAUGAAAGAAAAUUGCAACAAUUGAAUUCUUCCGGAGGGUAUGGUAUUUAAUUUAUUUUCUCAGCUUGUUGUAAGACUAAUAUAUUUCCUUCAGUACGCACGGCAUGGUGGGAAGGGUUUUUAUUGAAACAGUUAUGAUAUUUCUUAGACUUUGUUUUGGAAGGGGGUGGAGGGAUUUCUCAUCCAUAUAUGGUUACUUGAUUAGCUUUUGACUGUAUUGUCUCCGUCGUGCAAAGGAAAAUCCAAAUACUAACGAAGGGGAAUUGCUUAGGCACCCAAAGGACAGAAAUGAAUUACGGAAGGAAGUUUUUGCUGCUUUAUUUAGUGCUGCUGAGAAAUCUGAUGGAUUUCCUGAAAUUACGGUGAAGACGGAGUGGAGGUCCAACGCAUUAGGAAAGGUGGUGAGUGAACCGCCGGAGGAAUUAGUACCAGAACACAAGGCUAAUGUGGUGCACUGGCAGCAAGAUGACCAGACCUGUAUGUGCUCUUAUAUUAACUAUAUUGGCUGGAUUUGUGAGUGUGUACAUUUUUGUGUGUAUACUCACUUUUGGAUUUAUGCAUAUUAACGUGUGUAGGAUUCUCGAUUUCUGCCACUUACUGGAGAACUAGUGGAAAGCUUUAUACUGAUAUAUGUGCUAUAUAACUAAUGGAAACUACAAUAUGAAUAUUUUCUCUCACCUGGAGAACAGUGUAACUGAUAUAAUUUGUGGCUCUGGAAUACUGAAGAUUCUGCAAUAACUAAUGGAAAAUAUGAUAUGAAUAUUUUUUCUCACCUGGAGAACUUUGUAACAGAUACAUUUUGUGCUGGAAUGUCUAAAGAAUGCUUCAGUUUAGAUCAAAUAUCUUUUAGUUAGAAAAGAUAAAAUUCUCUGAAUCUGAAAGACUGAAACAUUUUGCAUAUUUCGUGAAAGGCAAGUAUCUGUAGAUACUAGCUCAUGCAUUGAGGUAAUAUCAAUGUUAAAGAAAAACAGCAAUAAUUUAUUAUACAGAAUUAGGUUCACUUGCUUUAAAUGCUGGUCUGAUCAACCAUAUCAACCUGUAAUGGUCCUGCAGAAAUAUAUAUACGGGGAGAAACUAGCUAAUUUUCCUUUCACUUAUGGGUUUGGUCUUUUUUUUCCCCUAUUUUUCAGCUUUCCUUCUCCUGAAGUAUGUUAACAAUUGCAGAUAAUGACGAAGAGGACCGCUUCCAGGCUCUUUGUAGAGCUGUGAUGGAAUAUAGGGGCACAAUGAAAGAAUAUUGUAAGGCUGUAUGUACUUUCUCUCAUGUCAUUUAUGUUUUCUCACACAUUUUGUAUAUGCCCUGAACAUGCAGCUUUGUAUGUGUCAAUUGCCUUUUACGUUUUAAAAGCCAUAAAGUAAGAAUACAGUUCCUUGUCAGGCUAUUGAUGCGUUCGCUCAGAAGGGUCAUGUUCAAGCAGGAAAACUUCUAGAACAGGUAAGGUUUCCAUCUACAGCCAUCCAUUGACAGCAGAUAUAUUUUCAUUAAGCAGACACUGUUAGCAUUCAAGAUGCUGGCAGAUUCACUUGAUUCUUAUUAGUUUGUUUAGUGGCAAACCAUAUAACCUGUAUUUCAAAGCCAAGUUGUGCUAUUGAUUAUGUUAACUUUAUUGUUAACAUAAAGUGAUAUGGAGGACAUAAUCAAUGUAGGAAAAUUAGGUGAAGAGAUGAUGUCAAAUCUUGAACCUCUUACAAAGCUCCAAGUUCUUUACUUGAAGAAGCUGCCAAAUUUGAAGAGCGUCUACUGGAAGGCAUUUCCAUUCCCAGAUGUAUGCAGAAUUUUUGUAUUAAUGCCCAGUUCUUAAGAAGCUGCCACUGGAUUUUCAAGGGGCGGGCCAAGGUAAAAUUCUUAUCAAGGGAAAGGAAGAUUGGUGGAAAGAACUUCAAUGGGAGGAUCAAGCAACUCAGAAUGCAUUGCUUCCAUUUUUCAAAUCAACUGACAAGUGAUUGAAGGGGGCAUCAUCAACAUCAUCAACUGGGAUGGAGAGAUUAUGGAGCAGAUCAGCAGGGUUUGUAUAUGAUCUUUGGUGGUUGCUUUCUUUUGUGAUUUUUUUUUUCUCAUUUUUUUCCCUUCCUGUCAUUUUAUCAUUUCUUUGUCUCGUUUUCUAUUGCUGAUGUUAGUGUAUGCUUACUGUUGCUUGACAAAGUUUGCUUGCUUCUUGUUUAUUAAUUUUUUUAUGGUCACAAAAUAUUACUUGUUCUAUUUGAGAGUGAUGUGAAUCAAUUUUCAAUUAUAUAUUUUAUGGUCAAUGUGAAUUCAAUUUCAUUUGUCUCCUGCAAUUAUUUAAAAAAUGCAGAGUCAUAAUAUGGAAAAGUCGACCGGCAAAAACUUUGUGAAAGCUUCGGAGUGAAACAGGGAAUUCACUUACUAACAGGGAAUUCACUUACUACUAAGGACAAUUGGUGGCGAGCUAUUCCAUUCAUUUUAUGUCCAUACAUCUAUUUAAUUAUUAAAGAUAAGUGGUCCAUUUGUAAAUUUCAGAUUGUGUCUCUCUGAAAAUAACAAUAUUUAAAAUGUCUCUUAAAUUAUUAUAAAUUUUAAUUCACUCUCGAUUUAAAAUGGAACAUGCUGAUGAAAUUUUUUUUCUUCUUAAUAAAAUUGAAAUAAAUUGUGUUUGCAGUAGUUUGAAAUAUUUUAAAGAUUAUUAUUUUAUAAGGGAGUAAUAUGAAAUGAAAUUUACUUUUCAUGCGUGAAAUGUUGAAAAAGGACACAGCAAGUGUCCCUGCUUUUAUUUUAUUUCAAAGUGGAGUCAUCUCACAUACUUUAACUCUAUCGUUACAAUUUUUCAGGUUACAUUUUUAUUUAUUUAUUUAUUUUCUUUUUUACACAUGCAUGUGGGUUACUUUUCCGUAAGCUCCUUAAUAUAUAUAUUUAACACAAAUCAUGGAAGAGAUGGGAGUAUAUCAAGAUGAUCAAAGCAUGAAACAAAAAUAUUUAAGAAGUAAAACACUGAAAAUAGAGAAGAGAUGCAAGCAAAAGAUAUUCCAAAGAAAAGCAAUCUAUCUCCUUUCGAAGAAUGUUAUGGAAGAGUUGAACCCAGCGAAGAAUGUUAUGGAAGAGCAAAUUAAUGAUAUUUUUGAUAGAGUCUAUUUGAUUAUGUAGCCUGAAUAGAUGUCUUGUUGAAAGAUAUCUCAGUGCAUUAGUUCAUCCUUGACUGUCAAUGUGUUUUUAAUGGUUUUUCCAAAUUUUUAUUAUUAUAGAUUGAUUGUAAAUUUGAUAUGAAUUUAAUGUUGAAAUGUUUUCUCUUUAGUGGAAUGAAUUUAAAAGUGCAAAAGCUUAUUGCACACAGAGAAAUAAACAUAUAUGCUUUAUAACUUUAGCAAUCGAUUCUUUUACAGCUGGAAACAGAGAUGAUGAUUAUCAUAGGGGUGAAGAAAAGGACAAAAAAUGUUAAUGGUUAACGAAAUUUCUAUGCAAAUUGAUUUUAGCAGGAAAAAAGUGAGCUAAAUGAUCUUAAUGUUCCACAAGAAAAAGCAAGAUCUUAAUGUUCCACAAAAGCGUUAUUUAUUUUUUUUUGGUGAGCCACGUGGAGCUCAAUUAUCAUUGUCUUUACUUUAAAAACGUUAUUUUAUUUUCUUUUAUUACAAAUUAAUGCUAACAAGAAAAAGCAAGAUAUAAUAUUCCACAAAAGCAAAUCGUAAUAUUCCACAGAGGAGUAAGAUCCACAAAAGCAAACAACUAGCUGGAUUCUUUUAUUGAACUACAAAUUAAAACAACAAAUUAAAGUUCAAAUAUUUAAAUAGUAGUGCGUUAGACGAUUAGGCUCUUUUAUUAAAGGGAAGUAUAAAGUAGUCCAGAAUCGAACAUCUCUAUUGUCUAGUCUUUUUUUUUUUUUUUAAUUCUUCUUUUAUUAUUUUUCAGAAUAGGUUUUGGUGAUUACUAUUGGGUUAUUAUUGAGAGUUAUUGUUAUCUUCCGGGGCAGUUUCUGUUAAUCGAAAUCGUUAAUUAAAAUUUUAGAACUCUUAUUGGAAGAAUGUUUUUCCGUUAUUUUUUUAUAUUCUAAUUUCAAUUGUAAGAAGUAGUCAUUUUAGAAUUUGGGUCUUGAAUCGAAUUUCAAUGCAUGAAUUAAUAUUUAAAAAAAAAAUUACUACACGCAGUUUAGGUUACAAACUAUUUUUUGCAAAGUUGAUUAUGAAAUUGGAAAAAUUAAGUAAUUUAUAAUGUUUGCAAAGGAAGAGACUAACAUACUUCCAAUUACACUAUAUCUCUAUUAUCAUAAUGUUAAGAUUAAACUAACUUAAAAUAAAUUUUAUUUGAAAAGUUAUAUCAAACGCAGUCUAAUUUUAUUAACUUGAAGAGAUAAUAGUUAUAGAAAUUAUUGUUCUAACUUAAUUAGUACAAGUGGUAUAAAGGUUAAGUGUGCACUAAAUUUGUUUAAAUUUUUUCCAGAAUAACUAACAGAGGUCAUUACUAGAAUUAUAAUUACUAGUCUAUUAGAUAGAAAAAAUUAUUUAUAUUGUUUUAUAUUUAUUAAAAAAUUUUAAAGUCAAUCUUUUUAAUUAUUAUUUAAAGGAUAUUAUAAUUAAAAAAAAUUUAAUGUCUUUAUUAAAAAUUUAAAAAUUUAAAAAUUUAAAAAUUUACAUGACCGCUCUAUAAAUAUUGAAAGUGUAACUGUCAUUUUCUCAUAUAUAUAUAUAUAUAUAUAUAUAUAUAUAUAUAUAAACCACGGUGGUGAAGCUUUAUUUAAUAUUAAUGAUUUAAAUAACAAUAUCUCAAUUAAAAAUGUAGAGAGAAGAAAUUUCGGUGGGUAUAUUAGUCUUUUACAAUUAUCAUGAUUAACCCUUCCUCUUGUAACGUUGGUCAGAAAAGUUUUAAAAUGCCUUGAUUUCUUUUACUUUUAACGUUAGCGGCCUUCCUUAUAUUUUAUUACAAAUUAGUCCUAACAAGAAAAAGCGAGAUCAUAUUCCAAAAAAGCAAAAGUGACAAAAAAACCAGCUGUAUUCUUUUAUUAAACUACAAUUUAAAAUGAUUUUAAAGUGGAUUCUUUUGAAUACAGGUGGGGUAGUCGAAUAGUCUUUUUCAAAUUCUUGUUUUAUUAUUUUUCAAAACUAGUUUUUGGUAAUUACAAUCGGGUCAUUCAUUAGUCAUUAUUCAGAGUUAUUGUUAUCUUCGGGGGCAGUGGGUAAAAGGCUAAAUGAUAAUUACUAAGUGUUUUUCCUUCAAAAGUUAGUGGCUCGUGUUUUGCAAGUGUGUACGUGCGAUGCUCUUUGUCUAAAGGCAAUUACAGUGGGUCCCGAAUCGGACGUGCCUAAUAAAUCUUUUAAAAAUUUUUCUAAUAAAUAUUCCUAAAAUUUCUCUUCCACAGGCAAUUACAGCAGCUUCAGUUAAUCAAACUCAAUCAAUUUUCUUUCUUAACAAAAUUCCAAAGAUGUGUGGCUGUUUUCAGAUCACAUGCGAUGGUACUUUUUUCAAUCGUUGCUUAGAUUGCUUUCUUGGAAAAGCAGCAUACAUACGUAACCUCCAAGAUAACCUCGUUGCCUUGGAGACUGAACUAAGGAAACUAAUCGCAGCAAAGAACGAUGUGAUGACGGCGGUUGUCAAUGCUGAACGGCAACAAAUGAGAAGGCUGGAACGAGUGCAAGUGUGGGUUUCGAGUGUGGAUUCUGUUAAAACUGGAGCCGAUGAACUUAUCACAGACGGCUCUGAAGAAAUUGGCAAAUUAUGUGUUGGAGGCUACUGUUCCAAGAACUGCAGGUCAAGCUACAAGUUCGGAAAACAAGUGGCUGAAAAGCUACAACAUGUGAAGAAUUUAAUCGCCGAGGGAGUUUUUGAGGCGGUGGCCACUGAGGUGGUGCCCGAGAGAGCUCCGGAACCUGUAGCAGAUAAAAGACCCAUUGAGCCAACAAUAGUAGGCUUGCAAUCACAGCUUGAAGAAGUUUGGAGAUGUCUUGCAGAAGAAUCAGUGGGAAUCAUUGGCCUAUAUGGUAUGGGCGGUGUUGGUAAAACCACACUAUUGACCCAUAUCAACAAUAAAUUUCUUGAGAGUCCCACAAACUUUGAUUGUGUGAUUUGGGUCGUAGUUUCAAAAGACCUGCGACUUGAAAAAAUUCAAGAAGAUAUUGGGAAGAAGAUAGGUCUAUCUGAUGAUUCAUGGAAGAAUAAAAGUUUUGAAGAGAAAGCUGUGGACAUCUUGCGGAGAUUAGGAGAGAAGAGAUUUGUAUUGUUGUUAGAUGAUAUAUGGGACCGGGUUGAUUUAACAAAGGUGGGCGUUCCACUUCCCGGACCACAAAAUACUACCUCAAAAGUCGUAUUCACAACCCGUUCCAUCGAUGUUUGUGGCAGCAUGAGAGCUAGGCCGGUUAAAGUGGCAUGCCUAUCAGAAAAGCAAGCUUGGGAACUGUUCCACGAAAAUGUUGGGGAAGAAACUCUUGAGAGUGAUCAUGAGAUCGUUGAGCUAGCCCAAACAGUGGCCAAAGAGUGUGGUGGUUUGCCACUCGCACUUAUUACUAUUGGUCGAGCUAUGGCCUACAGAAAGAAAGCGGAGCAGUGGAGACGUGCAAUUGAAGAGUUAAGAAGAUCAGUUUCAGAGUUUGCAGGUUUGGGAAAAGAGGUGUAUCCUUUUUUAAAGUUCAGCUAUGAUAGUUUGCAGUAUGAUACGGUUAGAUCUUGUUUCUUGUAUUGUUGUUUAUAUCCUGAAGAUUAUGGCAUUCUUAAAUGGGACUUGAUUGAUUGUUGGUUUGGCGAGGGAUUUUUUGGGGAAUCUGACAGGUCUGGUGCAGAAAACCGAGGAUAUGGCAUUUUGGACACUCUUGUUCGUGCAUGUUUAUUAGAAGAGGUGGAAGAUGAUAAAGUAAAAAUGCAUGACGUUAUUCGUGAUAUGGCUAUAUGGAUAGCUUGUGAAAUUGAGAAGGAGAAGAGAAACUUUUUGGUUUGUGCAGGUGCUGGAUUAAAAGAGGCACCGGAUGUUAAAGGAUGGGAAAAUGUGAGAAGAUUGUCAUUGAUGCAAAACCAAAUUAAAACUCUGUCAGAGGUUCCUACAUGCCCUCAUCUCCAUACUCUAUUUCUUGACUUUAAUAAGGAGUUGGAGACGAUCGCGGAUGGCUUCUUCCAAUUUAUGCCUUCUCUCAAAGUUUUGAAGAUGUCAAACUGUGGGCAUGUCAAAGUUUUGAAAUUACCUAUUGGGAUGUCAGAGUUGGGUUCAUCACUAGAACUUCUUGAUAUUUCAAAUACCAACAUAACAGAGUUACCAGAAGAGUUGAAGUUGUUGGUAAAUCUGAAAUGUUUGAAUUUGAGGUGGACAAUUUGUUUAAAUAAAAUUCCAUGGCAACUAAUAUCAAAAUUUCAAGGUUACGUGUGUUGAGAAUGUUCGCUACUGGCUUUGCACGUUUUGAUGCAGCAUCAGAAGACAGCGUUUUAUUUGGUGGGGGUGAAGUUUUAGUACAGGAAUUGGUCGGUCUGAAAUAUUUAGAGGUAUUGGAGUUGACCUUGGGAUGUCAUCAUGCUCUCCAAAUUUUUUUGAGCUCAAAUAAGUUAAAAAGUUGUAUUCGAUCUCUUCUCCUCCAAUUGGCCGGAGAUACAAAGUCGAUUAUUGAUGCUACGGCUUUCGCAGAUCUAAACCACCUCAAUGAAUUAUGGAUUGAUAGGGCUAAGGAGUUGGAAGAAUUGAAGAUUGAUUGUAAAGAAAUAGUACAAAAAAGGCGGGAACCUUUUGUUUUCCGCAGCCUUCACCGUGUUACUAUACAUAGCUGCCAGAAGUUGAAAGAUUUGACAUUCCUCGUUUUUGCUCCAGACCUCAAGUCUCUCGAUCUAGACCGUUGCGAUGCUAUGGAAGAAAUAAUCAGCGUCGGAAAAUUUGCUGAGACUCCUGAGAUGAUGGGACAUAUAAGCCCUUUCGAAAAUCUCCAAACUCUUCAUUUAAGAGCGUUUAACAUCUUUUCUCGACGACCUGCACGAUUGCCUUUCACUCAUCUGAAGGAAAUGGAGGUAAGUGGGUGCGAUCAGCUUAAAAAGCUUCCACUCGAUUCCAACAGUGCAAAAGAGCGUAAAUUUGUUAUUCGUGGAAAAGAAGACUGGUGGAACCGACUUCAAUGGGAGGAUGAAGCCACUCAAAUUGCUUUUCGUUCCUGUUUCCAACCUGAGCGGUUAGUCGCAAAAUUUGAUUUCUGGUGAUUGCGUUUGUCUUUUAACUCUUAUAUAUAUUCUUGUCGUUUGUUUUCUUCUCUGUUUUUAACUCUUAUAUUGCGUUUGUCUUUUGAAAAUCUCCAAUUAAAUGUUGAAUUAAUGGAAUUAAUGCUUCAUAAAUUUGCCGGCACUGCCAUCACUUUUUUUUUUUUUAAUACAAAUUGAUACUUUAUUUAUAUCUUCUUAGCGAUAUAAUUUCCUGUCAAUUGACGAACGAGAAGAACAUACGACUUAAACCAAUUCACGCAUAAACUUGCUGUAAAAAGAUAUAAUCUCACUGAAAUGCACACGUCUAGAAUGAAUAGAAUUAAAACAGGGAAAAUAUUUAAGUAUAUUAGCCCUCUUUACCGAAAAUGAAAUGACAAUAAAUUUUUUGAAAGUUUUGAUUUUCUAUGGUCAAUUCCACCUUUUGCAAUUUCUUCUGUUCUAACAAAAACCAAUUUCUUUGUUCAAGUAUUUUCGUUUGGGUAUUAAUAAUUCUCCACCGAAAGAGUGAACUCUUGCUCAAGGGAUCUCUAAUCAAUAGCCGGAAGGGCGCCGAGACCUGAUCGGACCUAGGCCCAAGUUUGGUCUUAAAGCCUGGGCUUGAGCCUGGCAAUUAAAUUAAAACAUUAAUUGAUUUCUUGAUUGAAUUGUCGUGUAAUUGAUUUAUGGGGGAUGACACAUCAACAUGCUUGAAAACACACUAAUCUCAGCAUCAUCGGUUAAUAACUUUUAGAAUUAUGGGUAAUCAAUAGUUAAGAUUAGUUGUCAUUAAUACUAAAUAUUUUUUUACUAUUUUCGUCUCUUCUAGAGGAUCUUCUAGAAAAAUGCAUCCACAACAAAAUUUAAUACUUUACAUAAUAAACAAAGCAUAAAUGUUAAAUUUAAGAAACUGCAUUGUAUUUCAGCUGAAGUUGACUUUAAUAUUUAGGGUAGAAAAAUAAUAAAUCCUUAAUGUGUUUAAUUUCUAUCACUUGUGUCAUUAAAAUUUUCUAGUCACCCUAACCAAUUACAUCUCAACCCACUUUUUUUUGGAUGAUUUUAUUUUUACACUAUUAUUUUCAUCAUUUUUUUUCCUUUUAACACCAACAUUAGUGUAUGUUACGUAACAUAAUUCAUAUUUGGAUAAUUUGAAAUUUGUUUGUGUUUUAUCUCAAAAUAGAGCUUCAAUCAAUUUGUACCUCAUAAAUUCACAAUAUCUAUGAGGGCUAAUAAGACCAAACUCUGGCAUAUUGUCAAAUGUGCUUAUCCUUUUGCUUGACAUGUCAUUUUAAAAUUGUCAUUCAAUGCCAAAAAAUCACAUCAACUGAUGGCCGACUACUUUAAUUUGAAAGCAUGCAUGCGAUCGCCAAUAAUUAUAACUUAAUUGUUAUUUUGAAAUUUUUUUCUUUAUAAUUUUUAAGUUUAAUACUACUACAUGUGCAGCACAUAAGUUGGAAAAUAUAACAUAAAAUUUGAAAAAUGUGUAGCUUUCGUUCCUUUUUUUUCUUAAAAAUGAGGAAAAAGAAUGUAAUUUUGUUUAAAUUACUGUUGUGAUAACAAUUAUUAUUUUAUUGAUUAAUUGGCAGAGAAUGGUUAUGGUUUCGCAUGGUUGUUAAAACAUUGGAAAAUCCACUACAUCAUCCGUUAAUAACUUUCAGAUUUAUGGUUAAUCAAUAGUUGAGAUUUGUUAUCAUUAAUGUUAAAUAUUUUUUUAAUAUUUUUUCUCUCUCCUAGAGGAUCAUCACAGCAAAAAUUUAAUAUUAUAAAUAGUAAACAAAAUAUAAACAGUUAAAUCUAAGAAACUGCAUUGCAUUUCAGCUGAAGCUAACUUUAAUAUUUAAUGGAGAAAAAUAAUUAAGUCCUUAAUGUACUUUAUUUACCCAUACUGAUACGCUCUUAAUUCGUGAAACUGAGCAACAUCAAAAUUAUCACUACUUCGAGCGAGUGUUUGCUCCAGAAGAAAGAACUGGAAGUUGAGAAAUGAGAAAGAAGAAAAGAAGAAGAGUCACAGCGAGGAAUAAAAGUGGUCCAUUCAUUUCAUGCCUUCCCAAAAUGACAAAAUCCCGCAAUAUAUAACAGACAAUCGAAAAUAACCAAUUUGACAACGCAACAGAAAAUGACAAAAAAGAAUCCAAAACAAACGUAGCCAAUCACAAUGCUUUUACAGAUCAUCCUAAACGACGUAGUCUCGUAGCCAAUCUAGAAGUUUCUUGUUUCGUUUGGGCCGUUGAUUCUCUUGCACUGGCUCAUGGUGAAUGUCCUCUUUGGGUUGACUGACUGUGGGUUCUCGGUUGAGCUCUUCCACUUGCGCCCCCUCUAAUGGCUCUAAUUUGAUAUAUAAAUUCGUAUCAUUCCCUCCUGCUUGAAAACACACAUUGUCCUCAAGGUGAAAUGCUGGAUAGAGCUUACAAAAGGCGUCAAAGUUUUCCCAAGACGAAUUCUUCGGUGAACUGACGGUCCAUUGAACUAACACUUGAAGCGUUGGCUUCCCCUGUUGCAAAACUAUUCGGGUUGCACAAAUGGCAGCCGGUAGCAAAAGAGGAUGGUUAUCCACACUCAACUCUGGUAAAGGAUGUGAAAUAGCAGGGUCGUUGCCAUGAUAAUGCUUAAGGACAGAGAUGUGAAAAACCGAGUGGAUUUUGGAAGUAUUGGGUAACUCCAAUUUGUAAGCUACAUACCCCACUCUAGCAAGUACCGUAAAUGGCCCGUAGUAUCACUUGGCCAACUUCUGACAGGCGCGAGAAGCUAUAGUGGUCUGUCGAUAUGGCUGUAAUUUAACCAGCACUUUAUCCCCUACUUCAAAGUGAGCUUCACGGCGAUGGGCAUUAGCUUUCUGAGCCAUUCGAUGUUGUGCUUGCCUCAAAUUAGCUUUUAAAGAUUGGAGAAGAGUAUUACGUUCAAGGAGAAUGUCCUCCAAAGUUUGGAUUGAAGUAGAGCCCUUAGCAUAAUGAGGAAUAGUUGGAGGCAAUCGGCCAAAUAAAGCUUGAUAGGGAGACAUCUUCAAGCCACUGUGGAAAUGAGAAUUAUAACUAAAUUCUGCCCAACUCAGUAAGGAAACCCACUUCCGUGGUUUGUCUUGAGUGAAAGCUCGUAAAUAUUGCUCCAAUCCUCAAUUUACCACUUCCGUUUGACCAUCCGUUUGAGGGUGGUAUGCCGUGCUAUGACGAAGAGUUGUGCCACUUAAGAGGAAUAAUUGUUUUCAAAAAUUGCUCAAGAACACUGGGUCUCGAUCGGAGAUAAUUGAACUUGGAAAACCAUGUAUUUUAAUGACCAUGUCCACAAAGAGUUCAGCUGUCUUGAGGGCAGUAAAUUGACAGGGUAACGGACCAAAAUGGGCAAAUUUUGUAAGACGAUUGACAACAACCAAUAUGACCGAGAAACCUUGUGCUAACGAAAGACCUAUAACGAAAUCCAUUGUGACCUCAUCCCAAACCAUAUUAGGUAUCGGCAAUGGUUGAAGAAGACCAGCAGGGGCUUGAGUGGAAUACUUAGUUUGCUGGCAUAUUAAACACUCUCGGAUAAACGUUUCCACAUCAUGACGCAUCUUGGGCCAAUAGAAUGUUGAAGAUAAUCUGAUUAAGGUUCUAGUGACACCCACAUGACCUGCCAGUGGUGUAGAGUGAAAUUCUUGCAAUAGUACGACUUUUAAAGAGGAGGUAGGACUGAUGUAAUAACGCUGACGGUGGAGAAGAAAUCCGUUUUGAACAGAGAAGUCAACUGACAGUUUGCCUUGUAAAAGUUGCUGGUGAAGUGAUAUUAAAUCAGGUAAUGUGGUAUUCUCAUUAAGUAAUGACUGCAGCAAUUCAAAUGAAGGAUGGCUGUUGAAAGAAAGGCAAGUGGGGGAGAUGUUGAUGUUAUCCUCAGGAGCUGUUUCAUGGACACGGGAUAGAGCAUCAGCGGCGCUAUUGGUACAACAUGGUCUGUACUCAAUUCUGAAUUGGAAACCCAAUAAUUUGCGGAGAUAAACUUGCUGAUCUAGUGUUUGUAUCACUUGUUGAAGGAGUUCUUUGAUACUCUUAUGAUCCGUGCGGAUAACAAAGAAUCGGCCCAACAAAUACUGCCGCCACUUAUACACAGCUUCUACAAUUGCAUGCAACUCCUUGAUGUAAGUGGAAGAAGCCCGCAAUUUGGGACCCAACUUCUUGCUGAAAUAAGCAAUUAAAUGCCCAUGUUGUGUAAGUACAGCUCCUAUGCCUACAUUAGAAGCAUCGGUCUCAAUGACGAAUUCGAAAGUAAAAUUCGGCAACUUAAGGACUGGAGCUUGCACCAUUGCUUGUUUAAGAGCUUCAAAGGCCUCCAUGGCUGUCAAAUUCCAUUGAAAGGCAUCAUUUCGCAGCAAAUCAGUGAGUGGGGCUGCCAAGGAAGCAUAACCACGGAUGAAGCGCCUAUAAUAUCCAGUGAGACCAAGAAAACCCCUCAACUGUUUGAUAGAACGUGGAAUUGGCCAAUUAAGCAUGGCAUCAAUCUUUUGGGGGUCGGCUUGUACUCCCGAGGCUGAAACAAUACGGCUUAGAUACUCAAUAGCGGCUUGGCAAAACAAACAUUUGGAUAAUUUAAUAAAAAAUUGAUGAAGAUGUAAACAAGCUAAUACUUUCUCAAGAUGAAGCAAAUGCUCGGCCAUGGAGGAGCUAUAAACCAAGAUAUCAUAAAAAAAAACGAUCACAAAUUUCCGGAGAUGAGCUGCAAAAAUCUGAUUCAUUGUGGCUUGAAAAGUGGAUGGGGCAUUUGUCAACCCAAACGGCAUGACAAGAAACUCAUAAUGGCCCUCAUGUGUUCAAAAUGUCGUUUUGUAUAUGUCGCGGUUGUGGACACGAAUUUGAUGGUAUCCCGCGCGCAAAUCCAAUUUGCUAAAAAUGGUGGCGCCCCCAAGUUCAUCAAACAACUCAUCGAUUGUCGGUAUAGGAAAUUUGUCUUUGAUGGUUACGGCAUUUAAUGCACGAUAGUCAACACAAAACCGAUAGGUGCCAUCUUUUUUCUUGACCAAGAGAACCGGGGAGGAAAAAGGGCUUUAGUUCGGUCGGAUUAUGCCCUACUCUGACAUUUCCCUGAUCAGUUUUUCCAUUUCAGAUUUCUGGAAGUGUGGGUAGCGGUAUGGACGAACAUUGACGGGGGCUGUGUUGGGUAAUAAAUGGAUUUUGUGGUCAAUAGUUCUGUGCGGUGGUAGGCUAGAAGGUUGGAGAAAUAGGUGUUUGUAUUGCUGUAAAAGGUUGAGAAAUUGAGCAGGAAGGGAAAAAGGAAAUUCAAGUGAGGAAGUGUCUGUGAUGGAAAAUGAAGGCAAAGCAUCGAUAGCGGGCACUGGUUGUAAGGCACAAAGGCUGGUCACGGUAUCACUUUGAACCAAUACCUGCAAUUGAUUAUAAGUGAUCAAAUUAUUAGAAGACAAAUCACCAUGAAGCAUCACUGGUUGCUCAUUUAAAGAAAACUCCAUAGGACACUUUGCCCAAUUUCUGUAGCCAUUGAAUGCCAAGGACCACAUAUGUGCCCUCAAUUGGCAAAAUGAAGAGGUCUACCAUAAAAGCCGUGCCUUGCAUUGUUAAGUUCACUUGAGGACAGAACUGUUUACACACCAGGAAGUCACCGUUGCCAAUAUACACUCGGAAAUUGGUAGUUGGAUGAAUGGCUAACCCCAAUCGUUCCGCUAACGCCGGUUUUAUGAAAUUGUGAGUGUUGCCACUAUCAAUCAGCACUUGAAAGGUGUGCGAAUCAAUUUCUCCAAUUAAACGAAGAGAGCGAGGAUUGGCCUGCCCUGCUAGAGCAUUUAAGCUAGAGAUGUCACCAGUAAUACCAGCAUCUACCAAUUCUGAUGGUUCCUCGUUAUUUUUGGGUUCCAAUUCUUCAUCAUCCGUGCCCAUGAGAAGUAGAAAUUUACUGCGACAGAGAUGAUUGUUGCUGUAUUUUUUGUCACAAUUGUAACAUAAACCCUUCUCGCGUUUGUCGCAAAGUUCAGCCGAAGACAAACGGCGAAUUGGUAAUGUUGGUGUCGAUAAUAAUGCAGGUAAAGUGUUUGAUUUAUUGGUAUUGUGGGUUUGUGAGGGAAGAGUUGAAGAUGAUACGGGGGUGAUGGCUGUGGUAACAGUUGCAAGUGAUGAGGAUGGAUAAAUGGGUUUGGGUUGUGUUUGGAAACCAUGUGAAAGGGGAUAUGGUUGCUGCCAUUUAGGCCAUGAGCGUGAGCUCUGUUUCACUUCGUCAUAUUUGGCCUCAAAAGCACGAGCUAAAGUUUCCAUUAGUGAAGACGGUCUAGAGAAAAGCAAUUCCCGUCGAAUGUUGGGUUUCAGACCAGUGAUGAAAAAACUAAUCAAAAGAAGUUCAGAAAUUCCAGUGACCUUGUUCAUUAAAUCUUCAAAAGCUGACUGGAAAUCUGCAACCGUGGUAGUUUGACUCAAUUUGGACAAAUCACCUUGGGGAUCUUCACACAAAGAAGCACCAAAACGAUAGCGCAAGUUAGCUAAAAAUUCUUGCCAAGUAGUGAGCAAGUGAUUGUUCUUUAUCCAUUGAUACCACGCUGCAGCGCGACCCUCCAUAUGAAAAGAGACAAUCCGUAGUCGGAGGAUCUCAGGUGUGUCAUGAAAGUCAAAAAAUUCUUCUAUUCGAAAAAUCCAUCCAUUUGGGUCAGACCCAUCGAAUUUGGGCACAUCCAUUUUCAUGGAACAAAGUACUGGAGAAACUUUAGAACCAGUAAGAACGCCAUCAUAUUUAGAAGAUGAAGGGUGUGAAGGGUUGGAGGAACCAACUGGUUUGUUGGAAGACCCAUGAAUUUAUGUACGUAACUCCUCAAAACGAGAGUCAACUGAUGUCAUGAAUUGUUGGAUUGUUUGAUGGAUGGACAGUUGCUACCCAUCAAGUUUGGCGUCAAAAGUUGCUUGAAGGGUCUGUAAAGCAUAAAGAAUUUCAGAAUUUGCCAUGAUCAAUGAAAGCACCAGUGAUACGCUCUUAAUUCGUGAAACUGAGCAAUAUCAAAAUUAUCACUACUUCGAGCGAGUGUUUGCUCCAGAGGAAAGAACUGGAAGUUGAGAAAUGAAAAAGAAGAAAAGAAGAAGAGUCACAGAGAGGAAGAAAAGUGGUCCAUUCAUUUCUUGCCUUCCCAAAAUGACAAAAUCCCGCAAUAUAUAACAGACAAUAAAAAAUAACCAAUUUGACAACGCAACAGAAAAUGACAAAAAAGAAUCCAAAACAAACGCAGCCAAUCACAAUGCUUUUACAGAUCAUCCUAAACGACGUAGUCUCGUAGCCAGUCUGGAAGUUUCUUGUUUCGUUUGGGCCGUUGAUUCUCUUGCACUGGCUCAUGGUGAAUGUCCUCCUUGGGUUGACUGACUGUGGGUUCUUGGUUGAGCUCUUCCACUUGCGCCCCCUCUGAUGGCUCUAAUUUGAUAUAUAAAUUCGUAUCACAUACAUGCGGUUAAUUUUUUAAGAUAAAGGGGAAGGAUGAUGCUCAAAAAUAUAAAUUAUAGAAUUAAUUGAACUCUCAAAUAAGUUUAAAGUUCAUUAUUUUUAAUUACAUGUUUAUAAUUUAUUUUUAUUUCGUAUUAAUCUAUAGAUCUAAAUCCACUUUGGAUUCAUAUACACAUAUAGACAUAAUGUGUAUGUUAAUCUAUAGGUCUAAAUUCACUUUAGGUCUAUAUAGGUAUUUUGACAAAUGUACUCCAAUCAUGCAUAUUGGCAAGUUCAAAUUCAAUUUGGAAUAUGGUCAUGGUACGUUCUUGUUCUUCCCUCUUUACGAGUGCAUUCCCCCCAACCUCAAGCUCCCUCUCUCGUCUUCAAUGUCACUGCUUAUAUCCUUAUGUUGUUCUAGUUUGAAACAGUGGCUUCCACUAUUUCAGGGCCCCCAAAAAUCCAGAAACAUACUAUUCAUCACGAUGACAAAAUUUUGGGCAGGCAGGUGCUUCCUGACUUUCACACGGUAAUUCUCAAAUUCUGAUUUCACCAUAUUUUAAUUACUGAUUAUGCUCUCCAUUAUAAUAGAAGUCGCCGCCACACUAGUGAUUCCAAACUUUAUCUUUUUUCCUUUUUUAAAUUAAUGCAAGUAGCCGCUGUCCUUUUUAUUAAUUAAUUAAUUCGGCCGCCCACAUUUCUUUUUCUAAUGUCUUCUACUGUCGAGUUUAUUUUAUUUUCCCUUUAUUCUUAAAAUAUACUUAUAAUAAUAAAAUAUAAAAAUAAAAAUAAAAAUUAACAUAUCAAAAUAUAAUUUAACAGAAAAUUAAGAUGAAAAAUAAAAAAAAAUAAAUUCUGAACAUAUCAAUCAAUAAAUGAAAAAUAAUAAUUUUUAUUUUUAUUAAAUAUAUUUUUUUCAGUAUUAAUCAAUUAUCUGAAUAACUAAAAUCAUUUAAAAAUAAAUAAACAAAUUAUUCUUUAUAAAAAAAAAAAACUUUUUAUAACACUCACUAUGCUGGUUGUAGGGUAGACGCUUUGGGGACUGAAGUUGGUAACUUCUACAAGUAGUCUUAAGUUGAUAACUUCUACAAGUAGUCUUAAGUUGACUGGCAAAUGUUCUCAGUAUUAUAUUGGUGUGUCGAUAUUAUCUCUAACUGCCUUAUAGAUAAAAAAAUAAUCUAAAUUUAAAAUUUAACAUAAAAUAAAAUAAUUGGUAGAAAAACAAUUAUGGUUCAUUUACUUAUCAGUAAUCAGAAUAGACUGAAAUCGAAAUGAGUUGUAUUACCGUUGAUGUGUUUAUGUUGUCCUCGAAUCGGAAUGAAUUAUUUUAAGUUACUAAAAUAUCCUUGGUUUGUUAUUCUAAUUAUUAUUAUUUAAUAUUUAUUAUAAUAUUUGUCAUAUCAUUAAAAAGAAAUAAUAAUGAUGAUAAUAUUAUCAUUAUUGUUUGUUACAUUAUUAUUAUUCAAAAAAAUUAUUGUUAAUAACAAUAAUUACUUUAUUUCAAUACUAAUAAUGAUAAAAUUAAUAAUAACAAACAACAAUAAUUAUUUAUUAUGCCAAAAAUAACAAUAAUAAUAAUCAUCAUCAUUUUUUUUCCCAAAGAAGCAUUAUCAUCAUUUCAAAAAAAAUAUCAUCAUUAUCAUCAUCAUUUUUGUAGUGGCUGCCUAUCGGCUGUUGCUUUCAUGUGAGAUUGACUUGCGACGCUUCAACGGCUAUUAUUUCUGGCAAUGUCAGGUGUUACUGUUUCAAUUUAGGAAGAAGCUGUUUCGUUGUGCUAACGAUGGGAGAUGUUGUGGCUGCGAUUCGGGGAGCUACUAGUUUAUUGCACUAAUGACGGCAGGUGCUGCUGCUUGAUGCGAGGUCCAUGGCCAGUUGUCAGCAGUUCGACUUUGGUAUGGGUGCUGCUGGUUCGAUUUUAGGUGUUGUCCAAUUUCAUUUUCAGGAUUUUAAUUUUAUUUUUCUUUUAUAUUUUCAUUAAUUAAUCAGGACAAAGUUGGAUUUUAGAAUUUGGAAUGAAGGUAAUUUUGUUAAUCAUGGAAAUGAGAUUCUGAUUGUCGAGAAUGAGCUUACACAAACAACUACAAAUUAAGUGAAAACAAAACGCUUUUUCUCUUUGUGUGAUUAAAACAUGAUAUGUACCAUAAAUAAAUAGGUAAAAAAUAAAUUAAUACAAUCCAAAACAGUAAACUAAUUACAAGAGGCACAAAUUUUUAUGUGAAAUACCAAAAAUAGAAAAAACCACAGCAUCUUAGUAUGAGAUAAUCUUCUACUAUAUUAAUGAGAUUAUAGCACAAAUUCUUCCUUAUAUAACACUAGAGGUUAACAACAUCAAGAAUUUCAAUAAUCUUGACUUACAAUACAGCCUAAUAUUUGUCUCUCUAAUAAGUAGAUAUCUAAAAUAACAGUCUCUAAUAAAUAAGUAUCUCAAAUAACAGUCUCUAAUAAGUAUCUCAAAUAAUAAUUUCUAAUAAGUAUGUAUCUCAAAUAAUAGUUAACAAGAGGAUAAAACAAAAAUUAAGAUUAGUAGGAUUGUAUAAGGCGAUGCUAUCAACUUAUCUUCUAAAUUUGAGAAAAAUAGUUAAAUUCACUUUUUCGAUUGUGACCAAAGAUGGAAACCUUUGCCCCAAAACCAAAGGAAUCACCAUUUCUCUCUCUCUCUCUCUCUCUCUCUCUCUCUCUCUCUCUCUCUCUAUCUCUCUCUCUCUCUCUCUCUUCUUCUACUUUUCUUAAUGUUAGCCGCCACUCGCUUUUAUUCUUUAUAGCAUUUAAAAAGCUACUUUUAAUGGUAAAUUUCAUUUAAGUCCAAAACUUAGUGAUAAUUGUACACCAAACAAUUCUUUUUGGACUAUGAGCUUUUGGGCCUCCAAAUGAGAUGAAUACAACAAAUCUCCCCCUUUAGAUCAUGUGGGGGGCACCACAAGCCUGCUCUCUGCAUAUAGUUUUUCAACUUCUCCUUGAAUAAUGACUUUGUCAUCAUACAUAACCCAUUCUCUGUUGUGUAAAUUUUCUCAAGCUGUAGCUGUUGCUUCUCAAGCACGUCUCGUAUCUAAUGAUAUCUCACAUCAAUAUGCUUAGAUUUCGAAUGGUUUAUCAAAUUCUUUGAACGGCACUCUGACUGUCGCAGUACAUAACAUAGCUGUCUCGUUUUACACCCAGCUCUUAUAGGAAAUUCAUUAUCCAUAAUAUUUUUUUGCAACCUUCAAUAAUUGUUAUAUCAUUUGCUUUAGUGGUAGAAAACGUAACUUAUUACUAAAGUUUAGAUUGCAAUGAGACUUCUCCCCCUGCAAAAGUGAGCAAACAUCCUAGAAGGAAUUUUUCGGAAUCAACAUCUUCUGCCAUAUCUACACACUUGUAACACAGGUUUGUCACCACUAAAAUAUAAACAUGCUCUGGAAAUGCCUCUAAGAUAUCUGAGAAUUUUUCAUUGUUGUCCAAUGCUCUUUUAUAAUAAAUACAAACAUAAUGAAUUUAUAAAACAUUUAGAGUAUUUUGAAUAUUAUAUAAAAUAAUUUUAAUAUAAUGCAUGAGAUAUAUUUUAUUAAUUUAAAAUGCUAUUUAAUCUAAAGAUUUAUUUAAGAUAAAUUAAUAAUUAAAUUUUUUUAAUUAUUUCAAAUAUUAAAAAUUUGUAAUAUUAUUAGUCUAUUAGAUAGAUUAAAUUAUUUAUUUUAUUUUGUAUUUAUUAAAAAAUUUUAAAGUCAAUAUUUUUAAUUACUAUUCGAAGGAUAUAAUGAUUAAAAAAAUCUUAAUAUUUUUUAUUAAAAAUUUAAAAAUUUACAUGACCAUUUCUAUAAAUAUUUAGGGUAUAUAUGAGCCACGGUGGAGAAGAUUUAUUUAAUAUUAUUGAUUUAAAUAAUAUCUAAUUAAAAAUAUACUGAGAAAAAAUUUCGGUGGGUAUUUUAGUCUUUUCAGCAAUCACAUGAUUAGCCUUUGGGCUUUGGCCUUGAAACGUCGGUCAGAAAAGUUUUAAACUGCUUAAUUGUUUUUCACUUUUAACGUUAGUGGCUGCUUAUAUUUUAGGAAAAUGAGAUUCUCACCACAGUGAGAACCACACUGAGCACAGAACGGUGCGUUUUGUGCUCAGUAUAAAUUCUAACUGUAGCGGAAAUAUCGCAACACAAACGCGCCAUUCCAAACCCACGCGCGUUCUCCCUCACGCCAGCAAAUCUCACCACGCUUCCUCCUCACUGUAAGCGCCCCCCCUCCCCGGGGGCGGUCGGCUGCGUCACGCUCCCUCACGGCGCCUCACUCUCUCGGCUCUCUUAGAAAAUUGAAUUGCGGCUUCCGCCGUGGGGUUCUCUCCUCAACUGCCGUUGUCUCGUCUCUGACAGCUGCCUUAAUCAAAUUCUGAAGGUAGUUUGCUUCAAUUCAUUACAUUAAUUUCAAAUUUGGUUUGUGUGGGAUUAUGAGUUUGUGAAGAUUUAGUUCUGUUUCAUGGUAAACUAUUUUUUGCUCAGUGUGUUGAGAAUAUCAGCACGGUUUAAAAUUCUUUUUAGAUUCUGUCGUAAAGUUUUCUUUGUAUUGGGCAAGUCAGUUACUUUAGUUUUGUGUCUGAAAACAAAAACACUUAGCUUAGUGAGUUUUAAGAGAUUUUGCUAUUUUGUUCAACGAAGCUUAAAAAGGGGAAGCUUUUAUGGCGUCUGUGAGCCGAGGCAAUUUGGAUCGGGUGCUUUUUCAGUUCAUUUGUUUGUUUCUUAUUUGGGUUCUUUAUUGUUAGAUGUUCUUUUGAGAUUCUGGCAUCUGGCAUCUGGCUACUUGCUUUUGUGGAGUUUUUUUAUUAUUUGAAUUCUGUGAAUUCUUUGUUUUCUUUCCCAAAUGAUUCCACUCUAUAAAAUAUAUAUUGUGCUUGGCUAGAAUUUUCUUUUAGAUAAUUGCAUCCUGUACAUUGGCUUAACCUGUCAAGAAUGAGAAUGAUGGAAGAUGCCUAUCUUGGAAAGAAUAUAUUGAGUUACAUAGUACCGGUUCCAAAUGAAUAAAUUGGAACUUGCCUAAAACAGGCACCAAUCCACCAUGACACCAAGCCUUUUUAAAAUUUUUUUUUUUUUAAGUUUAAAGAAACUUAUGUUGCUUCUUUAGAUCUGUUUUAGCUUAUGAUGAAUUUUGCUAAUGGUAAAAUCCCUCCCCUUCAAAGUUGGGGGAGGGGAAGCAUCUAUAUGCAUAUGUGUACAUUAUGGAGCUCGAACUACAUGUCGCAGUAAUACAUUAUUCUCUUUGCUUUGCAGGUUUUGAUCAACAUGAGUGAUUGGGAUGUAGGUCUGUGCUUGAGAGGCCGGAGUGAUGACCAGAAUUCUGUCAACCAGACCAAAGACAAUCAACUGAUGAAGUGUUGUUGUUCUCUAUAUUGAUUGUUGGAAAUUAUGUGUUAUUUCCAGAUUUUUAGAAAAUUAUGAUUGCUGGAAAUAAUUAUAUAUGUACAAUCAUUAUGUCCUCCAGCACAAGUGAAUUUCCAAACCCACAACUGAAAGCUUGCGAAAAAUUUGUAGAAAAUUUGUACAUCAAAUCCACAAGCUAAGUGUUGUAUCAGAAUAUGAAUGACAAUAAAACAAAAAUCUGUGUUCUUCAUUCUUAAAAUACUAAUACAAUACAAGUACAUUCUUAUUCUGAGAAAUAACUACCUAUUAACUCCAUAUUCAUUAUCUUGUUGAAAGAGUAGCUGCUGAAAAUGUCCAUGUCGCUGAGCUUGUAUGUGCUAUUAAAAAAAAAUUAAACAUCUUGUUGUCAUCCGAAAAAAUAAAGAAGGCAAGAUGAACAAAUAAAAAACUUAUCACUACUUACGGUGCAAGAAUUUUAUGUAGAUAUUGAAUAAACAUUAUCCUCAAUUAUUUGUCACAAUAAUUUAUAUUCAAUUCAUGGUGUGUUGCAGCAAGCUUCCAUUGUUUAACUAAAUGACAGCUGAAUCUUUACAACUAAUUAUCUUUACAAUCAAAUUUGGAAUUAAUUAAGCAAAUUACCGCUAGAAAUCGACGAGUGAAGCUAAGAGAGUGAGGCUGCAAGUCGAAUUUUUGAGACAGCCGAGAGAGUGAGGCGCUGUGAGAGAUGCAAUGGACGGGCGAGAGAGAGACGAAGCCGAUGGUGAUUGCUGCAUUGGUAGGAUUGAGGGAGAGAGCGAAAGAGCCAGAGCGUGCGUGCUUGUUCUGCCAGAGAGCGCGUAUGUUUUUUCUCAAUGCGCGUGUUGCGUAAUUAUCCAUCUACAGUGACCAUUUUAUAGUUAUCUUGAAACGCACCGUUCGGUGCUAUAUGUGGGGCUGAAUGUUGUGAGCAUAUCGGUGCUGUAUAUUUUAUUAAAAAUUAAUGCUAACAAGAAAAAACCCCUCAAUGAAUGAGGGUGAGAUUGCUAAAAAUUACGACAGGUGAUAUUUUAUUAUUAUUAUUAUUAUUGGGGGAGAAAUCCUCACCAAAGUGAGGAGAUUUUAUCAAAAUCAAAAUAAAAAUAUAACAAGAACUGAAAGUUGGGCAGCCUAAAAGCUAGAUAAACUAAAAUUCAGGCGCCUAAAAACAACCUUAUGCAAAAGAGAAGCAACAUGAGACCGAUCAAGUAAAAGAAUCCACCGCAACACCUAAAUUGGCCAAAUUAUCUGUUGGUAUUACAAGUUUCUUGUUAUAAAAGUGUAGAAUGAAGAAGGUGACGUAGUUUUAAGUUACAGCUGCAUGCCCGAUCGCAAUAUCAAAUAAUGAUUAAAUAUCAAAUAAUACUUAAAAUAGUUGCCUAGACCCGCCACAAUUUAUAUUAACUCUUAAAUUUAUAAAUAAUUAAAUUUUUAAAAGUUCGGAUUUAUAUUAAAAAAUCUUCAUAUAAAUAAAUAAUAUAUGCACUUUUACAACACAGUCUUUAAAUUUAAAUUUUUCUAGAAAAAUCUUCUGUAUAUCUUUUCUAUUAAAAAAUUUCCAUAUAAAUAAAUAAUAUACCUAAUUUAAUUGGACCCAGCGCAACGCAUAUGCAUAGAACACAUUCCGAAAAGCCAUGAUAUUCGGAAAUUGACGAAUGAAAAGUGAGGAGGCAGCAGUCAAUGCUAUUUCGGCUUGGCCCAAAAUUGAUUUAUCAGUUUGACGUGUGCCAGGAAUGAAGAACUGGAAUAUCACCAUCAAGCAAGCAACCUGCGGAGCAAUACCAUAGAAUGCACAAUCCGGCUUUGCAAGGUGACACUGGAGGCUUUUUGAAAAGUGCUUCACGCUCACUUGACAGAUUGAGCAUCCCCUCUGGAUAUUGCCCUCUCUGAUCGAAUCUGAGCACUCAAAUUUCGGUCCUCAGAUGGAGCUACAGCUUUCUCUCCAAUAACCAACAAUUUUCUAAACUCAGCACCUAGUGUGAUCAGAGUUGUUGAUAUUUGUAAAUGGAGAUCCCCGUAUUUGCAAAUGGAGACAUUUACCAAAUCACCAACAUGCUUCAUCCAGUCUACGAAAUUCUGCAGCUGAUUCAAAUCCGGAACCUGAACAAGAGUCGGAGGUAAAUCUUGAGCCAUAUCUAAAGCAGUCUGAAGUUCAAGUACUUGAGCCCUUGACAAUGGUUUUGAAAUUGGAACAUCUUGGAUUACUGCAGACUUGUGCCCCUUGGUUUCAAAGGUAAGGAAAGGCAUUGCUUGAGUACAAUUUGGAGGCAGCUUCUUCACCAAUUUUAUUUGGAGGCGAUUGGCAGCGGAUCCAGCUGCACCAAUUUCAGAGCAAAUACUGACACUACUUCGAACAGCACACUGAAGAAGUGAUAUGUCUACGGCAAAGGCAAUGCAGUCCUCAUUUUGGCUUGAGAUGCAGUAAUCAUCGAAGAGAGUUUCCUUGUGAAACUGGGCAACACAUUGAAUCCCUUCGCCACUGAGAAGGUUGCGGAGGAAGUAAGCUUUCUCUCUAGUGAGGAAGAGGUGGCAUACCUUCCCCAUGUCUAGGGCAGGUAGGAAUCUUUUUUCUAAGAGAUUUACUUCAUUCUCUGUGAGAAAUGCUUUGAACUUCAUCCCUCUGUCUCUAUCCUCACUUAUCAGUAAAAUAGUUGAAAGUGCUACAAGGAGAGAAAAGAAGAGUAUUAAGAUAUAUAUAGACAAGAAAAACAUUAGAUGUCGAUCUUACAAGCUAAUACUUCAAACAGUAUCCUAGAAAGCUAAAAACUGCAAAAUGGCUUGACAUUUGAAAAGAACACAUGCUUUUCCUCCUUAACUUGAGAAAAUGUUUAAUAUAGUGCACCUUACAGAAACAUUUAAGCAAUUAGAACUUUGCACAAAAAUAUUCAAGAAGACUAAACAAAUCAGAUGCAGUGUAUUUCUCCAAGCACAAAUGGCAUUGCAUUUUUUCCUCAACUGUAAUAUUUAUUGAUGAAAAUCAGUACAGGUCCCUCAUUUGUUAUGGAAAGCUUUCUUGUAGUCUGACUGGUUAAUUCACGGAUCUAUAAUUAUCUUGCAAAGUUACAGGCAUUUCUUUCGAUUUAAAGUCUUUGCAUCACCACCUCAUCACACACCUAGCCAAUAUUCCGUCUACUUCUACAACAAAAAGUUUUAAGUAAACGAUCCUAAUGCAUGCAGCCAAAUAAAAUGCAGUAAGAAUAUUCAACUUAAAACUCUGAAAGCCAUCUUGGUGAAUUGCCUCCUUAGGGGAAGUUCCAUGAUUUACUAUACUUGACAGGACUGAGCAAAAGCUUACAUACAACAGAUUUUGAAAAUGAUGAUGCCAAUAGAUACUCAUACAAUCCAUUGAAACUCCUAAGGUCCAUUGUUCACAGAGGUUUACAGAGUUUUGGUUAUCAAAUAGCUCAGACCUUAAUCCCAAACAAAAAACGAGUGAAAAUUAGAUCACCAGCAGCAAAUUGUAAAUUCUAACUUAACUCUUCAUCUCCUUUGUAAACAGGAGACAAAAUGGAGACACGCAAAAUGAAUAAGGAGAACAUUUGAACUCAAAUGAAAUGAGGGCACGAAAGCAAACAAAUGGCAUGCGCAAACAAACCAAGCCUCAAUCAAAAACUAAUUAACCAUUAAAAAACAAAACUGGUCAGCUUCUGGUGUUCUCAAAUUGUAUAACAAGAGAUCGACACAUCGAAUCAGAAGAACUCAAUUCAAAUUUGUCUCAAAAAUCAAAAUUAGAAGAUUUCACAUUUCGAGAGGAACAAGCGACAGGUCAGAUGCAAAAUUUUCAGCCAUAACAUGCCACAAUUAACGGUUUAUUUCCAUGGAUUUAGAGAGCUGACUGACCUUUUGGCUUUUGGAAUUGAGAAGAUCGCGCGCCAAAAUGGAAGAGGGAAAGCGAAAGUGCGGGUUUUAAUAGGGUAUUGGAUUAGCAAAUUUUAUUAGUUUGCGAGGGUAAAAUAGGAAAGUGAUAUCACUAUUAACCUUUUUUUUAAUAAGAAAAAAGAAUAAUAAAGAAUAUUUUAUUGUCAUUUGCAGCAUUUAUUUUUUUUAAAUGCUAUUAGAAAAAUACGACAACAAAGAAAUGCUCUUUUUUUUUUUUUUUUUUUUCUCGAAGGUAAAAUCAAUUAUUUAGCUCCUUAUAUGUAAUCAAACUACAUUUCUUACUUUAAGUCAUAUCCAACGGACCAACAAAGUAAUUAUUUUUUUUUUCAUUCAUUUUUGCAGAAAAUUAAUAACUUAAAAAUAUUGAAAGCUAUUGUAAAAUUUUUUAUUAUCAACCUCAUAGUUUUAUUUUUUGGGAAGAAUUGAAUUUUUUUUUUUAAUUUCCAAGAAUUUCAUUCUCUAGUUUUUCCAUUAAUAUUACUUAUCUUGAUACCCAUCUUAAUUAAAAUCUGUAGUUUUAUUCAAGAGUCAUGCUAUUCAUUCACUCACAGACCAAAGGCUUUCCGCAGCAAUAUUAUUAUUUAAAUUACAACAAAGGGGAAAUCAAAUACGUCAUACAGAAGCUUAAAGCUGAAUCUACAAAAUCUAGAGCUCUCAACUACAUAAAUUACACUUGAUGAUCCUCUACAAGAUGAAGCUUGUUCAAUAUCUCAUCCAAAGCUUGUAAAGUAACAUUAUAACGAUCUUGAGAUUGCCUGCCUUCCUCGACGACCUGCACGAUGCGUUUGUACAAAUCAUCAUACCUGUGCACCGGAUUUUUAAUAUCAAUGCCACUGCAGCUGUGAUCAAGAACAUAAGAGCGUUUAACAUCUUUUCUCCAUCAAGAAAGAAUGUAGUGAGAUGGGAUCUCCUGCAUGCCACUCUGGUUUAGAACACAAAGAAUGUGUCUGCAUAAAUAUCCUCUGAAAUUGAACAACCCACAAACACAAAGCACCUCCAAGUCGGAGGCAUUGUACAAAACAUCGAAAAUAGUUAUGUUUUACAAUCUAUUAGACAUAUUUUAUUAAAUUAAUAUAAAUUUUCUAUAAAAUAAGAAUAUAAUAUUAAAAUAAAUUCACAAAAAAUUAAAGAAUUUUGAAUGUAAAAUAAUUUUAAUAGAUUAAUACGUGAGUUUUUUUAUUAAUAUAAAAAUUAUUUAACUUUAAGAUUUUUUAAAAUCUUUACAAUAAGUAUGACUAUAUUAUUUACAUUUAAAAAUAUUUAAAUAUUAUUAACCUACAAUUAUAUUUGCAUUUGUUAGAAUUUUUUAAGUCAAAUAUUUUGCACUUCUAUAUUAUUAGAAUUAUUGCACACAAAGAAAGAAACAUAUACCUUUAGAAAUUGUUUUCUUUUAAAAUAGAGAUGAUGAUUAGUAUAAGGAUGAAAAAAAUGAUAAAGAAUAUUAAUGAUUAACGAAAUCUCUAUACAAAUUGAUUUUAGUAGGAAAAGAGUGAGAUGAAUGAUUUCUUUUACGGUUAGAAACAUAGAUGAUGAUUAUUAUAACGAAGAAAAAAAGAUAAAGAAUAUUAAUUAUUAAUGGAAUCUCUAUGCAAAUUGAUUUUAGUAGGAAAAAAAAUGAGUUAAAUGAUUUAGAGUGCGUUUGGAAUUGAGAUUGGGCAGCCAUAGAUUUUAAGUUACAAUACUGAAGUGUUUGAUAAAUACUAGCUGCUGCAGAUUGAAAGUUAUAUUGAUAUGAUUUUUCACAUGUAUCAUAGAAAAUAUAUUACAUCUUUAAUAAUUUUUUUAAAAUUUAUAUUUGCUAUAUAUUAUUAAUUUUUUUUUAUAGUUAUAACUUUUUUUCCACAGCAGUUGUAGCUUAAAAGUCACAGCAUCUCAAUCUCAAACAAAUCCUUAGACAUUCAUAGUGUGUUUAUUUUUUGGAUUGGUGAAUCAAAAUUAUUGACAACGCUAACUUCAUCUUCAUUGUUCGCAAUCCAACAGCAGCAGCAAUUGUCACCAAUAAUGAUAUCUCCAAUGAUGAUGACAAUUAUUAUUAUUAUUAUUAUUAUUAUUAAUUUAUUAAUUAAUAUAUUAAUGUUAAUAAUAUUAUUAUUAAGAUUAACAAUAAUUAGUAGUAAUACAAUUUUUUGAAUAAAAAUAAUCACAAUAAUUAAAAUACAAAUUAAUAAUUAUGACAAUAGUUAAUUAAUGUCUUUUUAGUAAUUUGUAAUAAUCUAACUCAUUUUGAUUCUGAUUAUUACAGCUUAAGUAAACAAAUUAUUAUGAUUCCUAUUUUCCUUUCCUAUUUUAACUCACUUCGAUUCCAAUCUAUUCCAAUUUCUAUCUAAUAAAUGCACCAUUAGUGCUAAAGUAAUAUUUCAUACAUAGAAAAAUAAAAACUACACCUAAGGUUAAGGGAAAGGACUUCAAAACUCUCUUUUGAUCAUAAUACAUUUUGUCCUAAUUAACUUAAAGAUUUUGAAUCUAAUAUUUUAUAAUAAAUAAAAAUAUAUUCCUAAAAUAAAUAUAAUAUCAAUAUUUAAAAUAUGUUUUAAUAUUUUACAAUCUAUCAUACACAUUUUAUUAUAUUAAAGUAGAUUUUAUAAUAAAUACAAACGUACUAUUAAAAUUAAUAUAUAAAAAAUUUAGAAAAUUUAGAAUAUUAUAUAAAAUAAUUUUAAUAUAAUGCGUGAGAUAUAUUUUAUUAAUUUAAAAUUUUAUUUUACCUAAAAAUAUGAUAAAUUAAUAAUUACAUAUUUAAAGUUAUUUCAAAUAUUAAAAAAAUUUAAUAUUAUUAGUUUUUUAGAUAGAUUAAAUUAUUUUUAUAAGAGAUAGAUUAAAUUAUUUUAAAAUACCUUAAUUGUUUUUACUUUUAACGUUACCGGCCUUUCUUUUAUUUUAUUGUAAAUUAAUGCUAACAAGAAAAAGCUAGAUCAUAUUCCACAAAAGCAAAAGUGACAAACACAAUCAGCUGGAAUCUUUUAUAAAACUACAAAUUAAAAUGGUUUUUUUUUUUUUUUGAUAAAUUACAUAUAAAAGUGGAUUCUUUUGAAUAUAAGUGGGGUAGGCUCUUUUAUUUUUUUUUAAUACUGUAUAACAAGAUUGUAGACUCCUUGAUUAAGCACAAGUAUAAAGUAGUCGAGACGAUACUUUAUGCUAGGUGUCCAUUGAAUAUUAGAUCUUCAUUUCUUUGGCCAUUUAAUUUUUUCGAGAAAUUUUUCUUACGAUCCCGGCUAAGCUUGAAGAAAAGACAACUCAACGGUUUUUUUAAAACAAGUUUCCGUUUUGGUUGGUGAAAUGAAAACGAAAUAAAGCACUUCCAUCCAAAAAUCAUUCUUCUGGAGAAAGGGAUGACAGAUUAAAGAAAAGGGGUGUACUGAAAGGAGAAAAAAGGUUCUUGCAUGAGAGCUGGACACGUUAAAAGAAGUUGAACAAAUGUCUCAAAAAGAAGCUAUUUCGCUUUCAUACUAAAGCCUAUUUGUAAUAGCAUCAGCAAUGCUCCACUAUCCACAUUCUUGUGCGGAUAUCAUUGCAAUCUACUAAUGGUAUAUAAACAUGCAUGUUGUCCCAUGAUGAUUAAGUUAACACACACUUGGAGGUACUUAAAUUAUGCCAUAAAGAGAUAUAGUUAUUACGCAUACAAAUGUUAUUCAAUGGUUAAAAUGUAUGAUAAAGAAAUCGCUUGAAUUUUUUAUUUGCCGUUACGUAAUUUUUUUAUUGAUUCCGAGUUUGAAUCUUAAAAGAAAUAAAGGGUUAGAAAAUUAAUUUGAACUUUGUCCACUCUUUAACUUAAUGAGUAUAAAAACAGAAAAUGCAGGUAAUUUAAUUUUGACAUCUAACAUUUAAGAGAUAGAGCUUGAAAGAGUCCAAUAUUAAAUUAUAAAAUAAUUGAAAUAAAGUUUGCCCCAUAAGAAAAAUUGAACAAAAAAUCUUAAGUAUGAUAUGAUGCUAGAGAAAUUAUUUAUCUCAAAACUUUUAUUAGGUAAUUAAGUCCUAAGAAUAUGUAAUUACACAUGUAACAAAAAUUAGAGAUGAGGGUCUUUUAUUAAACUACAAAUUGUAUAGUCUUUUUAAAAUUGUUAUAAAUUGGUGGCCCCUACAAUCCUCAAUAAUUGUGCCGAUAUUCACAAGUUGGUGGCCCCUACAAUUAUCAACUGUGCAAGUGCUCAUUCACAAUCUUCCAGGUCAUGCUCUUAAUAAUUGUUUUUUUUUUCUGCAUUCCCUUUCAUGCUCUUAAUAAUUGAAGAGCAUACUUUUCAAAUAUGGAGCCGCAGCUAAUGUCGCUAAUUUAAUUUGGGAUUAAAUUAGGGGACCAUUAUGUUGCAGUGUGCACUAAUUUUUGUGUUUAUCUAAACUCCUUAAAUUUAAGACAUAUUACGGCAUAAAUAAGAAUAUAACAAUAACAAAAGAGUUAAAAAGUGUAGAGAAGAUCUUGCAGAAAUAUAAAUAAUAUCUAUUUUAAAAUAAUAUCAAUAUUUAAAAUAAUUUUUAAUAUUUUAUGAUCCAUUAGAUAUAUUUUAUUAUAUUAAAGUAAAUUUUAUAAUAAAUAAAACAUACUAAAUUUAGAGUAUUUUAAGUAUUAUAUAAAAUAAUUUUAAUAAAAUAUGUGAGAUAUUCAUAUUUUAUUAAUUUAAAAUACCAUUUAACCUAAAGAUUUAUUUAUGAUAAAUUAAUAAUUAUAUUUUUGAAAUUACUUCAAAUAUUAAAAAAAUUAAUAUUACUAAUCUAUUAGAUAGAUUAAAUUAUAUAUAUUAUUUUCUAUUUAUUAAAAAAUUUUAAAAUUAUUUUUAAUUACUAUUCAAAAAAUAUAAUGAUAAAAAAAAAUCUUAACAUCUUUAUUAAAAAUUUAAAAAUUUUCAUGAUCAAUUCUCUAAAUAUUUAGGGUAUAUGUGAACCACGGUGGAGAAGCUUUAUUUAAUAUUAUUGAUUUAAAUAAUAUGUGACAAAACAACUAGGUGGACUACAAAUUAAAGUGGAUUCUUUUGAAUACAAGUGGGACAGACGAUUAGGCUCUUUUUAAUUUUUAUUAAAGGCAAGUAAAAAGUAGUCGAAUAGUCUUUUUCAAAUUCUUGUUUUAUUGUUUUUCAAAACUAACAAGAAAAAGCGAGAUCAUAUUCCACCCCAAAAGCAAAAGUGACAAAACAACCAGCUGUAUUCUUUUAUUAAACUACAAAUUAAAAUGGAUUCUUUUGAAUACAAGUAGGACAGACGAUUAGGCUCUUUUUAUUAAACGCAAGUAAAAAGUAGUCGAAUAGUCUUUUUCAAAUUCUUGUUUUAUUAUUUUUCAAAAUUAGUUUUUGGUAAUUACUGUUUUUCCUUCAAAAGUUAGCGGUUCAUGUUUGCAAGUGUGAAUGUGCGAUGCUCUUUUCUUAAAGGCAAUUACAGUGGGGCCCGAAUGCCUAAAUCUUUUUAAAAUUUUUGCCGUAUAACGAACAGAGGUCAUUACUAAAAUUUCUCUUCCACAGCCUACAGCAGCUUCAGUUUAUCAAACUCAAUCAAUUUUCUUUCUUAACAAAAUUCCAAAGAUGUGUAGCAUUUUUCAGAUCGCAUGCGAUGGUGCUCUUUUCAAUCGUUGCUUGGAUUGCUUUCUUGGAAAAGCAGCAUACCUUCGUAACCUCCCAGAUAAUCUUGUAGACUUGGAGACUGAACUGGGAAGACUAAUCGCAGCAAAGAACGAUGUGAUGAUGAGGGUUGUCAAUGCUGAACGGCAACAAAUGAGAAGGCUGGGCCAAGUGGAAUGGUGGGUUUCGAGGGUGGAUGCUGUUAAAACUGGAGCCGAUGAACUUAUCACAGACGGCUCUGAAGAAAUUGGCGAAUUAUGUGUUGGAGGCUACUGUUCCAAGAACUGCAGGUCAAGCUACAAGUUCGGAAAACAAGUGGCUAAAAAGCUACAAGAUGUGAAGGCUUUAAUCGCCGAGGGAGUUUUUGAGGCGGUGGCUACUGAGGUGGUGCCCGAGAGAGCUCCGGAACCUGUAGCAGAUGAAAGACCCAUUGAGCGAACAGUAGUAGGCUUGCAAUCACAACUUGAACAAGUCUGGAGAUGUCUUGUAGAAGAAUCAGUGGGAAUCAUUGGCCUAUAUGGUAUGGGCGGUGUUGGUAAAACCACACUGUUGACCCAUAUCAACAAUAAAUUUCUUGAGAGUCCCACCAACUUUGAUUGUGUGAUUUGGGUCGUAGUUUCAAAAGACCUGCGACUUGAAAAAAUUCAAGACGAUAUUGGGAAGAAGAUAGGUCUGUCUGAUGAUUCAUGGAAGAAUAAAAGUUUUGAGGAGAAAGCUGUAGACAUCCUGCGGAGUUUAGGAGAGAAGAGAUUUGUAUUGUUGUUAGAUGAUUUAUGGGAGCGGGUUGAUUUAACAAAAGUGGGCGUUCCACUUCCCGGACCACAAAAUACUACCUCAAAAGUCGUAUUCGCAACCCGUUUCAUCGAUGUUUGUGGUAGCAUGGAAGCUGACAGGAAGUUCCUAGUGGCGUGCUUAUCAGAAAAGGAUGCUUGGGAACUGUUUCGAGAAAAAGUUGGGGAAGAAACUCUUCAGAGUCAUCAUGAUAUCGUUGAGCUAGCCCAAAUUGUGGCCAAAGAGUGUGGUGGUUUGCCACUCGCACUUAUUACUAUUGGUCGAGCUAUGGCCUGCAAAAGGACAGCCGAGGAGUGGAUACACGCAGUUGAAGUGCUAAGAAGAUCAGCUUUUGAGUUUGCAGGUUUGGGAAAAGAGGUGUAUCCUCUUUUAAAGUUUAGCUAUGAUAGUUUGCAGAAUGAGACGAUUAGAUCUUGUUUCUUAUAUUGUUGUUUAUAUCCCGAAGAUUAUGGAAUUCUUAAAUGGGACUUGAUUGAUUGUUGGAUUGGUGAGGGAUUCUUAGAGGAAUCUGACAGGUUUAGUGCAGAAAACCAAGGUUACUACAUUGUGGGCACUCUUAUUCAUGCGUGUUUACUAGAAGGGAUAGAAGAUGAUAGAGUAAAAAUGCAUGACGUUGUUCGUGAUAUGGCUCUAUGGAUAGCUUGUGAAAUUGAGGAGAGGAGACACUUUUUGGUUUGUGCAGGCGCUGGAUUAGAACAGGCACCGGCUGUUAGAGAAUCGGAAAAUGUGACAAGAUUGUCAUUGAUGCAAAACCAAAUUAAAAUUCUGUCGGAGGUUCCCACAUGCCCUGAUCUCCUCACUUUAUUUCUUGACUUUAAUGAGGAGUUGGAGAUGAUCGCGGAUGGCUUCUUCCAAUUUAUGCCUUCUCUCAAAGUUUUGAAGAUUUCAAACUGCGGGAAUUUUACUUUUCAAUUACCUUUGGGGAUGUCAAAGUUGGGUUCACUAGAACUUUUUGAUAUUUCACGCACCGAAAUACAAGAGUUACCAGAAGAGUUAAAGUUGUUGGUAAAUCUGAAAUGUUUGAAUUUGAGGUGGACAAGCAAGUUAAUUAGAAUUCCACGGCAACUAAUAUCAAAUUCUUCAGGGUUACGUGUGUUGAGAAUGUUCGCUACUGGCUAUGAAUGUUUUCAUGAAGCACCAGAAGACAGCGUUUUAUUUGGUGGGGGUGAAGUUUUAGUACAGGAAUUGCUCGGUUUGAAAUAUUUAGAGGUAUUGGAGUUGACCUUGGGAAGUUAUCAGGCUCUCCAAAUCUUUUUGAGCUCAAAUAAGUUAAAAAGUUGUAUUCGAUCUCUUUUCCUCCAGUUGGCCGGAGAUACAAAGUCGAUUAUUGAUGCUGCGGCUUUCGCAGAUCUAAACCACCUCAAUGAAUUAUAUAUUUAUGAAGGUAUUGAGUUGGAAGAAUUGAAGAUUGAUUAUACAGAGAUAGUACGAAAAAGGCGGGAACCUUUUGUUUUCCGCAGCCUUCACCGUGUUACCAUAUUUAGUUGCGGUAAAUUGAAAGAUGUGACAUUCCUCGUUUUUGCUCCAAACCUCAAGUCUCUUGAGCUAUUGCAAUGCGAUGCUAUGGAAGAAAUAAUCAGCGUCGGAGAAAUUGCUGAGACUCCUGAGAUGAUGGGACACAUAAGCCCUUUUGAAAAUCUCCAAAGUCUUCAUUUAUCGUAUUUACCAAUUUUGAGGAGCAUCUACUGGAAGCCAUUGCCUUUCACUCAUCUCAAAAAAAUGGAGGUACGUAGAUGCGAUCAGCUUAGAAGGCUUCCGCUCGAUUCCAACAGUGCAACAGAGCGUAAUGUUGUUAUUCGUGGAUACACACUCUGGUGGAACCGACUUCAAUGGGAGGAUGAAGCCACUCAAAUUGCUUUUCGUUCCUGUUUCCAACCUCGUUCCUGAGCAGUGGUCGCAAAAUUUGAUUUCUGGUGAGUGCGUUUGUCUUUUAAAAAGAAGAAUUUAAAAGAAAUUUAUUCUUGUCGUUUUCUUCACUGUUUUUAUUUGAUUUCUGGUUAGUUUCUUUCUCUCUCUCUCUCUCUUUGUCUUCUGCAAAUCACAAUUAAAUGUUGAAUUAAUGGAAUUGAUGCUCUGGUUUUUUACUUUUUGUUGUCAAAUUUUGCCCUGUUCUAUCUUCUUAGCGAUUUAAUUUCCUGUCAAAAGACGAGCGAGAAGAACAUAUAUAUGACUUAAACCAAUUGAUACUUUAUUUAUGUGCAUUGUAUGUAAUAAAUAUUAAGUAUACUUUAUUUUUGCCCUGUUCUCUGUUUUUAUUUCAGUCUCUCUCUCUCUUUCCUGUCUUCUGCAAAAUAUAAUCAAUUAUUUUCAAAAUAUCAUUGAUGAUUUUUCUGCUCUAAUGCUAUGUAAAUAGUAUGUUAAGUAAAACAUAAUCAAUUAUUUGUGUUUUAUCUCUAAUUAGAACAUCAAUCAGUUCAGUACCUCACAAAUAAUUCGCAAUAUCUACAAAAUACUAUAAUGGCUACAAAACAAAUCCUGCUUGCAAAUUGUCAAGGAUACCUAUCCGUUCGCUUGACAAGUCAUUUGAAUAAAUAUUGUUCACAUUCCUUACUCUAUCAAUUAUCCAAAGCACCAUCAAUGGUCCUCAACUUUAGUUUGAAUAGUAUACAUGCCAUCACCAUUACCAAGAAUCAAGCAUGGAAGAGUCAUUCUAUAGAGUUAAUCGAAGCAAGGAAUGAUGUAUCAGAAAAUAUUUGGUGGAGAAUUCAGCACAAACAUAUUUUGGAUGAUCAGAAUCAAUAAAACCUGGUGGUUGCGCCAUAUAAACAUCUUCGGAAAGCUGACCUUGAAGAAAGGCGUUAUUGAUAUCCAAUUGACGAAGAGGCCAGCCAUGACUAACAUCAAUACUAAGAACAAGCCGUACUGUGGUGGACUUAACAACUGGACUGAAAGUGUCAUAAUAGUCCACACCAGGCCAUUGAUUGAACCCUUUGGCAACAAGAUGAGCUUUAAACCUGUCAACAGAACCGUUGGAAUGUCUUUUAAUACAAAAAUCCAUUUGCAGCCAACAAUAUUGGAAGGGAUGGGAGGUGGAACAAGCUUCCAUGUCCCGUUACGAACAAGAGCAUCAUACUCUUCUGACAUAGCUGGACGCCAGUGAAGAUUUUUGAUAGCUUGCGUCACAGUUGUAGGUUCACAAUCAGAAGAAGGGCUAAAAUGAGCACGGAGGUUAAGUUUUUGUAACGGCUUGUGAAUCUUAUUUUUAGCUCGGGUAGUCAUAUCAUGAUGACUUGUGGGGCAAUGAUCUAGUGGAGUUUAGGAAGAUGAUUGAACAGGAAGUGAAGAAGUGCUUUGUGUAGAGGUAGAAGUAGGUUGGGAGGAUUGCUGCGGAGAUGUUACCGGUAGAGAAGAAGGAGCAGUACACGGUGGCAACUCCAGAGGGCCCACAAUAGAUGGAGUAGGUGCCGACAAUGGAGUACUAGGAAAUGAAACAGGAAGAAUUGGUGGAACACUUGCGUAAUUAGGAGUGGUAGAUGAGCUUGUAAUGAUUUGUAUGGAAAAACAAACUCUACAAAUUUAACGUGACGUGAAAUAAAAAUUCAACCCGAUUGCAUAUUUAAGAACAUCUCAAAUGAAUUGCUUACUGCUAUCAUCAUCAUUAUUGUCUAUAUAAUAAUGGAUCUUUAUUAUAUAUAUGUUUCCACUAAAAUAUAUUUAAUUAUUCUUUAUUUUUCUAUUGUUGCGUGUAAGAUUUAUUUGAGUUCUAAGUUAUAUCAAUACAAAUGUUAUCUUAUCCAUAAAAAGUUAGAUCCAACAAUUAUGAAAAUUACUAUAGAGUUGCUUUCAAUUAUUUUUUUAAAAUACCAGGAGUAAAUAAUAAUUAGUUCAAAUGGUGGAGACUAAAAUGCGUUCACCUUUAUUUUUUAUCUGUUAUUUACUUUUGUCAUUACAUUAAUGCACAUGCUAUACAUUUGAGACAUUCCAUUAAUUGCCAAUUAUGUAUGUGAGAUAGUAAUUUAAAUUAAAAAAUAAAAGUGAAAGUUAAUCCUAUGCAAUGUGAAUAAAUUUCUUUCCUUUUUCCUUUACUCUUUUUAUUUGACAAUAAAGUUUCCAUCUAUCAUCUAUCAUCUAUGUACACAAAAUUUCUGCAACAAGUACAAAACAUAAAAAUAUAUGAAUAUUAAGGGAAACACGCAGAAGUUCAUCAUUUCAAUGUUCAGUAUUACCAAUUUUGGCAUUAAGCUUGUACGAAUAUAUUCUACUUCGAAAGCAAAAUAUUAGACUCGUGAUUUUAAUUCAUUCAUUAUCUCUCAUUUUAAUCCCAAAAUAUUCAAGAGUAUCCAAGUUACCAUAAGACUUCAGAGGCUCGAGCCUUAGCCAGAGAUGGUUAAUUGAUAGACUAUGUGCCUGGGUCGAGCACUGGAAGCCUGCAAUGCAGACUGAUUGAUUUAUCAGUUUAACGUGUGCCAGGAAUGAAGAACUGGAAUAUCACCGUCAAGCAAGCACCCUGUGGAGCAAUACCAAAGAAUGCACAAUCUGGCUUUGCUAGGUGACCCUGGAGGCUUUUUGAAAAGUGCUUCAUGCUCACUUGCACAGAUUGAGCAUCCCCUCUGGAUAUUGCCCUCUCUGAUCGAGUCUGAGCACUCAAAUUUCGGUCCUCAGAUGGAGCUACAGCUUUCUCUCCAAUAACCAACAAUUUUCUAAACUCAGCACCUAGUGUGAUCAGAGUUGUUGAUAUUUGCAAAUGGAGAUCCCCAUAUUUGCAAAUGGAGACAUUUAACAAAUCACCAACAUGCUUCAUCCGGUCCACGAAAUUCUGCAACUGAUUCAAAUCUGGAACCUGAACCAGAGUCGGAGGUAUAUCUUGAGCCAUAUCUAAAGCAGUUUGAAGUUCAAGACCUUGAGCCCUUGACAAUGGUUUUGAAAUUGGAACAUCUUGGAUUACUGCAGACUUGUACCCCUUGGUUUCAAAGGUAAGGAAAGGCAUUGCUUGAGUACAAUUUGGAGGCAGCUUCUUCACCAAUUUUAUUUGGAGGCAAUUGGCAGCGGAUCCAGCUGCACCAAUUUCAGAGCAACUACUGACACUACUUCGAACAGCACACUGACGAAGUGAUAUGUCUACGGCAAAGGCAAUGCAGUCCUCAUUUUGGCUUGAGAUGCAGUAAUCAUCGAAGAGAGUUUCCUUGUGAAACUGGGCAACACAUUGAAUCCCUUCGCCACUGAGAAGGUUGUGGAGGAAGUAAGCUGUCUCUCUAGUGAGGAAGAGGUGGCAUACCUUCCCCAUUUUGUCUAGGGCAGGUAGGAAUCUUUUUUCUAAGAGAUUUACUUCAUUCUCUGUGAGAAAUGCUUUGAACUUCAUCCCUCUGUCUCUAUCCUCACUUAUCAGGAAAUAAGUUGAAAGCACUAUGAAGAGAGAGAGAGAGAGAGAGAGAAUUAAGAUAUAUAGACAAGAAAAUAAUUAGACGUUGAUCUUACAAACUAAUACUUCAAGCAGUAUCCUAGAAAGCUAAAAACUGCAAGAUGGCUUGAAAUUUGAAAAGAGCACAUGGUUUUCCUCCUUAACUUGAGAAAAUGUUUAAUAUAGUGCACCUUACAGAAGCAUUUAAGCAAUUAGAACUUUGCACAAAAACAUCAAGAAGACUAAACAAAUCAGAUGCAGUGUAUUUGUCCAAGCACAAAUUGCAUUUUGUCCUCAACUUUAAUAUUUAUUGAUGAGAAUCAAUACAGGUCCCUCAUUUGUUAUAGAAAGCUUUCUUGUAGUCUCACCAGUUAAUUCACAGGUCUAUAAUCAUCUUGCAAAGUUAAGGGCAUUUCUUUCGAUCUAAAGUCUUUGCAUCACCACCUCAUCACACGCCAAGCCAAUAUUCCAUUUACCUCUACAACAAAAAGUUUUUAAGUAAAUAAUCCUAAUGCACGCAGCCGAAUAAAAUGCAGUAAGAAUAUUCAACUUAAAAAUCUGAAAGCCAACUUGGUGAAUUGCCUCCUUAGGUGAAGUUCCAUGCUUUACUAUAGUUGACAGAACUCAGCAAAAGCUUCCAUACAACAGAUUUUGAAAAUGAUGAUGCCAAUAGAUACUCAUUCAAUCCAUUGAAACUCCAAAGGUUCAUUGUUCAUAGAAGUUUACAGAGUUUUGGUCAUCAAAUAGCUCAGACCUAAUCCCAAACAAAAAACGAGUGAAAAUUAGAUCACGAGCAGCUAAUUGUAAAUUCUAACUUAACUCUUCAUCUCCUUUGUAAACAAGAAACAAAAUGGAGACACGCAAAAUGAAUAUGGAGAAAAUUUGAACUCAAAUGAAAUGAGGGCACGAAAGCAAACAAAUGGCAUGCACAAAAAAACCAAGCCUCGAUAAAAAACUAAUUAACCAUUAAGAAAAAAAUUGGUCAGAGAAUGAACUCCAAAUUCAGGAGUCAAGCAAGAAGCUUUCAUUAUUUCAGAAGCUCCUGUACAAAUUAAUAAGUUAUGCUCUUUGGAAGCAAACCUAAAUUCCAAGAGAAACAGAACCCAAAAAAUUUGCAAUUAUACGCAAAGGAAGUGAAGCACAGGAUUCUAUCACACAUAGGAAUUGUAUAACAAGAGAUCGAUAUAUCGAAUUAGAAAACUCAAUUCGAAUUUGUGUCAAAAAUCAAAAUUAGAAGAUUUCACAUUUCGAGAGGAACAAGCAACAGAUGAAGUUCAAAAUUUCAGCCAUAACAUGCUAAAAAUGCUACACUUAACGGUUCAUUUUCAUGGAUUUUCUCGGGAAACAAACAGAAAAUUACGGUUUAGAGAGUUGACUGACCUUUUGGCUUUUGAAAUUGACCAGAUCGCGCGCCAAAUUGGAAGAGGGAAAGUGAAAGCGCGAGUUUUAAUAUGGGUAUUAGAUAAGGAAAUUUUAUUAGGUUGCGAGGGUAAAAAAGGAAAGAGAUAUCAUUAUUUUAUUAUCGAUAAUUAUUAAAUUUUUUUCCAAAAAAAAGAACAAGCAAGGAUUUUUUAUUGUCAUCACUAAGUUAAAAAAAAUUGUUUCAAAAUUACUUGAGUCAUAUCCAAUGGACCAACAAAGUAAUCGUUUUUAUUUUUAUUGAUUUUUGCAGGAAAUUAAUAACUUAAAAAUACUGAAAGCUACUGUAAAAAUUUUUAUUAUCAACCUCAUAAUUUUUUUUUUUUGGGGAAGAGAAUUCAAACUUUUUUUUUAUGAAUAUCGCUGUUUCGUUUGAGUUGGAUGUGAAUUCAAAUCCAAAUAUUCUUUGUUUUUCAAUUUUGAACUCAAUUUCUUUUUCUCAAGAAUGUUAUGCAGAAAUAAUUUUUACUAAAUCUUUUUUGAUGAAUUGUUUAAAUUAAACAAUUGGAAUAAGAAUUGUAACGAUUUAUCAUAAGCGUGCUAAUAUGAUAACUUGUUUUACGAAGGAUUAAUUAAUCAAUUAAUAUUAAAUUAUAUAUUAGUCAAUUAGAUAUGUGUUACAUUUAUCAUGUUUUGUAGGUGAUAGUACAUCAUUUCUAAAAGAAUAUAGUACGUUAAAAUAUUAUUUUAAUGAAGAAAAUUUUAUUAUUUUAUUAUUAGGUGACACAAUAAUAAAUGGAUUUCUGUAAGAAUUGAGAUUCUUGAUAUAAUUAUUACAUAAGGAGAAGUUUAGUUGGUUCAAUUUUGACGUGAUAAGAAGACAACACAGCACAGAAAACCCAAAUUGCCACUUCCACUAAUAAAAGAUACCUGUUUGAAAAGUAAUUAUAAACUAUCUUCUUUGUGUUAUUUCUCAAAACUUUUGUGGCACAAAUGUUAUUUCCAUUGACAACAGUACGAAAUACCACCCCUUUCACUUGAGCAGGAGCAAAGCAAAGGUAUGAUGAGCUAUCUCUGUAUAAUUGAAACGCCAUUACUAAACGAUUCUUGAUGAUGGGAGCCACCGUGCCAGCUUUGUCGCUGAUUUGCAUGAUUUAUUAGUUGUCCAGAUGGCGGAUUUUGUACUGUUACCUUCGUUUCAUUCUUCAGAGCCAUGUACUGUUCUAGGAUACCAGAGAAACCAAGGUGGCAUUGAAGUUGCCCUGGUGGUUAGUUUUCCGAUCAUUUUUUUAUUCAAUUAUUUAUGUUUUUAGAAAAAUGUAGGAAAUAUGUAGAAAUGUUGACAGCUAUGAUUUUGAAACUUUUGCCUAAAAUUGUUAUCAUUACUUGUUGUUUCUUAUUUAAAGAGAAAUUCUAGAAACAUGAAAUGAUUAUUCUACGCUUGUUUUAAUAUUGUGCUAUGAAGAUUACGAAGGUUUGAUUAUAUGUCACUAUCAAUUGCCUUAAUCGUUUGUCGUAAAUCAAUUAAGCAUUUUGAUGCGAAUGAUUCCCUAUUAAAAAAUUCAAGUCAGAGCUGAAUUGCAAAGUAGUUAGUCGUGCUUGCAAUUCAAAUUAAGUAUUGUAUUUUCUCCCUGAUUUGGUUGAUUCAACUAUGUGCAUUUGCUUAUGAACGUUGCAGUAUAGAAAUCGAAAUAUCUUGUCUUUUGCUAAGCCCAGAAGCAAAUUCUUUGUAUUCUACUCAUCAGUUUUCUUCAUUCUCUUUGUUGAAAUUUUAUCUAAACAGCGGUUUCUUCGAAUUUAUGCCUUCGCUUACUCUUUUAAAUUUUAUCCAAACAACGGUUUUGAAAUUGUUUUCACUACAAUACCUUAGUCUUUCAGAUGCUCCCGUCACUGAGUUGCCAGAAGAGCUAAAAGCCUUGGUAAAUCUUAAGUGUUUGAACCGGAGUACACAAAUUAUCUCUCUACAUUUCCAAAGCAAUUGAUUUGUUACUUUUCGAUGCUACAUGUUCCGCGAAUAUUCAGUUGUGGUUAUCUUGUUCAGAUACCAGAAAAUAGCGUUAUAUUUAGUGGUAAUGAAUUCUUGGUUUGGGAGUUGCUUAGUUUAAAACGUUUAAAUGUAUUAAGCAUCAUCUUGAAAAGUUUUUCUGCUGUCCAAAAACUUAUGAGCUUCCAAAAGUUUCAAAGCUGUACACAAUGCAUGGAGCUUGUAGACUGUGAUGAUCCAAAGUCAUUUGCCGUGGCAGAGUUGAAGCAUCUUGAAAAACUAGGUUUUUCAAGUUGUGGAAAUUUGGAAGAGUUAAAGUUCUGCUGUGUCGAAGUUGCAAAGGCUCGAGAAUGUUUUCGUUUGAACAGCCCUCACUGAGUUAAGAUGAAGGCUUGUCAUAAAUUGUGGGAAGCGACAGGUUAUUCAAAUAGAAAAAUUUAUGGAGAUGGAUGUUAAUCUUAAGGUUAUUCAAUUAGAAAAAUUUGAAUAAAAUUUAUGGUAAGUGCUUUUCCAUUUAUUGCAUAUUUAUAUCUAAUUUUUAUUUUCCUUUAUUGUUAAAUUUUGGUCUCUAUUUGUUGUUGUAUGGUGGCAUUCUUGUACAAUUAUUAGCUUUUCAUUUCUCUUCUCACAUUAACUGCCCUUCUGAUCAUGUAGGAUUUGCUGAUGCAAAGAGUCAUAAUUUGGGAUACAAAUGUAAGAAUUAGACAGAUGACAUGUUGUUUUGAAGCUCUCAAAGAAGGACUAAUUAUGUCAUUGAAAGCCUCCAAUUUUGUGAUUGGUUUCUUUUUAUUUUAUUUGUUGUUUUCUCUAUUUUCAGAUCACUUAAUUGUUAGUUGUUGUAAUGUAAUGUUUUAGUAUAGCAAAUUAUAUUCGGCCAAGACAGUGAUAGGAGGGCACAUUGUGCAUGCACACUAGUGGAUUUGGCAUGCCAAAUCCAAUUAGGAUGGAUAACACUUUAUAAGCAUUAGGCUUCUCUCAUACCUGAGUAAUAUAGAAUAUGUUUAUAAGUUGUGAAUCACCCUUUACAAGUGUUAGGCUUCUGCUAUACUCAGUGAUGUGAAAUAUAUUUAUAAGCACUAAACUUCUCCCAUACACUUUAUGUUAAUAAUAAUAAUAAUAAUAAUAAUAAUAAUAAUAAAAUAAUAAUAAAUAAACCCAUUUUAACAGACUCUUUUUUCUUUUUCUAUAUGAACAAAUGCAUUCUUCAAAGCAACUGUGGGGAGAAGAAGUGAGUAGAGAAGAACUGAGCCCCUGUCAUUCCCCUAAAACCUCACCAAAACCUCUCUUGUAAGCUUCUCGGAUUUUCUUUCUAUAUUUCUUAGGAACUCAUUUUUUAUUGAAUCACUUAUUUUGCAUGCUGCAUUUUUUGGUUGUCGUAUUUGUGUAUUAUCUUAUCUGGAAUGCUGUUAUGAUUGAUGGAACAAGUAAUCGAUUUUUGGUCUAAUGGAAGUUGAUUUAUUUAUUUAUUGUUGUUUUUAUUUGAAAUUAUGUACAAUUGUAUUUCAUUCAUUUCUCUCUCUUUUGCUUUUUUCCCCCCAUAUAUUUGUUAUGUAUAAUUGCGUUUCAUUUAAUAUUGAUCAUACUGUAGGUAACCAUGUGAUUGUAGAUGGGGAUUUCGAGUUUGUUGAAUAUUCAUGUAAGUGAAGUAACCGUCACAAUACUAGUGAAAUUGGGAGCUUUAUUCAUGAGUUUGUGGUUUUGAAAAGUACCACAGUUCAACUGGUGAAGGCUCCGUUUUGGGAUUCUUCUUUUUCUAGGCUGCAAUUAGGAUAUGUACAUGAUAGACAAUCUUUUGUUGGUUUAGCAUAUCUUCGCUGAUUUUGUCUUUUAUUCCCCAAUUUUAUAAUUACACACCAUGAAUGUUGGGUGAUUGUAUAGAAAAUUUGUGUUAUAACAAAAACAUUGUGAAGGAGUUUCCGUGCUAAUAGUUAGUGGCUUCUGUUUUAUUGGCAUUGAUUGGGUAGAUUACGUGUUACAGUGAUUCAAUUUGUGUUCCAAACUUUGCUUUAAUUUUCUGUUUUCCCCAACUAUUUAUGUCAAAUUUAAAUCCAGAAGCAUGUGCUGAUUUUUUCUUUUUGUAUUAAUCUGUGAAGUUUAUUUGGAAUGGAAGUAACUGGGUCGGGUCUAAUGGAUUAAAUUAUGACAUUGAGGGGAAGGCACUAAAAGGGUUUGCUUGACACAUUUGGUUCUGUGUUUACUCUGCAAGAAAUAACUUUUGCUUAUUGCAAUGCAGGGGGAAAUCCCGAUUUGGCUGGUGAAUUUCUCUGCAACAAACAGGCAAACACCUCAACAUCUUCUGUCCAUACUUCUGCUGGGGAGGCAAGGGGUAAAGAGUCUUCAAAAUCAUCAAAUAGUUACAUCUCUGAGAAUUCAUUUUAUGGAAAUGGAAAAUCUAGAGUUUCUAAUACAAAAUGGCAUCUGGUAUCAGGACGUACCGUUUCAAGUUUUCUUGGUAAAGAUUAUGUUAAACCUGCACAGCCAGCUAAUGGCACUUUUCUGGCAUCAAAGCCAUUGAAGUUGGAUCCAAGGGAGUUUCGCAUUUCUGCACUUUCAGAGAAGAAACUAAACCGACAAUCAAAGGAUGACCAUUUGCAGAAGGAUAUGGAAGAUUUUCUUUUUAAAUUGCUAGGAGAAGGGUUCCAGCUGUACAGGGAUGUGAUUCAGGAGGUUCAUGGUAACGUCUUAAAUAUAUUGAUGCCAAUUUAAUACAUAUUGUCCUUUUCAAUGUUCUUUCUUUCUUUCUCCUCUUUUUAUUAUUCUUCUUCUUCUUUUUUCUUUUCAUGUGCAUGUGAUCACUAAUUUGGUAUUAUUCUUGACUUGCAGAUAGUUGUGGAUAUGAAAUGCAAAAGGUAAGGGCUAUAUCUUCUUGAUGGAGGCCUCUGAUUUUUUAAAUCGCAUUUUCCUUUGUGAUUGAUAUAUCAUACCAAAGUCAAGUCUUAAAUACUGCUGUCAUAUGUUAAGGUUCAACUUCCAUUUUGAUUAACGUCGAUUUGCUACUGCUUCCAAAAGUGAGAAUGAGAUACUUUGGUUAAUUUCAGUAGUUGAACUCAAUGGAGUACUUUAUUUAGAUCUUCAUGGUUCAAAGGCCUGAAAAAACUUGCCGGUAUUUGCAAAAUGACAUCUGUGCUUUUAUUUAGACUUAUUAUUAAAGACAACAUUUUAUUUCAGCCAAAAAUGUUUGUUUCAAUUAAAGACUUGAACCAUUUUCAUUUAACCUGAUUGUGAUGCUUUACAUUAUGCAUGUUCCUCUCAAUCAAUAAAAGUUGAGGUCAUGAUUUUAUAUUUCUAUUUUGUAACUUGAAAUAAUUGGUCUGCCUGUUUCUGUUGCUUGAUAACAUGAAUUUUUCCUUCUGAAGUUAAUUUGAUCAAUAAAGUAAUUCUUCGGAGAGGAUAUGCCCAUUCUAUAGUCAUUUUCUUAGCUAACAUGUUUUUUCUUCACUCUUCAAAGCAUGUCUAAACUAAUUGAUCGCUCAGCGGAGACUUUGGGUGAGAAGACAAAAUUUCUUGGUAAAUCCUCUGAAAAGGUAUGCAUAAUUCCCGAGUAUUAAAUAAUCAUUGGUCAUAAUUUUUGUACACGACUCUUGUUUUGGAGAUCGUUAAAAGUGGUUGAUGAUCUAUUUUGUAAUAUCAUAGAGGGAUCAUGAAUUCCUUUUCUUUUCUGUGGCUAGGCAACACUUUCGAGCCAAGCUAAGGAAAUCUAUUUUAGGUAAUGUGAAAACUAGUUGUAGGAUGUAAUAGUUUAUUAUGCCCUGACAAUAACUUUUUGUAUAAUUGUCAGUUUAAUGAAUACAAGAGGAACUCUGUUGGCAAGUUCAUCCAUGAUAGAUGCUAAAAUUAUUUAUGCAUACCAGUUGCCUUAACUAAUUUUUCUCAACACUGGUAUUGAACAGGAAAAUGAAUAUGCAAUUUGUAUAUUGUGCCAUUGUGGAGAAUUUGGAUAUUCUUAUUUAAGUAACAAGGAGAGUAUUUGCCUCAUCUUUAAACAAUGAAUCUUUGAGAAAUGAGGAGUGGGUGAUUGACAGUGUCUUCAUGUAAAUGUUCAUUUAUUUGUAUUUUGAACUAUUAUGAGAAUCUUUGUAUGCCAAAUUAGUAAUACAAAUGUUCAGAUGAUUUUUCCUGUUGAUCAUGCGUGUGUAUCUGCACACAACCAUUGUGUACCACUUUAUUCUGAUGCACAAAUAUCUGUAGUUUAGAAGAAAAGAAAUAAUAAUCAUAUAUUAUUGCUUGGUUCAUGAUUAUUAAAUGAUUAUGGCUUUAGAAAAUCCACAAAUCCUUUGUGUUCAUAUAUGAAUGUGCGAAGUUCGCUAUAUCUUAGAUUACCUUCUUCCAAGAUAACAAGUUCAUAUAUUUUUUUUAAUCCUUUUUCAUCACAGUUGAAUUUCAAGUGUAAGUUUUGUUAUUAAUAGCUGGUUUCCUGUUAUUAUGAUUUCAUAAACAAUGAGAGGAUAUGUGCUCUACUUUUGGAUGGCCUCCACAUAAAAGAAAAUUGCAACAAUUGAAUUCUUCUGGAGGGUAUGGUAUUUAAUUUAUUUUCUCAGCUUGUUGUAAGACUAAUAUAUUUCCUUCAGUACGCACGGCAUGGUGGGAAGGGUUUUUAUUGAAAGAAUUAUGAUAUUUCUUAGACUUUGUUUUGGAAGGGGGUGGAGGGAUUUCUCAUCCAUGUAUGGUUACUUGAUUAGCUUUUGACUGUACUGUCUCCGUCGUGCAAAGGAAAAUCCAAAUACUAACGAAGGGGAAUUGCUUAGGCACCCAAAGGACAGAAAUGAAUUACGGAAGGAGGUUUUUGCUGCUUUAUUUAGUGCUGCUGAGAAAUCUGAUGAAUUUCCUGAAAUUACGGUGAAGACGGAGUGGAGGUCCAACGCAUUAGGAAAGGUGGUGAGUGAACCGCCAGAGGAAUUAGUACCAGAAUACAAGGCUAAUGUGGUGCACUGGCAGCAAGAUGACCAGACCUGUAUGUGCUCUUAUAUUAACUAUAUUGGCUGGAUUUGUGAGUGUGUUCAUUUUUGUGUGUAUACUCACUUUUGUAUUUAUGCAUAUUCACGUGUGUAGGAUUCUCGAUUUCUGCCACUUACUGGAGAACUAGUGGAAAGCUUUAUACUGAUAUAUGUGCUAUAUAACUAAUGGAAACUACAAUAUGAAUAUUUUCUCUCACCUGGAGAGCAGUGUAACUAAUAUAAUUUGUGGCUCUGGAAUACUGAAGAUUCUGCAAUAACUAAUGGAAAAUAUGAUAUGAAUAUUUUUUCUCACCUGGAGAACUUUGUAACAGAUACAUUUUGUGCUGGAAUGUCUAAAGAAUGCUUCAGUUUAUAUCAAAUAUCUUUUAGUUAGAAAAGAUAAAAUUCUCUGAAUCUGAAAGACUGAAACAUUUUGCAUAUUUCGUGAAAGGCAAGUAUCUGUAGAUACUAGCUCAUGCAUUGAGGUAAUAUCAAUGUUAAAGAAAAACAGCAAUAAUUUAUUAUACAGAAUUAGGUUCACUUGCUUUAAAUGCUGGUCUGAUCAACCAUAUCAACCUGUAAUGGUCCUGCAGAAAUAUAUAUACGGGGAGAAACUAGCUAAUUUUCCUUUCACUUAUGGGUUUGGUCUUUUUUUCCCCAAUUUUUCAGCUUUCCUUCUCCUGAAGUAUGUUAAUAAUUGCAGAUAAUGGCGAAGAGGACUGCUUCCAGGCUACCGGCAAAAACUUUGUGAAAGCUUUGGAGUUAAACAGGGAAUUCACUUACUGCUAAGGACAAUUGGUGGCGAGCUAUUUCAUUCAUUUUAUGUCCAUACAUCUAUUUAAUUAUUAAAGAUAAUGUACGCAUUUGUAAAUUUCAGAUUGUGUGUCUCUGAAAAUAACAAUAUUUAAAAUGUCUCUUAAAUUAUUAUAAAUUUUAAUUUACUCUCGAUUUAAAAUGGAACAUGUUGGUGAAAUAUUUUUUCUUCUUAAUAAAAUUGAAAUAAAUUAUGUUAGCAGUAGUUUGAAAUAUUUUAAAGAUGAUUAUUUUAUAAGGGAGUAAUAUGAAAUGAAAUUUACUUUUCAUGCGUGAAAUGUUGAAAAAGGACAAAGCAAGUGUCCCUGCUUUUAUUUUAUUUCAAAGUGGAGUCAUCUCACAUACUUUAGCUCUAUCAUUAGGAGCCGGCUAAGUUACGUUAAACGUAAUUUACGCCAGGCACAGCAAUAAUGACAAGUCCCAUGACUAGUAUUGUUGCUGUGUCUGACGUAAGUUACGUUUAACGUAACUUAGCCAAAGCCCUAUCAUUAAUAUAUAUUUAAAUUUAACACAUGCAUGUGGGUUACUUUUCCGUAAGUUCCUUAAUAUAUAUUUAACACAAAUCAUGGAAGAGAUGGGAGUAUAUCAAGAUGAUCAAAGCAUGAAACAAAAAUAUUUAAGAAGUAAAACACUGAAAAUGGAGAAGAGAUGCAAGCAAAAGAUAUUCUAAAGAAAAGCAAUCUAUCCCCUUUCGAGGGCAAACUUAUCAGGUUUAAGAAAAGUACAUGCUUUGGAUUGGUAGUUGCAGCCUUGCAGGAUAAUUGUUUUUGCCACUAUAUUAGUUGGAGGAGUUGAACCCAGUGAAGAAUGUUAUGGAAGAGCAAAUGAUAUUUCUGAUAGACUCUAUUUGAUUAUGUAGCCUGAAUAGAUGUCUUGUUGAAAGAUAUAUCAGUGCAUUAGUUCAUCCUUGUCUGUCAAUGUGUUUUUAAUGGUUUUUCCAAUUGUUUUUUUUUUUUUUGAAACUGAUUAAGCAUCAGGUUACUGCAUUACACAGAUAUAUAUACAACUGCUAUGACAGCAGGUCAUUACACUGAUAUUUACAAUCAGAUAUAUAUACAUGGGACUUAUAUUAUUACAUUUUUAUUCUAUGAAGUACAUGCCCAUCCCAAAUACCCCUCACGGAGGAGGGAUGUCUCUACUCCACUCGCAUUUCGCAAGGGAGAAAGACGUUUAUAGAAAUCUCCACACAAUUAUGUUUAAUUGGAGGAGGUUGAGUCCGUGGGGACUCGAACCAUUGCCCUCAAAGUCAUGCUUAACUUUGAGGGCAAUGGUCCACCACUGGGCUACAAGCCCAAGUGGCGGUUUUUCCAAUUGUUUAUUGCUAUAGAUUGAUUGUAAAUUGAUGUGAACUUAAUGUUGAAAUAUUUUCUCUUUAGUGGAAUGAAAGUUAAACAUUCAAGAUUAGAUUAUUCAAGGUCCACAUAGUAUGUGUUCCGUUGUGUUGUCUGUAAUUUUGCAUUUAAAUAAAUUUGAGUGCUGCCGUUUCGCUCCCACAAUCUCUCGCCUUUUUUUAAUUUUAAAAAUUAAAAUAUUAAUAAAAAACAAUAAAGAAAAUCGAAUCCUUUAUGUCAUUCCAUCUUUACAACUCUCUCUCACAAACUCCAUCUAACAGACUUCUCUCUUACUAUCUCGGUCGAACAAGACCAGUGACAAUGAUGACACGACCGCCGACGAUGAGAUGGUCAUCGCUAAAGAAUCGGGCCGUGUAUUUUACAAUUUCUUGGUUUGUGACAACAAUGGAAAACUCCUGAAAAUUUUGAAUUUGUAGUCGAGCAAAGGAAGAAGCAAGUUAUCUUCAAAGCAUUUUCCAGUAAUAGCUGAUGAAAUUUAAUACUUCAAGCUGGCCCUUUGCUGUCACAACUAGAUGCAUUUGCACUGUCAUUACAAUUUAUGGAAAUUAAAGUAAUUAAUGGUUCUAAUUAAUAGCUUCCCAAAAAACCAAUCUGCCCUUGUGAGAACCAAAGCAUUAAUUUCUUGUAAGAGCUGCAGAAGGCCAGAGAAUUUCAGAUCGUGAAAAGGAGUGUGUGAGUGAGAGAGAGAUCGUGAAAUAGUGAGAGACAAUGAGAGAGAGAGCCGCUCGACUGAGAUGGUGAGAGAGUUGCAAAAAUGGAGUAAGGAGCAGAUAAGAUUAUGUUUUCUUUAUUAUUUUUUAUUAAUAUUUUAAUUUUUUUAAUUAAAAAAGGGCGAGAGAUUUUGGGAGUGAAACGGCAGCAUGUUCCAAUAAAUUUUUACCAAAGUUUCUCUCGUGUUUCUCUCACCUUUCUAGAUACCAAGCAUUUUCCAAUAAAUUUUUACUAAAAACUUAGCAAGCCCUUGAAACUUUGGUCAAAAUUAUUGUUAUUAUUACUUUUAGAGGAAAAACUUUUAUUAAAACCUCAUUAACACAAUUCUUAAUUAAAAUUAUAAGUUUGUGUUGGUGUAAGGAUUUGCAGGAGCAAUUACUGCCUAGCCAAGUGUCAAAAGCACAAAAUAAAUCAAGAGAAAGUAGACAUGAAUUAGGAUCCAAUGAAAUUUAAAUCCCGGAGAAAAGAAAUAAUCAUGCAGAUUAUCAAGAUUUCAAUAAGGGAUAUUGAUAUCCUAUUUUGAUUAAUAAUAUCCUUUUACUGUGUUAACUCAAAAAAUAUGUAUAUUCUAAUAUUUUACAAUAAAUAGAAAUCUAAUAUUAAAAUAAAUGUGAUAUAUAUAUAUAUAUAUUAAAUAAUUUAAAUAUAAAAAAUAUUUUAAUGUUUUACAAUCUACUACACAUAUUUUAUUAAGUUAAUAUAAUUUUUCAAAUAAAUAGGGACAUAAUAUUAAAAUAAAUUUAUAAAAAUUUAAAUUAUUUUGAAUUUAAAAUAAUUUUAAUAUUAUUAAUAUGUUAGAUAUGUUUGAUUAAUUAUAAAAAUUAUUUACGCAAAUUUUUUUAAUAUUUUCAGUAGAUAUAAAUAUAUUACUUACAUUUUGAUUAUUUAACUAUUAUUAUUCUACAAUUAUUUAUAUAAUGUUUGCACUUAUUAGAAUAUAUUUAAAGUCAAAUCUUUUGCACUUCUACCUAGCUAGAAUUAUUGGACGCAGAGAAAUAAGCAUAUAUGCUUUAUAACUUUAGAAAUCGAAUUAUCUAUACAAAUUGAUUUUAGCUGGAAAAAAAGUGAGCUGAAUGAUAUAGGCGAUUAGUGUGGUAAUAUUUCAUAGAGUUAGACUAUUGAAUUUGGCACCCCUCCAAUCUUCUCAUGAUUACCUUUUUGAGUUAUUAAUACACUUCUAAUUUUUCGUUUAAUUUUUUUUAUUGUUAUACUCAAAGUAGUAUUGUGAUAUUUUAUAUUUCUUUUGCAAUCUUAUUAUUAUUUUACACAAAAUUAAAAAGUUUUCUAGGUGAUGAACUUUUGAGUUUUGAACAUUAAUCAUUGGCUUAAAUUUCAUAUAUUUUACAUUAUAAUUUGAAAUUAAGUACGAAAAUAUUUAAUAAAUUAUGAAAAGAUUAACAGAUUAUUCUAAAUUGAUACAACUUAUUUUAGUUAAAUAAAAAGUAACAGGUAAAAAAAAAAAGGAUUGGUUAUGAAAUUUGUUGGAAAAAAAUCUGUGUGUGUUUAAUUUUUAUUUGUCCUUAAUUGUAAUUUAUUUGAAGUGAGGUUUUAUAAGGAUAAUGAAGGGGUGCCAUAGUUUCACUCUAUUUCAUAUGGAGAGAGAAGUAAAAGGUACACCUGAGGUUAAUGGAAAGGACUUCGAAAGUUUCUUUUGAUUAUAAUACUGUUUGUUCUAAUUAACUUAAAAAAUUUUACUUUAAUAUUUUAUAAUAAAUUAAAUUUUAAUCUUAAAAUAAGUAUAAUCAUAUAUUUUAAAAUAAUCUUAAAAUAAAUACAAUCAUAUAUUUUAAAAUAAUCUUAAAAUAAAUACAAUCAUAUAUUUUAAAAUAAUCUUAAAAUAAAUACAAUCAUAUAUUUUAAAAUAAUCUUUAUAUUUAAAAUUUAUUUAUUUGUACAUAUUUUAUAAUAAAUAUAACACAUACUAUUAAAAUAAUAUAUAAAAAAUUAAAGUAUUUUGAAUAUUAUAUAAAAUAACUUUAAGAUUCUUAAUAUGUAAGAUAUAUUUUAUUAAUUUAAAAUUCUAUUUAAAAUUUUAUUAAUUUAAAAUUCUAUUUAACCCAAAGAUUUAUUUAAGAUAAAUUAAUAAUCAUAUUUUUUAAAUCAUUUCAAAUAUUAAAAAAUAUUUUGAUAUUACUAGUCUAUUAAAUAGAUUAAAUAUUUUUAUUAUUUUGUACUAAUCAAAAGUUACAGCUCGAAUGAUAUUAUGAGAACAGAAUUUUUAUGUCUUUAUUAAAAAUUUGGGUUUGUAUAAUUAUUUUUUCAAAUGUUAGGGGCAUAGCUGUCUUUUUACUUUUAUAUAUGUGAACCGCGGUGGUGAAAAAGUGUGAUUUAAUAUUAGUUAUUUAAAUAAUAUCUGAAUUAAAGAUGUACAGAGAAGAAAUUUCGGUGGGCAUUUUAGUCUUUUAACGAUUAUCAUGAUUAGGGAUUAGGUCCUGCUCUUGAAACGUUGGUCAGAAAAGUUCUAAAAUGCGUACAUUAUCUUUACUUUAAAAAAGUUAUUUUAUUUUAUUACAAAUUAAUGCCGACAAGAAAAAGCAAGAUCUUAAANNNNNNNNNNNNNNNNNNNNNNNNNNNNNNNNNNNNNNNNNNNNNNNNNNNNNNNNNNNNNNNNNNNNNNNNNNNNNNNNNNNNNNNNNNNNNNNNNNNNAUAAAGAUGAAGAAAAGGGCAAAAAAAUAUUAAUGAUUAACGAAAUCUCUAUCCAAAUUGAUUUUAGCAGGAAAAAAGUGAGCUAAAUGAUGUAGACGAUUAGUGGUAAUAUUUCAUAGAGUUAGACUAUUGGCACCCUUCCAAUCUUCUCACGAAUCCUCUUUUUGAGUUAUAUUUAUUUUAUUUUUAAAAUAUCUUUUUUCUCUUUUACUACACUUCUAAUUUUUCAUUUAAUUUUUUUAUUGUUAAACUCAAAGUAGUAUUGUGAUAUUUUUAAUUUCUUUUGCAAUCUUAUUAUUACUCUGCAUAUAAAUUAAAAAGUUUUUUAGGUGAUGAAUUUUUGAAUGUUAAUCAUUAGCUUAAAUUUCACAUAUUUUACAUUACAAUUUGAAAUUUAAUAUGAAAAUAUUUAAUCAAUAAGAAUUAUGAAAAGAUUAAUAAAUUAUUCUAAAUUUAUACAACUUAUUUUAGUUAGAUCAGAAGUAGCAGGUUAACAAAAGAAAGGAUUGGUUAUGAAAUUUGUUGGAAAAAAAUCUAUGUGUGUUUAAUUUUUAUUCGUUGUUAACUCUAAUUAAGUAGGUUAAAUAUUUUUGUUAUUUUUUACUUAUCAAAAAAUUUAAGAUCAAUAUUUUUAGUUACCAUUCGAAGGAUAUUAUGACAAAAACAGAAUUUUCACUUCUUUGUUAAAAAUUUGGGGGUUUGUGUAACUAUUUUUUCAAAUGUUAGGGGCAUAUCUGUCUUUUUACUCUAUAUAUAUGAACCAUGGUGGUGAAAAAGCGUGAUUUAAUGUUAUUUAUUUAAAUAAUAUCUCAAUUAAAAAUGUAAGGAGAAGAAAUUUCGGUGGGCAUUUUAGUCUUUUAACGAUUAUCAUGGUUAGGCCCUGGUCUUGAAACGUUGGUCAGAAAAGUUCUAAAAUGCGUUCAUUUGUCUUUACGCCAACAAUAAAAAGCAAGAUCUUAGUGUCCCACAAAAGCAAAUCGUAAUAUUCCGCAAUGGAGUUAGAUCCGCAAAAGCAAACAAAUUCUUUUAUUAAACUACAAAUUAAAGUGGAAUCAUUUACUAAACAACAAAUUAAAUUUGAAAUAUUUAAAUAGUCGUGCGUUAGACGAUUAGAGACUCUUAUUAAAGGCAAGUACAAAGUAGUGAAGAAUCGAAUAUUUCUAUUGUCUAGUCUUUUUUUAAAAAAAAUUUUCUUUUAUUAUUUUUCAGAAUAUGUUUUGGUGAUUACUAUUGGGUUAUUAUUCAGAGUUAUUGUUAUCUUCCGGGGCAGUUUCUGUUCAUCGAAUUCGUUAAUAAAAUUUUAAAACUCUUAUUGAAAGAAUGUUUUUCCGUUAUCUUUUUUAUAAUCUAAUUUUAAGUGUAAGAAGUAGUCAUUUUAGAAUUUGGGUCUUGAAUCGAAUUUCAAUGCAUGAAUUAAUAUUUAAAAAAAAUUUACUACAUGCAGUUUAGGUUACAAACUAUUUUUUGCAAAGUUGACUAUGAAAUUGGAGAAAUUAAGUAAUUUAUAAUGUUUGCAAAGAAAGAGACCAACAUACUUCCAAUUACACUAUAUCUCAAUUAUCAUAAUGUUAAGAUUAAACUAACUUAAAAUAAAAUUUAUUUAAAAAGUUUAUCAAACGCAGUCUAAUUUUAUUAACUUGAAGAGAUAAUAGUUAUAGAAAUUAUUAUUCUAACUUAAUUAGUAAAAGUGGUAUAAAGGUUAAGUGUGCACUAAAUCUAUUUAAAUUUUUUUCCAGUAUAACUAACAGAGGUCAUUACUAGAAUUAUAUUACUAGUCUAUUAGAUAGAAAAAAUUAUUUAUAUUGUUUUAUAUUUAUUAAAAAAAUUUAAAGUCAAUCUUUUUAAUUACUAUUUAAAGGAUAUUAUAAUUAAAAAAAUUUUAAUGUCUUCAUUAAAAAUUUAAAAUUUUAUAUGACCGUUAUCUAAAUAUUUAAAGUGUAACUGUCAUUUUCUCAUAUAUAUAUAUAAUUUCAUCAACCCCUUAUACUUUAUGUUAUUUAUAUUUUAUUCAUGAAUAUUAUAAAUUUUUUGAAAUAUAAAAUUUCGUUUAACCCUUUAUACUCAAUUUUAUUUUAUUAAAACCCUAGAGUAUGAAUUCGUCCCUAUAAUAUUAAAUUCUCAAAAUAACUUCCAUUUAAUUAAAAAAUAUAAUUAUUAUUAAAUGAAUUAUAAUUAUUAUUAUUAUGUUAUUAUAAUCAUAAAAAGCGAGAUCAUAUUCCACAAAAGCAUAAGUGACAAAACAACCAACUGGAUUCUUUUAUUAAUCAACAAAUUGUAUAGUCUUUUUCAAAUUGUUAUAAAUUGGUGGCCCCUACAAUCCUCAAUAAUUGUACCGAAAUUCACAAGUUGGUGGGCCCUACAAUUCUGUUCCGAUAAUUUAACUGUGCAAGUGCUCAUUCACAAUCUUCCAGGUCAUGCUCUUAACAAUUGUUUUUUCUUUUCUGCACGCCCUUUCAUGCUCUUAAUAAUUGAAGAGCAUACUUUUCAAAUGUGAAGCCGCAUCUAAUGUCGCUAAUUUAAUUUGGGAUUAAAUUACGGGACUAUUAUAUUGCAGUGUGCACUAAUUUUUAUGUUUAUCUAAACUCUUCAAAUUUAAAACAUAUUAUGGCAUAAAUAAGAAUGUAACAAUAACAAAAGAGUAAGAAAGUGUAGAGAAAAUCUUGCAGAAAUAUAAAUAAUAUUUAUUUUUAAAAUAAUAUUAAUAUUUAAAAUAAUUUUUAAUAUUUUAUGGUCCAUUAGAUAUAUUUUAUUAUAUUAAAAUAAAUUUUAUAAUAAAUAAAAACAUACUAUUAAAAUGAAUAUAUAUAGAAAAUUUAGAGUAUUUUAAGUAUUAUAUAAAAUAAUUUUAAUAAAAUAUGUGAGAUAUUCAUAUUUUAUUAAUUUAAGAUACCAUUUAACCUAAAGAUUUAUUUAUGAUAAAUUAAUAAUUAUAUUUUUGAAAUUACUUCAAAUAUUAAAAAAAUUAAUAUUACUAAUAUAUUAGAUAGAUUAAAUUAUAUAUAUUAUUUUUACUUAUUAAAAAAAUUUUAAAAUUAUUUUUAAUUACUAUUCAAAAAACGUAUUCAAAAAACAUAAUGAUAAAAAAAUCUUAACAUCUUUAUUAAAAAAUUAAAAACUUAUAUGAUAAAUUCUCUAAAUAUUUACGGUAUAUGUGAACCACGGUGGAUAAGCUUUAUUUAAUAUUAUUGAUUUAAAUAAUAUGUCAAUUAAAAAUGUACAGAGAAGAAAUUUCGGUGGGUAUUUUAGUCUUUUAAGCAAUUAUCAUGAUCAGAUCAGCCUUUAGCCUUCAAACGUCGGUCAGAAAAGUUUUAAAAUUAAUGCUAAAUUGUUUUUCACUUUUAACGUUGGUGGCCUUGAAAUUGCUUGUAUUUUAUUAAAAAUUAAUGCUAACAAGAAAAAGCUAGGUCAUAUUCCACAAAAUCAAAAGUGACAAAACAACCAGCUGGUUUCUUUUACUAAACUACAAAUUAAAAUAAAUUUUUUCGAUAAAUUACAAAUUAAAGUGGAUUCUUUUGAAUACAAAUGGGACAGACGAUUAGGCUCUUUUUAUUAGAGGCAAGUAAAAACUAGUCAAGAAUCGAACAGUCUUUUUCCAAUUCUUGUUUUAUUAUUUUUCAAAACUAGUUUUUGGUAAUUACAACCGGGUCAUUAAUCAUUAUUCAGAGUUAUCUUCCGGGGCAGUUUCUGUUCAUCGAAUUCGUUAAUAAAAUGUUAAAACUCUUAUUGAAAGAAUGUUUUUCCGUUAUCUUUUUUAUAAUCUAAUUUUAAGUGUAAGAAGUAGUCAUUUUAGAAUUUGGGUCUUGAAUCGAAUUUCAAUGCAUGAAUUAAUAUUUAAAAAAAAUUUACUACAUGCAGUUUAGGUUACAAACUAUUUUUUGCAAAGUUGACUAUGAAAUUGGAGAAAUUAAGUAAUUUAUAAUGUUUGCAAAGAAAGAGACCAACAUACUUCCAAUUACACUAUAUCUCAAUUAUCAUAAUGUUAAGAUUAAACUAACUUAAAAUAAAAUUUAUUUAAAAAGUUUAUCAAACGCAGUCUAAUUUUAUUAACUUGAAGAGAUAAUAGUUAUAGAAAUUAUUAUUCUAACUUAAUUAGUAAAAGUGGUAUAAAGGUUAAGUGUGCACUAAAUCUAUUUAAAUUUUUUUCCAGUAUAACUAACAGAGGUCAUUACUAGAAUUAUAUUACUAGUCUAUUAGAUAGAAAAAAUUAUUUAUAUUGUUUUAUAUUUAUUAAAAAAAUUUAAAGUCAAUCUUUUUAAUUACUAUUAAAGGAUAUUAUAAUUAAAAAAANNNNNNNNNNNNNNNNNNNNNNNNNNNNNNNNNNNNNNNNNNNNNNNNNNNNNNNNNNNNNNNNNNNNNNNNNNNNNNNNNNNNNNNNNNNNNNNNNNNNNNNNNNNNNNNNNNNNNNNNNNNNNNNNNNNNNNNNNNNNNNNNNNNNNNNNNNNNNNNNNNNNNNNNNNNNNNNNNNNNNNNNNNNNNNNNNNNNNNNNNNNNNNNNNNNNNNNNNNNNNNNNNNNNNNNNNNNNNNNNNNNNNNNNNNNNNNNNNNNNNNNNNNNNNNNNNNNNNNNNNNNNNNNNNNNNNNNNNNNNNNNNNNNNNNNNNNNNNNNNNNNNNNNNNNNNNNNNNNNNNNNNNNNNNNNNNNNNNNNNNNNNNNNNNNNNNNNNNNNNNNNNNNNNNNNNNNNNNNNNNNNNNNNNNNNNNNNNNNNNNNNNNNNNNNNNNNNNNNNNNNNNNNNNAUUGUGGGCACUCUUGUUCGUGCAUGUUUGCUAGAAGAGAUGGAAGAUGAUAAAGUAAAAAUGCAUGACGUUGUUCGUGAUAUGGCUUUAUGGAUAGCUUGUGAAAUUGAGAAGGAGAAGAGAAACUUUUUGGUUUGUGCAGGUGCUCGAUUAGAAGAGGCACCGGGUGUUAAAGAAUGGGAAAAUGUGAGAAGAUUGUCAUUGAUGCAAAACCAAAUUGAAACUGUGUCAGAGAUUCCCGCAUGCCCUCAUCUCCAUACUCUAUUUCUUGCCUCUAAUAGGAAUUUCAGGAUGAUCACGGAUGGCUUCUUUCAAUUUAUGCCUUCUCUCAAAGUUUUGAAGAUGUCACGCUGUGGGCAAUUCGAAGGUUUUCAAUUACCUGUUGGGAUGUCAGAGUUGGGUUCAUCACUAGAACUUCUUGAUAUUUCACAUACCACCAUAAGAGAGUUACCCGAAGAGUUAAAGUUGCUGGUAAAUCUGAAAUGUUUGAAUUUGAGGUGGACAGGUGCGUUAAUUAGAAUUCCACGGGGACUAAUAUCAAAAUUUUCAAGGUUACGUGUGUUGAGAAUGUUGGGUACUGGCGGGUUCAUUUUUUAUGAAGCACCAGAAGACAGCGUUUUAUUUGGUGGGGGUGAAGUUUUGAUACAGGAAUUGCUCGGUUUGAAAUAUUUAGAGGUAUUGGAGUUGACCUUGGGAAGUUAUCAUGCUCUCCAAAUUCUUUUGAGCUCAAAUAAGUUAAAAAGUUGUAUUCGAUCUCUUUACCUCUAUUUGACCGGAGAUAAAAAGUCGAUUAUUGAUGCUACGGCUUUCACAGACCUAAACCACCUCAAUGAAUUAUGGAUUGAUAAUGGAAUUGAGUUGGAAGAAUUGAAGAUUGAUUAUACGGAGAUAGUACGAAAAAGGCGGGAACCUUUUGUUUUCCACAGCCUUCACCUUGUUACGAUAUAUAGUUGCCAUAAAUUGAAAGAUUCGACAUUCCUCGCUUUUGCUCCAAACCUCAAGUCUCUUUCGCUAUUCAAAUGCCGUGCUAUGGAAGAAAUAAUCAGCGUCGGAAAAAUUGCUGAGAAUCCUGAGAUGAUGGGACAUAUAAGCCCUUUUGAAAAUCUCAAAAGUCUUGAUCUAUCAUAUUUGCCGGAGUUGAAGAGCAUUUUCUGGAAGCCAUUGCCUUUCACUCAUCUCAAAGAAAUGGGGGUAAGAGCAUGUGAUCAGCUUAGAAAGCUUCCACUCGAUUCCAACAGUGCAAAAGAGCGUAAAUUUGUAAUUCGUGGAGAAGAAGACUGGUGGAACCGACUUCAAUGGGAGGAUGAAGCCACUCAAAUUGCUUUUCGUUCCUGUUUCCAACCUGAUUCCUGAGCGGUGGUCGCAAAAUUUGAUUUCUGGUGAGUGCGUUUGUCUUUUAAAAGAAGAAUUUAAAAGAAAUUUAUUCUUGACGUUUUCUUCACUGUUUUUAUUUCAGUCUCUCUCUCUCUCUUUUUGUCUUCUGCUAAUCACAAUUAAAUGUUGAAUUAAUGGAAUUAAUGCUUCAUAAAUUUGCCGGCACUGCCAUUACUUUUUUUUUUUUUAAUACAAAUUGAUACUUUAUUUAUAUCUUCUUAGCGAUUUAAUUUCCUGUCAAUUGACGAACGAGAAGAACAUAUGACUUGAACCAAUGCUCGCAUAAACUUGCUGUAAAAAGAUAUAAUCUCACUGAAAUGCACACGCCUAGAAUGAAUAGAAUUAAAACAGGGAAAAUAUUAAGUAUAUUAGCCCUCUUUACCGAAAAUCAAAUGACAAUAAAUUUUUUGAAGUUUUGAUUUUCUAUGGUCAAUUCCACCUUUUGCAAUUUCUUCUGUUCUAACAAAAACCAAUUUCUUUGUUCAAGUAUUUUCGUUUGGGUAUUAAUAAUUCUCCACCGAAAGAGUGAACUCUUGCUCAAGGGAUCUCUAAUCAAUAGCCGGAAGGGCGCCGAGACCUGAUCGGACCUAGGCCCAAGUUUGGUCUUAAAGCCUGGGCUUGAGCCUGGCAAUUAAAUUAAAACAGUAAUUGAUUUCUUGAAUGAAUUGUCGUGUAAUUGAUUUAUGGGGGAUGACACAUCAACAUACUUGAAAAUACACUAAUCUCAGCAUCAUCCGUUAAUAACUUUUAGAUUUAUGGGCAAUCAAUAGUUAAAUUAGUUGUCAUUAAUACUAAAUAAUUUUUACUUUUUUUGUCUCUUCUAGAGGAUCUUCUAGAAAAAUGCAUCCACAAUUAAAUUUAAUACUUUACAUAAUAAAGAAAGCAUAAAUGUUAAAUUUAAGAAACUGCAUUGUAUUUCAGCUGAAGUUGACUUUAAUAUUUAGGGUAGAAAAAAAUUAAAUCCUUAAUGUGUUUAAUUUCUAUCACUUGUGUCAUUAAAAUUUUCUAGUCACCCUAACCAAUUACAUCUCAACCCACUUUUUUUUGGAUGAUUUUAUUUUUACACUAUUAUUUUCAACAUUUUUUUUUCCUUUUAACACCAACAUUAGUGUAUGUUACGUAACAUAAUCCAUAUUUGGAUAAUUUGAAAUUUGUUUGUGUUUUAUCUCAAAAUAGAGCUUCAAUCAAUUUGUACCUCAUAAAUUCACAAUAUCUGGCAUAUUGUCAAAUGUGCUUAUCCUUUUGCUUGACAUGUCAUUUUAAAAUUGUCAUUCAAUGUCAAAAAAUCACAUCAACUAAUGGCCGACUACUUUAAUUUGAAAGCAUGCGUGCGAUCGCCAAUAAUUAUAACUUAAUUGUUAUAUUGAAAUUUUUUUCUUUAUAAUUUAAGUUUAAUACUGCUACAUGUGUGGCACAUAAGUUGGAAAAUAUAACAUAAAAUUUGAAAAAUGUGUAGUUUUCGUUCCUUUUUUUUCUAAAAAAAUGGGAAAAAAGAAUGUAAUUUUGUUUAAAUUACUGUUGUCAUAACAAUUAUUAUUUUAUUGAUUAAUUGGCAGAGAAUCGUAAUGGUUUCGCAUGGUUGUUAAAACAUUGGAAAGUCCACUACAUCAUCGGUUAAUAACUUUCAGAUUUAUGGUUAAUUAAUAGCUGAGAUUUAUUAUCAUUAAUGCUAAAUAUUUUUUCUCUCUCCUGGAGGAUCAUCCACAGGCAGGUGCUUCCUGACGAUGACAAAAUUUUGGGCAGGCAGGUGCUUCCUGACUUUCACACGGUAAUUCUCAAAUUCUGAUUUCACCAUAUUUUAAUUACUGAUUAGCAUAUAUUCAAGUGCUCUCCAUUAUAAUGGAAGCCGCCGCCUCACUCGUAAUUCCAAACUUUAUCUUUUUUUCCUUUUUUAAAUUAAUGCAAGUAGCCGCUGUCCUUUCUAUUAAUUAAUUAAUUCGGCCGCCCACAUUUCUUUUCCUAAUGUCUUCUACUGUCGAGUUUAUUUUAUUUUCUCUUUAUUAUUAAAAUAUACUUAUAAUAAUAAAAAAAUAAAAAUUAACAUAUCAAAAUAUAAUUUAACAGAAAAUUAAGAUAAAAAAUUAAAAAUAAAUAAAUUAUGAGCAUAUCAAUCAAUAAAUGAAAAAUAAUAAUUUUUAUUUUUAUUAAAUAUAAAUUUUUCAGUAUUAAUCAAUUAUCUGAAUAAAUAAAAUCAUUUAAAAAUAAAUAAAUAAAUUAUUCUUAAAAAAAAAAAAAAAACUUUUUAUAACACUCACUAUGCUGGUUGUAGGGUUGACGCUUUGGGUACUGAAGCUAGUAACUUCUACAAGUAGUCUUAAGUUGACUGGCAACAACUAUAUUGGCAUUUAGAAAUAAUGUACUGCAACCAUAUUGGCAUGUUCAAAUGUUCUUAUUAUUGUAUUGGUGUGUCAAUAUUAUCUCUAACGGUUUUAUAAAUAAAAAAAUAAUCUAAAUUUAUAAUUUAACAUAAAAUAAAAUAAUUGGUAGAAAAACAAUUAUGGUUCAUUUACUUAUCAGUAAUCAGAAUAGACUGAAAUCGAAAUGAGUUGUAUUACUGUUGAUGUGUUUAUGUUGUACUCGAAUCGAAAUGAAUUAUUUUAAAUUACUAAAAUAUCCUUGGUCUGUUAUUCUAAUUAUUAUUAUUAUUUAAUAUUUAUUAUAAUAUUUUUCAUAUCAUUAAAAAAAAAUAAUAAUGAUGAUAAUAUUCUCAUUAUUGUUUGUUACAUUAUUAUUAUUCAAAAAAAUUAUUGUUAAUAACAAUAAUUACUUUAUUUCAAUAAUAAUAAUGAUAAAAUUAAUAAUAAUAAACAUGACAACAACAAUAAUUAUUUAUUAUGCCAAAAAAUAACAAUAAUAAUAAGAAUAAUAAUCAUCAUCAUUUUUUUGCCAAAGAAGCAUUAUCAUCAUCAUUUCAAAAAAAAAAUCAUCAUCAUCAUCAUCAUUUUUGUAGUGGCUACCUAUCGGCUGCUGCUUUCAUGUGAGAUUGACUUGCGACGCUUCAACGGCUAUUAUUUCUGACAAUGUCAGGUGUUGCUAUUUCAAUUUAGGAAGAAGUUGUUUCGGUGUGCUAGCGAUGGGAGAUGUUGUGGCUGCGAUUCGGGGAGCUACUAGUUUAUUGCACUAAUAACGGCAGGUGCUGUUGCUUGAUGCGAGGUCCAUGGCCAGUUGUCAGCAGUUCGACUUUGGUAUGGGUGCUGCUGGUUCGAUUUUAGGUGUUGUCCAAUUUCAUUUUCAGGAUUUUAAUUUUAUUUUUCUUUUAUAUUUUCAUUAAUUAAUCAGGGUAAAAUUGGAUUUUAGAAUUUAGAAUGAAGGUAAUUUUGUUAAUAAUGGAAAUGAGAUUCUGAUUGUCGAGAAUGAGCUUACACAAACAACUAUAAAUUAAGUGAAAACAAAACACUUUUUCUCUUUGUGUGAUUAAAACAUGAUAUGUACCAUAAAUAAAUAAGUAAAAAAUAAAUCAACACAAUCUAAAACAGUAAACAAAUUACAAGAGGCACAGAUUUUUAUGUGAAACACCGAAAAUGGAAAAAACCACAGCAUCUUAGUUUGAUAUAAUCUUCUACUAUAUUAAUGGGAUUAUAGCACAAAUUCUUUCCUAUAUAACACUAGAGAUUAACAACAUCAAGAAUCUCAAUAAUCUUGACUUACAAUACAGCCUAAUAUUUGUCUCUCUAAUAAGUAGAUAUCUAAAAUAACAGUCUCUAAUAAGUAUGUAUCUAAAAUAAUAGUCAACAAGAGGAUAAAACAAAAAUUAAGAUUAGUAGGAUGUGUAUAAGGUGAUGCUAUCAAUUUAUCUUCUAAAUUUGAGAAAAAUAGUUAAAUUCACUUUUUCGAUUGUCCGACCAAAAAUGGAAACCCUUGCCCCAAAACCAAAGGAAUCACCAUUAUGUUUUUCUCUCUCUCUCUCUCUAUCUCGUUCUUUUCUUCUUCUUUUCUUAAUGUUAGCCAUCACUUGCUUUUAUUCUUUAUAGCAUUCAAAAAGCUACUUUUAAUGGUAAAUUUCAUUUAAGUCUGCAACUUAGUGAUAAUUGCACACCAAACAAUCCUUACAUAGUGUUUUGGGCCCUCAAAUGAGAUGAAUACAACAAAUCUCCCCCUUUAAAUCAUGUGGGGGGCACCGCAAGCCCGCUAUUUGCAUAUAGCUUUUCAGCUUCUCCUUGAAUAAUGACUUUGUCAUCAUACAUAAUCCAUUCUUCGUUGUGUAAAUCUUCUCAAGCUGUAACUGUUCCUUCUCAAGCUGUAAUUAUUCCUUCUCAAGCACGUCUCGUAUCUAAUGAUACCUUACAUCAAUAUGCUUAGAUUUCGAAUAGUAUAACAGCACUCUGACUAUCGUAGUACAUAACAUAGCUGUCUUGUUUUACACCCAGCUCUUGUAGGAAAUUCUUCGUCCACAAUAUUUUUUUGCAACCUUCAAUAAUUGUAAUAUCAUUUGCUUUAGUGGUAGAAAAGGCAACUUAUUACUAAAGUUUAGAUUGCGAUGAGACUGUUCCCCCUGCAAAAGUGAGCAAACAUCCUAGUAGGAAUUUUUCGGAAUCAACAGCUCCUGCCAUAUCUACACACUUGUAACACAGGUUUGUCACCACCAAAAUAUAAACAUGCUCUGGAAAUGCAUCUAAGAUAUCUGAGAAUUUUUCACUGUUGUCCAGUGCUCUUUACCGAGGUUGAAGAGAAACCACUGACUACACUAACUGUAUAGGCAAUAUUUGGUCUUGUACAAAUUAUGGCGUACAAUAAACUGCCAACUGCUGAAGCAUAAGGAACUCCUCUCAUGGAGAAAUGGGUUUUACUCUUGAGAUUUUUGGGACCAUGAAGAAUAAAGAUGUAAUUUCUUAUACUGCCAUUGUUUCGGGAUAUAUAAAUAGAGAACAAGUCGAUAUAGCUCGACAGUGUUUUGAUCAGAUGCCAGAACGAGAUUAUGUCUUAUGGACUACCAUGAUUGAUGGGUACCUUCGAGUGAAUAGGUUCAGAGAGGCUUUGACACUUUUUCAGGAGAUACAAACUUCAAAUAUAAUGGGAGACGAGUUUACCAUUGUUAGCAUUCUUACAGCUCGUGCGAAUCUGGGGGCACUAGAACUGGGAGAAUGGAUAAAGACUUAUAUUGACAAAAACAAAGUCAAGAAUGAUAUAUUUGCGGGGAAUGCUUUGAUAGACAUGUACUGUAAAUGUACUGUAAAUGCGGAGAUGUUGAGAAAGCUCAAAAGGUAUUCAGGAAGAUGCUUUGAAAGGUCAAAUUCACAUGGACGACCAUGAUUGUUGGCCUUGCCAUCAGUGGAAAUGGUGAUAAAGCUCUUGAUAUGUUUUCCCAAAUGCUCAGGGCUUCGAUCAAACCAGAUGAGGUAGCUUAUGUUGGUGUUCUGUCUGCCCGUACUCACAAUGGUAACGAAACUUUUGUGAUAAAUAGUUGCAACUUAAGGUGAGAACUGGAGGAAGGGAAAUAGAUUGAAGUUGUUCAAUCAUCAGUAGUUGCUACUUGGUUUUAAGUUGUUCAAUCAUCGGUCGUCUCUAUUUGGUUUUCUCCAAUAUCUCAUCUUCAAUUUUGACUCAGAUUGUAUCUUACCACUAGUAAUUACAUAGACUUGCUGCCAAAGGUAAGAAUGGGAAUAAAUUAAAUAGAUUAUGUCGAAAACGAAAUAAAUUUACUAUUGUUCUGUUCAUUCUAUUUGUUUCCUACAAAAUAUUUCUCCUGCCUAAAAUUUUUUGAAUCAGUAAGUUUUUACCUUAUGGAUGAAUUGUGUUGAGAGUAAUUCCAUUUCUCAGUCUCUUUAUGUUUCAAUGAAGACGUAAAACUUGUGUUCUAGUGCACCAACGUUUAUGCUUCUUACAAUUUGACUUUAAUUUACUUUGUAAAAUUUUUGUCAAAAAGUACUAAAAAGUAGUGCACCAAACACCAACUUUAUUACAGAGAGGACUUUAGUUAAAUUUUAAGAAAACACUCAAAAGAAAGAGUUGUAAAUUAUUAUAAAAAUAUUUCACAUAAAUAAAAGCCAUCCCAUGCUGCAAAGAUCUUGCUAUAAUCACCAAAAACUAUCGGGAGCUUUUAGGGUUUCCAUAAAAAUGCCAUUUCGUUCCAUGUAUAUGAUUCUAUAGUCUCACUGGCAAGUAAACCACAGCCCAACAGCACUGACUGUCCAUGAUGAUUCACCCCAAUGAACGAAACCAGCGUUGCAUCAUAUCUUUCUGUCAAGCAUGUAAUAUCAAUUGAUUUGAGCUAUUAACAUCAUUUCCAAAUACUCCAUUGGCAUCUACAUUACCAUUUCCCUCGGCAUCAAUGAUAAGAGUUCGAAACAGUCUAAUCUUUUGAACUUCUUCAGCACCAUCUAAGAGCAAUGUUCUUUUGGUUCCAAUACCCAUGUGCUUAUGAUAUUUGUAAAAUAAUUAUUUGUAAAAUAAUUAGUUCAAUUUUGACAUAAUACGGAAUAAACACAACCUGCCAAUCUAAGUUACUAUCUUUUCCCGUCAUCAGGUACCUGUUUGAAAAAUAAUUAUAUACAAUUUUAUUUGCGUCGUCCCUCUAAAAAUUUGGGACUCAAAUGUUAUUUCUAAUUGCUAAAAGUACGAAAUUGCCCCCUUUCUCUUCAGCUAAAGGAGUGCAAAGUCAUCUGUAUAAUUGAAUCUGCAUCAUCAGUUUCUAUUGCUGGCUGGUGUUACUGCAUGCUUACAGUUGCUUGACAAAGUGAGCCAGUUUUUUGUUUAUUAAUUUUUUUUCUUGUCGAGACAGUCACAAAGUAUUACUUGUUCUAUUUGAGAAUGAUGUGAAUCAAUUUUUCAAUUAUGCAUUCUGUGGUAAUUAUUGUGAAUUUAGUUUCAUUUGUCUUGUCUCCUGCAAAUUUUGAAGAAAAUGCAGACAUACAAAUUUACAAUAUGUAUUUGCGUUAGUAUAAAAACAAUUGUUAGAUGAUUAAAGCGAUUUAUUUUUUUUUUUACAGCAUUUGAUUGUAUUAGUUAAAAUCAUUUUUUAAGGAUAAAAAUAAAUAGAAAAUUAUUCUCAUGUAGUGUGGAAAUCUUUUCUAAUUUCUUGUUGACUUGUACAUUUAUUUCAGAAUUUCCAUUCAUUAAUUCUACUGUUUUAAUCUUUGACUUAGCUACCGUAGUUGACUUUUUAUAUCAAAGGCUUAAACAGCAUGCAUUUUUGAAUUGACUGAGAAUAAUUUGGUGGACAAAUUACUAGUAAAGGACUUCAAAUGGUUGAAUUGACUGUGGGUUUUUCAUGCCCAAGUCACUCGUCACGUCGUUUCAUCGAAACAAAGUGCCCGGUGCAAAUGGUGUGAUGUAAAACACCUUUUUAAAUUGUCAUUUUUUUUCCUUUGCUUUUGCUUUAAUUUUCUAAAUGCUCAACGCCAUAAAUCCAUGUAUUCUUAAUUUUCGUUUGCUGUAUUGAUUCCCAACCCUCUAUGUCACAAGGUUUUGAAUGCCAGUAAUUAAGUUAAAUUAAACAUAUUUUAAGUCCUACUUUAAAUUAUUGAAAAAUGUAUUAUGGUUGAACUGAAUUUUAACUAAAAAAUAUAUACAAAAUAAAAGAUUAAUCAUAUCUUUUUAUGAGGAAGGUCAGUCAUCAUUCUGACCACAGACACUUAAAAUUAAUUGAGUGGAAUAUUGCAAAAUAUAUAUAAACCAUGCCAAAACUAGAUGUUUGAGUAAUGAAAACGAGAAUUCAUAUGACUCAGAAAUAUGGUCGCUUUCCUUUUUCUGAAAGGCAAAAAAAAAGGGGGAACCAAAAAGGACCAAAAUGAACAAAAAUGGAAGGCGAAGGUAAGCAGACAUGUUAUAUGUUUUACCUAAGAUGCCAAAUGCAACUCCCCAUUGAUGGUGAUCGAACAUUAUGGCCAUUUUCUUAGUAAACAAAAAAUGAAUUUUGAACACUCAACAACGAAACUUGAGCAGAAGAUCAAGCAAGGGCCUCGAUCUCAAAGAAGAUACUAUGAAACCCUACUUAAUGGUUAAAUAACUUUCAUUCAGCUUUGGACCCUAUUUCGUGAUACGGAAAGACAAACCUUUCUUGGCCGGCAGUGUCCCAGAUCUGGGCUUUGAUGAUCUAGAGGUUGAUGGUGACAGUUCUGGUUUGGAACUCGACGCCAAUGGUUUAUUUCGAUUCAAAGCAAAACUCAUUCUUGGUGAAUCUCGAAAGAAUCUGAGACUUGCCCACGGCCGAGUCACCGAUCACCACUACCUUGAAUACAUAGUCUAUUUUGUCAGGAAUCAUAUUCUCUCGUUGUUGAUGACGAUGAUCGGUGCCAUCACCACUCAUUUCUUCGUUCAUUCAUUCUAUGUCCAUUGAUCUUUUUGAAUUAUUGAAGACAAGUGGCUCACCGCUUUUAGUAUUGGUAAAAUUCAGAUAAUCUCUAUUCCGAAAUAAUAAUAUUAAAAAUAUCUCUUAAAUCAUUAUAAACUUCAAAUCUAUUUUAAUUUUAUUUAAAAGAUAAAAGAAAAAUAAGUUAUGUUGGUGAUUUUUUAUUAUCUUUUUAAUAAAAAUAGAAUAAAUUGAUGUUUAUAAUUAUUUAAAGUAUUUUAAAGAUUGCUAUUUUAUGAGAGAAUAAUAUUUCAUUUUUUUUUUCGUGUGAAAGACCGAAAAAGGACAAAGCAAGUUUCCCUAAUUUUUAUUUUAUGUGAAAUUGGUCAUCUCAUAUACUUUACCCUUCAACACUCUAAUUUUUUUGGUUAUAAUUUUAUUAUUUUUUCUCUUUUACACAUGCAUGUGAAUUACUUUUCUUUAAGCUCCUGAAUAUUUAAGACAAAUCAUGGAAGAGAUGAGAGUAUAACAAGAUGAUCAAAAUAUGUAACAAAAAAAUUUUAGAAGUGAAAAAUAUGUUAGAGUCGAAGUAAAACUCUGAGGUGAUGUUUGAUUUGAAGAAAAUGGAGGAGAGAAAAAGAGUGGAAUGGAGAGGAAAAGAGAGAAAAGGAGAGGAGAGGAGAGGAGAGUGAACUUUUUUUCUAAUGUUUGGUUUGUCACAUAAAUAUACAAAGAAAGGAAAUCUCCAAUUUUUUAUUUAGACAAUUUUAACCUUAAUAAGUAUUAAGCUUUCAAUAUUUAUCAUGUGUAUAAUUUAAAAAAAGUAAAUGGUAGAAAGCGGUUUCUGAUUCCGGCCACAUCGCCGGCAAUGGAAGGUACUUAUCAGAACAUCAAGAACCGGCCAUCAUUCCCUAGCCAUCACUGCUGUAGGAACACUGCUAAAAAGCUGCCGAUUGAACCGCGAAAAGUCGUGGAAAUCGUUGCCUCAAAUCGGUGAGUUUCGCCUUUUUCUGGUCAUGCCGUCGCCUUGGCUUUGUCCAUCAACGCUGCCACUUCCAUUUCAACCAUCCAUAGCCACUAUUAACCGCCAAAUCGCCGCCGAUCAGCGGGAUCUGUGGAAGUUAAAAAGUUUCUAAAAUUUUUUAAUUGGAUUUGAACAACAUACAACCAUUUUUUGAUCUCAAUAACGACAUAGUAAUGUUGAUCGUUGGUCGGCAAGUCGAAUGGUAGUGGCGGUGAGUAACACGCGCCAAUGACAUCGGCGGCGGCGGCGGCACUAUCCGGCUACUGUUAAAAUUAAUAUUUUAUAUUUGUAGAUUAAAUAAAUUUAUUUUAUUAAACUUUUUAAAUCAUUAUUUAAAUUUAAUUAAUUUAAAAUUAUCUAUGAUGUUGAAUUGAUAAAAUAAAUUUAUAAAUAAUAAUUAUGUGAUUACAUUAAAUAAGUUAAAAAGUUGAAGGGUUAUUUUUGGAAGAUUUAGUUUCCAACACAAAGGGAAUUUGAAUUCUUCACUUCUUAGUGUGGAAUUCAAAUUCUAUAUUGUAAUGGAUAUUAAAUUCCAAUAGAAAUUAAAUUCUUAUAAGUUAUGUCAAACCAAACAACGGAAAUAAAAAAAAAGAAUUUAAAUUACUUUCCUUUCCUCCACCCUCUCCUUCCAACCAAAUACAUCCUGAAAAUAGAGAUAUUGAUUAAUUUAGAAGAGAUGCAAGCAAAAGAUAUUCCACAAAAAAAAAAAAGCAAUAUGUCCCUUUGGAGGGCAAACUUGUCAGUUUUAAAAAAGUACAUGCUUUGGAUUGAUAGUUGUAGGAUAUUUGUUUUGUCACUAUGUGUUAGUUGGAGAAGUCAAGCCUUGUGAAGAAUGUUAUGAAAGAGCAAAGGAUAUUCCUGAUAGCUGAUAGAGCUCUAUUUGAUUAUGUAUCCAAUGAAUGGAUGUGUUGUUGGAAGAUAUUUGAGUGCAUUAGUUCAUAUGUGUCUAUCAAUGUGAUUUUAAUGAUUUUUCCACUUGUUUGUUGUAAAAGAUUAUUGUAAAUUGAAAUGAACUUGAUGUUGUAAUAUUUUCUCCUUAGUAGAAUUUCACCUAGUAUGUAUUUAGUUGUGUUGUCUAUAAUUUUGCAUUCGAAUAAGUUUCACCUAAAAUAUUAGCAUGAGUAGUGGCCCUUGAAACUUUGGUCAAAAUUAUUGUUAUUAUUUCCGACUAGAUGUAAAUUUUUUAUUAAAUCUCGCUAACACAAUUCUUAAUUAAAAGUAUAGGUUAGUGUUGGUGCAAGACUUGCCACACCAAAUUCUGCCUAACUGUCAAAAGUGCAAAAUAAAUGAAGAGAAAGCACAAAUACACGACUUGAAUAAGGAUACAACGAAACUUAAAUUCAAGAGAAAAUGAUAGCUAUAUCUCAAGAUUUGAAAAAACGGUCAUGUAGAUUUUUAAGAUUUCAAUAAGCGACUGAGAUUCAAAUAAUAUCCUUUAAUUCUAUUAACAAAAAACAAAGACUCAAAUAUUUUAUGAUAAAUAAAAAUAUAAUAUUAAAAUAUAUGUGAUAAUAUACACAUUUUAAAUACUUUCAAUCCAAAAAAAUAGUUAUGUUUUACAAUCUAUUAGACAUAUUUUAUUAAAUUAAUAUAAAUUUUCUAUAAAAUAAGAAUAUAAUAUUAAAAUAAAUUCACAAAAAUUUAAAGAAUUUUGAAUGUAAAAUAAUUUUAAUAUAUCAAUACGUGAGUUUUUUUAUUAAUAUAAAAUUUAUUUAACUUUAAGAUUUUUUAAAAUCUUUACAAUAAGUAUAACUAUAUUAUUUACAUUUAAAAAUAUUUAAAUAUUAUUAACCUACAAUUAUAUUUGCAUUUGUUAGAAAUUUUUUAAGUCAAAUAUUUUGCACUUCUAUAUUAUUAGAAUUAUUGCACAAAAAGAAAGAAACAUACACCUUUAGAAAUUGUUUUCUUUUAAAAUAGAGAUGAUGAUUAGUAUAAGGAUGAAAAAAAGGAUAAAGAAUAUUAAUGAUUAACGAAAUCUCUAUACAAAUUGAUUUUAGUAGGAAAAGAGUGAGAUGAAUGAUUUCUUUUACAGUUAGAAACAUAGAUGAUGAUUAUUAUAACGAAGAAAAAAAGAUAAAGAAUAUUAAUUAUUAAUGGAAUCUCUAUACAAAUUGAUUUUAGUAGGAAAAAAAUGAUUAAAUGAUUUAGAGUGCGUUUGGAAUUGAGAUUGGGCAGCCAUAGAUUUUAAGUUACAACACUGAAGUGUUUAGUAAAUACUAGUUGCUGCAGAUUGAAAGUUAUGUUGAUAUGAUUUUUCACAUGUAUCAUAGAAAAUAUAUUACAUCUUUAAUAUUUUUUAAAAAUUUAUAUUUGCUAUAUAUUAUUAAUUUUUUUUUAUAGUUAUAACUUUUUUUCCACAACAGUUGUAGCUUAAAAGUCACAGCACCUCAAUCUCAAACAAAUCCUUAGACAUUCAUAGUGUGUUUAUUUUUUGGAUUGGUGAAUCAAAAUUAUUGACAACGCUAACUUCAUCUUCACUGUUCGCAAUCCAACAGCAGCAAUUGUCGCCAAUAAUGAUAUCUCCAAUGAUGAUGACAAUUAUUAUUAUUAUUUUUAUUAUUAUUAUUAUUAUUAUUAUUAUUAUUAUUAAUUAAUUAAUUAAUUAAUUAAUUAAUUAAUUAAUAUAUUAAUGUUGAUAUUAUUAUUAUUAAGAUUAACAAUAAUUAUUAGUAAUACAAUUUUUUGAAUAAAAAUAAUCACAAUAAUUAAAAUACAAAUUAAUAAUUAUGACAAUAAUUAAUUAAUGUCUUUUUAGUAAUUUGUAAUAAUCUAACUCAUUUUGGUUCUGAUUAUUACAGCUUAAGUAAACAAAUUAUUAUGAUUCCUAUUCUCCUUUCCCAUUUUAACUCACUUUGAUUCCAGUCUAUUCCGAUUUCUAUUUAAUAAAUGCACCAUUAGUGCUAAAGUAAUAUUUCAUACAUAGAAAAAUAAAAACUACGCCUAAGGUUAAGGGAAAAGACUUCAAAAUUCUCUUUUGAUCAUAAUACAUUUUGUCCUAAUUAACUUAAAGAUUUUGAAUCUAAUAUUUUAUAAUAAAUAAAAAUAUAUUCCUAAAAUAAAUAUAAUAUCAAUAUUUAAAAUAUGUUUUAAUAUUUUACAAUCUAUCAUACACAUUUUAUUAUAUUAAAGUAGAUUUAUAAUAAAUAUAUAAAAAUUUAGAAUAUUUAGAAUAUUAUAUAAAAUAAUUUUAAUAUAAUGCGUGAUAUAUAUUUUAUUAAUUUAAAAUGUCAUUUUACCUAAAAAAUAUGAUAAAUUAAUAAUUACAUAUUUGAAGUUAUUUCAAAUAUUAAAAAAAUUUAAUAUUAUUAAUCUUUUAGAUAGAUUAAAUUAUUUUUUAUAAGAGAGAUUAAAUUAUUUUAAAAUGCCUUAAUUGUUUUUACUUUUAACGUUACGGGCCUUUCUUUUAUUUUAUUGCAAAUUAAUGCUAACUAGAAAAACAAAAACAAAAGUGACAAACACAACCAGCUGGAAUCUUUUAUAAAACUACAAAUUAAAAUGGAUUUUUUUUUUUUGUUGAUAAAUUACACAUGAAAGUGGAUUCUUUUGAAUAUAAGUGGGGUAGGCUCUUUUAUUUUUUUUUUAAUACCGUAUAACAGGACUGUAGACUCUUUUAUUAAGCACAAAUAUAGAGUUGUCGAGACAAUUAGGGUCUUUUAUUAAACUACAAAUUGUAUAGUCUUUUUUAAAUUGUUCAGAUAUUUAUAAAUUGGUGGCCCCUACAAUCCUCAAUAAUUGUACCGAUAUUCACAAGCUGGUGGCCCCUACAAUCCUUAAUAAUUGUUUUUUUUUUUUUCUGCAUUCCCUUUCAUGCUCUUAAUAAUUAAAGAGCAUACUUUUCAAAUGUGGAGCCGCGGCUAAUGUCGCUAAUUUAAUUUGGGAUUAAAUUAGGGGACUAUUAUAUUGCAGUGUGCACUAAUUUUUAUGUUUAUCUAAACUCCUUAAAUUUAAGAUAUAUUAUGGCAUAAAUAAGAAUAUAACAAUAGCAAAAGAGUUAGAAAGUGUAGAGAAGAUCUUGCAGAAAUAUAAAUAAUAUUUAUUUUAAAAUAAUAUCAAUAUUUAAAAUAAUUUUUAUUAUUUUAUGAUCCAUUAGAUAUAUUUUAUUAUAUUAAAGUAAAUUUUAUAAUAAAUAAAAACAUACUAUUAAAAUGAAUAUAUAGAAAAUUUAGAGUAUUUUAAGUAUUAUAUAAAAUAAUUUUAAUAAAAUAUGUGAGAUAUUCAUAUUUUAUUAAUUUAAAAUACCAUUUAACCUAAAGAUUUAUUUAUGAUAAAUUAAUAAUUAUAUUUUUGAAAUUACUUCAAAUAUUAAAAAAAUUAAUAUUACUAAUCUAUUAGAUAGAUUAAAUUAUAUAUAUUAUUUUCUAUUUAUUAAAAAAUUUCAAAUUAUUUUUAAUUACUAUUCAAAAAAUAUGAUGAUAAAAAAAUCUUAACAUCUUUAUUAAAAAAUUAAAAACUUACAUGAUCAAUUCUCUAAAUAUUUAGGGUAUAUGUGAACCACGGUGGACAGAGGUCAUUACUAAAAUUUCUCUUCCACAGGCAAUUACAGCAGCUCCAGUUUAUCAAACUCAACCAAUUUUCUUUCUUAACAAAAUUCCAAAGAUGUGUAGCUUUUUUCAGAUCACAUGCGAUGGUGCUUUUUUCAAUCGUUGCUUGGAUUGCUUUCUUGGAAAAGCAGCAUACAUACGUAACCUCCAAGAUAAUCUUGAUGCCUUGGACACUGAACUGGGAAGACUAAUCGCAGCAAAGAACGAUGUGAUGAUUAGGGUUGUCAAUGCUGAACGGCAAUAAAUGAGAAGGCUGGACGGAGUGCAAGUGUGGGUUUCGAGUGUGGAUGCUGUUAAAACUGGAGCCGAUGAACUUAUCACAGACGGCUCUGAAGAAAUUGGCAAAUUAUGUGUUGGAGGCUACUGUUCCAAGAACUGCAGGUCAAGCUACAAAUUCGGAAAACAAGUGGCUAGAAAGCUACGAGAUGUGGAGACUUUAAUCGCCGAAGGAGUUUUUGAGGCGGUGGCUACUGAGGUGGUGCCUGAGAGAGCUCCAGAGCCUGUAGCAGAUGAAAGACCUACCGAGCGAAAAGUAGUAGGCUUGCAAUCACAACUUGAACAAGUCUGGACGUGUCUUGUGGAAGAAUCAGCGGGAAUCAUUGGCCUAUACGGUAUGGGCGGUGUUGGUAAAACCACACUAUUGACCCAUAUCAACAAUAAAUUUCUCGAGAGUCCAACCAACUUUGAUUGUGUGAUUUGGGUAGUAGUUUCAAAAGACCUGCGACUUGAAAAACUUCAAGAAGAUAUUGGGAAAAAGAUAGGUUUGGUUGGUGAUUCAUGGAAGAGUAGAAGUGCAGAGGAGAAAGCUCUCGACAUCUUCCGGAGUCUAAGAGGGAAGAGAAUUGUAUUGUUGUUAGAUGAUAUAUGGGAGCGGGUUGAUUUAACAAAAGUGGGCGUUCCACUUCCUGGACCACAAAAUACUACCUCAAAAGUCGUAUUCACAACNNNNNNNNNNNNNNNNNNNNNNNNNNNNNNNNNNNNNNNNNNNNNNNNNNNNNNNNNNNNNNNNNNNNNNNNNNNNNNNNNNNNNNNNNNNNNNNNNNNNNNNNNNNNNNNNNNNNNNNNNNNNNNNNNNNNNNNNNNNNNNNNNNNNNNNNNNNNNNNNNNNNNNNNNNNNNNNNNNNNNNNNNNNNNNNNNNNNNNNNNNNNNNNNNNNNNNNNNNNNNNNNNNNNNNNNNNNNNNNNNNNNNNNNNNNNNNNNNNNNNNNNNNNNNNNNNNNNNNNNNNNNNNNNNNNNNNNNNNNNNNNNNNNNNNNNNNNNNNNNNNNNNNNNNNNNNNNNNNNNNNNNNNNNNNNNNNNNNNNNNNNNNNNNNNNNNNNNNNNNNNNNNNNNNNNNNNNNNNNNNNNNNNNNNNNNNNNNNNNNNNNNNNNNNNNNNNNNNNNNNNNNNNNNNNNNNNNNNNNNNNNNCAGGAAGUCCUAGUGCGUGCUAUCAGAAAAGAUGCUGGGAACUGUUUCGCGAAAAUGUUGGGGAAGAAACUCUUGAGAGUGAUCAUGAGAUCGUUGAGCUAGCCCAAACUGUGGCCAAAGAGUGUGGUGGUUUGCCACUCGCACUUAUUACUAUUGGUCGAGCUAUGGCCUACAGAAAGAAAGCGGAGCAGUGGAGACGUGCAAUUGAAGAGUUAAGAAGAUCAGCUUCAGAGUUUGCAGGUUUGGGAAAAGAGGUGUAUCCUCUUUUAAAGUUUAGCUAUGAUAGUUUGCAGAAUGAUACAAUUAGAUCUUGUUUCUUGUAUUGUUGUUUAUAUUCUGAAGAUUAUGGCAUUCUUAAAUGGGACUUGAUUGAUUGUUGGAUUGGUGAGGGAUUUUUGGGGGAAUCUGACAGGUUUGGUGCAGAAAACCAAGGAUAUGACAUUUUGGACACUCUUGUUCGUGCAUGUUUAUUAGAAGAGGUGGAAGAAGAUGAAGUAAAAAUGCAUGACGUUAUUCGUGAUAUGGCUAUAUGGAUAACCAGUGAAAUUGAGAAGGAGAAGAGAAACUUUUUGGUUUGUGCAGGUGCUGGAUUAGAAGAGGCACCGGAUGUUAAAGAAUGGGAAAAUGUGAGAAGAUUGUCAUUGAUGCAAAACCAAAUUGAAACUCUGUUUGGGGUUCCCACAUGCCCUCAUCUCAUCACUUUAUUUAUUGACUUUAAUAGGGAGUUGAAGACUAUCGCGGAUGGCUUCUUCCGAUGUGUGCCUUCUCUCAAAGUUUUGAAGAUGUCAAACUGUGGAAAGCCUUAGAAAGGUUUGGAAUUACCUUUGGGGAUGUCAAAGUUGGGUUCACUACAACUUCUUGAUAUUUCACACACCUGCAUACAAGAAUUACCACAAGAAUUAAAGUUGUUGGUAAAUCUGAAAUGUUUGAAUUUGAGGCGGACAAUUUGGUUAAAUAAAAUUUCAUGGCAACUAAUAUCAAAAUUUUCAAGGUUACGUGUGUUGAGAAUGUUCGCUACUGGCUGGUUCAGUUUUCAUGAAGCACCAGAAGACAGCGUUUUAUUUGGUGGGGGUGAAGUUUUGAUACAGGAAUUGCUCGGUUUGAAAUAUUUAGAGGUAUUGGAGUUGACCUUGGGAAGUUAUCAUGCUCUCCAAAUUCUUUUGAGCUCAAAUAAGUUAAAAAGUUGUAUUCGAUCUCUUUUCCUACAGUUGUUCAGAGAUACAACGUCGAUUAUUGAUGCUACGGCUUUCGCAGAUCUAAACCACCUCAAUCAAUUAUGUAUUAGUAACGGUUCUGAGUUGGAAGAAUUGAAGAUUGAUUAUACGGAGAUAGUACGAAAAAGGCGGGAACCUUUUGUUUUCCGCAGCCUUCAACGUGUUACCAUAGAGGAGUGCCAUAAAUUGAAAGAUUUGACAUUCCUCGUUUUUGCUCCAAACCUCAAGUCUCUUUCGCUAUACGAUUGCGGUGCUAUGGAAGAAAUAAUCAGCGUCGGAAAAUUUGCUGAGACUCCUGAGAUGAUGGGACAUAUAAGCCCUUUUGAAAAUCUCCAAAUGCUUUAUUUAAUGGCAUUGCCGGAGUUGAAGAGCGUCUACUGGAAGCCAUUGCCUUUCACUCAUCUGAAAGAAAUGGAGGUACUUGGGUGUGAUCAGCUUAAAAAGCUUCCACUCGAUUCCAACAGUGCAAAAGAGCGUAAAUUUGUAAUUCUUGGAGACACACAGUGGUGGAACCGUCUUCAAUGGGAGGAUGAAGCCACUCAAAUUGCUUUUCGUUCCUAUUUCCAAACCUGAUUCCUGAGCGGUGGUCGCAAAAUUUGAUUUCUGGUGAGUGCGUUUGUCUUUUAAAAGAAGAAUUUAAAAGAAAUUUAUUCUUGUCGUUUUCUUCUCUGUUUUUAUUUCAGUUUGUUUCUCUCUCUCUCUUUUUGUCUUCUGCAAAUCACAAUUAAAUGUUGAAUUAAUGGAAUUAAUGCUUCAUAAAUUUGCCGGCACUGCCAGUACUUUUUUUUUUUUUUAAUACGAAUUGAUGCUUUAUUUAUUUCUUCUUAGCGAUUUAAUUUCCUGUCAAAAGACGAGCGAGAAGAACAUAUGACUUAAACCAAUUGAUACUUUAUUUAUGUGCAUUGUAUGUAAUAAAAUUUUCUCUGUUUUUUUCAAAUUGAGGCUUUAUUUAUAUUUUCUUCGUGAAGAGUGAUUUAAUUUCCUGCCAAAAGACAAACGAGAAGAACAUUAGAGUCAAACUAAUGCUCACAUAAAUUUCCCGUAAGAAUAUAUAUAUAAUUAGACUGGAAUGCACACCUCUAGAUUGAACAGAAUUAAAGCUGAGAAAAUAUUGAGUAUAGUAGCCCUCUUUACAGAAAAUGACGCGAAAGUUAAUUUAGAAAGAUAUAUUCUUGAUUAAUCCAUUUUCUGAAGUUUUUUAUUUUGUAUGGUCAAUUAUACCUUCAUACUAAAAAAAAAAAAAAAAAAGAGAAAAUAUGUAAUCCAUGAAUGGUUAAUUUUGUUUGUUUGUUUUUUUUUCUUAAAUAUCAUUCUUUUUCGGCCACCCAAGGACAUUUUCACAAAUACCUUUUGUGUGCAGAAGUCUUCCAAACCAUCAAUGGAAAAAUAAAAAAUAAAAAAAACACGGUCCAGUAUACCUCAAAAUAUCAUUGAUGACUUUUCUGGUCUAAUGCUAUGUAAAUAGUAUGUUAAGUAAAACAUAAUCAGUUCAGUACCUCACAAAUAAUUCGCAAUAUCUACAAAAUACUAUAAUGGCUACAAAACAAAUCCUGCUUGCAAAUUGUCAAGGAUACCUAUCCGUUCGCUUGACAAGUCAUUUGAAUAAAUAUUGUUCACAUUCCUUACUCUGUCAAUUAUCCAAAGCACCAUCAACUUUAGUUUGAAUAGUAUACAUGCCAUCACCGUUACCAAGAAUCAAGCAUGGAAGGGUCAUUCUAUAGAGUGCAGAACAUGACUCUAUGCGGUAGUCAAUUUGACACACGACGAACACCAUAUGCUGCAUAACAUACAAAUUAAUUUCCCAUAUGUGAUGCAAUUUUCUCCUCAACAUAUGCGCAAUUCUUUCCAUUCCGGCAUUUACACUCAAAUUUUCCUUCCUUUCUCUUUGUGGUUGAAUCUUACACCACAACUCAUGUGAUGCAAUCUCCUCUCGCUGCCUAAAUUGCACUCUCAGCAAAGCAGCAUAUGUAAGCAAGCUUGAAGAUAAUCUUGCUGCUCUGCAGAAGAACGGCAAAAGUUAAUCGAAGCAAGGAAUGAUGUAUCAGAAAAUAUUUGGUGGAGAAUUCAGCACAAACAUAUUUCGGAUGAUCAGAAUCAAUAAAACCUGGUGGUUGUGCCAUAUAAACAUCUUUGGAAAGCUGACCUUGAAGAAAGGCGUUAUUGAUAUCCAAUUGAUGAAGAGGCCAGCCAUGACUAACAUCAAUACUAAGAACAAGCCGUACUGUGGUGGACUUAACAACUGGACUGAAAGUGUCAUAAUAGUCCACACCAGGCCAUUGAUUGAACCCUUUGGCAACAAGAUGAGCUUUAAACCUGUCAACAGAACCGUUGGAAUGUCUUUUAAUACAAAAAUCCAUUUGCAGCCAACAAUAUUGGAAGGGAUGGGAGGUGGAACAAGCUUCCAUGUCCCGUUACGAACAAGAGCAUCAUACUCUUCUGACAUAGCUGGACGCCAGUGAAGAUUUUUGAUAGCUUGCGUCACAGUUGUAGGUUCACAAUCAGAAGAAGGGCUAAAAUGAGCACGGAGGUUAAGUUUUUGUAACGGCUUGUGAAUCUUAUUUUUAGCUCGGGUAGUCAUAUCAUGAUGACUUGUGGGGCAAUGAUCUAGUGGAGUUUAGGAAGAUGAUUGAACAGGAAGUGAAGAAGUGCUUUGUGUAGAGGUAGAAGUAGGUUGGGAGGAUUGCUGCGGAGAUGUUACCGGUAGAGAAGAAGGAGCAGUACACGGUGGCAACUCCAGAGGGCCCACAAUAGAUGGAGUAGGUGCCGACAAUGGAGUACUAGGAAAUGAAACAGGAAGAAUUGGUGGAACACUUGCAUAAUUAGGAGUGGUAGAUGAGCUUGUAAUGAUUUGCAUGGAAAAACAAACUCUACAAAUUUAACGUGACGUGAAAUAAAAAUUUGAAAGGUGGAUGGGUCAAAACAUAAAUAAGCACUUUGAGAUAAAGGAAUAUCCUAGAAAAACACAAGGCUUAGAGGGUGGUUCGAGUUUAUGUGAUGAAACACAAACAUUCAAAAAAUUUUAAGUUUAUAUUAAUUAGGAGUGGUACCAAAAAUUAAUUAGCUAUGGGGUUGUUGGAUGUGUUUUGGAUAUUUACAGUUAAGUUUGAGUAUCUCAACUUAAAAUUUGUAGUUUUCACUUGAAAAAAUUCAGUUAAAUUUUGCAAUGCAGACUGAUUGAUUUAUCAGUUUAACGUGUGCCAGGAAUGAAGAACUGGAAUAUCACCGUCAAGCAAGCACCCUGUGGAGCAAUACCAAAGAAUGCACAAUCUGGCUUUGCUAGGUAACACUGGAGGCUUUUUGAAAAGUGCUUCACGCUCACUUGCACAGAUUGAGCAUCCCCUCUGGAUAUUGCCCUCUCUGAUCGAGUCUGAGCACUCAAAUUUUGGUCCUCAGAGGGAGCUACAGUUUUCUCUCCACUAACCAACAAUAUUCUAAACUCAGCACCUAGUGUGAUCAGAGUUGUUGAUAUUUGCAAAUGGAGAUCCCCAUAUUUGCAAAUGGAGACAUUUAACAAAUCACCAACAUGCUUCAUCCGGUCCACGAAAUUCUGCAACUGAUGCAAAUCUGGAACCUGAACCAGAGUCGGAGGUAUAUCUUGAGCCAUAUCUAAAGCAGUUUGAAGUUCAAGACCUUGAGCCCUUGACAAUGGUUUUGAAAUUGGAACAUCUUGGAUUACUGCAGACUUGUACCCCUUGGUUUCAAAGGUAAGGAAAGGCAUUGCUUGAGUACAAUUUGGAGGCAGCUUCUUCACCAAUUUUAUUUGGAGGCGAUUGGCAGCGGAUCCAGCUGCACCAAUUUCAGAGCAACUACUGACACUACUUCGAACAGCACACUGAAGAAGUGAUAUGUCUACGGCGAAGGCAAUGCAGUCCUCAUUUUGGCUUGAGACACAGUAAUCAUCGAAGAGAGUUUCCUUGUGAAACUGGGCAACACAUUGAAUCCCUUCGGCACUGAGAAGGUUGUGGAGGAAGUAAGCUUUCUCUCUAGUAAGGAAGAGGUGGCAUACAUUCCCCAUUUUGUCUAGGGCAGGUAGGAAUCUUUUUUCUAAGAGAUUUACUUCAUUCUCUGUGAGAAAUGCUUUGAACUUCAUCCCUCUGUCUCUAUCCUCACUUAUCAGUAAAAUAGUUGAAAGCGCUACAAGGAGAGAAAAGAAGAGUAUUAAGAUAUAUAUAUUAUAUAGACAAGAAAAACAUUAGAUGUCGAUCUUACAAGCUAAUACUUCAAACAAUAUCCUAGAAAGCUAAAAACUGCAAGAUGGCUUGAAAUUUGAAAAGAGCACGUGCUUUUCCUCCUUAACUUGAGAAAAUGUUUAAUAUAGUGCACCUUACAGAAGCAUUUAAGCAAUUAGAACUUUGCACAAAAACAUCAAGAAGACUAAACAAGUCAGAUGCAGUGUAUUUGUCCAAGCACAAAUUGCAUUUUGUCCUCAACUUUAAUAUUUAUUGAUGAGAAUCAAUACAGGUCCCUCAUUUGUUAUAGAAAGCUUUCUUGUAGUCUCACCAGUUAAUAUGGAUAUUAGAUAAGGAAACUUUAUUAGGUUGCGAGGGUAAAAAAGGAAAGAGAUAUCAUUAUUUUAUUAUCGAUAAUUAUUAAAUUUUUUUCCAAAAAAAAGAACAAGCAAGGAUAUUUUAUUGUCAAUUGCAACCUUUAAUUUUUUUAAAUGCUAUUAGAAACACAAGAUAACAAAAAUGUAGUGAGAUGGGAUCUCCUGCAUGCCACUCUGGUUUAGAACACAAAGAAUGUGUCUGCAUAAAUAUCCUCUGAAAUUGAACAACCCACAAACACAAAGCACCUCCAAGUCGGAGGCAUUGUACAAAACAUCAAAAGCCCUUGAAUCCUUCUCGUUGCCACCAACCUCGAAUUCUUCCUUCACUAUGUAUGUUAUAGGUCCAUCAGAACUAAUAUGUUUUGUGCUAUAGUAAGAGUACAUAGCCUCCACCUCCAUCUGAAACUUCCUUAACAUUUCAUUUGUGUACAGUUUUGAGAGUUGAAAUUCAUAGUAACAUCUUGGUUUCCGGAUACAACUUGAAUUUCUUGAAUCCAUAUCUGCCAAGGCUACCAGUUGAUAAUUCGCCUGCAGUGCUUGAUCAUACUUGUCUAAGAAUUCUUUCAAAGGAGUAUUCUUAUCAAGAUAUCCUUCAAAGUAUGAAGUAGAAACCUCAUUCUGCAGGAACGAAAACACUCCUGAUAAAAAAGCUUCCUUCAAAUAAAUAGGAGCCCACCUUUUAUGAUCUUCAUAUAAAGUUUGAAUCCAUCCGUGAUCCUUUAUUCCAUGACAUUGAAUCAUGUCUUCCCAAGCUGCUUCAAAUUUCUCAGGCCUGAGAGAGUGAUAAAUUGCUCUAUGUAAUGCAGCUUUAAUAGCUUCAUAUUCAAACAAUCCUUGGAGUUUCUCUGGAAUUUUUUUGCAUGAUGCAUGACAAUGAAAAGAAAUGAUAAGCUCUUGGGAAAACAUCACCAACAGCAAUUUGCAAGAUUCUACAUUGGUCAGUGAUGAUUGUUUGUGGAGAGCGCCCUAACAUACAUGUAAGCCACGCCGUAAACAACCAUGUAUAUGAUUCUAUGGUCUCACUGGCAAGUAAACCACAACCCAACAACACUGAUUGUCCAUGAUGAUUCACCCCAAUGAAUGAAACCAGUGGUACAUCAUAUCUUUCAGUCAGGCACGUAGUAUCAAUUAAGACCACAUCACCAAAGUACCUAUAUGCAACUCUUGACCUGGUAUCAGUCCAGAAUAGGUUUUUCAAGCAUCCCUUUUCAUUUAGAUCCACUACAUUAAAAAAGUUUGGAUCUGUCAACUGCAAAUGACAAAAGAAACUCUGGACAGCUUGUGCAUCUCCUGGUUUAAGCUUCAAUUGAUUUGAGCUAUUAACAUUAUUUCCAAAUACUCCAUUAACAUCUACCAUUUCCCUUGGUAUCAAUGAUAAGAGUUCGAAACAGUUUAAUUUUUUGAACUUCUUCAGCACUAUCUAAAUGCAAUGUUCUUUUGGUUCCAAUACCUAUGUGCUUAUGUGACUUGUAAAACUUUCCGCUUCUUGGGCUUAACAAGUGGUUAUGCUCAAGCUCGACUUCAAUGAUUCUCCACCUUUUGGUUUCCAUCAACCUAAACUUUAUCAUUGCUGGACAGCCAGUUCUUGUUUCUGGUCUUGGGCGGUUUGCCUCGCUUUUCUUCUUGAAGCCUGCACUACUACAGCUCAGCUUUCCUCUAUACUUUUCUCUACUCUUUCGGUACCAUGGAUUGCUAACUCUAACACCAAAACCCUGUUCCUUGGCAUAGCAAUUGUAAAAGUAAUAUACAUCAUCAUACAUCUCAAACUCCAUUCCAACAGUAGGAGGCAAGGGAUUUUGGAUUAUCCCAGUUUGUCCAACAUAUUCAGUCAUCGCACAAUCUCCUACAACCUCAAAAUCAUCAGUGUCAUCAUCACCUACUGGUUCGGUGUUGAGAGAAACUUCAUCCAUCUACAAUGGAUGUUCAAUGAAGUGAGCUUUAAGGAGAAAAAGCAAAAUCUGUUCAAGGAAUGAUAAUAUAAUCAUACAGUUACUUUCACAAAGCUUCAUAUUUCAUCACUGCUUUACCAACAUGCAACUGCCAGAGAACAAACAGACAUGUCAUAGACGCUUGAAUUAAGUAUUGGUACAAAUGAGCACACAUCAUGUGGGACAAAAUUUCAGUCACUAAACCCAAUACCACUUUUUACAUCAUACCAAGGAACAGAUUAAACCCGACACCUUCUUUUAAACCAUACCAAGGAACAGAUUAAAUCAUCAAUGAAAAAUUAAUCACAUAAUAACUUAACCAGACAAAUGAAGAGCCUGAAACAGCACAAAACUUGAAUCUGAUUAUGAUAAUUGUUGAGUCCUUGUAUCUACAGCUUUCCUUCAAUGAUAAGACAAUGAACAUAAACGAGACACAAAAAAAUUAUUUUAAACUGACAGCCCAUGAUAUAAAUCAAACAAAAUCAACUCCUUUUUUUACACAUUACAUCUCAUAUUCAUUUACAUUGAAACACAAAAAGGAAGCAGGAGUGGGAAAAAAACAACAGCAGAGGAACUUAUUUCCAUAAGGUUUACGAAAUAAGGAAUCUAUUAAAACCCAAAACUUGAGGUCACCACUAAGAAUUUGGUUCUCAUUAUUUUUUUCUUCAUUUUUCACCAAUUGAUGAACUUAAAAUACAAUCAUAAAUGAUAAAACCCCAUCUCCAUCUUUUUGAACUAGAGCUAAAGCAAAGCAUUUUAAGAUGUUUCAUCAUUUUUUUUUUUAAAAAAAACUCAAUAGUACAAUGUUUUUCAAUGCUAAAUGCACAAUUCAAUCUUCUCCUAAUUUACUCUAAUAAUCUCUUAAUUAAGGAAGAUUAAGCUUCAGUUGUAAGCUAAAACAAAUUUCUUAAAUCAAGCCCCAAUGCUUUAUGCUAUUCAACAAGGGCUCAUAAAUGAUAAAACUACUUCUAUAAAGAUACCCAUUUUCUAAAUUAAUUUCACAAACUGAAAUCAAACUCCUGAAACGUAACGAGCAUUAAUAUAAUCAAGCCCGAACAAGAAUUGAAAAAUGAUACAUAAACUCGUUUACACAUUUCGACAGACACUUUGCAAUCAAUGAGCAAAAAAUUAAUGGAGAAGAUAAAAUUCAAACGAAACAUGCCUUACAUUGAUAAAUUAGAAGGGCAAAAGAAAUUUUAGUACGAUAUGCGAUCAGGGUCUUGCCACGGUGAUGUUAUUUGUGAAGUUCGAGCGACUCAGCAGCCUUCGAGGUUGAAAAUUUGAUUGACCAAAAGCUUCCCGUUCGUUGAUUCUCUAAUAGUAGAAACGAGACUGGCAGUAUACACAAGAAGUUCGCCGAUUUUAAAUUCCGUUGUUUGAGAUGGAAAAUUUUUUGAAAAAAUUAAUGUGUUCGAUGAAAAUCAAAAUCUCAAAAACCUCUUGUUUUUCAUUUUUUUGGAAAAAACCAUUGAGAUCCUUACUAUUUUUUCUUAUAUCAUCUUCCUUAAUAAUUUGCAAAGUCUAUCGCAUAGCACCCAUGUAUGAUGUAUGCUGCGUUGUAAUUUACAAAAUUGCACAUGAAUAAAUCCAGCUAAAAUUUGUUAAAAGAAAAUAAUAAUAACAUGUUAAAACUUUAAAAUUUGAUUAUUCGAAGAAAUUUUAAUUUAGUUAAGUAGGUGACAUGAUAAUAAAUAGAUACGUAUAAUGUCCGAGAUUUUUUAUAAGAUUAAUAAAUAUGAUAAAUUUGGAUUAGUUCAAUUUUGACAUAAUUCAUAAUAAACACAGCUUGCUAAUCUAAAUUGCCACCGUUACUCAUCAUCAGGUACCUGUUUGAAAAAUAAUUACAAACAAUUUUAUUUGUGUUGUUUCUCUAAAAGUUUGAGACACAAAUGUUAUUUCAAAUUGAUAAAAGUACGAAAAUUCCCCCUUGCUCUUCAACUAAAAAUGAAACAUGCAAAUAUACACACUAAUUUAGAUGUGUGAAUAACAAAUAUGGAACGACACAUGCAAAGUCAUCUGUAUAAUUGAAACGCCAUGCACUAGUAGUAGGUAAGAGAAACCAAGGUUGAAGUUGCUCCAAUGGUUACUGUUAAUUUAUUUUUAUUUAUGAUUUUUUUUGUAAAAUGUAAGAAAUAUGUAGAAAUGUUGCCAGCAAUGAUUUUGGAACUUUGCAUAAAAUUUUUAUCAUUAUUGUUUUUGGUAUUAAGAAAUCCGAGGCGGUGAUUAGACGUAUGUUGCAACAAUUAAGAAAUUUCUUAUUGGAGAUAAUUUGGUAGGUUUGCAGCAAUUAGAGAAUAAUUUUCCUGCCAGUUAAUCAAUCAAUAAUAAAUUUCAAAUUGCAGAAAAUAAAAUAAUACAGCCUCACUUAGAAUCAUCUUUUCUAUCUCUUUCAAUUGUGGCAAUCAUUUGCAACAAAUAAAUCAAUUUGAUGCACAUCAUUUCCCCAAUUCAAAGUUCAAGUCACUGCUCAAUUACAGAGUAGUUAGUGGACAUGCAUGCAUGUUUAAUUAAGUACUGCAUUGUAGUAUCGAAAAUCAUAACAUCUCACCAAUAUCAGAUUAUUAACCAUGGAAAUCAUAUCACAAUAUCAUAUAGAAUUCACAAAUCUGAAAAUCAUCACCAAACAAGUACCCAGAGAAAUAAUCUCGUCAUAUCCAGACCUCAACGGACGGGCAAUGACGUACUAUUUGGGUAACGUCACACCCUGGAGCUACACGGAUAAAUAGGAAAAUACCAUCUCAUAUCUCAUCAUAUUUGUGCAUGCAUAAUCUAGUCCCCAAGGGACAAAAGCGCCCAAGCACACGGCCCAAAGCCUCUAUGUGUACUCAGACGGGCCCCAAAGGCCUGUAUCUCAUAUGUAUCAUAUGUAUCAUUUGUAUCUCAAUAUCUGUUUGUAUCUCAUUUCCGUAUAUCUAUAAUCAUCAUACCGCAUGCAUAUGCCCCCAAAAGACAAAAGCGCCCAAACACAUGGCCCAAAGCCUUUAUAUGUGUUUAGACGGGUCCCAAAAGCCUCUUAUCUCAUCUUAUCUGUAUCACUGUAUCUGGAGAGAAGGGUACUGUCUAAUGAUUUAAAAAACAAUCAUUAUACUCAUAUUUACAUACCUCUUAAUCAUAUUUGAAAUCAUAUCACAUUUGAAUCCACUUUUCUAAUCUUUAAAAUAUUAUCAUGCUUUAUUCAAAGUCGAUACGCAAAAUCAAUAACCAAACAUUUUAAAUCAAAUUAUUAACCAUGGAAAUCAUAUCACAAUAUCAUAUAGAAUUCACAAAUCUGAAAAUCAUCACCAAAUAAGUACCCAAAGAAAUAAUCUCGUCAUAUCCGGACCUCAACGGACGGGCAAUGACGUACUAUCUGGGUAACGUCACACCUUGGAGCUACACGGAUAAAUAGAGAAAUACCAUCUCAUAUCUCAUCAUAUCUGUGCAUGCAUAAUCUAGUCCCCAAGGGACAAAAGCGCCCAAGCACACAGCCCAAAGCCUCUAUGUGUACUCAGACGGGCUCCAAAGGCCUGUAUCUCAUAUGUAUCAUAUGUAUCAUUUGUAUCUCAAUAUCUGUCUGUAUCUCAUAUCCGUAUAUCUAUAAUCAUCAUACCGCAUGCAUAUGCCCCCAAAAGACAAAAGCGCCCAAACACAUGGCCCAAAGCCUUUAUAUGUGUUCAGACGGACCCCAAAAGCCUCUCAUCUCAUCUUAUCUGUAUCACUGUAUCUGGAGGGAAGGGUACUGUCUAAUGAUUUAAAAAAUAAUCAUUAUACUCAUAUUUACAUACCUCUUAUCAUAUUUGAAAUCAUAUCACAUUUGAAUCCACUUUUCUAAUCUUUAAAAUAUUAUCAUGCUUUAUUCAAAGUCGAUACGCAAAAUCAAUAACCAAACAUUUUAAUAAAAUACCAAUGCAUAAAUAAAAUUCAUUUCGAGAAAUCAUUAAAUCAGAACAUUUAAAAUACUUAUUUCGCAAACAUGCUUUACUAUCAUCGCUAACUAUGAAAAUAAGUUUUGUAUAUUCCACUUUCAGUGAUGGUGUUCACGGUCGGUUAUCGUCCAUAUCUGCAGACCGAUUCUCGCUCGCGAAUCCUCCUAAAUCAAGGAAACGACAUAAUUAUUUUUUGUAAAUCGGAAUUAUGACUAAAUUUUAUGCAAUAAACUCAAAACGAACAUCUAUUCAUAAUUGACAACUCCUAUAUCCAUAAAAUUACUAAAAUAUCCUUGAGUCCGUAGAUCAUUAACAUGCUCCGAAAUCGUAAAUCACUGAAUUACCCUCGGAAUCGUAAUUACACCCGAUCCUCAAUUAUAGGAAUUACUAACAGAUCCACAGGCUUAGAAAUUACAAAAUUGCCCUCGUAGUGUGAAAUUACCAAAAGCCGGAAGUUGGUCAACAAUGGCUAGGAAGCUCAAAUCGUAAAGUUCCAAUCACGCUGAGUUCAAUGGUACCGGCGGUGAGCUCCAACGCGCGACAACGAUGCCAGAAUCUAGCUCGGCAGCCGUGAAUUCCACCAAUCGACCGGCGGCACAACAGUGACUCUCGGUGCCUAUGGAUGGUCGAAAAUGGAAGAGGGAGCCGUGGGGAACAAAAUCCAACCGGUGGUGUCACCAAAACCGGUGAAAAUCCCGGCGGAGCAAAGUGAAACAGUCGCGGGUUUCAUGCUUCGAUCGCCGGUGUUCCGAUUGGUUUUUGGCGAGGAGGAUGGCAAGGGAACGACAGCCGGCUUCUAAGCUUCAGAUUGGUACCAAGCUCGGCCGAAACGAUGGCCGGAAAUGGGAGAUAUGACCGGGUCAAGGUCGCGGGUUCCGGGUCGGGUUUUUUGGUCUGUAGUUGGGUCGGUUUGGUAGCUUCUCUCUCACUCUCUGUUACACGUGCAUAUGUUUCCUCUGUUUCCAGCUUAUUCUUUUGCUUUUACUAACUUCUUAACCGCCUCAUACUUAUUCAUUUUUAAUUCACAUAUGUUACAAUAAUUCCCGAGUAUUAAAUAACCAGUGGUCAUAAUUUUUGUACAAGAUUCUUUUUUUUUUUUGGAGAUCGUUAAAAGUGGUUGACGAUCCAUUUCGUAAUAUCAUAGAGGGAUCAUCAAUUCCUUUUCUUUUCUGUGGCUAGGCAACACUUUUUGGCCAAAGUAAGGAAAUCUAUUUUAGGUAAUGUAAAAACCAGUUGUAGGAUGUAAUAGUUUAUUAUGCACUGACAAUAACUUUUUGUAUAAUUGUCAGUUUAAUGAAUGCAAGAGGAACUCUGUUGGCAAAUUCAUCCAAGAUAGAUGCUAAAAUUAUUUAUGCAUGCCAGUUGCCUUAACUAAGUUUUCUCAGCACUGGUUUUGAACAGGAAAAUGAAUAUGCAAUUUGUAUAUUGUGCCAUAGUGGAGAAUUUGGAUAUUCUUAUUUAAGUAACAAGGAGAUUAUUUGCCUCAUCUUUAAACAAUGAAUCUUUGAGAGAUGAGGAGUGGGUGAUUGGAUGUGUCUUCAUGUAAUUGUUCAUUUAUUUGUAUUUUGAACUGUUAUGAAAAUCUUUAUAUGCCAAAUUAGUAAUACAAGUAUUCAGAUGAUUUUUCCUAUUGAUCAUGCAUUUGUAUCUGCCCACAACCAUUGUAUAUCACUUUAUUCUGAUGCGCAAGCAUCUGUAAUUUAGAAGAAAAGAAAUAAUAAUCAUAUUUUAUUGCUUGGUUCAUGAUUAUUAACGAUUAUGGCUUUAAAAAUCUACAAAUUUCUUGUGUUCAUGUAUGAAUGUGCCAAGUUUGCUGUAUCUUAGAUUACCUUCUUCCAAGGUAACAAGUUCAUAUAUAUAUAUUUUUUAAAUCAUUUUCCAUUACAGUUGAAUUUCAAGUGUUAGUUUUGUUAUUAGUACCUGGUUUCCUGUUAUAAGGAUCUAAUAAACAGUGUACGGAUAUGUGCUCUACUUUUGGAGGGCUUCCACGUGAAAGAAAAUUACAACAAUUGAAUUCUUCCGGAGGAUAUGGUAAUUAAUUUAUUUUCUCAACUUCUUGUAAGACUAAUAUAUUUCCUUCAGUAGGCACAGCAUGGUGGGAAGGGUUUUUAUUGAAAGAAUUCUGAUAUUUCUUAGACUUUGUUUUGGAAGGGGGUGGAGGAAUUUCUCAUCCAUAUAUGGUUACUUGAUUAGCUUUUGACUGUAUUGUCUCUGUCGUGCAAAGGAAAAUCUAAAUACUAACGAUGGGGAAUUGCUUAGGCACCCAAAAGGCAGAAAUGAAUUACAGAAGGAAGUUUUUGCUGCUUUAUUUAGUGCUGCUGAGAAAUCUGAUGAAUUUCCUGAAAUUACGGUGAAGACCGAGUGGAGGUCCAAAGCAUUAGGAAAGGUGGUGAGUGAACUGCCGGAGGAAUUUGUACCAAAAUACAAGGCUAAUGUGGUGCACUUGCAGCAAGAUAACCAGACCGGUAUGUGCUCUUAUAUUAACUAUAUUGACUGGAUUUGUGAGUGUGUGCAUUUUUUUGUGUAUACUCACUUUUGUAUUUAUGCAUAUUAACAUGUGUAGGAUUCUUGAUUUCUGCCACUUACUGGAGAACUAGUGGAAAGCUUUAUAUUGAUAUAUCUGCAAUAACUAAUGGAAACUAUGAUAUGAAUAUUUUCUCUCACCUGGGGAGCUGUGUAACAGAUAUACUUUGUGGCUCUGGAAUGCUGAAGAUUCUGCAAUAACUAAUGGAAAAUAUGAUAUGAAUAUUUUGUCUCACCUGGAGAACUUUGUUACAGAUACCCUUUGUGGCUCUGGAAUGUCUAAAGAAUGCUUUAGUUAGAUCAAAUAUCUUUUAGUUAGAAAAGAUAAAAUUCUCUGAGUCUGAAAGACUGAAACAUUUUGCAUAUUUUGUGAAAGGGAAAUAUCUGUUGAUACUAGCUCAUGCAUUGAGGUAAUAUCGAUGUUAAAGAAAAACAGCAAUGAUUUAUGAUAUAGAAUUGGGUUCACUUGCUUCAAAUGCUGGUCUGAUCAACCAUAUCAACCUGUAAUGAUUCUGCAGAAAUAUAUAUACAUGGAGAAAGUAGCUAAAUUUUUCUUUCAUUUAUGGGUUCGGUCUUUUUUCCCCUUAUUUUUCAGCUUUCCUUCUCCUGAAGUAUGUUAACAAUUGCAGAUAAUGAUGAAGACGACAGCUUCCGGGCUCUCCUUAGAGCCGUGAUGGAAUAUAGGGGCACAAUGAAGGAAUAUUGUAAAGCUGUAGGUACUUUUUCUCCUUUCAUUUAUGUUUUCUCACACAUUUUGUAUAUGCCCUGAACAUGCACCUUUGUAUGUAUCAAUUGACUUUUAAAUUUUAAAAGCCAUAAAGUAAGAAUACGGUUCCUUGUCAGGCUACUGAUGACAUUCGCUCAGGGGGAUCAUGUUCGAGCAGGAAAAUUUCUAGAACAGGUAAGGUUUCCAUCUACAGCCAUCCAUUGACAGCAGAUACAUUUUCAUUCAGCAGACUCUGUUAGCAUUCAAGAUGCUGGCAGAUUCACUUGAUUCUUAUUAGCUUGUUUAGUGGCAAAGCCUAUAACCUGUAUUUCAAAGCCAAGUUGUGCUAUUGAUUAUGUUAACUUUUUUGUUAACAUAAAAUGAUAUGGAGGAAAUAAUCAGUGUUGGAAAAUUAGGUGAAAAGAUGAUGUCAAAUCUUGAACCUCUUACGAAACUCUAAGUUCUUUACUUGAAGAGGCUACGAAAUUUGAACAGCGUCUACUCGAAGGCCUUGCCAUUCCCUGAUGCAUGCAGAAUUUUUGUAUUUAAAUGCCCAGAGCUUAAGAAGCUGCCACUGGAUCUUGAAGGGGCAGACCAAGGUAAAAAUCUUAUCAAGGGAAAGGAAGAUUGGUGGAAACAACUUAAUGGGAGGAUCAAGUAACUCAGAAUGCAUUGCUUCCAUUUUUUAAAUUGACUGACAAGUGAUUGAACGGGGCAUCAUCAACAUCAUCAACAGGGAUGGAGAGAUACCGGAGCAGAUCAGCAGGGUUUGAAUAUGACCUUUGGCGGUUGCUUUUUUUUUGUGAUUUUUUUUUCAUUUUUUCCUUCCUGUCAUUUUAUCAUUUCUUUCUCUGUUUCUAUUGCGGGUGUUACUGCAUGCUUACUGUUGCUUGACAAAGUUUGCUAGCUUUUUGUUUGCAGUGUUGCUAUACACUCCGAGUCAAGCCUCGAAAAUUUAUUAAACGAAGCCGUUUCGACAGUAACAAUUCUUUUCUUUUCCCUUUGCAUGUCUCUUUCAUCUGCUGUUUCUCUAUCACUUUUCAUUUUUGAUUUCCUUGCUUCUCAGCUGCCCCUAAAUUGUUAUUCUAGCAAUAUACUUUCUCAUCUUUGAAUUUUCAUCCUUGAGUACUCCCACAGCCGUAAUUUCAUCAUCAUAGACUUCACUUGGAAUGCUGUAUUUUUUCGAUUCUUGAGCUACUUCAAUUACAUCUUAGUAUAGGAUCCUCAUCUUCCUUUAUUUCUUCAUCUUAUGAGGUAAUAAAUGGAUUUCACAACUCAUCUACUUUUAAGCAAUUACAUAUUAUACCUUGAAUGAUUCAACUGUUCUGACAGUUAAAGAUUUUAUGCUCAACCUGCAGUGCUACGAACAUUGUCCAUGAAAGAUGAGUUUCAGCAUAUAAAAUGAAAUAUAGAUGUUUAAUCUAAAAUAACCCUUCACUGCCAGAAACCUAGGUCACAAAAUUCACAGAUAAUGAUAAAGAGCUAAAAAAUUUGAAAAACUCUACAGAUCACACAUCAAGCAAGAUAUCAUGUUUUUUUCCCUCAUUCAGUGGUGAUUGAUUCGCUUUUUGAUGAUGGAUAUGGUAUAAAAGUGUUGACCCAAUUUCAAGCAAACACAAAUAGAAACACAAACACAAUCGGGACUAGAGUUGUGGGCGAUUAUCUUAGGUGUACAAGUGAAACGGUGGUGGCUGUCGAUGGUGGUAGUGGGGUGGUUGGGUAUGCGUGAUGGCUAGAUUUUAGGACAAUAAUGAUUGGAGUUGACCUCAAUCAACGAAGGAAAGUGACAACAAUUUUGACAUCAAACGGUGCAUUUUUUAGCUUAGUAAAAUGGAGCCGUUUCGAUUUUGGGGUUUAAUCCGGGGUUUGACUCGGUGCAAGUAUCAUUUUCCUUUUGUUUAUUAAAUUUUUUUAUGGUCACAAAGUAUCACUCGUUCUAUUUGAGAGUCAUGUGAAUCAAUUUUUCAAAUUUUCAAUUUUAAAUUUUGUGGUCAAUGUGAAUUCAAUUUCAUUUGUCUCCUGCAAUUAUGAAAAAAUUAAAUAGUCAUAAUAUGGAAAAAUACACCGGUAAAAACUUUGUAAAAGCUUCGGAGUGAUACGGGGAAUUCACUUACUACUAAGGACAAUUGGUGGCAAGCUAUUCCAUUCAUUUUAUGUCCAUCCAUCUAUUUAGUUAUUGAAGAUAAGUGGUCCAUUUGUAAAUUUCAGAUUGUCUCUCUCUCCCUCUUGAAAUAACAAUAUUUAAUAUAUCUCAUAAAUUAUUAUAAAUUUUAAUUUACUCUCGAUUUAAAAUGGAGCAUGUCGAUAAAUUUUUUUUCUUCUUAAUAAAAUUGACGUAAGUUGUGUUUACAGUAGUUUGAAGUUUGAAAUAUUUUAAAGAUUAUUAUUCUAUAAGGGAGUAAUAUGAAAUGAUAUUUACUUUUCAUGUGUGAAAUGAAAAAGGACGAAGCAAGUGUCCCUGCUUUUAUUUUAUUUCAAGGAGGAGUCAUCUCACAUACUUUAGCUCUUAACAUUACAUUUUUUCUGGUUACAUUUUUUAUUUAUUUAUUUUUUUUUUUUUACACAUGCGUGUGGGUUGCUUUUCUGUAAGCUCCUUAAUAUAUAUUUAAGACAAAUCAUGGAAGAGAUGGGAUUAUAUCAAGAUGAUCAAAGAAUGUUAAAAAAGAAAAAAGAAAAAAAAAAGAAGUAAGACACUGAAAAUGGAGAAGAGAUGGAAGCAAAAGAUAUUCCAAAACAAAGCAAUCUAUCCCCUUUCGAGGGCAGACUUAUCAGGUUUAAAAAAGUACACGCUUUGGAUUGGUAGUUGCAAUCAAGGGAAAAUAAAUAGGAUCCAAUGAAAUUUAAAUCUCGGAGAAAAUAAAUAAUCAUGCAGAUUUUCAAGAUUUUAAUAAGGGAUACUAAUAUCUUAUUUUGAUUAAUAAUAUCCUUUCAUUGUGUUAACUCAAAAAAUAUAUAUUUUAAUGUUUUGCAAUAAACAGAAACGUACUAUUAAAAUGAAUAUAUAAAGAAUUUAGAAAAUUUUGAAUGUUAUAUAAAAUAAUUUUAAGAUAAUGCGUGAGAUAUAUUUUAUUAAUUUAAAAUGUUAUUUUACCUAAAAAAUAUGAUAAAUUAAUAAUUACAUAUUUGAAGUUAUUUUAAAUAUUAAAAAAAUUUAAUAUUAUUAAUCUUUUAGAUAGAUUAAAUUAUUUUUUAUAAGAGAUAGAUUAAAUUAUUUUAAAAUACGUUAAUUGUUUUUACUUUUAACGUUACCGGCCUUUCUUUUAUUUUAUUGCAAAUUAAUGCUAACAAGAAAAAGCUAGAUCAUAUUCCACAAAAGCAAAAGUGACAAACACAACCAGCUGGAAUCUUUUAAUUACUAUUCAAUAAUUCGAGACGAUUAGGGUCUUUUAUUAAACUACAAAUUGUAUAGUCUUUUUAAAAUUGUUAUAAAUUGGUGGCACCUACAAUCCUCAAUAAUUGUACCGAUAUUCACAAGUUGGUGGCCCCUACAAUUCUGUUCGGAUAAUUUAACUGUGCAAGUGCUCAUUCACAAUAAUUGUUUUGUUUUUUUUUUCUGCAUUCCCUUUCAUGCUCUUAAUAAUUGAAGAGCAUACUUUUCAUUUUCAAAUGUGGAGCCGCAGCUAAUGUCGCUAAUUUAAUUUGGGAUUAAAUUAGGGGACCAUUAUAUUGCAGUGUGCACUAAUUUUUGUGUUUAUCUAAACUCCUUAAAUUUAAGACAUAUUAUGGCAUAAAUAAGAAUAUAACAAUAGCAAAAGAGUUAAAAAGUGUAGAGAAGAUCUUGCAGAAAUAUAAAUAAUAUCUAUUUUAAAAUAAUAUCAAUAUUUAAAAUAAUUUUUAAUAUUUUAUGAUUCAUUAGAUAUAUUUUAUUAUAUUAAAGUAAAUUUUAUAAUAAAUAAAAACAUACUAUUAAAAUGAAUAUAUAGAAAAUUUAGAGUAUUUUAAGUAUUAUAUAAAAUAAUUUUAAUAAAAUAUGUGAGAUAUUCAUAUUUUAUUAAUUUAAAAUACCAUUUAACCUAAAGAUUUAUUUAUGAUAAAUUAAUAAUUAUAUUUUUGAAGUUACUUCAAAUAUUAAAAAUAUUAAUAUUACUAAUCUAUUAGAUAGAUUAAAUUAUAUAUAUUAUUUUCUAUUUAUUAAAAAAUUUAAAAUUAUUUUUAAUUACUAUUCAAAAAAUAUAAUGAUAAAAAAGAAUCUUAACAUCUUUAUUAAAAAUUUAAAAAUUUACAUGAUCAAUUCUCUAAAUAUUUAGGGUUAUAUGUGAACAACGGUGGAGAAGCUUUAUUUAAUAUUAUUGAUUUAAAUAAUAUGUCAAUUAAAAAUGUACAGAGAAGGAAAUUUCGGUGGGUAUUUUAGUCUUUUCAGCAAUUAUCAUGAUCAGAUCAGCCUUUAGCCUUGAAUCGUCGGUCAGAAAAGUUUUAAAAUUAACGCUAACAAGAAAAAGCUAGGUCAUAUUCCACAAAAGCAAAACUGACAAAACAACCAGCUGGUUUCUUUUACUAAACUACAAAUUAAAAGUGGAUUCUUUUGAAUGCAAGUGGGACAGACGAUUAGGCUCUUUUUAUUAAAGGCAAGUAAAAACUAGUCGAAUAGUCUUUUUCAAAUUGUUGUUUUAUUAUUUUUCCUUCAAAAGUUAGUGUGGCUCAUGUUUGCAGGUGCGAAUGUGGGUCCCGAAUCAUUACUAAAAUUUCUAUUCCACAGCCCACCGCAGCUUCAGUUAAUCAAACUCAAAUCAAUUUUCUUUCUUAACAAAAUAUUCCAAAGAUGUGUAGCAUUUUUCAGAUCACAUGCGAUGGUGCUCUUUUCAAUCGUUGCUUGGAUUGCUUUCUUGGAAAAGCAGCAUACAUACGUAACCUCCAAGAUAAUGUUGAUACCUUGGGCACUGAAUUGGGAAAUCUGAUCGCUAGAAAGAACGAUCUGAUGAGGAGGGUUGUCGAUGCUGAACGGCAACAAAUGAGAAGGCUGGACGGAGUGCAAGUGUGGGUUUCGAGGGUGGAUUCUGUUAAAACUGAAGCUGAUCAAUUUAUAAGAGACGGCUCUCGAGAAAUUGAAAAAUUAUGUGUUGGAGGCUACUGUUCCAAGAAUUGCAUGUCAAGCUACAAGUUCGGGAAAAAAGUGGCUAAAAAGCUACGGGAUGUGCGGACUUUAAUCAGUGAAGGAGUUUUUGAGGUGGUGGCUGACAGAGCUCCAGAGUCUGUAGCAGAUGAAAGACCUACUGAGCGAACAGUAGUAGGCUUGCAAUCACAACUUGAACAAGUCUGGAGAUGUCUUGUAGAAGAAUCAGCGGGAAUCAUUGGCCUAUAUGGUAUGGGCGGUGUUGGUAAAACUACACUACUGACCCAUAUCAACAAUAAAUUUCUCGAGAGUCCAACCAACUUUGAUUGUGCGAUUUGGGUUGUAGUUUCAAAAGACCUGCGACUCGAAAAAAUUCAAGAAGAUAUUGGGAAAAAGAUAGGUUUGGUUGGUGAUUCAUGGAAGAGUAAAAGUGUAGAGGAGAAAGCUGUCGACAUCUUCCGGAGUUUAAGAGAGAAGAGAUUUGUAUUGUUGUUAGAUGAUAUAUGGGAGCGGGUUGAUUUAACAAAGGUGGGCAUUCCACUUCCCGGACCAAAAAAUACUACCUCAAAAGUCGUAUUCACAACCCGUUUCAUCGAUGUUUGUGGUAGCAUGGAAGUUGACAGGAAGUUUCAAGUAGCAUGCUUAUCAGAAAAGGAUGCUUGGGAACUGUUUCGAGAAAAAGUUGGGGAGGAAACUCUUCAGAGUCAUCAUGAUAUCGAUGAGCUAGCCCAAAUUGUGGUCAAAGAGUGUGGUGGUUUGCCACUCGCACUUAUUACUAUUGGUCGAGCUAUGGCCUACAGAAAGAAAGCGGAGCAGUGGAGACGUGCAAUUGAAGAGUUAAGGAGAUCAGCUUCAGAGUUUGCAGGUUUGGGAAAAGAGGUUUAUCCUCUUUUAAAAUUCAGCUAUGAUAGUUUGCAGAAUGAUACGGUUAGAUCUUGUUUCUUGUACUGUUGUUUAUAUCCUGAAGAUUAUGGCAUUCUUAAAUGGGACUUGAUUGAUUGUUGGUUUGGCGAGGGAUUUUUUGGGGAAUCUGACAGGUCUGGUGCAGAAAACCAAGGAUAUGACAUUUUGGACACUCUUGUUCGUGCGUGUUUAUUAGAAGAGGUGGAAGAUGAUGAAGUAAAAAUGCAUGACGUUAUUCGUGAUAUGGCUAUAUGGAUAACUUGUGAAAUUGAGAAGGAGAAGAGAAACUUUUUGGUUCGUGCAGGUGCUGGAUUAAAAGAUGCACCGGGUGUUAAAGGAUGGGAAAAUGUGAGAAGAUUGUCAUUGAUGCAAAACCAAAUUGAAACUCUGGCAGAGGUUCCCACAUGCCCUCAUCUCCAUACUCUAUUUCUUGACUUUAAUAGGGGGUUGGAUAUGAUCGCGGAUGGCUUCUUUCAAUUUAUGCCUUCUCUCAAAGUUUUGAAGAUGUCAAACUGUUCGAAUUUGAAAUUACCUGUUGGGAUGUCAGAGUUGGGUUCAUCACUAGAACUUCUUGAUAUUUCAGAAAACAGCACAAGAGAGUUACCGGAAGAGUUAAAGAAGUUGGUAAAUCUGAAAUGUUUGAAUUUGAGGUGGACAGAGCAUUUAAAUAAAAUUCCACGGCAACUAAUAUCAAAUUCUUCAAGGUUACGUGUGUUGAGAAUGUUCGCUACUGGCCGGUUCAAUUUUCAUGAAGCACCAGAAGACAGCGUUUUAUUUGGUGGGGGUGAAGUUUUGAUACAGGAAUUGCUCGGUUUGAAAUAUUUAGAGGUAUUGGAGUUGACCUUGGGAAGUUAUCAUGCUCUCCAAAUUCUUUUGAGCUCAAAUAAGUUAAAAAGUUGUAUUCGAUCUCUUUACCUCGAGUUGACCGGAGAUACAACGUCAAUUAUUGAUGCUACGGCUUUCGCAGAUCUAAACCACCUCAAUGAAUUACGGAUUGAUAAUGGUAUUGAGUUGGAAGAGUUGAAGAUUGAUUAUACGGAGAUAGUACGAAAAAGGCGGGAACCUUUUGUUUUCCGCAGCCUUCAACGUGUUACCAUAGCGGAGUGCCAUAAAUUGAAAGAUGUGACAUUCCUCGUUUUUGCUCCAAACCUCAAGUCUCUUCGGCUAUUCUAUUGCGGUGCUAUGGAAGAAAUAAUCAGCGUCGGAAAAUUUGCUGAGACUCCUGAGAUGAUGGGACAUAUAAGCCCUUUUGAAAAUCUCCAAAUGCUUGAUUUACAAGGUUUGCCACAUUUGAAGAGCAUCUUCUGGAAGCCAUUGCCUUUCACUCAUCUGAAAGAAAUGGAGGUACUUAGGUGCGAUCGGCUUGAAAAGCUUCCACUCGAUUCCAACAGUGCAAAGGAGCGCAAAUUUGUUAUUCGUGGAGAAGAAGACUGGUGGAACCGACUUCAAUGGGAGGAUGAAGCCACUCAAAUUGCUUUUCGUUCCUGUUUUAAAAGUGAUGCUUUAUUUAUAUCUUAUUCGUGAAAAGUGAUUUAAUUUCCUGCCAAAAGACGAACGAGAAGAACAAUAGAGUCAAACUAAUGCUCACAUAAAUUUCCCGUAAGAAUAUAUAAUUAGAUUGGAAUGCACACCUCUAGAUUGAACAGAAUUAAAGCUGAGAAAAUAUUGAGUAUAGUAGCCCUCUUUACAGAAAAUGACGUGAAAGUUAAUUUAGAAAGAUAUAUUCUUGAUUAAUCCAUUUUCUGAAGUUUUUAUUUUGUAUGGUCAAUUAUACCUUCAUACUAAAAAUUUCUGAAGUUAUAAAUUAGUGCAACUUGACAAUUUUUACUGAUGAUAUCUUCUAUUUUUCCCUUUUUUUUUUUUUCACUUUCAUAGACUGGCAGCGGAUCCUGCGGCACCAAUUUGAGAGAAUAUACUGACACUACUUCGAACAGCAAGCAGAAGAAGUAAUAUGUCUACGGCAAAGGCAAUGGAGUCCUCAUUUUGGCUCGAGAUGCAGUAAUCAUCGAAGAGAGUUUCCUUGUGAAACUGGGCAACACAUUGAAUCCCUUCACCACUGAGAAGGUUGUGGAGGAAGUAAGCUUUCUCUCCAGUGAGGAAGAGGUGGCAUAUACCUUCCCCAUUUUGUUGAGGGCAGGUAGGAAUCUUUUUUCUAAGAGAUUUACUUCGUUCUCUGUAAGAAAUGCUUUGAACUUCAUCCCUCUGUCUCUAUCCUCACUUAUCAGGAAAUAAGUUGAAAGCACUAUGAAGAGAGAGAGAGAGAGAGAGAGAGAGAGAGAGAGAGAGAAUUAAGAUAUAUAGACAAGAAAAAUAUUUGACGUUGAUCUUACAAACUAAUACUUCAAGCAGUAUCCUAGAAAGCUAAAAACUGCAAGAUGGCUUGAAAUUUGAAAAGAGCACAUGCUUUUCCUCCUUAACUUGAGAAAAUGUUUAAUAUAGUGCACCUUACAGAAGCAUUUAAGCAAUUAGAACUUUGCACAAAAACAUCAAGAAGACUAAACAAGUCAGAUGCAGUGUAUUUGUCCAAGCACAAAUUGCAUUUUUUCCUCAACUUUAAUAUUUAUUGAUGAGAAUCAAUACAGGUCCCUCAUUUGUUAUAGAAAGCUUUCUUUCUUGUAGUCUCACCAGUUAAUUCAGAGGUCUAUAAUCAUCUUGCAAAGUUAAGGGCAUUUCUUUUGAUCUAAAGUCUUUGCAUCACCACCUCAUCACACGCCAAGCCAAUAUUCCAUUUACCUCUACAACAAAAAGUUUUAAUUAAACAAUCCUAAUGCACGCAGCCAAAUAAAAUGCAGUAAGAAUAUUCAACUUAAAAAUCUGAAAGCCAACUUGGUGAAUUGCCUCCUUAGGUGAAGUUCCAUGCUUUACUAUAGUUGACAGAACUCAGCAAAAGCUUCCAUACAACAGAUUUUGAAAAUGAUGAUGCCAACAGAUACUCAUUCAAUGCAUUGAAACUCCAAAGGUUCAUUGUUCAUAGAAGUUUACAGAGUUUUGGUCAUCAAAUAGCUCAGACCUAAUCCCAAACAAAAAAUGAGUGAAAAUUAGAUCACGAGCAGCUAAUUGUAAAUUCUAACUUAACUCUUCAUCUCCUUUGUAAACAAGAAACAAAAUGGAGACACGCAAAAUGAAUAUGGAGAAAAUUUGAACUCAAAUGAAAUGAGGGCAUGAAAGCAAACAAAUGGCAUGCACCAAAAAACCAAGCCUCAAUCAAAAACUAAUUAACCAUUAAGAAAAAAAUUGGUCAGAGAAUGAACUCCAAAUUCAGGAGUCAAGCAAGAAGCUUUCAUUAUUAUCAAAGUCAAUUAUCUUUGUUAGUAUGCGAGUGUGACGACUAUAGGUUGUUCUUUUUCUAAUGUCAUAUGAUUCCAAUUUUAGGUACAGGGCAUCUCUCUCUCUCUCUCUCAUCGCUAAGUGGAUAUUUUUCUCUUUUGUCAUAUACUUUAGUUAUUCUUCAAUUUACUAACUAAAAUGAAGGCCGCUUUAUUAAGAAGUUAUAUCCAGUUAUAUAAUUUGUUGUAUUUAAUAUAUGUUUGGGCUCAUAAUUUUUUUUAAAAAUAUAUAUUUCAUUCUCCAUAAUUUUUUCCCAUCAUAGCUACGAAACGUCUUAGUUUCGACUAAAAUCCUAAAAUUGGUCCUUAAUUGAAUAUGCAUUGCAAUUUGCAAAUGUAAUAUUGUGAAUGGGACACUGGAGAUACCAAAAUGGUCAAAUGCGAAAUAAGUUAGGAUUGUACGAUGUAGUUUGUAUUCAUAUUCAAUGCCUUUUUUUUCAAAAAACAAAUUGAAAUGCCAUUACUAAACGAUUCUUGAUGAUGGGAGCCACCGUGCCAGCUUUGUCGCUGAUUUGGUAUUAUUCUUAACUUGCAGAUAGUUGUGGAUAUGAUAUGCAAAAAGGUAAGGACUAUAUCUUCUUGAUGGAGGCCUCUGAUUUUUUCCCUUCUAUGUAAUUUAGUAAAUCGCAUUUUCCCUUGUGAUUGAUAUAUCAUACCAAAGUCAAGUCUUAAAUACUGCUGUCAUAUGUUAAGGUUCAACUUCCAUUUUGAUUAACGUCCAUUUGCUGCUGCUUCCAAAAGUGAGAAUGAGAUACUUUGGUUAAUUUCAGUAGUUGAACCCAAUAGAGUACUUUAUUUAGAUCUUCAUGGUUCAAAGGCCUGAAAAAACUUGCCGGUAUUUGCAAAAUGACAUUCUGUGCUUUUAUUUAGGCUUAUUAUUUAAGUGAUAAAAACUCCCGUAACCUGCUGUCAAGAAAAUUUCAGAUUGUUAAAAGACAACAUUUUGUUUCAGCCAAAAAUGUUUGUUUCGAUUAAAGACUUGAACCAUUUUCAUUUAACCUUGAUUGUGAUGCUUUACAUUAUGCAUGUUCCUCUCAAUCAAUAAAAGUUGAGGUCAUGAUUUUAUAUUUCUAUUUUGUAACUUGAAAUAAUUGGUCUGCCUGUUUCUGUAGCUUGAUAACAUGAAUUUUUCCUUCUGAAGUUAAUUUGAUCAAUAAAGUAAUUCUUCGGAGAUGAUAUGCCCAUUCUAUAGUCAUUUUCUUAGGUAACAUGUUUUUUCUUCACUCUUCAGAGCAUGUCUAAACUAAUUGAUCGCUCAGCGGAGACUUUGGGUGAGAAGACAAAAUUUCUUGGUAAAUCCUCUAAAAAGGUAUGCAUAAUUCCCGAGUAUUAAAUAAUCAUUGGUCAUAAUUUUUGUACACAACUCUUUUUUUGGAGAUCGUUAAAAGUGGUUGAUGAUCUAUUUUGUAAUAUCAUAGAGGGAUCAUGAAUUCCUGUUCUUUUCUGUGGCUAGGCAACACUUUCGGGCCAAGCUAAGGAAAUCUAUUUUAGGUAAUGUGAAAACCAGUUGUAGGAUGUAAUAGUUUAUUAUGCCCUGACAAUAACUUUUUGUAUAAUUGUCAGUUUAAUGAAUACAAGAGGAACUCUGUUGGCAAAUUCAUCCAUGAUAGAUGCUAAAAGUAUUUAUGCAUACCAGUUGCCUUAACUAAUUUUUCUCAACACUGGUAUUGAACAGGAAAAUGAAUAUGCAAUUUGUAUAUUGUGCCAUUGUGGAGAAUUUGGAUAUUCUUAUUUAAGUAACAAGGAGAGUAUUUGCCUCAUCUUUAAACAAUGAAUCUUUGAGAAAUGAGGAGUGGGUGAUUGGCAGUGUCUUCAUGUAAAUGUUCAUUUAUUUGUAUUUUGAACUAUUAUGAGAAUCUUUGUAUGCCAAAUUAGUAAUACAAAUGUUCAGAUGAUUUUUCCUGUUGAUCAUGCGUGUGUAUCUGCACACAACCAUUGUGUCCCACUUUAUUCUGAUGCACAAAUAUCUGUAGUUUAGAAGAAAAGAAAUAAUAAUCAUAUAUUAUUGCUUGGUUCAUGAUUAUUAAACGAUUAUGGCUUUAGAAAAUCCACAAAUCCUUUGUGUUCAUAUAUGAAUGUGCGAAGUUUGCUAUCUCUUAGAUUACCUUCUUCCAAGAUAACAAGUUCAUAUAUUUUUUUUAAUCCUUUUUCAUCACAGUUGAAUUUCAAGUGUAAGUUUUGUUAUUAAUAGCUGGUUUCCUGUUAUUAUGAUUUCAUAAACAGUGAGAGGAUAUGUGCUCUACUUUUGGAGGGCCUCCACAUGAAAGAAAAUUGCAACAAUUGAAUUCUUCCGGAGGGUAUGGUAUUUAAUUUAUUUUCUCAGCUUGUUGUAAGACUAAUAUAUUUCCUUCAGUACCCAAAAGGACAGAAAUGAAUUACGGAAGGAAGUUUUUGCUGCUUUAUUUAGUGCUGCUGAGAAAUCUGAUGGAUUUCCUGAAAUUACGGUGAAGACGGAGUGGAGGUCCAACGCAUUAGGAAAGGUGGUGAGUGAACCGCCGGAGGAAUUAGUACCAGAAUACAAGGCUAAUGUGGUGCACUUGCAGCAAGAUGACCAGACCUGUAUGUGCUCUUAUAUUAACUAUAUUGGUUGGAUUUGUGAGUGUGUACAUUUUUGUGUGUAUACUCACAUUUGUAUUUAUGCAUAUUAACGUGUGUAGGAUUCUUGAUUUCUGCCACUUACUGGAGAACUAGUGGAAAGCUUUAUACUGAUAUAUGUGCUAUAACUAAUGGAAACUACAAUAUGAAUAUUUUCUCUCACCUGGAGAACUGUGUAACAGAUAUAAUUUGUGGCUCUGGAAUACUGAAGAUUCUGCAAUAACUAAUGGAAAAUAUGAUAUGAAUAUUUUUUCUCACCUGGAGAACUUUGUAACAGAUACAUUUUGUGGCUCUGGAAUGUCUAAAGAAUGCUUCAGUUUAGAUCAAAUAUCUUUUAGUUAGAAAAGAUAAAAUUCUCUGAAUCUGAAAGACUGAAACAUUUUGCAUAUUUUGUGAAAGGGAAGUAUCUGUAGAUACUAGCUCAUGCAUUGAGGUAAUAUCAAUGUUAAAGAAAAACAGCAAUAAUUUAUUAUACAGAAUUAGGUUCACUUGCUUUAAAUGCUGGUCUGAUCAACCAUAACAACCUGUAAUGGUCCUGCAGAAAUAUAUAUACGGGGAGAAACUAGCUAAAUUUUCCUUUCACUUAUGGGUUUGGUCUUUUUUUCCCCUAUUUUUCAGCUUUCCUUCUCCUGAAGUAUGUUAACAAUUGCAGAUAAUGACGAAGAGGACCGCUUCCAGGCUCUUUGUAGAGCUGUGAUGGAAUAUAGGGGCACAAUGAAAGAAUAUUGUAAGGUUGUAUGUACUUUCUCUCUUGUCAUUUAUGUUUUCUCACACAUUUUGUUUAUGCCCUGAACAUGCAGCUUUGUAUGUGUCAAUUGCCUUUUACGUUUUAAAAGCCAUAAAGUAAGAAUACAGUUCCUUGUCAGGCUAUUGAUGCGUUCGCUCAGAAGGGUCAUGUUCAAGCAGGAAAACUUCUAGAACAGGUAAGGUUUCCAUCUACAGCCAUCCAUUGACAGCAGAUAUAUUUUCAUUAAGCAGACACUGUUAGCAUUCAAGAUGCUGGCAGAUUCACUUGAUUCUUAUUAGUUUGUUUAGUGGCAAGGCAUAUAACCUGUAUUUCAAAGCCAAGUUGUGCUAUUGAUUAUGUUAACUUUAUUGUUAACAUAAAGUGAUAUGGAGGACAUAAUCAAUGUAGGAAAAUUAGGUGAAGAGAUGAUGUCAAAUCUUGAACCUCUUACAAAGCUCCAAGUUCUUUACUUGAAGAAGCUGCCAAAUUUGAAGAGCGUCUACUGGAAGGCAUUUCCAUUCCCAGAUGUAUGCAGAAUUUUUGUAUUAAUGCCCAGUUCUUAAGAACCUGCCACUGGAUUUUCAAGGGGUGGGCCAAGGUAAAAUUCUUAUCAAGGGAAAGGAAGAUUGGUGGAAAGAACUUCAAUGGGAGGAUCAAGCAACUCAGAAUGCAUUGCUUCCAUUUUUCAAAUCAACUGACAAGUGAUUGAAGGGGGCAUCAUCAACAUCAUCAACAGAGAUGGAGAGAUUCUGGAGCAGAUCAGCAGGGUUUGUAUAUGAUCUUUGGUGGUUGCUUUCUUUUGUGAUUUUUUUUUUCUUCCUGUCAUUUUAUCAUUUCUUUGUCUCUUUUUUUAUUGCUGAUGUUAGUGUAUGCUUACUGUUGCUUGACAAAGUUCGCUUGCUUCUUGUUUAUUAAAUUUUUUAUCGUCACAAAAUAUUACUUGUUCUAUUUGAGAGUGAUGUGAAUCAAUUUUCAAUUAUAUAUUUUGUGGUCAAUGUGAAUUCAAUUUCAUUUGUCUCCUGCAAUUAUGAGAAAACUGCAGAGUCAUAAUAUGGAAAAGUACACCAGCAAAAACUUUGUAAAAGCUUCGGAGUGAAACAGGGAAUUCACUUACUACUAAGAACAAUUGAUGGCGAGUUAUUCCAUUCAUUUUAUGUCCAUCUAUCUAUUUAAUUAUUAAAGAUAAAUGGUCCAUUUAUAAAUUUCAGAUUGUCUCUCUCUGAAAAUAACAAUAUUUAAAAUAUCUCUUAAAUUAUUAUAAAUUUUAAUACACUCUCGAUUUAAAAUGGAACAUGCUGAUGAAAUUGUUUUCUUCUUAAUAAAAUUGAAAUAAAUUGUGUUUGCAGUAGUUUGAAAUAUUUUAAAGAUUAUUAUUUUAUAAGGGAGUAAUAUGAAAUGAAAUUUACUUUUCAUGCGUGAAAUGUUGAAAAAGGACAAAGCAAGUGUCCCUGCUUUUAUUUUUAUUUUAAAGUGGAGUCAUCUCACAUACUUUAGCUCUAUCAUUACAAUUUUUCAGGUUACAUUUUUAUUAUUUAUUUAUUUUCUUUUUUACACAUGCAUGUGGGUUACUUUUCCGUAAGCUCCUCAAUAUAUAUUGAACCCAGCGAAGAAUGUUAUGGAAGAGCAAAUUAAUGAUAUUUCUGAUAGAGUCUAUUUGAUUAUGUAGCCUGAAUGGAUGUCUUGUUGAAAGAUAUCUCAGUGCAUUAGUUCAUCCUUGUCUGUCAAUGUGUUUUUAAUGGUUUUUCCAAUUGUUUAUUAUUAUAGAUUGAUUGUAAAUUGAUAUGAAAAUUUGAUAUGAAUUUAAUGUUGAAAUGUUUUCUCUUUAGUGGAAUGAAUUUAAAAGUGCAAAAGAUUAUUGCACACAGAGAAAUAAACAUAUAUGCUUUAUAACUUUAGCAAUCGAUUCUUUUACAGCUGGAAACAGAGAUGAUGAUUAUCAUAAGGAUGAAGAAAAGUAGUGCGUUAGACGAUUAGACUCUCUUAUUAAAGGCAAGUAUAAAGUAGUGAAGAAUCCAAUAUCUCUAUUGUCUAGUCUUUUGUUUAAUUCUUCUUUUAUUAUUUUUCAGAAUAAUUUUUGGUGAUUACAAUCGGGUUAUUAUUCAGAGUUAUUGUUAUCUUCUGGGGCAGUUUCUGUUCAUCGAAUUCAUUAAUUAAAAUUUUAGAACUCUUAUCAGAAGAAUAUUUUUCGGUUAUCUUUUUUAUGUUCUAAUUCCAAUUGUAAGAAGUAGCCAUUUUAGAAUUUGGGUCUUGAAUCGAAUUUCAAUGCAUGAAUUAAUAUUAAAAAAAAAAAAUUCACUACUCGCAGUUUAGGUUACAAAUUACUUUUUGGAAAGUUGACUUUGGAAUGUUUGCAAAGAAAGAGACUAACAUAUUUCCAAUUACACUAAAUCUCUAUUAUGAUAAUGUUAAGACUAAAUUAAUUUAAAUAAUUUUUAUUUGAAAAUUAUAUCAAACGCAGUCUAAUUUUAUUAAUUUUAAGAAAUAAUAAUUAUAAAAAUUAUUGUUCUGACUUAAUUAAUACAAGUGAUAUAAAAGUUAAGUGUGCACUAAAUCUGUUUUAAUUUUUUCCAGUAUAACUAACAGAGGUCAUUACUAGAAUUAUAUUACUAGUCUAUUAGAUAGAAAAAAUUACUUAUAUUGUUUUAUAUUUAUUAAAAAAUUUAAAGCCAAUUUUUUUAAUUACUAUUUAAAGAAUAUUAUAAUUUGAAAAAUUUUAAUAUCUUUAUUAAAAAUUUAGAAAUUUACAGUCCUCUAAAUAUUUAAGGCGUAACUGUCAUUUUCUCAAGAAGCUUUAUUUAAUAUUAUUGAUUUAAAUAAUAUCUUAUUAAAAAUGUACUGAGGAGAAAUUUUGGUGGGUAUUUUAGUCUUUUCAGCAAUCAUCAUGAUUAACCUUUGGUUGGCCUUGAAACGUCGGUCAGAAAAGUUUUAAAAUGCUUAAUUGUUUUUCACUGUUAACGUUAGUGGCCUUGAAAUUGCUUAUAUUUUAUUAAAAAUUAAUGCUAACAAGAAAAAACUAGAUCGUAUUCCACCCCCAAAGCAAAAGUGAUAAAACAACCGGCUGUAUUCUUUUAUUAAACUACAAAUUAAAAUGGAUUUCUUUAAUUAAAGUGGAUAUCAUUUAAUUAAUGUUUGAACAUUAAAGUUCUGAUAUAUAACCACUAUGCCGACCACCUAAUUGCUGCUAUUUAAUUUCGUUCCAGUUCUCUCUCUCUCUCUUUUUCUUUUUUUUUUGGGCCAAGCAAUAAAUAGUAAAAAUUCAAUAAAAGCAAUAUUAAUGCUGCAAGUGAGUCAUGUUAUUUAUUGUCAAUUAGGAAAUGUGAACCUAAUUUGAUUGCAUCCCUUUAAUCAUUUAAUAAUUAUGUAAGCACCAUCCCUUUAAUUAUUUAAUAACUAGAAAAUAGAACACUGCGUUUCACGCGGCUUUGAAAAAAGAAUUUAGUAUUAUCUUUUUUUCUUACUUUACACUUGAUGAAACUGAUAAAAAAUAUGAAUUGAUUUUUUUUAAAGAUGAGGCAGCCUUAUAAAAAAUAAAAAAAGCUAUUAGCCAGCAAUACAAAUAAAGAAGGAAUGCAAGAUAAAGAAUAAAAUGAGAGAAUAUAUUAUAGAGUGAUCUUAUUCAUUCUAAUUGUGUGUGUACAAAACAAAAAGAUGAGCUCUCCUUUUAUAACUACAUAAUUACUUCAUGAAAUUAAUGAAAAAUUAUGAAUCAUAAUUUCUUGUGAGAUAGUGGGAGUUAUUGGGAAGCUAAAAGUUGCUAAUGGGAGAUAGUGGGGAGACUAAGAGAUAUAUAUUAUGAACAUCUACAUUUAUUUUAAUAAAUUCAUAACACUCCCCCUUAAAUGUUCAUUACAAAGAAUAUGCCUCAUUAAAAUCUUUACAUAAUUGUUAUUGUGUAAUAACAAUCAAAUUAAUUAUAAGAAGAUGAAAAGCCAAAUCUAACAGAAAAUUUCUCUAUUUAUUAGAUAAUAGAGAAUAUAGCAAGAUGAGAAAUGGUAAUGCCACAUCAUCUCCUCACGUCCCAACUUUAUAUAUAUAUAUAUAGAUAAUAUAUAUUAUUCCUGUCCUACAUUCACAUAUUUAAUUGUCCUUUUGAAAAUAUUCAUGAGUUAGGCCAAGUAAAGUCAAAGAAAUUGGGAAAAAGGAACAAAAGGACAAACCUAAAUUAAUUGAACCUAAUUCAUGAAAAUGCACACUUUUGUGUUGCGGACGGCGGACCCUAAAGCUUCGUUGUUUGCAGCUGCAAUUAAUUCUUUUCCUUCAAAAGUUAGAGGCUCGUGUUUACAGUGGGUCCCGAAUCGGACGUACCUAAUAAAUCUUUUAAAAAAAUUUGCCGUAUAAAGGACAGAGGUCAUUACUGAAAUUUCUCUUCCACGGGCAAUUACAGCAGCUUCAGUUAAUCAAACUCAAAUCAAUUUUCUUUCUUAACAAAAUAUUCCAAAGAUGUGUAGCAUUUUUCAGAUCACAUGCGAUGGUGCUUUUUUCAAUCGUUGCUUGGAUUGCUUUCUUGGAAAAGCAGCAUACAUACGUAACCUCCAAGAUAAUCUUGUAGCCUUGGACACUGAAUUGGGAAAUCUGAUCGCUAAAAAGAACGAUGUGAUGAGGAGGGUUGUCGAUGCUGAACGGCAACAAAUGAGAAGGCUGGACGGAGUGCAAGUGUGGGUUUCGAGGCUCGAUGCUGUUAAAACUGAAGCCGAUGAACUUAUCACAGACGGCUCUCGAGAAAUUGAAAAAUUAUGUGUUGGAGGCUACUGUUCCAAGAACUGCAGGUCAAGCUACAAAUUCGGAAAACAAGUGGCAAGAAAGCUACGAGAUGUGGAGACUUUAAUCGCCGAGGGAGUUUUUGAGUCGGUGGCUGAGAGAGCUCCGGAACCUGUGGCAGAUAAAAGACCCACUGAGCCAACAAUAGUAGGCUUGCAAUCACAGCUUGAACAAGUUUGGAGAUGUCUUCUUGUAGAAGAAUCAGCGGGAAUCAUUGGCCUAUAUGGUAUGGGCGGUGUUGGUAAAACCACACUGUUGACCCAUAUCAACAAUAAAUUUCUUGAGAGUCCCACCAACUUUGAUUGUGUGAUUUGGGUCGUAGUUUCAAAAGACCUGCGACUUGAAAAAAUUCAAGAAGAUAUUGGGAAGAAGAUAGGUCUGUUUGAUGGUUCGUGGAAGAAUAAAAGUGUUGAGGAGAAAGCCGUAGACAUCUUGCGGAGAUUAGGAGAGAAGAGGUUUGUAUUGUUGUUAGAUGAUUUAUGGGAGCGGGUUGAUUUAACAGAAGUGGGCGUUCCACUUCCCAGCCCACAAAAAUACUACAUCAAAGUCGUAUUCACGACCCGUUUCAUUGAUGUGUGUGGUAGCAUGGAAAGUCACAGGAAGUUUAAAGUGGCAUGCUUAUCAGAAGAGGAUGCUUGGGAGCUGUUUCGAGGAAAAGUAAGGCAAGAAACUCUUGAGAGUCAUCAUGAUAUCGUUGAGCUAGCCCAAACUGUGGCCAGAGAGUGUGGCGGUUUGCCACUCGCGCUUAAAACUAUAGGUCGAUCUAUGGCCUACAGAAAGACAGCUAAGGAGUGGAGACAUGCAAUUGAAAUGUUAAGGAGAUCAGCUUCAGAGUUUGCAGGUUUGGGAGAAAAGGUGUAUCGUCUUUUAAAGUUUAGCUAUGAUAGUUUGCAGAAUGAUACG